CCCGGGUUCUGGAUGACGAUGAUUUUGUGUUGAUCAGCAGGUAUUGAAUAUGUGUGUGAGUUCUUUGUGUCCAGUGUAUGCUGACGAACAGCGGUAGUGUCACAGUGUUGUUUGCGGAUCGUUUUAGACGCUUCGUUUGUUCACCAGUCAUUUGUUGAUCUUUUUCUCUGAGUGCAUGUUAAUUUGGAACCCGUUUGGUUUAUUGGCACCUGUGAUGCCAGUUCCAGUAAGAAAUGAGAAUAGCCCGAGACAUGUACAGUCGGGUUGUUACAUUUUGAUGCUUCACCAGAUUCGACCAUUUGCUGGGAGUCAGUCAGUCCACUCUUCAUUGCCCUUCCUCUUGCAUUGGUGCGCACAUUACAUCCACAUGGCAUCGCUCGUAUCGACAGCAAAAUCGCGCUGGAUUCUGGGUAGAGCUGUGAGCUAGGCUUGGAUGGAAUUUUCAUCUCGAAUUUCCAGCCUUUUAAGCUUUGACUCGAAUGGCUAGCUUACAGGUUGGAACGAAGCAGCAGGUGUAGUCUCUCUUGGCGUCGGCGGUGCUGCUGCUGUCGAUGCGGGCAGCUGCUGCUGAGACGUCAGUCUCCCACCCUGGAACUGCUAAAGCAAGACAAAAAUAUACAGGCUAUGUUCAUCUGUUCAGUAUGGAUGUUCAGUGAGUGAAGUGCAUCAUAGGUCCUCAAACUAUUUCAAAGGUGUCACGUAGGUCAUCGAACUAUGAAAAUCGUCAUUUAGGUCCUCAAAGUGCAAUAUGUGUGUUAUAUUGGUCCUCAAACUAUUUCAAAGGUGUCACAUAGGUCCUUAACUAUUUCAGAGGUGUCACAUAUAUACACACUUAUUACACUUCAACAAUUUUUUAGGAUCUAGAUGACACUUUUCAUAUUUUGAGGACCUACGUGACACCACCAAAAUAGUUCAAGGACCUAGGAUGCACUUUACUCAUGUUCAGUUACGAGACUUCGGAAACAUCUGUCAAAGCUGCUCUAGCUCUGCAUCAAGGCUGUAGGAGUAGGAAUGUCAUGUCAGCAGUCUUCACGUUUAAGCAAUACGUCACUCCGUUGGCGCCGAUCCUUUUGCACGACCAAUCCACUCUCGUAGUACAAUUAAUCAGUGAUGGAGCGACAUCAGUUUGCAGGUCAAACCUUAUAAUUAAUACUAUAUGAGUUUACUAUCACAUAUGCCCAUGCAUUGCAAUGUGGAUUUUUUUUAUAUGGCAUCAAAACGCCCAUCAACGCGAACAACAUCCUCGAAGGCAGGGCGAUGCAUGCCGAGGUAUAAAAGAAAUGAAUAUCAUGCUUUAAUUGCCACUAACUGCGGUGGCUGCAUGUCAUGACAACCUGAAUGAGUAGUAAUGUUGCAUGGUCAAUUUUUUUAGGUAAACGUUUGCAUCCAGCGCGCCGGCCCAAUUUUGCGUCGGACGCGCGUGGUGCGUCUGAUCUAUUUGCGAUCCAACCGCUACGCAUGUGUUGUGGCCACGUAUGGCUGGACCCACGCACCGCCCGUGCGUCAUGCCUUAUCCCUUUCGUGGCGACCUCCACCACUCAUUCGCCUCUCCCCUAAAACUGACUGCACAACGCCAUGGAUUCCCUCCUCCUUCACAGGACCCCCCCCCCCCUCCUUCGCAGGGACUUGCUCGAGGAUGAUGACAACCGGCGAAGGAAACCCGUAGCAAUCACCGUUUCCUUUCCUUUUUUGCUGCGCCCCGUCAACGCUGCUGCAACGAGCCUGCGGGGAGCUUCAACCAACGACCACAUGUUGCGACGGUGAUCUAUUUUUGCUAGAACUAUGUUUUUCCAGAGCUACACCGACAACGGCCAUGGCGGCGGCUUUUUUUGCUACAACUUCAUUGUUUUUUGCUACUAUAGGUGACGUUUUUUGCUACAUCCCAACACGGCGGAGCACGACCCCUGCGGCGGCGGCAUUUUUUGCUACAGUAGUCGCCGGAUUUUGCUACCACUGGCGAAGGAUUUUGCUACAUCCAUCAUGGCGGAGCUGCAACCCCGCGACGGCGUCGACCUUUUUGCUGCAACAGUUGUCCGAUUUUGCUACCACCGGCGAAGGAUUUUGCUACAUCCAUUCAAAAUAUUGUUUUACCAGUGGCCGUCCGCAAUCCCGUGCAGCGAGCGUCGACGGCGAGCGGCGGCGGUGCAUCUGGUGUUGCAUUAAUGGAGCAUCAACAACGAGAGUUGCAACCGAUCUCGCCGGAGUUGCAACUAGUCGAGCGGAGCUGCAACCGAAAUCGAUGAGCAGGGAAGUUUCUUCGGCGAGCAGCGCAGGGCUGCGGGGUGUCGGAGUGCGAGCGGCCGGCGGCCGUUUUUCCCUCGCGGAGAUGCACACGGGGAGGCAACGGCGUGUGGGUGCAGAGGUGUUGUUUUUUCUGAGAUUGGUGGGAGGUAGAAGAUGAGUCAAGGAGGCAGGAAAGAGCCAGAUCGGACGAUCGAUCGAGGUCAGAUCGAACGACCGUGGCUGGACCGGCCCAAAAUUAGCGCCGGCGCCUAGCAUCGCCUUUUUUUUAAUCCUUGUAUGUAAGAAUUUAAUGCAUCUCAUAAUCUAAACAAAAUGAGGGAAAUAAAUAAAAAAUAGAACUUACAAACAAAAAAGAUAAUGAGGUAGGCUCAACAAACCGGAAUGAAGGAGAUUAUGUAUUAUAACCCACACUUAUGUUAUACUCCAUGGAAAUGCAUUCUGAAGAGCACUGUUGUAUGGACGACAUUUAUCAGACGAUACAUGCAUGACAUGCGUAUCACGCCAUCUACAGGCAAGGCUGAAACAGCAGCUAACGGCUGGAUUAGCCAUUGUCCGAGUGUCGUUCAGCGUUGUAUCGUCUGUGAAGUACUUUCGCAUUCUAAAUUGCCGGUGAUAAGAUACACUUAUAUUGCACAUAUACCCGUGCAUUGCAACAAGGAAAAUUGAUGUGUCCAUCAAAACACUCAUCAGCGUGGCAUGACAUCAUUCGCGCAUGCCGAGUUGUAGAAGAAAUACAUAUCAUGCUUUAAUCUCCAUUAACUGCAGUGAGUACAUGUCAUGAGCACUAAAUGAGUAGGAAUGUAGCAUGAUCAGUUUUCUUUUAAUCCUUGCAUGCAGGAAUUUAAUGCAUCUAAGAAGAUGAGGGGAAGAAAUAAAAGUAAGACUUAUAAACGAAAAAGAUAAUGAGAUAGGCUCAACAAACUGAAAUGAGGGAGAGAAUGUAUUAUACCCCACACCUAUGUUAUACUCCUUGGGAAUGCAUUUUGAAUCGCUGGGCAGGUUGUGGUCUUCUUCUGUUUCCAAAUCUGCCCAUAAUUCAAUUUCACUGCCUAAAUUCACUUCGGACGUUUUGAGUCCAUUUGGGUUUGAUUUUGUUAGGUUUUAAAUUCAAACAAGUUUGUAUUAAAUAUAACUUGUUUGAAGUUUUAAGUUCAUAAAAAAACCCACUUAAUUUAAGUUCUCCAUAUUUCUCUGAUCCCAAAGAAAUAAAAGAUCCGUCGCCUCGCGAGCCAUCCAAUCUGAUGGAUUAAGCGGCGAGGAUUAUCUUCUAUCAUUGCAACACAUGUCGAGUUGCAGAAAAUUUCUGCAACACAUGUUAUGUUACAUUUUUUUACAACCUAGGUCAAGUUGCAGAUUAUUUUUGUAACAGAUGUCUUGUUACAAUUUUUUUUGCAACAAAGAUCUUGUUGCAAUUUAUAUUUUUUUGCAACACGGGUCUUGCUGGAAUUUAUUCCUUUUGACAACAAAGAUCUUGUUAAUGUUUUUUUUGCAACAAAGACCUUGUUGAAGAAACUUGUUGUAAUGGACAUCGAGCAGCAAGCAGCGACCACGUCGACCGAAACAAAUGCCGGUGCUCCCUAGGGAUGGCGGGGUCAUGGUGGACGCAACUUCGUGGACGCGGACACUGGUGCUUCCCCUCAUUGGCUGAUGCAACUUGAGUUCGGGCGCACAACAACGGCCAACGCUCAUGGUGGAGGCGCGCGCCAGCGGCGGCGCCAAUGCCGGCGACCUCAUCAUUGUGUUAUCGGUGGCGAUGGUCGGAGCAGCGCGACGAGGUGUGGGCUUGACAAAGAGCUCGGGAGGAGCACAUGUGACGACUGCACUCAAAAGAAUCCAGAUCCAAAUCCCGCAACACACCAAUUGUUGUGAUGGCGAGAUUGCAACAACAAUUGAGUUGCAAAACUUAAACUAGUAAUACAUUAGAGCAUCUCCAUCCGCGCCCCCAGAAAAGCCUCCCCAGGCGUUUUUUUCGCGCCGGCGCUGAAAAAUCGGCCCAGUCGCGCCCUCAGGAGCCCGAUUUUUGCCGGCCUGGGCCAAAUUUAGCGCCGGCGGACCCAGGCCGAACCCAGCACGCUGGGGCGAGCGGUUUUGGCGCGAAAGAGCCGCGGGCCCGCCACGUCAGCGACACCGCGCGUCAUCUUCCCCGAACGCCUCGGUUUCCCACGGGGAAUCAAUGGCAGGGCUGCCGCCAGUCAGCCUUACCAGUGAUUCCUCACGGGCAGCGCGUUCACGGGGCGGCGCGCCGACGCCUCCCCUCCCUCGCACGCGUACACACGGGGCGGCGCCGCUAUAUAAGCCGGUGGCCUCCCUCGCCUCUGGCUACACCAGCCACACCCGCCCUAGCCCGCCCUCUACCUCUCCCGAGCGCCGCCGCCGAGCCCUGCCUCUCCCGAGCGCCGUCGCCGAGCCCUCCCUCUCCCUCCCUCCCUCCCUCUCCCGAUGGCCGAGCGGUUCCCUGGCGAUGAGGCCGCGGCCAACGGCUUCGGCCGCCGAUCGCUCCGCGAACAGGAGUCUUGGCUCCUGUUCCAGGCGAACAUCCCGGCGCCGCCGGACAUGCGCGCCGGGCCGACAGGCUGGAAGCUCAGCUACGGGGGAGUGCCCAUUCCCUCGUUGCCCGACGCCGUGGCCAAACCCGGGUACUUCGCCGAGGAGGUCGACGUCGUGCACGCCUCCCUCACCGCCGCUCAACUCUCCCUCCCCCAGUAUGCCGCCGACAACCAUGCGGCUUGGGCAGCGUCCUUCGAGCGCCGUCAGCAGCAGCGGCUGGCGUCCACCAACGGAGCGGCGGUCGUCGGCGGCAUGAAGAACAGCGAGGGGCGCCGCUUGUGGUGGAGCGUCCCCGACCGCACACUCGAUGGCGUGCUGACGCACCUCGAGGGCGGCAACAACCCACCGUUGGCGUACCCCCCGCGAGGGCGGCCUUCACGGCCAUGGCUCACCGCCGACGCGACGGGCAAUGGUUGCCCAGGAGGUUCGGUGCCUCCUCUUCUUCCUCCUCAUCACGCUCUUCUUCACACUCCUCCGGCUCUCCGGCGUUGCUCGGCGUCAAGGCCGAGCCCGCGGCAGAGACGCCGCUCGGACGGCGCACUCGCAGCGCCGGCAUCGUCAUCAACGAGGGCGGCCGGCGCGCCUCCUCGUCGGCUCCUCCUCCGCGCUUCGUCAAGCCCAAGACGGAGCCGGGGCUCGCUCCGGUGAAGACGGAGCCGGGCCUCCUCCCCGCGGUGAAGACGGAGCACGGCGGCGACGUCGAGCUUGAUGACGACGCGGCCCUGGAAUGGGCGCGCGCGGACUCCCUGAAGAUGGCGAGGGAGCGCCAGUGCGCCGCCCUGCAGCGCUUCGCGCAGCACCGCCGGGGCCGCGACGAAGGAGGCGUCAUCGUCAUCGAGGACAGCGACGACGAUGAUGCGCCGCCGCCACCAGCCCGCGUUGGCGACGCCGGUCAGGGGUCCACCAGGGACGGCCGUGUCAAGGAGGAGAAGCCGGACAACGGCGGCGAUGUUGGCGGCGACGACGGCGACUACUCAGCAUUCAACCAAUUUCUUUUUUAGAUUAGUUAUCUAUUUUGCUAUGUAAUGAAAAUCCGCGAACAUGAAAUACAACUAGGGUCAAAUUAAAUCUUUUCCAUCUACCCAAAAUGGCCUUCAGAAAAGUUCAUCAAUUUUGGAAUGGGUGAAAACUUCUCCCAAAAAUGAUGCACACAUUUCUAGGACAUUUAUGGAUUUUGGAGUUAAUUCAUAAGUAUUUGAAUUUGUACAAUUAAAUUCUAUAAAUACUUUUAAAUGUCCAAAUAAUCUUGAAAGCAUUUGAGGGCUAUGGGAAAUAAUUUCCCAAGUGCCACAAAUAUUUUGAGCAUUUUACAAAGUGGUUUGACAUUUUUGCUAAAUCAAAACCAAUUGCAGAAAAUAGAAAACAUAAAGAAAUAGAAAGAGAAGGGAGAGAAAGUUACUUGGACCUACCUACUGUGCAGCCCACCUGGCCUGGCCCUGUGCCGGCCCAGCCCACCUCCACCUCCCCUGUCGUCUUCCUCCCUAGGCUAGUAGGCAGAGCGUGUGCUCACCGUGCGCGCACACGCGCCCGAGCCACCUCCUGCCUGGCUGCCUGCGUCCUCGACGCCCUGGACGCCUCCAUGCGUCGCCACGCACCCCCGAACCUCUGCACCUCUCCCCUCUCUUGCUGGACCUUCCCCCUCCUCUGCAUCUUCACACGGCGCCACCGAACGCUGCCGUCGCUGCCGCUUGCUGCUGCCGCGGCCACCGCUUCCCCCUCGACCCCUCGCCGUGCCUGCGAGCCCCGUCUCAACGUCCCCGACCCCCUCGACGGGCCACGAGGCCUCGGAUGCGCUGCAAUGCCGCCACCGAUGCUUUUCCCCUCCUCGGCCGCCGGAGAUUGACCUCGCCGACCCGCUCAGCUCCAGCCUUCCCCGAGCUCGCCGUCUGCACCGUUGCAACCGCCGUAAGCCUCUCCCUCGAACCCCCCUCUGUGUUGUCCCGUUUUCAUGCCAUAGCUCCUAUUUCACUGACGACCAAAGCCCGCCACCGCCAUGGACGUUGAGCCACGCGCUCCCGAGCUUCGCUUGCUCGCGCUAGUGGCACAAACGUGCUCCUGGUGACCCCCAGACGCCGUCUAUGCCCUUGGUUGAGCUCCCCGUGCUCCGCCACGCCGCGCCCGUGCAAACCCGUAGCUGCGCCGCCGCCAAAGCUCGUCGCCGGCGAGAUUCCGGUCGCCCCGCGACCCCCUGUCUGGCCCAUUGGAUGCGCCCGAGCAAGGGCUUCUCCCUGAUGCUUUCUGCACGACAAACCGCGGCCCCUAGCGCUUUCCCGAUGCACGUCCGCCGUGGAAAAUGGUCGCCGGCGGCUGAACGCCGGUGGGUCGACGUGGCAACGUUGUUAACUGCUAAUGACGGGACUAACUAACCCCCUCUCUCACUGACUACUGGGCCCCAUGCCCUUAACUAACACCAGUUUAAUUUCUGUUUAGUUUUAUUUAAUCACAGUGGCCCCACGCGUCGGCGUUGACCUCGCUGACGUGGCCAUUGACUGGCCCCACCUGUCUGUGAUCUAGGCAGCACUUGGUCACUGACUAGUGGACCCCACUGGUCAGAUUUGACCCGGACCAGCCCUGUUGACUUGAUGGCAUCAUCUUGACGUCAGGCUGACAUAGUAAAUACUUUCUGGAAUUUUGAAAUAAAUCAGAAAUGAUUUAUUAUUUUCAGAAAAUGCCCAAAACUUCUAAAAAUCAUAUUAAAUCAACCGUAGCCCAGAAUGAAAUAAAUUAUAUAUGAAAAAUGAUCAGAAAAAUAUGAAGAAUCUGUUUAUGGAAUUCUCAUGCAUGUUUGAACAACUUACUGCCACUGUAUAUGACAAUUUGAAUUAAUGGUAUUUGGAAUGCCUCAUGUGGAGUUAAAAUUUGAAUCUAGUGUUCAAACCAACUCCAUUUGAAUCAUUGCUAGCUGCAUUAGCUCAAAUCAACAGCAUAUUGCCAUGUCAUGAGCAUGCAUCAUAUUGUUGCAUUGCAUUGAUUGUGUUUCCUUCUUUAUUGCCGGAAGUUGUCCCCUCUCGAUAGACGUGGUUUCGACGAUGAGUUCGAUGACACCGAUGAAGAGCUAUACUAUCUUUAGAAGUGCCAGGCAAGCAAAACCCCCUUGUUCAUUCUGAUACAAUCCCACUCUCUUGCUCUUGCUCUCUUUUACUGCAUUAGGACAACAACGAUUCAACUGUUACAUGCUGCGGUAGUUGAACUCCUUUCCUUUGCAUGACCUGUCAUUGCCACAGUAAAUAGAUGAAACUCACUAGCAUGAGUAGGAGUUGUUUGAGCCCUGAUGUGCCUACUCAUUCAUGUUUGCUUGUCAUGCUGCUAUUGCUUAGAGUUGUGUCAGGUCUGAUUCAUCGGGGAUGAAUUGGAAAGUUGUGAACAUGUCCUACUGUGUGUGAGCUAAGUGUGUGAACACGAUUUGGUAAAGGUAGCGGUGAGAGGCCAUGUAGGAGUACAUGGUGGGUUGUCUUAUUGAAACCGUUCUCAGGAACUGAGUUCUGUGUUUGUGAUCCAUGAAACAGCUACUACCACACAUUGGGCCCUGAAAUAUGACCCCGCUCGACUUACUGACCCCUCUCGUCCUCUGUCCAGGAGUUGCAACUAGUUUCUGGUGUUUAUAGGGUAUGUGUUGGCGGCCGUGCCACUACACCACAACCCUUGAUUGGGGGCAAUUAACUGCCGGCAGAAAUAUUAUAGCAAAGACAAAUCAUCUGCCGGGAAUUGUUCUACUGCCGGUAAAAGUACUUAAUGGCAAACAAACUGCCGGCAGAUGUCCAGCAACUAGGGCACUUACACUGCCGGGAACAAUGCUUCACUUCUUAGGAUAGAGUAUGUGCCGUUACACAUGAAACAGGGCACUGUAUCUACCGGGGAUUAUCAUGGGCCGGACCAAACGAAUAUUGGCCCAUACGAGUGAUGGCACGUAAGAGCGCGCGAGAAGCAAAAUUUUCGGUCCAAAAGGAUAAAAUCCCCAAACUCCAUCUCAGAUCGAAAUCGACCGGCCCGUCCACCUCCUCCAAGACCUAGCCGCCUCCUCGACCACCCUCCUUCGCCGCCGCCACCACCGCUGCCCACCCUUCGCGGCUGCCGAGCGCCCUCCACCACAUCCCUGUGCCAGAUCCAUCCCAGACCAUGCCGCCGACCACCGUCCACCACACCCCAGCGCCAACUCCCUCACCGACCACGACGCCGAGCACCCUCCGCUGCCCUGACCACGAUUCGCCACAUACCAGCAACCCCAAGCAGCCAAGCCUCCUCCAUGCGUUCUCCCCUGGAAUCACCCCCACCAGCUCUGCCGCUUCCAGAAGCUCCUCCCUCGAGCAGCACCGCCGCUUCCAGGAGCCCCUGCCCGACCAACGUUGAUGUUCCAGAAGCUCCUUACCCAAGCAGCGCCUCCUUCUCUAGGAGCCUCAGCGCUACCUCGUCGUCCUCUCCCCCAAGCAGAUGCCUGUCCUGCGUUCUUUCCCCUGAGUAGGUCUCGGCUACCUCCGCAGCCCAACCAAUGAGAUUUCUCCGUGUCUUGUGAGUUUGAUUAGUCUCAUCUCUGUGAUUUGUGAGGUUUGGUUUGUGCAUAGAACAACUGCUAUAGUUUUGAAAAUUUCUUGAAUUGUUACUUUGUUAGAUAGAAACUACUCCAAAAUAGAGUUUAAAGAAAUGAGAUUCAAACAUUAGACUCCAAAUGAAGUGAUGGUUUAAUUGAAUGAUUAGGUAGAAAAUACUCAUUGGAGCAAUAGUACCAGCUGAUAUGGUCGUGUUCUGAAAGUAGACCAUGCCGGGCGCCCGUUUGGCGUCUCGGGACCCUGUACACAUCGUUUGGGGCCGUUGAGGACACCCCGGCCGGAUUUCCUUGCGGAUGGAACCCAAAUAGGCCAUAAACCUGGACUAGAGACUUGUGCGGUUAGUCAGAUUGUGGUCUACACCCACGUUGGCUUUCGCUUGAAGUCUGCCGAGCACAUGUCGUGUGUAGACGCUAAGUGGUGGAAACAUGUGUGACGAAGUAUACUCCUGCAGGGUAUAAAACUAUUCGAAUAGCCGCUUCCGCGGUAAAGGACUUCUGGGUUGCCUAUAACAGUUCAUAGACAAGUGAAAGUGGAUACUCUAAAAUGCGCAAGAUAAGCGUGAGUGCUAUGGAUGGCAUUCUCGUAGGGAGACGUGAGCAGAUCCAUAGUGGCGUAUUGAUAUGGUGAAUAUGUGGACUCAUGUGCGCCACCUCAAAAGAGUUACUUGUAGUCGUAGUUUAAGAUAGCCACCGAGUCAAAGCUGGCUUGCUGCAGUUAAACUCCACCACCCCCCUUUGUUGAUACCGAUGCAUAUGUAGCUAGUUCUGAUGUAAGUCUUGCUGAGUACUUUUGUACUCAUGUUUGCUUAAUUUAUGUUUUGCAGAGAGACUUCAGUCUCGCUAGUAGUUUCGCGCGGACUUCAAUGUUUAGCUUGAUACCUCAGCUACGAUCUUGUGCCCUCGGUAGGAUCUGGUAGAUAGUCAGGCUUCUUAGCCUUUUUCAUUUGUAGAUGUCUGUACUCAGACAUGUUAAGCUUCCGCAUGUGCUUUGAUUUGUAUGCUAUGAUUGUUGGGUCAUGAGACCCAUGUUUGUAAUAUCUCGCUCCUCGGAGCCUAAUGAAUAAAUACUUGAGUCGUAGAGUUAUGUUGUGAUGCCAUGUUGUAUUUACACAUAUCGAGCAUAUUGUGUGUAUGAUUGAAAUGCUUGGUAUGUGUGGGAUCCGACAAUCUAGUUGUUUAUCAUUGGCAGCCUCUCUUAUGGGGAAAUGUAGUCUAGUGCUUCCAUGAGCCAUAGUAGUCCGCUACAGCCCGGGUCACCGGAGUCCUGCUAGCCCAGCACUACUGCUCAGGACACUUGACUGGCUGGCAUGUGUUUCACUUCGUUCCUGUGUCUGUCCCUUCGGGGAAAUGUCACGCAGUGACAUCCGGAGUCCUGCCUAGCCUGCUAUAGCCCGGGUUCCCGGAGUCCUGUUAGCCUAGUGCUACAGCCCGGAUUCACACGCUACUGACCGACAUGCUCGAUGUGAUUCAUGUAUGCCUGUCCCCAUAGGUUGGUGCCGCUUUGGGUUCACGACUAGCCAUGUCGGCCCGAGUUUUUUUGUCAUAUGGAUGCUAGCGACACUAUCAUAUACGUGAGCCAAAAGGCACAAAUGGUCCCGGGCCAUGGUAAGGCGACACCCGUGGGAAUACCGUGCGUGAGGCCGCAAAGUGAUAUGAGGUGUUACCGGCUAGAUCGAUGUGACUUGAAAUCGAGGUCCUAACAAACUUACCGUCUAUUCAUCAACAGUCGCGGCAGUACAGCGAACACGAGACGUGAAAAAGAAUAAAUCUACACGUGCUUAGACCACCUAGUAUGACUAUUAGGACUAGAGCAAGCCAAAAAGCGCGCCGCCGUCACCCACUCCUUAUCGGCGACGGGAAAACCUUUGUUUUACACAGUAGAGAAGUCAUUGUGCUAAGGCCUCACAUGUUGAGGCGUUGAAUAGAAUGUAGAUGAUAGUUUAUGGAAAUAAGUAUCGAUAAUACGUUUGUAUCUCCAUACUUAUAUUUCUUCUCUUAUAAAACAUCGAGUUGGCGAUGAUGGUACGCAUGCCAUCUUGCAAUAUAGACCGUCCGAUCUUUAUCUGACUGAUGGAAAUUAAACUAAAAAAUACCCGCACCCCUCUCCACAUUUGCAGACAAGGCCUUCCCUCAUUCAUCCUUAUCUCCAACAACCUCAUUGUUGAGCAAUUAAGAAAGGAAGCCUCUGGAACAAACUGGCCUGGUGGCCGCUGCCGGCGUCAUCAAUCCCCAUGCUUCCGCUCAGUCCGACCACCAAUCACCACCAAGCCCCACUCCUCUUCACCUUAUCUCCUAUUUCUCGAGAUAUCAUUAGUUUUUACACAUGGGAUUACUCCCGCAUGGGUGAAUCACAACGAGUGUUUUUAUAAAAAAUGCAUCUUGAUGUUCCGUGCAAUGCACGGAUCUUGCUAGUACUCCUACAGAAGACUAAGUUGGUGAUGAUGGUGUGUCUACUAUCCGUCGUUUGUGACCAUUAGAUCUACAUCUAACGACUGUGAGGUAAGUUGUUGCCUUUUCUCACAAACAUCCCACUUGUCUACCAAUUUUUAGAAAAACCCAUAAUUAGUAUCUUAAAACCAACCACAUCCCUCCCUGACCUCACCAAAACAACCCAAGGAAUAUAUUCUAAUUGAAACAUAAUAUAUCUCUAGUGAUACAUGUAUAUCAAAAUUAGAGUGUUUUGUAUCAAGUUUGUGAAUAAGCCUUAUUCUAAUUAUGAUUCGUUGCAACGCACAUGAACAUUGCUAGUAUUUCCAACCAUGCAAAUUUUUUCCCUAGUAUUCCAUAGUUUCGAGUUUUCCAUCAAGAUAUUAGUCACUCAUGGUUGAUAUUUACUUUCAAUCAUGUACACAUAUGCACUAUGUAACUAGCCUUGCUUAUUGGGUUCCAAAGCUUAACUUUCACUCCUACUUACAAUAAGUAGAGUAUUUCACAAAAAGCUACCACUUUCAACCAGCCCUAGGAAGAAUCUAUUGUACAAAAAAUAGUAAAAACAUACCCAAAAUUUCUUAAUCCACGCAAAAACUACUACCUACCGAUUAGGUUAGUUUAAACCCAUUUAUGACAGGGUUGGCCCACACGUCCCUGCUGAUGAGGCAGCUCAAACCAACACAUUUUGUUUGACCGUUGACACGAGGGACCCACAUUUGACCUUCUAUCCUGUUAUUCCCCCUCAAAUCAUUAUUUUUCCUGAACAUUACUUCAAACCGUACUGAUGUGUGUUCGUCGGUGGCGCCGGUGAUGAGCGAGUUGGCCGCUGCUCCGCCGGACGGGCUGGACGCCGUGCUGGCCUCCGCACGGGUUGGCAGGCUGGCCCGAGCGUGACUCACGAGCGAGCAAGCCGCCGCGCUGGCCUUCGCUUAAGCCAGAUGGAUGGCCUUAGCGCGGCGCGCACGAACAAGCCGCCGCGCCGCCGUGCCAAUCUAGCUAACAAACCUUACAGACAAGCAGCUGGACGGAGCUAUCUUGGCUAGCUAGCAGCCGCGAGCGCCGGACGGAGCUGGCAUCCGGGCUGCCGCAAGAUGGGCUCCGCACCGCCGGCGGUUUUGACCUCGCCUUCUGCCGGCGGCGGUAGUUGCGUCCCAUGGCCGAGGAUGACUAGGUGGAUGGGCCGGAGGUAGGAGGUCACUCGGGGAUUUUUGUGCAGACUGACAUGUAGGUCCCACAAGUCAUAACGCCUGGUCGAAUAGAAAGCGUUGACUUAAUGGGCGACAUGGGCCCUGUUUGGAUACUCUAAGUCAGAUGUUAGAUUCUAACCCUGAACUAACUCUAACCAAAGUGGUGUUUGGAUGGCAGGGUUAGAUUGACAACAAAUGUAUCCAAACAGGGCCAUGGGUUGAAACGUGCCUAUAACGACACUUUGUAGAGUAGUCGUUUCUUGGUAGGGCUGGUUGGUAAGAGCAUGUACAAUGGUUGAGAAGGUAGUCUUAUCUUAAGUCUGCCACAUAUGCAUGUGGUAUUAGUUUCUUGGCAUUAUUAGUGCUUUCUUGCAUUAUUAGGGGUUUCUUGUAAGGCUACUCAUAGUGGGGAGUAUCAUAUGCUAGUAACAUGCGUAUGAUACUAGUGUAUGAUACUACCUCCAUAGUGCAUAGUAUCAUAAACUAGUAUCAUAAUUGAUCAUAUUUAUUGCCAUGCAUGACACAAAAUAGCACAUCAUUUAACAUGAUACGAUAUCUACCUAUGUUACUAUAACACUCUCUCUCUUCUUUAUUUAUGUGCCACAUAAACAUGUUUGCUAGUCCCAAGUGCAUGUUACCACUUAUGUUACCCCCACUAUGGCCAGCCUAAGGAACAAUGUACUGCUAGCGACAAAAGGCGAUUCUAGGUUGCGUUGUACUCCAACGAGUACUACUACUGGUCGCGGGAGUGUAUACCUCGUUUUGUGGGUUCGAUCCCGGCCGAACGCACGGCGGUCUUUUUUUUAAAAUAGUAACUUUGCUGCGAGCCAAUAUUUUACACGGGUAGUUUGAGUUUUGAAGUCAAACGGACAUGUGGCACCACAAUCUGGGUGCACUGGAUAGCCUAGCCACGUGAAUGGGUUUUCCUUCCCAGCAUCUCGUGGCUUGCAUGCUCGCCCUAGCCGCACCUCGCUUGUAGCUUCCUCAUCAGCUAGUAGCAUAUUUAAUCUAGCGCCUCCCAAUUAAGCCCGAGGAGCCGGAAAAGCCUGGCGGGGCAUUGGGAACUGUGCAAUAUGGCUCUGUACGUAAAGUGCUCUACUACUACUCUGUAGCUUGUGGCGUUGCACGCAUGGACUUCACUCCAUUAUUGGCUCUACUAUAAAAGAAAUUCCUCUUGACGUGUUUUUUAAAUGGAGGCAAAAGCUUUGCUUCAUCUCAUUCAUAAAGAAGGAACUACUAACAAAGUUCGACGAGAUCCAUUACGCCUCCACAAAUGGAAGCGGAAAGCCUAGUCUCGCUGUAUCAAAUAACUCAAAUGUUCUGCCCCCGUAGUAACCGUCGCUGAUAAACAGGCUGCUAGUGUGUGCAUGAGAGGAGCGGCUGAGUAGGCUAGCUACGUGAGAGGAGCGGCUAAAUAGAGCACCGAGAGUACCCACUAGGCCACUACGCAGGUGUACUUUCCCUGCAUUGAUAGUACGUCGAUGGUUCUAGAGAACAAUAGUACCCCCCACUUCCAACUGUAGCUCCUUGGCCCUGAGAUUGAAGAGUUCAAAACUGGUGCACUAUACUAGAAGUACAGUACAUAGUACUAGUAGUAUCCUCGCACUACUAGUUGAGAAAGUAGUACUAGUACUGCUACAGUACGAGUACGUACUCCUCCGUCGCAUAAUGUAAGACAUUUUUUGACACUAGUUGGCGUGUACAAAAAAUAGCAAAAACGUACCCAAAAUUUCUUAAUCCACGCCAAAAACUACUAGCUUACUACGCUCUACAGUUGGAAGGGACGAGGCCCUGCGGUUACUACGCUCUUAUCUCCUCCUCGCCAAUUCCCCUCCUCCCAAAGAGAAGGCAGUUCGUCGCUGCUCCCAUGGAUUCGCCAGGCGGUUCUCCUCCUCGUCGGGGCUGGGAGACCUUGGACGACGCUCCUCUGGGAGAAAUCGCACGCCGCUCCGACGUCCUCACCGCCGCAAGACUCGGUGCUUCCUGCACCAACUAUUUCAAGACGGUGCUUAAAAUGGCUUGGGAAAAGGCCAUGCUUGUUGGUCUUCCAUGCGUCCUCGAGGAGAAGGUUCUUCUAUGGGACAAUCCUUCGAGCAGUCCACCGCUCCCUGGCCAUGGUUGCACGUUGACUCCGCUAGAGUUGCCGAUGUUGAGAGGUAGCCGGAUUUUGUCCGAUGAGCAGGCCAGUAAUGGAUUUUGAUCAUGCAGUACUUAGUUAUUCCAUUUCCAUCCCGUAAUUUCUCCACUGCCCACCGUCUUAUAUAUAGGCCUGGAUCGGUGCCAACGAAGAUUGGCUUGCAUACCGGCCGGAUACCACCAUCAUUUUGCACAACAUCCACAGCAGUGCGGCCGUUCCCGUAGACCCCUUCUCCACCAUUGGGAUCGGCCUUCCGGACUGGCUGGGCUUGAAUAUGUAUGAUGAUGCCUACAUGAGAUUGAAGAAGAUAGCAAUUGCAGACCCGCCGACAAAGCGAUGCGGCUACGACGAUUACUAUCUCAUCGCGGUGUUCGACAUAAGGAUUGCCAUCAAUGCAAGAGGCAGUAACGACAGAGGCUGGCGCAUGUUGGCGGCGGCAGAUUUGUACCCUUACAUGUUUGAAGACACCAUGCGCCAUCUAGGCUGCAUCUUCGCGGUGACAAGACAGGGGACUUGUUUCAUCUGGUUGCCAUCCUACGGUACGGGAGAUUACAAAUGGAAUGCACAAACCAUCAUUUGCAUCCCUAACUGUACUCCAUUAUUUUACAGGGACCAGUCAUCCCACGAUCAAAAUAAGAUCGCCGAUCCUGGAUGUGCAUUUGCAUCCGCGAUUCGGUCUAACCUGGAACCUUGUAGCUGACUUUGGCAUAUUGGGAUCAACUAUCUUAGCAGUCGUUACCCAUGAUACCACUGAUGUGCAACAUGGUCACACAAUCUGUUGGGGAACGUAGCAGAAAUUCAAAAAAUUUCCUACGUAACACCAAGAUCUAUCUAUGGAGAGACCAGCAACGAGUAGAAGGGAGAGUGCAUCUACAUACCCUUGUAGAUCGCUAAGCGGAAGCGUUCAAGUGAACGGGGUUGAUGGAGUCGUACUCGUCGUGAUUCAGAUCACCGAUGAUCAAGUGCCGAACGGACAGCACCUCCGCGUUCAACACACGUACAGCCCGGUGACGUCUCCCACGCCUUGAUCCAGCAAGGAGAGAGGGAGAGGUUGAGGAAGACUCCAUCCAACAGCAGCACAACGGCGUGGUGGUGAUGGAGGAGCGUGGCAAUCCUGCAGGGCUUCGCCAAGCACCUACGGGAGAGGAGGAGGUGUCACGGGAGGGAGGGAGGCGCCAAGGGCUCAGGUAUGGAUGCCCUCCCUUCCCUCCACUAUAUAUAGGGGCAGGGGAGAGGGGGGAGGCGCAGCCUUGCCCCCUACUCCAAGCAAGGGGUGCGGCUAAGGAGGGGGGAGGAGUCCAUCCUCCCCAAGGCACCUUGGAGGUGCCUUCCCCCUUUAGGACUCUCCCCUUUUUCCUUUAUCUUGGCGCAUGGGCCUUUAGGGGCUGGUGCCCUUGGCCCAUGUAGGCCAAGGCGCACCCCCUACAGCCCAUGUGGCCCCCCGGGGCAGGUGGCCCCACCCGGUGGGCCCCCGGGACCCUUCCGGUGGUCCCGGUACAAUACCGAUGACCCCGAAACUUGUCCCGAUGGCCGAAACAGGACUUCCUAUAUAUAAAUCUUUACCUCCGGACCAUUACGGAACUCCUCAUGACGUCCGGGAUCUCAUCCGGGACUCCGAACAACAUUCGGUAACCACAUACAAGCUUCCUUUAUAACCCUAGCGUCAUCGAACCUUAAGUGUGUAGACCCUACGGGUUCGGGAGACAUGCAGACAUGACCGAGACGUUCUCCGGUCAAUAACCAACAGCGGGAUCUGGAUACCCAUGUUGGCUCCCACAUGUUCCACGAUGAUCUCAUCGGAUGAACCACGAUGUCAAGGACUCAAUCGAUCCCGUAUACAAUUCCCUUUGUCUAUCGGUAUGUUACUUGCCCGAGAUUCGAUCGUCGGUAUCCAAUACCUUGUUCAAUCUCGUUACCGGCAAGUCACUUUACUCGUUCCGUAACACAUCAUCCCAUGAUCAACUCCUUGGUCACAUUGCGCAUAUGAUGAUGUCCUACCGAGUGGGCCCAGAGAUACCUCUCCGUUUACAUGGAGUGACAAAUCCCAGUCUCGAUUCGUGCCAACCCAACAGACACUUUCGGAGAUACCUGUAAUGCACCUUUAUAGCCACCCAGUUACGUUGUGACGUUUGGUACACCCAAAGCAUUCCUACGGUAUCCGGGAGUUGCACAAUCUCAUGGUCUAAGGAAAAGAUACUUGACAUUGGCAAAGCUCUAGCAAAUGAACUACACGAUCUUUUGUGCUAGUCUUAGGAUUGGGUCUUGUCCAUCACAUCAUUCUCCUAAUGAUGUGAUCCCGUUAUCAACGACAUCCAAUGUCCAUAGCCAGGAAACCAUGACUAUCUGUUGAUCACAACGAGCUAGUCAACUAGAGGCUCACUAGGGACAUAUUGUGGUCUAUGUAUUCACACGUGUAUUACGAUUUCCGGAUAAUACAGUUAUAUCAUGAAUAAAAGACAAUUAUCAUGAACAAGGAAAUAUAAUAAUAAUACUUUUAUUAUUGCCUCUAGGGCAUAUUUCCAACAGUCUCCCACUUGCACUAGAGUCAAUAAUCUAGUUCACAUCGCCAUGUGAUUAACACUCACAGGUCACAUCGCCAUGUGACUAAUACCCAAGAGUUUACUAGAGUCAGUAGUCUAGUUCACAUCACUAUGUGAUUAACACUCAAUGAGUUUUAUGUUUGAUCAUGUUGCUUGUGAGAGAGGUUUUAGUCAACGGGUCUGAACCUUUCAGAUCCGUGUGUGCUUUACAAAUCUCUAUGUCAUCUCCUAGAUGCAGCUACCACGCUCUAUUUGGAGCUAUUCCAAACAACUGUUCUACUUGGAGCUAUUCUAAAUUAUUGCUCCAUUAUAUGUAUCCGGUCUCUCUACUCAGAGCUAUCUGGAUAGGUGUCAAGCUUGCAUCGUCAUAACCCUUUACGACGAACUCUUUUACCACCUCCAUAAUUGAGAAAAAUUCCUUAGUCCACUAGUUACUAAGGAUAACUUUGACCGCUGUCCUGUGAGCCAUUCUUGGAUCACUCUUGUACCCCUUGACUGACUCAUGGCAAGGCACACUUCAGGUGCGGUACACAGCACAACAUACUAUAGAGCCUACGUCUGAAGCAUAGGGGACGACCUUCGUCCUUUCUCUCUAUUCUGCCGUGGUCGAGCUUUAAGUCUUAACUUCGUACCUUACAAUUCAGGCAAGAACUUCUUCUUUGACUGAUUCAUCUUGAAUACCUUCAAGAUCAUGUCAAGGUAUGUGCUCAUUUGAAAGUACCAUUAAGCGUUUUGAUCUAUCCUUAUAGAUUUUGAUGCUCAAUGUUCAAGUAGCUUAAUCCAGGUUUUCUAUUGAAAAACACUUUCAAAAUAACCCUAUAUGCUUUCCAGAAAUUCUACGUCAUUUCUGAUCAACAAUAUGUCAACAACAUAUACUCAUCAGAAAUUCUAUAGUGCUCCCACUCACUUCUUUGGAAAUACAAGUUUCUCAUAAACUUUGUACAAACCCAAAAUCUUUGAUCAUCAAAGCAUACAUUCCAACUCCGAGAUGCUCACUCCAGUCCUUAGAAGGAUCGCUGGAGCCAGCAUACCUUUUAGCAUCCUUAGGAUCGACAAAAACUUUCUGAUUGUAUUACAUACAACCUUUCCUCACGAAAACCGGUAAGGAAACUCGUUUUGACAUCCAUCUGCCAGAUUUCAUAAAUACAGCUAAUGCUAACAUGAAUCCGACGGACUUAAGCAUCGCUACGGAUGAGAAAAUCUCAUCGUAUUCAACUCCUUGAACUUGUGAAAAACUUUUCACCACAAGUCGAGCUUCAUGGAUGGUGACAUUACCAUCCACGUCCGUCUUCUUCUUAAAGGAUCCAUUUAUCUCAAUGGAUUGCCGAUCAUCGGGCAAGUCCAUCAAAGUCCAUGCUUUGUUCUGAUAUAUGGAUACUAUCUCGGAUUUCAUGGCUUCUAACCAUUUGUCGGAAUUCGGCCCACCAUUGCUUCUCCAUAGCUCGUAGGUUCAUUGUUGUCCAGCAACAUGACUUCCAAGACAGGAUUACGUACCACUCUUAAGUAGUAUGUAUCCUUGUCACCCCACGAGGUUUGGUAGUGACUUGAUCCGAAGUUUCAUGAUCAAUAUCAUAAGCUUCCACUUCAAUUGGUGUAGGUGCCACAGGAACAACUUCCUGUGCCCUGCCACACACUAGUUGAAGAGACGGUUCAAUAACCUCAUCAAGUCUCCACCAUCCUCCCACUCAACUCUUUCGAGAGAAGCUUUUCCUCGAGAAAGGACCCGAUUCUAGAAACAAUCCAUAUUGCUUUCGAAUCUGAAUUAGGAGGUAUACCCAACUGUUUUGGGUUUCCUAUGAAGAUGCAUUUUAUCCGCUUUGGGUUCGAGCUUAUCAACCUGAAACUUUUUCACAUAAGCAGCCCCAAACCUUUAAGAAACGACAACUUAGGUUUCUCUAAACCAUAAUUCAAACGGUGUCGUCUCAACGGAAUUAUGUGGUGCCCUAUUUAAAGUGAAUGUGGUUGUCUCUAAUGCCUAACCCAUGAAUGACAGUGGUAAUUCGAUAAGAGACAUCAUGGUAUGCAUCAUAUCCAAUAGGGUGCAGUUAUGAUGUUCGGACACAUCAUCACACUAUGGUGUUCCAGGCUGUAUUAGUUGUGAAACUAUUUCCACAAUGUCUUAAUUCUGUGCCAAACUCGUAAUUCAGAUAUUCAUCUCUAUGAUCGUAUCAUAGACAUUUUAUCCUCUUGUCACAAUGAUCUUCUACUUCACUCUGAAAUUACUUGAACCAUUCAAUAAUUCAGACUUGUGUUUCAUCAAGUAAAUAUUCUCAACAUCUACUCGAAUCAUCUGUGAAGUAAGAACAUAACGAUAUUCACUGCAUGCCUUAGCACUCAUUGGACUGCACACAUCAAAAUGUGUUACUUCCUACAAGUUGCUAUCUUGUUCCAUCUUACUGAAAACGAGGCUUUUCAGUCAUCUUGCCCAUGUGGUAUGAUUUGCAUAUCUCAAGUGAUUCAAAAUCAAGUGAGUCCAAACGAUCCAUUUGCAUGGAGUUUCUUCAUGCAUAUACACCAAUAGACAUGGUUUGCAUGUCUCAAACUUUUCAAAACGAGUGAGUCCAAAGAUCCAUCAACAUGGAGCUUCUUCAUGCGUUUUAUACCAUUAUGACUUACAUGGCAGUGCCACAAGUAAGUGGUACUAUCAUUACUAUCUUAUAUCUUUUGGCAUGAACAUGUGUAUCACUACGAUCGAGAUUCAAUAAACCAUUCAUUUUAGGUGUAAGACCAUUGAAGGUAUUAUUCAAAUAAAUAGAGUAACCAUUAUUCUCCUUAAAUGAAUAACCGUAUUGCGAUAGACAUAAUCCAAUCAUGUCUAUGCUCAACGCAAACACCAAUCUCGAUGGUAGAGGGAGCGUGCGAUGCUUGAUCAUAUCAACAUUGGAAACACUUCCAACACAUAUCGUCAGCUCACCUUUAGCUAGUCUCCGUUUCUUCCGUAGCUUUUAUUUGGAGUUACUAACACUUAGCAACCGAACCGGUAUCUUAUACCCUGGUGCUACUAGGAGUACUAGUAAAGUACACAUUAACAUAAUGUAUAUCCAAUAUACUUCUAUCGACCUUGCCAGCCUUCUCAUCUACCAAGUAUCUAGGGUAAUCCUGCUCUAGUGGUUGUUCCCCUUAUUUACAGAAGCACUUAGUCUCGGGUUUGGGUUCAACCUCGGGUUUCUUCAUUGGUGCAGCAGCUGAUUUGCCGUUUCAUGAAGUAUCCCUUCUUGCCCUUGCCCUUCUUGAAACUAGUGGUUUUACUAACCAUCAACGAUUGAUGCUCCCUUUUGAUUUCUACUUUCGCGGAGUUAAACAUCGCGAAUAUCUCAAGGAUCAUCAUAUAUGUCCUUGAUAUAUUAUAGUUCAUCACGAAGCUCUAGCAGCUUGGUGGUAAUGACUUCGGAGGAACUAUCACUAUUUCAUCUGGAAGAUUAACUCCCACUUGAUUCAAGUGAUUGUUGCACUCAGACAAUCUGAGCACAAGCUCAACGAUUGAGCUUUUCUCCCUUAGUUUGCAGGCUAAGAAAAUCGCCGGAGGUCUCAUACCUCUUGACGUGGGCACGAGCCUGAAAUCCCAAUUUCAGCCCUCGAAACAUCUCAUAUGUUCCGCGACGUUUCGAAAACGUCUUUGGUGCCUCUACUUAAACCAUUUAACUGAACUAUCACGUAGUUAUCAAAACGUGUAUGUUCGAUGUUCGAAACAUCCACAAACGAUGUUUGGGGUUCAGCACACUAAGCGGUGCAUUAAGGACAUAAGCUUUCUACUGAUCGCAUAAUCGCUACUGUCAACUUUCAACUAUAUUUUCUCUAGGAACAUAUCUAAAACAGUAGAACUAUAGCGUGAGCUACGACAUAAUUUGCAAAAGGUCUUUUGACUAUGUUCAAGAUAAUUAAGUUCAUCUUAUGAACUCCCACUCAGAUAGACAUCCCUCUGGUCAUCUAAGUGAUUACAUGAUCCGAGUCAACUAGGCCGUGUCCGAUCAUCACGUGAGACGGACUAGUCAUCAUCGGUGAACAUCUUCAUGUUGAUCGUAUCUACUAUACGACUCAUGCUCGACCUUUCAGUCUCCGUGUUCCGAGGCCAUGUCUGCACAUGCUAGGCUCGUCAAGUUAACCCUAAGUGUUUUCGCUGUGUAAAACUGUCUUACACCCGUUGUAUGUGAACGUAAGAAUCCAUCACACCCGAUCAUCACGUGGUGCUUAGAAGCGACGAACUGUAGCAACGGUGCACAGUUAGGGGAGAAUACUUCUUGAAAUUGUUGUAAGGGAUCAUCUUAUUUACUACCGUCGUUCUAAGCAAACAAGAUGCAUAAACAUGAUAAACAUCACAUGCAAUCAAAUAGUGACAUGAUAUGGCCAAUAUCAUUUUGCUCCUUUUGAUCUUCAUCUUCGGGGCUCCAUGAUCAUCAUCGUCACCGGCACGACACCAUGAUCUCCAUCAUCAUGAUCUCCAUCAUCGUGUCUUCAUGAAGUUGUCACGCCAACGACUACUUCUACUUCUAUGACUAACGCGUUUAGCAAUAAAGUAAAGUAGUUUACAUGGCGUUCUUCAAUGACACGCAGGUCAUACAAAAAAUAAAGACAACUCCUAUGGCUCCUGCCGGUUGUCAUACUCAUCGACAUGCAAGUCGUGAAUCCUAUUACAAGAACAUGAUCAAUCUCAUACAUCACAUAUAUCAUUCAUCACAUCUUUUUGGCCAUAUCACAUCACAUAGCAUACCCUGAAAAAACAAGUUAGACGUCCUCUAAUUGUUGUUGCAUGUUUUACGUGGCUGCUAUGGGUUUCUAGCAAGAACGUUUCUUACCUACGCAAGACCACAACGUGAUAUGCCAAUUGCUAUUUACCCUUCAUAAGGACCCUUUUCAUCGAAUCCGUUCCGACUAAAGUGGGAGAGACUGGCACCCGCUAGCCACCUUAUGCACCAAGUGCAUGUCAAUCGGUGGAACCUGUCUCACGUAAGAGUACGUGUAAGGUCGGUCCGGGCCGCUUCAUCCCACAAUACCGUCGAAACAAGAUUGGACUAGUAACGGUAAGCAUAUUGAACAACAUCAACGCCCACAACUACUUUGUGUUCUACUCGUGCAAAGAAUCUACGCAAUAGACCUAGCUCAUGAUGCCACUGUUGGGGAACGUAGCAGAAAUUCAAAAAAUUUCCUACGUAACACCAAGAUCUAUCUAUGGAGAGACCAUCAACGAGUAGAAGGGAGAGUGCAUCUACAUACCCUUGUAGAUCGCUAAGCGGAAGCGUUCAAGUGAACGGGGUUGAUGGAGUCGUACUCGUCGUGAUUCAGAUCACCGAUGAUCAAGUGCCGAACGGACAGCACCUCCGCGUUCAACACACGUACAGCCCGGUGACGUCUCCCACGCCUUGAUCCACCAAGGAGAGAGGGAGAGGUUGAGGAAGACUCCAUCCAACAGCAGCACAACGGCGUGGUGGUGAUGGAGGAGCGUGGCAAUCCUGCAGGGCUUCGCCAAGCACCUACGGGAGAGGAGGAGGUGUCAUGGGAGGGAGGGAGGCGCCAAGGGCUCAGGUAUGGAUGCCCUCCCUUCCCUCCACUGUAUAUAGGGGCAGGGGAGAGGGGGGAGGCGCAGCCUUGCCCCCUACUCCAAGCAAGGGGUGCGGCUAAGGAGGGGGGAGGAGUCCAUCCUCCCCAAGGCACCUUGGAGGUGCCUUCCCCCUUUAGGACUCUCCCCCUUUUCCUUUAUCUUGGCGCAUGGGCCUUUAGGGGCUGGUGCCCUUGGCCCAUGUAGGACAAGGCGCACCCCCUACAGCCCAUGUGGCCCCCCGGGGCAGGUGGCCCCACCCGGUGGGCCCCCGGGACCCUUCCGGUGGUCCCGGUACAAUACCGAUGACCCCGAAACUUGUCCCGAUGGCCGAAACAGGACUUCCUAUAUAUAAAUCUUUACCUCCGGACCAUUACGGAACUCCUCAUGACGUCCGGGAUCUCAUCCGGGACUCCGAACAACAUUCGGUAACCACAUACAAGCUUCCUUUAUAACCCUAGCGUCAUCGAACCUUAAGUGUGUAGACCCUACGGGUUCGGGAGACAUGCAGACAUGACCGAGACGUUCUCCGGUCAAUAACCAACAGCGGGAUCUGGAUACCCAGGUUGGCUCCCACAUGUUCCACGAUGAUCUCAUCGGAUGAACCACGAUGUCAAGGACUCAAUCGAUCCCGUAUACAAUUCCCUUUGUCUAUCGGUAUGUUACUUGCCCGAGAUUCGAUCGUCGGUAUCCAAUACCUUGUUCAAUCUCGUUACCGGCAAGUCACUUUACUCGUUCCGUAACACAUCAUCCCAUGAUCAACUCCUUGGUCACAUUGCGCAUAUGAUGAUGUCCUACCGAGUGGGCCCAAAGAUACCUCUCCGUUUACAUGGAGUGACAAAUCCCAGUCUCGAUUCGUGCCGACCCAACAGACACUUUCGGAGAUACCUGUAAUGCACCUUUAUAGCCACCCAGUUACGUUGUGACGUUUGGUACACCCAAAGCAUUCCUACGGUAUCCGGGAGUUGCACAAUCUCAUGGUCUAAGGAAAAGAUACUUGACAUUGGCAAAGCUCUAGCAAAUGAACUACACGAUCUUUUGUGCUAGUCUUAGGAUUGGGUCUUGUCCAUCACAUCAUUCUCCUAAUGAUGUGAUCCCGUUAUCAACGACAUCCAAUGUCCAUAGCCAGGAAACCAUGACUAUCUGUUGAUCACAACGAGCUAGUCAACUAGAGGCUCACUAGGGACAUAUUGUGGUCUAUGUAUUCACACGUGUAUUACGAUUUCCGGAUAAUACAGUUAUAGCAUGAAUAAAAGACAAUUAUCAUGAACAAGGAAAUAUAAUAAUAAUACUUUUAUUAUUGCCUCUAGGGCAUAUUUCCAACACAAUCUACCACGAUCGGACCGUCAUCAUCUACCCAGGUAUUCCAUUUUUUAAUCCUCUCGCCUUCUCUUUCACUGUUGUACCAGUACUCUACUUACGUACUAGUAGGAGUACUUUUUACCUUGGAGGACGCGUAUAGCUAGCUAGGCCCUUGAAGACUUGAACCCACAAGCUGCCACCAUUUUUGUUUUUCCAUGUCUUACUAUCUCAUCCAUGUAGCCAACAGUGGCUAUAUAUAAUAAGGCGGUUAUUUUACUUCCUCUAUACCAGAGUAGUACUAUUUUCUAAUUACUGACUGCCACAUUUGAGCACAACAUUAUUAUGCAUGGACCUUGACUAUGUAUGUCACCACGUGUCCAGAUCUGAGAUGCCGCGUGUACUGGAUGAGCGGCGCCGAGUUUGAUCCCCGUGAUGCUACGUGGGUGCCGAGGAAUACUCUUGGAGAGUACUCACUUUUCAUUGGGGAUAGCUACCCCAUUGUGAAGCGGAUGCCACCUUUCGUGCACGACAUGGAAGGCCUGCCGUUCAUGAAGCAUGGUUGUGUCUUCAGUGCGCACCGCCGGAUGAAUGACAUGUAGGGGCAUGCUAUCCCUGAUUUAUGCCGCUUCAACUUGGAUGAGUCUCCAUCGUGUGCAACCGGACUAGAAAGCUGCGAUAAUGAUUCCCAUUGCCCACCGCUAUGGAUCGUGCCAUCCAUGAAGAACACCUGGGACUGGAACCUGGAGGAGGACAUGUAGCCCAUCUAUAACGUACAAGUGGAGUAUGGUAAAUUGUGAACGGUAGUGCUGUGAAUAUAUCUAGACUAGUCGUGCACAAAUUUAUCACAUGAAUUGGAGAUGAACUUGUGUGGCAUACUGGCAUUUGUCCUUUAGAAUUUAUUACUAGUAAAUGUGUUAUGUGAACGUGCAACUUGUGUGGUUGUUGCACGGGCUCCAACACACUCUUUGAGAAAAAAAAGGUGGCACAGUUUUGGAUAUACGUGACGUGGCGGCAUCAUACAGUAGCAUCGUUCGCUAUAGUUGUUGUACGCUCCUACUAGGACAACAACUCCUAUAAAACCUUGCGCUUGACUCUUUGCCUCUUCGCGAGGUUCAACAGUUCGUACUCGUGUGAACCUUGCACUUGGCUCUUCGCCUCUUCAGAAGGUCCAACAAUGAUGAUACUACAGUACACAUUAUGCUUCUGGAAAUUUGACACCGAUUGAACUGCUGCACGUCCACCGCGAGGGCGAGGGAGAGGGAGAGGGCGCUGUAGUCAAAAUGCUCUCCUCGUCAUGCGAACCACCGUGCGCGUGGGCGAGGGAGAGGCGUAGUAAGCUAGCUUCUCCUCGUUUGGCGAGUUGACAGGAUACAUCAAAGCAGUACUAGUACUAGUCCAUACUGCGUCCUUUCCGGUUAAUAUCGCUUAAUUUGAAACAAGAAAAAUACACUGGCGGUCAAUGUAUGUAACAAUACGCUCUUUACGGUCACUAUAUAUAGUUUUGCGGUGAUUAUACGAUCACUAGCUCAUCAUAGAGCACCGUAUUGCACCCUACUGACAGACCACAUAGUCGACAUGGCACUUUGUUGACUGGUUAAAUUGUCACCUGGUUUCUGGGGCCCACCUGUCAGUUGGCAGAGCAAAGAAAUCAGCUAAAAAACAAAGAGUGUAGUACAUCUAUACUUCCAAUGCAUUUAGCCUUUAAUCUAAAUCGAUAUUGAUUGACUAAUGCACCAACUUGUGCUCUAGGUAUAGGAUACUUGUCUAUCCUUAAUUAUAGCAUGCAACGAUCUUCAUUUAAUCUUCUUCUCUCAAUGGUCGCAUGCACACAUAAGUCUGCUACUUUUGGGCAUUAAUUAUGCCCUGGUCAAUGUGUAAAUCUCUAUAUGUACGGUCUUUCACGGACGUAGGGAGUAGGUUGAGCACUUGAGCGUGAGCAUGUGUGUUGCGUCGUGUGCUGUGUGCCGCAUGGGUGCGUAAGUGUUGCGUGCGUCCAUGUGUACGUGUGAGUGUUGCAUGUUGCAUGCAUGCAUGCAUGCAUGGGGCUUACUCCCUCCCAUUGACAUGUUCAUAUUUCAAGCUUCCUCUGUUCCCUCCAUAUGGCGACACUCCCUCUGUUCCCAAAUACGAAGUAAAAUCCUCCCUCUGUUCCCAAGUAUAGAGUAUUUGUCUUUCUAGAGAUUUCAACAAGUGACUACGUACGGAGCAAAAUGAGUGGAGUGAGCGUAGACGCAGAGGGAUAAUGUAGAAAGGAAGUCUUCGCGAUCCAUUAUUUCCCAUCUCGGUCAGAGAGAACUAUUCAACUAGUCUUCAUAGUGAAGUGACAACACACGCUGCAGCAGAUGGGACACUUAAUUAAUAAGAUGAACCAGCGUGUUGGUGUUACUAAAUCAGCCUUACCCAAUACUGCCAUCAUGUUUGCCAGUAGAGCACGCUUCUAUCCUCCAUUAACUGACAUAUGGGCCCUCUUGUGGUAGACCCACAUGUCAUCGGUGUAACUAUUUACACUCCGAAGGACGGUAUAUCCUGGUAGUAGUAGUAGAAUUGAGGUUUAAUGCACUUUCUUCCCCGUCUUCCACUCUUCUUCCUCCUCUCUUCUUCUUCCUCCUCUCUUCCCCAUCGCCGACCGCACACCAUUUCCCCCCGUUCAAUGCUCGCCCACCCACGCUAUGUUCCUUGGUAGCUCGCGCGUACCAUAUCCCCCCGCUCACUGCUCGGCCAUGCGAGGAGAAGCUUCUUCGCUCGCCCGCCCGAAUCCACUUCCCCGCUGGCUCGCAGGCACCGAAAACCCCAAUGGCAGAACCGACUGACACGCAGAGCCGCGAUUGGAAUUCCCUCCCCGAUGUUCUCUUGGAGCAGAUCUGUAAUCGUAUGGACCUACUCAGCACCGUCCGUCUGGCCGCAUGCUCGAUGUCUUUGUACCAUCUACUCAUCUGCAACCGGCCGGCUCUUUUCAAGACACCCUGCUUGCUGAUGCCCAAUCUUCGCAGGUGGCACAUACACCGACUUGACGAUCCUACGGAGGUUGCCGUGGUGCCCCUCGACAUGCUACCACUACCCGUCCACCUGUCCUUCAUGCGCGGCCACUACUGGGCGGGCAUGAAGGCCAACUGGAUCGUCCUCAUCCACCAAUCUGGUAGUCUGUGGUGUCUCGUGGAUAUCUACACCCAGCGAGAGAUCACCCUUCCAUCUUUGGAUACCGCCGCCAUCGAGCCUCGCGGCCCGCUGGACACUCCUGCCUACUAUGCACGAGGUGCGUCGAGCUUUUGGCUCGACCUCUGUUUGCUGAAGGUUGUAAUCUGCGAAGUGCCCACACCAUCAGAAGACUACAUGGAUUACAAGCUCAUUGCCAUGUUCAACAUGGGAUUAGUCUAUCUGGAAUCUGGUUGCUAUACAUGGUUAUGGCUCAUCGUCGAUCCUCUUUACCCAACACUUCUGUCUGAUGCUAUAGUGCACGAUGGCAUCGUUUAUGCGGUCGACGCACAGAUUGGCUGCCUAUACUGGUGGAAUCUAUCGUCGUGUAAUUUUUCUAUCUCAUCUCAUCUUUACCUUAAGAAUACGACUACCUGCUCAUUGUUACAAAUUUAGAAUAUAUAGUAUGUCUAUAACCACAUCAUUGCUAUAUGUUCCUCUCAUUUCCUAGAUUUUUAUGACCAGACAUGUUAUUGUUAGAGUUGAUAUGAGAACAAUUGGUAUCUAAUGAUUGUUAGAAUACAUAUUAUGAGUAUAACCUCAUGAUUGCUAUAUGUUACUCUCAUUUCCAGGAUUUUUAUAACAACACAUGUUAUUGCUUAGAGUUGAUAUGAUAAAUGUAGUAAGUGCUAUGGUAGAAUAUGAGUAGGCCCUAUCAUAUCUGUUUUCCUCUCAUUGUUACAUGCUGUUUGAACCAUGAUAUAUUGCUAGAAUAUGGAAGCCAUUAAUCCUCCUUUUCUAAAAAAUAAAAUAAAAAAAUAAAAAUAAUAAUAAUAUGAAAGCCGUUGGCUUAUUUUUUUAACUUGGGGUAUGAUUAUGACCACGGCAUUGCAAUUCUCUGUCUAUGAUAUGUGUCACUGUUAUAAUAAUCUUAAUUCCACACAUACUCUAAACAUGAUUGUUUAUUUUUGUCCUUUUGGUCUCCAAUUUGAAUUGUUGGAGCAGACGCAAAUGCGCUGGCCUUCAUGAUUCCAGGACCUGGAAUCAUACCAGCCGAUGGGUGGUGGUUUAUCGCUCAUUCAGCUGAUGGUGGUCAUUUUAUGCUCAUUUGCACAUACCAAAUUGACCAUACCAUUUCAUCAAACCACAUGCAGUACAAUGCCUAGGGCGUUCGUGACAUUGAUGGCUAUGGCUGCUUCGUGUUCCAGAAAGAUCUCAGCUCCGUUGGGCCAGGCGUAUUCAACUGGAGGCGGGUUUACAGCCUCGGCAACCACUCCAUGUUCCUCGGGCUCAAUUAUCCUAUCAUCCAACCAAUCAUCGAUCAUAUCACUGGCGAUGAUUACCGUGCUAUGCAACUUCCAUUCCCCAGGGGGGACUGUGUUUACACAUCAUACCAUGGGUUCCAUGAAUCACCAUAUCCAGAGAUUCGUCAACACAGUUUGUUGCCAGAUAAUCUUCAGUGUGUGAAAGGCAUCAAGCUUCCAUGCGAUGGAUGGCUUUUGCGAACCCGACAUGCGGUGAUGUGGUUCAUGCCAACAGCAGAUAUGCACAACUUGAUUCGUACUGAUAUGUAGACUGAGCCAUUUAUUCUGCUGCUGUAGCACGACCCUCUUUUGUUGGAUAUUAUGUACUGUUGUUAGUUUGAAGCACUCCUCUGGUUUGAAGGAUAGAUACCUUUCUGGGAUCAAGUGCAUCCUAACUCACCUGCGCAGGAUGUACUGAUAAUGAUGAUGGAGAUGUUGUGCAGUAUAUAUAUAUAUAUCACUUACGCUUCAAGUGCGUACUUGUUAGUUAAACCUAUGGUUAAAAUGUGACACUAAAUACGACUAGUAAGUAGUACAGUAGCAGUACUAGUAUACGUCGGUCAAAUUAUUCAUCAUGUCCACACAUUGAAUUGACGUGACAACACACUGCGCGUGAGGUGACACAAGAAUCCCGGCGGCGUGUUCGGGUAUUCUGGACUUCAGAUUUGGAGUACCACUUAUCUGUCAAAAUCUUUCAUCAUUCACUUAAAACAGUCGAUUGAUCAUACAUUGAGUACCAUAUAACUGGAAUUAACCCAUGCAAGUCGAAGAAGGAUUGGCCGGUGCCGCCGGCUGGUGUCAAGUUCGAUCCCAUGGAUCAGGAGCUGAUCGAGCACCUUGAGGCCUAAGCAAGCAUUUCUUCCAGCGCAAUUCCAGGGCGUUCAAAAGGGGCACGUGGACGCGUCGCAAGAUACAGUCGGAGUGCGGCAAGCACGCGAUGUGGCACAACACCGACAAUACCUUGCCGGUGAUGGUCAACGGUCGGCAGACGGGCAGCAAAAAGGUUCCGGUACUGCACACCAACAAGAACUUCGACCAGCAGAGGACCAACUGGGUGAUGCACCAGUACCACCUCGAUGACCUGGAUCAAGAGAAGGAGUGGGAGCUGGUCCUCUACAAGAUUUUCUACCAGACGAACACUAGGGCCAGGACUAAGCAUAUUAUAAGUUAGUUUGGUAUUGGUACUUGUACUACCUUGUUGUCCGCAAGUUGAUAUUAUUGUGAACGAUCUUUUGGUAUGAACUUGGAAUUUGCUUCCAACCAUCAUGCCGAGGGUUGAUGUGGAUAUAAAGCAGAAUCAUUUGUUUCGAAACGAAUUUUCAAGCACCUGAUUUUUAUUUGAUGGGUAGCAUAAGCACCUCCCGUUCGAAUUCCUAGUUCUCCAAAUUUUUAGAAACAUGUGCAUGCUCUUAUUAUCACGAUGAAAAAAAAAUAUCCCUGCUGCAUCCCAGUUAUUAGUCUAUACUUGCAGAAUUCACUCAUUUAUUGAGCACGCAUAUUGUUUUUUCAGGUCGAGCAAGUUUCAACUGGGCUGUAGACUGCCCAGCCUUGGUUUUGUUUUUAACAGGCCCAGCCCAUGACGACAACGGGGCACAAAGACCUAGCAGGUAUCUAGUGGCCUCUUACAACAUUCAUAGGCACUUUUUUACCGAAUCAAACACACAACCCAGUUCUAUUUUCCUCUUGAAACGCAUGUCCUACGUCCGUUUUCUAAUCUCUACCUAUAGUUUUACUAGUUCAUAUACACAUAUCAUUAUAUUGAAAAUACAUAAAAUUCACUUUUCAUAUUUACAUCCUUAUUUUUGUUGUUGUUUUCCCUCCGAGCGCUGAUUUUUUUACCACUGGUUUUCCCUUAAACCAACUCAAUUGUCCCACGUCUUAUUUGCUUACAAAAAAACGAUUUUUUGGCAAAUCAAUAAGUUCUUAAAAAUGUUUAUCAUUUCGGGAUUACAAAAGUUUGGACUCCACCGAAAUAUGCAAAAUAAGGUUGAACUUUUUGACCGUGGUCCUAGGCAGAAAAUGGGCUGUAAUAAAUUACUUAAGAAUUAGCAAAUGGGCUGCAAAUUAUUAAAAACAGCAAAUGGGCUCUAUGUUGUCUGCCACAGAUUUGGAGGCUGACUUGUGGGCCUACUAAGUUCAUGCAUACACAAGGUUUAUCAAAAAAUAAACUUAGUCAACAAUCGACGCUACCAGCGUCAGACAAUCUAACGGCAAUCGUGCUUCUUCAGUCUCUGAUCUUCCUGCCCCAGCCGCCCAGACCAGCGCCGUCGGAACCGCCUGCUCCCGCCUCCUGUGGCCGGCUGUGCUACCGGGCAGGCCUCACGGCUCCAUCAUAUACUCGCAUCCCUGGCCUGUCUAUCCCUCUACUCACCCACACCUCUUGUUAUUUUCUGGCAACGGCAGCAGAACCAGUCAACCCUCAUACUCUCCACCACAUGGGCAGCCACUGCCGUGUCUUCCCCGGCCCCGUGUCAUUUCUUUCGUAGGCCUCACCAUCGUCCACCGCCCUGGUGCUCUCGGCGCGGCGUGGUCAACGUGGUCAACGAACGACAUCCAUCGGAAGUGGACUGUACGUGGAGAGGCUGACAGCUGGGUCCACGGCCGCACACAAGGAAAUGCCUCCUUAUUACGUGCAAAAUAAUGAUUCCUCCACCUGACAUCUGGGACCCACCGGAAGGGCCUCUGUAUUUCACAAAAAAAAACGUUUCCUCCGCUGACAGGUCGGACCCACCAACUAUAUCUUCGCACGCAAGGAAGUGCCUCCUUAUUGCGCACAAAAAAAUGAAUACCCGCUGCCAGCUGGGACCCACCAUAGUGGGAGGAUGACUUGUGGGCCUAGAAAGUUGACGGGGACGGAGGGCUUUGUCAAGUUAGUCAAUAUGAAAGAUUCUAUCUCUAGUGACCGUACAAUGUCCAUCCAAUGUCCUUAGUGCUUCUUCAACCUCUGGUCUUCUUGCUCCAGCCGCCCAAAGCAGCACCGAUCAUGCCGCCUGCUCCUACCUCCUGUGGCCGGCUGUGUUGCCGUGGAGGCCUCCCGCCCCCAUACUACUCCCACCGCUGGCCAGGCCAUCCCUCCACUCACCCACCCCCCUGUUAUUCUGCGGCGACGGCAGCCUCACACCGCAGCUAAACCAGUGAACCCUCGUACUCCUCUCCGCGUGGGCAUCCACUGCCGCGUCUUCCCCGGCUCCGCGCCAUCCCCUUCCUAGGCCUCGCCGUCGUCCACCGCCUUGGUGCUCUCGGUGCGGCAUGGUCAAUGUGGUCAACGACCGACUUCCAUCGGAAGAGUACUGUACGUGGAGAGGCUGACAGCUGGGUCCACGGCCACAUCCCAGUUUUUUUGUGAUUUGUCAAGUAAGUCGCUUUGUCAGGCCUGUUGGGCUGCAAAUCUUUCAAGACGAGGAGAGCUUCAUUCGGCUGGCCAAGAAAAUGGCCUAUCAGUAAUGAGAAAUGGGAUGUACAUUUUCAAAACGCAUCAAACCGGCCAUUAGUUUCAAAUUUCUUUUUUUUCAUUUCGAGAUUUUAAAUUGCAUUGAUUUUUAUGCGUGGACAAUUUGUUGGAUUUUAUAUUGAUAUAAAUUUAUUAUUAAAAUUAGUUUGAAUGUGACUCAAAAUUUCGGGAUUAAAAACAGUUCGAACCGCACCGAAAUAUGCAAAAUUUCGUAUAAUUAUUUAACCAUGGCCACAAUAUGGGCUCUAAUGCUAACAAAAAGAAUAUGAGCUCCAAAAAAACCUGAAGAAUUAGCAAAUGGGUUGUAAGUUAUUAGAAAUAAUGGCAGAUGGGCUGUAUGAUGUUUUCCACAGAUUUGAGGGUUUCCUAAAAAAAGGUUGAGGCACAAGCAGUGACUGUUGGAUGUCCAUCCAACAGCCGUCGUGCUUCUUCAAUCUCUGCUCUUCCCGCUCCAGCCACUCAAACAAGCGCCGGCGGGAUUGCCUGCUCCCUCCUCCCCACGGUUAGUUGUGCUACCGCGCAGGCCUCACUGCCCCACCGUACUCCCAUCGCUGGCCUAGCCAUCCCUCUACUCACCCACACCUGCUGUUAUUCUCCGGCGACGGCAGAUGAACCAGUAAACCUUCGUACAGUCGUACUCCCCUCCGCGUGGGAAACAACUGCCGAGUCUUCCCUGCCUUCGUGUCGUUCCCUUCCUAGGCCUCACCGUCGUCCACCACCCUGGUGCUCUCGGCGCGGCCUGGUCAACGGGGUCAAUGACCGACAUGCAUCUGAAGUGGACUGUACGUGGAGAGGCUGACAACUGGGUCCACAGUCGCACACAAGGAAAUGCCUCCUUAUUACGCGCAAAAAAGUGAUUCCUCCACUUGACAUCUGGGACCCACCGAAAUGGUCUCUAUAUUUCGUGAAUAAAACGUUACCGCCACUGAUAGCUUGGACCCACCAGCUAUAUCUUCGCAUGCAAGGAAGUGCCUCCUUAUUACGCACAAAAACUGAAUACUCCCCCUGCUAGCUAGGACCCAGUAUAGUGGCAGGCUGACUUGUGGGCCUACUAAGUUGACAGGGACGGAGGGCUUUGUCAACUUAGUCAAUAUGCACGUUCUAGCUCCAACGACCGUACGAUAUCCAUCCAACGGCGGUAGUGCUUCUUCAACCUCUGGUCUUCUUGCUCUAGCCGCCCAAACCAGCGCCGGUCGUGCCUCGUGCUCCUGCCUCCCGUGGCUGGCUGCGAUGCGAUGGAGGCCUGACCACCCCUACUACUCCCACCGCUGGCCAAACCAUCCCUCUACUCACCCACACCCCCUAUUAUUCUGCGACGACGACAGCCUCACACCGCAGUGAACCAGUGAACCCUCAUACUCCUCUACGCAUGGGCAUCCACUGCCGCGUCUUCCCUGGCUCCGCAUCGUCCCCUUCCUAGGCCUCGCCAUCGUCCACCGCCCUGGUGCUCUCGGCGCGGCGUGGUCAACGUGGUCAAGGAACGGCUUCCAUCGGACGUGGACUGUACGUGUAGAGGCUGACAGCUGGGUCCACGGCCGCAGCAAGGAAGUGACUCCUUAUUACGCGCAAAAUAAAUAUUCCUCUACCUGACAGCGGGGACCCACCGGACGGGCCACCGUAUUUCGCGAAAAAAACGUUUCUCCCUGACUGCCGGGACCCACUACAUCUUUGCACGCAAGGAAGUGCGUAUGAGAAAAAAAGAUUUGCCCCCCUGACUGCUGGGACCCACCAGCUACAUCUUCGCACGCAAGGAAGUGCCUGACAGUCGGGAUCCACCUGGUCAAAGCGUACAUAGCGUUGUCAUUCUGGUCGCGAACGUGUAUGUACAUACUAGUCGAUGUAGAGGCGCACACGUGUCGUAGUAGAGGCGCGCACGUAGCAUGUACACGUACGUACAUCGGCCAGUGUGCAAGAAAGAAAAUACGGCCACAUACGUACAUACGGGCAGGGUCUCGAACGCCUACUCGUGCAUACGUACGGCCAGGGCUCAUGUACAUGGCUGGGUCGGAAUGGAGAAACAGUGUUGUCGUCGUGCUCAUAGGGAGCCAACCGGCUGGGUUGGAACGGAAUGCGUCAUCGUGUUCAUCGGGAGGAAUUGGACGAAACAGCCGAUGGAAACAAGGCCUGGUGUACCGCAGAACGUUGGAAACAACCUUGUGUUUGACCGGCCAUGUUCGAAACGAGAUCCUGUUCAUCGGGAAGGGUCUGGCGUACCGCAAAACGGAGGAAACGGACCUCCUACGGUCAAAAUGAGGGUCCUAUUGAUCGGGAGGGGUGUGGCGUACCGCAAAACGGAGGAAACAGACUUGUGUUGGAGCACUACGGUCAAAACAGGGGGGUCCUGUUCAUCGGGAGGGGUGUAGCGUGCCGCAAAACGAGAUUCCACGGGAUACUGUUCAUCUCCACGGUCGACCCCCUCCAGCCUCCAUGGGCUACUGUUCAUCCACCGUCGACAUCCUCCAGCCUCCACCUACGACUGUUCAUCCAUGGGCUCCUGUUCAUCCAGCCUCCGUCGCGUGCUACUCCACCGGCUACUGUUCAACCAGCCCUCUCCACGGGCUCCUGUUCAACCACCCCUCCAUGGGCUCCUGUUCAUCCAGCCCUCCACCGUCUACUGUUCAUCUUGCCCUCCAUGGGGUGGUCCUAUUCAUCCUGCCCUCCACGGGGUCCUGUUCAUCUAGCCCCAACCGGCUCGAUCGAGGUCCUGUUCAUCCAGAGGCAACACCACGGGGUCCUAUUCAUCCACCCCCACUAGGAACUGUUCAUCCAAACCCUCCAGCAACACUCAUUGUUCAUCCAGAGGCAGCAUCGAUCGGCUUCAGUUAGCAGCAGCAGCGAAGGAAUCACUCGAUCGGGUUCAGUUAACAGCCAUCAAUCGAUCGCUCAGGUUCAGUAACACGUAGCCUGCAGUGCAAUCGCUUGGGUUGAGUUAGAUCCCAACGCCUCGCUCGGGUUCAGUUAGAGCCCAACGCCUCGCACCCACGCGCAUGCGUGUACAAGAGAAACAUGCAUCGCUCGGCCCCGACCACCCACCGUAACCGGGAACACCCCGAUAUUUUCCUCACCCUCGCUUCUACCUCAUUUUUUUCGUCAUGGACGGCCCAAAGAAUGUCAUGCAGCUGCGUCUCUGGCCCGCCCAGGACGAAAAGGCCAUAUUCUGUCAUGAUAUUUUGUCAUAGAAGUAGGACCCACCACAUCUAUGAUGAUACCGGGUUUUGUCACAAUUAUUGUCACAGAAGUGUCAUAAGUAUGACAUAAUUUUUUUUCAUUCGGCCCAAAAUGUCACGGAUGUGUCUGUUUUUGUAGUGUGUGUAUUGACCGGAGAUGUGUCUCGGUCAUGUCUACAUAGUUCUCGAACCCGUAGGGUCCACACGCUUAACGUUCGAUGACAAUUUGUAUUAUGAGUUAUGUGAUUUGAUGACCGAAGUUUGUUCGGAGUCCCGGAUGAGAUCAUGGACAUGACGAGGAGUCUCGAAAUGGUCGAGACAUAAAGAUUGAUAUAUUGGACAUUGUUAUUCAGACACUAUAUGAGUUCCGAGAGGAUCGGGUGACUAUCGGAGUGCUGGAGGGUUAUCGAAACCCCCCGGGGGAACUUAUUGGCCUUCAUGGGCCUUAGUGCGGAGAGAGAAGGGCCGCAAGGGGGCUGCCCCCCCUUGGGUCCGAAUUGGACUAGGGGAAGGGGGCGGCGUCCCCUUUUCCUUCCCUUCUCCCUCUCCCUUCCUUCUUCCCCCCUUCCUCCAGCUGGAAACCUACUAGGACUUGGAGUCCUAGUAGGAUUCCCCUUUCUUGGCACGCCCUACAGGGGCCGGCCGGCCUCCCCCUCCCGUCCUUUAUAUACGGGGGCAGGGGGGCACCCUAGAACACACCAGUUUCUAUUAGCCAUGUGCGGUGCCCCCCUCCACAGUUACACACCUUGAUCAUAUCGUCGUAGUGCUUAGGCGAAGCCCUGCGCUGGUAACUUCAUCAUCACCAUCGCCACGCCGUCGUGCUGACGGAACUCUCCCUCUGCCUCAACUGGAUCAAGAGUUAGAGGGACGUCAUCGAGCCAAACAUGUGCGGAUGAGGUGCCGUACGUUCAGUACUUGGAUCGGUUGGAUCGCGAAGACGUUCGACUACAUCAACCGCGUUAUUAAACGCUUCCGCUUUCGGUCUACGAGGGUAAGUGGACACACUCUCCCCGCUCGUUGUAUGCAUCUCCUAGAUAGAUCUUGCGUGAUCGUAGGUAAUUUUUUUCAAAUACUACGGUCCCCAACAACCCCAACUCCAUAUAUUCACGUUCCCUGAGAUACGAAGCCGCCGUCACCCCCUGUUCUUCAUCGGGAGGGCAUAUCUGGAGUCUGUUCGGGGCUCCGGAGAGGGGAAAUCAUUUCCAUCAUCAUCACCAACCUUCCUCCAUCACUAAUUUCAUGAUGCUCACUGUCGUGCGUGAGUAAUUCCAUCAUAGGCUUGCUCGACGGUGAUGUGUUGGAUGAGAUUUAUCAUAUAAUCGAGUUAGUUUUGCUAGGGUUUGAUCCCUAGUAUCCACUAUGUUCUGAGAUUGAUGUUGCUAUGACUUUGCUAUGCUUAAUGCUUGUCACUAGGGCCCGAGUGCCAUGAUUCCAUAUCCGAACCUAUUAUGUUUUCAUGAAUAUAUUUGUGUUCUUGAUCCGAUAUUGCAAGUUGUAGACACCUAUUACGAGUUAUGAUCCACAUACCCCAAGGUGACAAUAAUUGGGAUUCUUUCCGGUGAAUAUCAUAGUUUGAGGAGUUCAUGUAUUCACUAAGUGCUAAUGCUUUGUUCCGAUUCUCUAUUAAAAGGAGGCCUUAAUAUCCCUUAGUUUCCACUAGGACCCCGCUGCCACGGGAGGGUAGGACAAAAGAUGUCAUGCAAGUUCUUUUCAAUAAGCACGUAUGAGUAUAUACGGAAUACAUGUCUGCAUUAUAUUGAUGAACUGGAGCUAGUUCUGUGUCACCCUAGGUUAUAACUGUUGCAUGAUGAAUGCCAUCCGACAUAAUUAUCCAUCACUGAUCCAUUGCCUACGAGUUCGUUUCACAUUGAUCUUUGCUAAGUUACUUUUCUGUUGCCACUGUUACGAUUGUUACAAAACUGGUACUGUUACUUUUGCCAUCGUUACCAUUACUUCCAUACUACUUUGCUACUAAAUACUUUGCUGCAGAUAUUAACUAUUUCAGGUGUGGUUGAAUUGACAACUUAGCUGCCAAUACUUAAGAAUAUUCUUUGGCUCCCCUUGUGUCGAAUCAAUAUAUUUGGGUUGAAUACUCUACCCUCGAAAAUGGUUGUGAUCCCCUAUACUUGUGGGUUAUCAAGACCUUUUUCUGGCGAAGUUGCCGGGGAGCAUAGCUCUAUUCUUUGAGUUACUUGGGAUUUAUAUCUGUUGAUCACUAUGAGGAAUCUGAAAGACAACAAAAGCAAGAUCUAUCCCUCUACUAUGAGGGGAGGUAAUGAGCUGCCAUCUAGCUCUGCACUUGAUUCACCUUCUGUUUUGAGUAAACUUGCGACAUCUACACCUGCUAUUGAUUCUGAUAUGUCGCAUGUUAUUGAUAAUGCCACUUCUGCUAUGCAUGAUGCUUAUGAUGAUACUACUUCUUUGCUUGAUAAUACUGUGCCGCCAGGUGAAUUUCUUGAUGAACAAAUUGCUACGGUUAGAGAGAAUGAAAUUACUGAAACUGAUGAUAUUAUUGAAACUAAAGAUUACGAUUCUCCCCCUAGAUAUGAAUAGCCUAAGGUACCUGAGGGUUAUAUUAUGGAUGAAGAAACUGCAAGAGACUUUUUUUGCUUGUAAUGAUAGAUAUGAUCUUAAGAAAAUGUUAUCUAAGCUCAAAGAAAAAUCUCUCAAUGCUAGAAUGCAAUAUGAUCCUAGGUUUGCUACUUCACCUAUAUUUAUUACUGAUAAGGAUUAUGAAUUCUCUGUCAAUCCUGAGUUAAUUACUUUGGUUGAAUCAGAUCCUUUUCAUGGUUAUGAAUCUGAAACUGUUGUAGCACAUCGUACUAAAUUGAAUGAUAUAGCCACCCUAUUUCCUCAUGAGAAUUUUUUUUGCUAUUACUAUAUUCUUAAGUUGUUUCCUUUCUAAUUAAAGGGUGAUGCUGAGAUAUGGUUUAAUUCUCUUGCUCAUGGUUGUGUGCGUAGUCCCCAGUAUAUGAUAUAUUACUUCACUGAAAAAUAUUUUCCUGCUCAUAAGAAACAAGCUGCUUUACAGGAAAUAUUUAACGUUGUGCAAAUUGAAGAAGAGAGUCUCCCACAAGCUUGGAGGAGGCUUCUCCAAUUACUUAAUGCUUUGCCUGAUCAUCCUCUCAAGAAAAAUGAAAUACUUGAUAUCUUUUACAAUGGACUAACAUAUGCUUCUAGGGACUACCUAGAUAGUUGUGAUGGUUGUGUUUUCGGGGAACAAACGGUUGAACAAGAUGAAGUGCUAUUGAAUAAUAUAUUGAGCAAUAAUAAUGAUUGGAAUCUUCCCGAACCACCUCCUAAGCCAACUUCGAAGAAAAUAGGUACCCAAUUUCUCAUUCCUGAAGAUAUGCAAGAGUCAAAGAAAUCUAUGAAAGUAAAAGGUAUUAAUGCUGAAGAUGUUAAGAAUUUACUGCCUAUUGAAGAGAUACAUGGUCUUAAUAUUCCGACACAGUUAGUAGAGGUAAAUUCUCUCUAUAGAUUUGAUGAAGGUGAUAUUCCUUAUAAUAAGUCUACUAGUCAAUGCUUGGAUGAAUUUGAUAACUUCAUUGUUCAACAAGAAAACUUCAAUGCGUUUGUUAGUAGACAAUUGAAAUGUAAUGCUUAUAUGCUUGGGUGAUUAUAUGUGUAGAACUGCUAAUGAUCUUAAGCUUAUUAGUGAACAUGCUUAUAUGGUAAAAAGUCAAGUAGAACAAGUACUUAAGGCACAAGAUGAUUUCCUCAAUGAGAUGAAUAGUAAGAACAAUGAUCAUGUUGUUAGAGUUAUGACUAGAGGUGGUAAAAUGACUCAGUAACCUUUGUAUCCCGAAGGUCAUCCUAAGAGAAUUGAGCAAGAUUCUCAGAGAAUUAAUACUGAUGCACCUAGUCCUUCUAAUAAAAAGAAAAGGAAAACUGAUAGGACUUUGCAUGCUUCUAGUGAACCUGUUAUAGACACACUUGAGAAUCCCAAUGAUACUUCUAUUUCUGAUGCUGAGGCACAAUCUGGUAAUGAGCAUGUACCUAGUGAUAAUGUUAAUGAUGAUGCUCAACCUAGUAAUGAUAAUGAUGUUGUUCUUGAUAACCCACAAUCUAAGAAUCAACGUUAUGAUAAGAGAGACUUUGUUACUAGGAAGCAUGGUAAAGAAAGAGAACCAUGGGUUCAGAAACCCAUGCCCUUUCCUCCUAAACCAUCCAAGAAAAAGGAUGAUGAGGAUUUUGAGUGCUUUGUUGAAAUGCGUAGGCCUGUCUUUUUGCCAAGUAUAUGAAAGAUAUUGUUACUAAUAAAAGAAAGAUACCGAAAGCUGAAAUUUCCACCAUGCUUGCUAAUUAUACUUUUAAGGGUGGAAUACCCAAGAAACUUAGAGAUCCAGGAAUUCCAACUAUACCAUGCUCCAUUGAAAUAAACUAUGUUAAAACUGCUUUAUGUGAUCUUGGAGCCGGUGUUAGUGUUAUUCCUUUCUCUUUAUAUCGUAGUCUUGAAUUGAAUAAGUUGACACCUACUAAAAUCUCUUUGCAAAUGGCUGAUAAAUCAACUGCUAUAUCCAUUGGUAUUUGUGAGGAUGUGCCUGUUGUGGUUGCAAAUAUUACUAUCUUAACGGACUUUGUUAUUCUUGAUAUUCCCGAGGACGACAAUAUGUUGAUCUAUUGGGAAUCGUUGCAUAGAAAAUAAAUUCUUUUCCUACGCACAUGCAAUGAUCUAUCCAUGGAGAUGCAUAGAAACGUGGGGAGAGUGUGUCUACAUACCCUCAUAGACCAUAAGAGGAAGAGUUUCACAACACGGUUGAUGUAGUCGAACUUCUUGGCGCUUCAACCGAUCAAGUACCGAACGCACGACAUCUCCAUGUUCUGCACACGUUCAACCCGGGUACGUUCCUCGCCUUCUUGAUCCAGCAAGACAUCAAGGUAUUAGAUGAGUUCCGUCAGCACGACGACAUUGUGACGGUGAUGGUGAAGUGAUCCUCGUAGGGCUUCCCCUCAGCACUACAAAAAUAUGACCGGGGGAUUAAAUGGUGGAGGGUGGCGCCGCACAUGGCUAAACAAUUGUAUGCGGUGUGCUAGGUGCCCCCCUCAUAUAUAUAGGUGGGAGGGAGAGGGGAGAGGCCAAGGGGUGCCCCAAGUAGGUCCGAAAUCUACUUGGGUUCCUGCCCUUGGGCACACCCCCUGCCAUAUUUGUCGGAGGGGGAAGGAAAGAGGGGGGAGAGUGAAGGAAGUGGGAAUCCUAAUCCACAUUUACCUUUCCCUUCCCCCUUUCCUUCUCCUACUUAGGCCGGCCCAAAUGGGGGGCGCACCAGCCCCUUGUGGCUGGUGCGUUUCCCCUCUUGGCCCAUAAGGCCCAUAUCUUUUGCCGGGGGUGUCCGGAACCCCUUCUGGUGAACCGAUAAGUACCUGGUACCCCCGAGACACUUACAGUGUCCGAAUACCAUCGCCCUAUAUAUCAAUAUUUACCUCUCGACCAUUUCAAGAAUCCUUGUCAUGUCUGUAAUCUCAUCCGGCACUCCAAAAAACAUUCGGUCACCAAAGCACAUAACUCAUAUAAUAUUAUAUCGUCAUCGAACGUUAAGCGUGGGGACCCUACGGGUUCGAGAACUAUGUAGACAUGACCGAGACACCUCUCCGAUUGAUAACCAAUAGAAGAACCUGGAUUCCCAUAUUGGCUCCUACAUAUUCUACGAAGAGCUUUAUCGGUCGAACCGUUAUGACAACAUAAGUAAUUUCCUUUGUCCAUCGGUAUGUUACUUGCCCGAUAUUCGAUCGUUGGUAUCUUCAUACCUAGUUCAAUCUCGUUACCGGCAAGUCUCUUUACUCGUUCCAUAAUACAUCACCUCAUGACUAACUCCUUAAUCAUUUGCUCAAGCUUAUGAUGUGUAUUAUCGAGAGGACCUAGAGAUACAUCUUCGAUACUCGGAGUGACAAAUCCUAAUCUCGAUCUAUGCCAACUCAACAAACACCUUCGAAGAUACUUGUAGAGCAUCUUUAUAAUCACCCAGUUACGUUGUGACGUGUGAUAGCACACAAGGCAUUCCUCUGGUAUCUGUGAGGUGCAUAAUCUCAUAGUCGAAGGAAUAUGUAUUUGACAUGAAAAAAGUAAUAGAAAUAAAACCGAACAAUCAUUAUGCUAAUCUCACAGAUGGGUCUUGUCCAUCACAUCAUUCUCCUAAUAAUGUGUUCCCUUAUCAAAUGACAACUCACGUCCAUGGUUAGGAAACCUUAAUUAUCUUUGAUCAAUGAGCUAGUCUAGUAGAGGCUCACUAUGGAUAUGGUGUUUGUUUAUGUAUUCACACAUGUAUUAAGGUUUCCAAUCCGUCCAAUUCUAGCAUGAAUAAUAGACCUUUAUUAUGAAUAAGGAAAUAUAAAUAACAAAUUUAUUAUUGCCUCUAGGGAAUAUUUCCUUCAAUCUCCCACUUGCACUAGAGUCAAUAAUGUAGUUCACAUCGCCAUGUGACUAACACCCAAAGAGUUUACUAGAGUCAAUAAUCUAGUUCACAUCGCCAUGUGAUUAAUACCCAAAUAGUACUAAGGUAUGAUCAAUGUUUUGCAUGUGAGAGAGAUUUAGUCAAUGGGUCUGCAACAUUUAGAUCCGUAUAUAUUUUGCAAGUUUCUAUGUCUGCAAUGCUCUGCAUGGAGCUACUGAAACGCCCUCGAUGCGGCUAUUGUUGGGGAACGUAGCAGAAAUUCAAAAAUUUUCCUACGUAACACCAAGAUCUAUCUAUGGAGAGACCAGCAACGAGUAGAAGGAGAGUAGAGUUUGCAUCUACAUACCCUUGUAGAUCGCUAAGCGGAAGCGUUCAAGUGAACGGGGUUGAUGGAGUCGUACUCGUGGUGAUUCAGAUCACCGAUGAUCAAGUGCCGAACGGACGGCACCUCCGCGUUCAACACACGUACAGCCCGGUGACGUCUCCCACGCCUUGAUCCAGCAAGGAGAGAGGGAGAGGUUGAGGAAGACUCCAUCCAGCAGCAGCACAACGGCGUGGUGAUGAUGGAGGAGCGUGGCAAUCCUGCAGGGCUUCGCCAAGCACCUACGGGAGAGGAGGAGGUGUCACAGGAGGGAGGGAGGCGCCAAGGGCUCAGGUAUGGAUGCCCUCCCUUCCCUCCACUAUAUAUAGGGGCAGGGGAGAGGGGGGAGGCGCAGCCUUGCCCCCUACUCCAAGAAAGGGGUGCGGCCAAGAGGGGGGGAGGAGUCCAUCCUCCCCAAGGCACCUCGGAGGUGCCUUCCCCCUUGAGGACUCUUCCCUCUAGGGUUCCCUAGGCGCAUGGGCCUCUUGGGGCUGGUGCCCUUGGCCCAUGUAGGCCAAGGCGCACCCCAUACAGCCCAUGUGGCCCCCCGGGGCAGGUGGCCCCACCCGGUGGGCCCCCGGGACCCUUCCGGUGGUCCCGGUACAAUACCGAUGACCCCGAAACUUGUCCCGAUGGCCGAAACAGGACUUCAUAUAUAUAAAUCUUUACCUCCGGACCAUUCCGGAACUCCUCGUGACGUCCGGGAUCCCAUCCGGGACUCCGAACAACAUUCGGUUACCACAUACAAGCUUCCUUUAUAACCCUAGCGUCAUCGAACCUUAAGUGUGUAGACCCUACGGGUUCGGGAGACAUGCAGACAUGACCGAGACGUUCUCCGGUCAAUAACCAACAGCGGGAUCUGGAUACCCAUGUUGGCUCCCACAUGUUCCACGAUGAUCUCAUCGGAUGAACCACGAUGUCAAGGACUUAAUCAAUCCCGUAUUCAAUUCCCUUUGUCUAUCGGUAUGUUACUUGCCUGAGAUUCGAUCGUCGGUAUCCAAUACCUUGUUCAAUCUCGUUACCGGCAAGUCACUUUACUCGUUCCGUAACACAUCAUCCCGUGAUCAACUCCUUGGUCACAUUGCGCAUAUGAUGAUGUCCUACCGAGUGGGCCCAGAGAUACCUCUCCGUUUACACGGAGUGACAAAUCCCAGUCUCGAUCCGCAUAAAACAAUAGAUACUUUCGGAGAUACCUGUAGUGCACCUUUAUAGUCACCCAGUUACGUUGUGACGUUUGACACACCCAAAGCACUCCUACGGUAUCCAGGAGUUACACGAUCUCAUGGUCAAAGGAAGAGAUACUUGACAUUGGCAAAGCUCUAGCAAACGAACUACACGAUCUUUGUGCUAGUCUUAGGAUCGGGUCUUGUCCAUCACAUCAUUCUCCUAAUGAUGUGAUCCCNNNNNNNNNNNNNNNNNNNNNNNNNNNNNNNNNNNNNNNNNNNNNNNNNNNNNNNNNNNNNNNNNNNNNNNNNNNNNNNNNNNNNNNNNNNNNNNNNNNNNNNNNNNNNNNNNNNNNNNNNNNNNNNNNNNNNNNNNNNNNNNNNNNNNNNNNNNNNNNNNNNNNNNNNNNNNNNNNNNNNNNNNNNNNNNNNNNNNNNNNNNNNNNNNNNNNNNNNNNNNNNNNNNNNNNNNNNNNNNNNNNNNNNNNNNNNNNNNNNNNNNNNNNNNNNNNNNNNNNNNNNNNNNNNNNNNNNNNNNNNNNNNNNNNNNNNNNNNNNNNNNNNNNNNNNNNNNNNNNNNNNNNNNNNNNNNNNNNNNNNNNNNNNNNNNNNNNNNNNNNNNNNNNNNNNNNNNNNNNNNNNNNNNNNNNNNNNNNNNNNNNNNNNNNNNNNNNNNNNNNNNNNNNNNNNNNNNNNNNNNNNNNNNNNNNNNNNNNNNNNNNNNNNNNNNNNNNNNNNNNNNNNNNNNNNNNNNNNNNNNNNNNNNNNNNNNNNNNNNNNNNNNNNNNNNNNNNNNNNNNNNNNNNNNNNNNNNNNNNNNNNNNNNNNNNNNNNNNNNNNNNNNNNNNNNNNNNNNNNNNNNNNNNNNNNNNNNNNNNNNNNNNNNNNNNNNNNNNNNNNNNNNNNNNNNNNNNNNNNNNNNNNNNNNNNNNNNNNNNNNNNNNNNNNNNNNNNNNNNNNNNNNNNNNNNNNNNNNNNNNNNNNNNNNNNNNNNNNNNNNNNNNNNNNNNNNNNNNNNNNNNNNNNNNNNNNNNNNNNNNNNNNNNNNNNNNNNNNNNNNNNNNNNNNNNNNNNNNNNNNNNNNNNNNNNNNNNNNNNNNNNNNNNNNNNNNNNNNNNNNNNNNNNNNNNNNNNNNNNNNNNNNNNNNNNNNNNNNNNNNNNNNNNNNNNNNNNNNNNNNNNNNNNNNNNNNNNNNNNNNNNNNNNNNNNNNNNNNUGUGUGCUUUACAAAUCUCUAUGUCAUCUCCUAGAUGCAGCUACCACGCUCUAUUUGGAGCUAUUCCAAACAACUGUUCUACUUGGAGCUAUUCUAAAUUAUUGCUCCAUUAUAUGUAUCCGGUCUCUCUACUUAGAGCUAUCCGGAUAGGUGUCAAGCUUGCAUCGUCAUAACCCUUUACGACGAACUCUUUUACCACCUCCAUAAUUGAGAAAAAUUCCUUAGUCCACUAGUUACUAAGGAUAACUUUGACCGCUGUCCUGUGAGCCAUUCUUGGAUCACUCUUGUACCCCUUGACUGACUCAUGGCAAGGCACACUUCAGGUGCGGUACACAGCAUAGCAUACUGAAGAGCCUACGUCUUAAGCAUAGGGGACGACCUUCGUCCUUUCUCUCUAUUCUGCCGUGGUCGAGCUUUAAGUCUUAACUUCGUACCUUACAACUCAGGCAAGAACUCCUUCUUUGACUGGUCCAUCUUAAACACCUUCAAGAUCAUGUCAAGGUAUGUGCUCAUUUGAAAGUAUUAUUAAGCAUUUUGAUCUAUCCUUAUAGAUCUUGAUGCUCAAUGUUCAAGUAGCUUAAUCCAGGCUUUCCAUUGAAAAACACUUUCAAAAUAACCCUAUAUGCUUUCCAGAAAUUCUACGUCAUUUCUGAUCAACAAUAUGUCAACAACAUAUACUCAUCAGAAAUUCUAUAGUGCUCCCACUCACUUCUUUGGAAAUACAAGUUUCUCAUAAACUUUGUACAAACCCAAAAUCUUUGAUCAUCAUCAAAGCAUACAUUCCAACUCCGAGAUGCUCACUCCAGUCCUUAGAAGGAUCGCUGGAGCCAGCAUACCUUUUAGCAUCCUUAGGACCGACAAAAACUUUCUGAUUGUAUUACAUACAACCUUUCCUCACGAAAACCGGUAAGGAAACUCGUUUUGACAUCCAUCUGCCAGAUUUCAUAAAUACAGCUAAUGCUAACAUGAAUCCGACGGACUUAAGCAUCGCUACGGAUGAGAAAAUCUCAUCGUAGUCAACUCCUUGAACUUGUGAAAAACUUUUCGCCACAAGUCGAGCUUCAUGGACGGUGACAUUACCAUCCACGUCCGUCUUCUUCUUAAAGGAUCCAUUUAUCUCAAUGGAUUGCCGAUCAUCGGGCAAGUCCAUCAAAGUCCAUGCUUUGUUCUGAUAUAUGGAUACUAUCUCGGAUUUCAUGGCUUCUAACCAUUUGUUGGAAUUCGGGCCCACCAUCGCUUCUCCAUAGCUCGUAGGUUCAUUGUUGUCUAGCAACAUGACCUUCAAGACAGGAUCACCUUACCACUACGAAGUAGUACGUGUCCUUGUCGUCCUACGAGGUUCAGUAGUGACUUGAUCCGAGGCUUCAUGAUCACUAUCAUAAGCUUCCACUUCAAUUGGUGUAGGUGCCACAGGAACAACUUCCUGUGCCCUGCCACACACUAGUUGAAGAGACGGUUCAAUAACCUCAUCAAGUUUCCACCAUCCUCCCACUCAACUCUUUCGAGAGAAGCUUUUCCUCGAGAAAGGACCCGAUUCUAGAAACAAUCCAUAUUGCUUUCGGAUCUGAAUUAGGAGGUAUACCCAACUGUUUUGGGUUUCCUAUGAAGAUGCAUUUUAUCCACUUUGGGUUCGAGCUUAUCAACCUGAAACUUUUUCAUAUAAGCGUCGCAGCCCCAAACUUUUAAGAAACGACAACUUAGGUUUCUCUAAACCAUAAUUCAUACGGUGUCAUCUCAACGGAAUUACGUGGUACCCUAUAUUAAAGUGAAUGUGGUUGUCUCUAAUGCCUAACCCAUGAACAAUAGUGGUAAUUCGAUAAGAGACAUCAUGGUACGCACCAUAUCCAAUAGGGUGCAACUAUGAUGUUCGGACACACCAUCACACUAUGGUGUUCCAGGCGGUAUUAAUUAUGAAACAAUUUCCACAAUGUCUUAAUUGUGUGCCAAAACUCGUAACUCAGAUAUUCAUCUCUAUGAUCGUAUCAUAGACAUUUUAUCCUCUUGUCACAAUGAUCUUCUACUUCACUCUGAAAUUACUUGAACCAUUCAAUAAUUCAGACUUGUGUUUCAUCAAGUAAAUAUUCUCAACAUCUACUCGAAUCAUCUGUGAAGUAAGANNNNNNNNNNNNNNNNNNNNNNNNNNNNNNNNNNNNNNNNNNNNNNNNNNNNNNNNNNNNNNNNNNNNNNNNNNNNNNNNNNNNNNNNNNNNNNNNNNNNNNNNNNNNNNNNNNNNNNNNNNNNNNNNNNNNNNNNNNNNNNNNNNNNNNNNNNNNNNNNNNNNNNNNNNNNNNNNNNNNNNNNNNNNNNNNNNNNNNNNNNNNNNNNNNNNNNNNNNNNNNNNNNNNNNNNNNNNNNNNNNNNNNNNNNNNNNNNNNNNNNNNNNNNNNNNNNNNNNNNNNNNNNNNNNNNNNNNNNNNNNNNNNNNNNNNNNNNNNNNNNNNNNNNNNNNNNNNNNNNNNNNNNNNNNNNNNNNNNNNNNNNNNNNNNNNNNNNNNNNNNNNNNNNNNNNNNNNNNNNNNNNNNNNNNNNNNNNNNNNNNNNNNNNNNNNNNNNNNNNNNNNNNNNNNNNNNNNNNNNNNNNNNNNNNNNNNNNNNNNNNNNNNNNNNNNNNNNNNNNNNNNNNNNNNNNNNNNNNNNNNNNNNNNNNNNNNNNNNNNNNNNNNNNNNNNNNNNNNNNNNNNNNNNNNNNNNNNNNNNNNNNNNNNNNNNNNNNNNNNNNNNNNNNNNNNNNNNNNNNNNNNNNNNNNNNNNNNNNNNNNNNNNNNNNNNNNNNNNNNNNNNNNNNNNNNNNNNNNNNNNNNNNNNNNNNNNNNNNNNNNNNNNNNNNNNNNNNNNNNNNNNNNNNNNNNNNNNNNNNNNNNNNNNNNNNNNNNNNNNNNNNNNNNNNNNNNNNNNNNNNNNNNNNNNNNNNNNNNNNNNNNNNNNNNNNNNNNNNNNNNNNNNNNNNNNNNNNNNNNNNNNNNNNNNNNNNNNNNNNNNNNNNNNNNNNNNNNNNNNNNNNNNNNNNNNNNNNNNNNNNNNNNNNNNNNNNNNNNNNNNNNNNNNNNNNNNNNNNNNNNNNNNNNNNNNNNNNNNNNNNNNNNNNNNNNNNNNNNNNNNNNNNNNNNNNNNNNNNNNNNNNNNNNNNNNNNNNNNNNNNNNNNNNNNNNNNNNNNNNNNNNNNNNNNNNNNNNNNNNNNNNNNNNNNNNNNNNNNNNNNNNNNNNNNNNNNNNNNNNNNNNNNNNNNNNNNNNNNNNNNNNNNNNNNNNNNNNNNNNNNNNNNNNNNNNNNNNNNNNNNNNNNNNNNNNNNNNNNNNNNNNNNNNNNNNNNNNNNNNNNNNNNNNNNNNNNNNNNNNNNNNNNNNNNNNNNNNNNNNNNNNNNNNNNNNNNNNNNNNNNNNNNNNNNNNNNNNNNNNNNNNNNNNNNNNNNNNNNNNNNNNNNNNNNNNNNNNNNNNNNNNNNNNNNNNNNNNNNNNNNNNNNNNNNNNNNNNNNNNNNNNNNNNNNNNNNNNNNNNNNNNNNNNNNNNNNNNNNNNNNNNNNNNNNNNNNNNNNNNNNNNNNNNNNNNNNNNNNNNNNNNNNNNNNNNNNNNNNNNNNNNNNNNNNNNNNNNNNNNNNNNNNNNNNNNNNNNNNNNNNNNNNNNNNNNNNNNNNNNNNNNNNNNNNNNNNNNNNNNNNNNNNNNNNNNNNNNNNNNNNNNNNNNNNNNNNNNNNNNNNNNNNNNNNNNNNNNNNNNNNNNNNNNNNNNNNNNNNNNNNNNNNNNNNNNNNNNNNNNNNNNNNNNNNNNNNUUUCGAAAACGUCUUUGGUGCCUCUACUUAAACCAUUUAACUGAACUAUCACGUAGUUAUCAAAACAUGUAUGUUCGUUGUUCACAACAUCCACAGACGAGGUUUGGGGUUCAGCACACUGAGCGGUGCAUUAAGGACAUAAGCUUUCUACUGUCCGCAUAAUCGCUACUGUCAACUUUCAACUAUAUUUUUUCUAGGAACAUAACUAAACAGUAGAACUAAAGCGCGAGCUACGACAUAAUUUGCAAAGAGUCUUUUGACUAUGUUCAAGAUAAUUAAGUUCAUCUUAUGAACUCCCACUUAGAUAGACAUCCCUCUGGUCAUCUAAGUGAUUACAUGAUCCGAGUCAACUAGGCCGUGUCCGAUCAUCACGUGAGACGGACUAGUCAUCAUCGGUGAACAUCUUCAUGUUGAUCGUAUCUACUAUACGACUCAUGCUCGACCUUUCGGUCUCCGUGUUCCGAGGCCAUGUCUGCACAUGCUAGGCUCGUCAAGUUAACCCUAAGUGUUUUCGCUGUGUAAAACUGUCUUACACCCGUUGUAUGUGAACAUAAGAAUCCAUCACACCCGAUCAUCACGUGGUGCUUAGAAGCGACGAACUGUAGCAACGGUGCACAGUUAGGGGAGAACACUUCUUGAAAUUUUGUAAGGGAUCAUCUUAUUUACUACCGUCGUCCUAAGCAAACAAGAUGCAUAAACAUGAUAAACAUCACAUGCAAUCAAAUAGUGACAUGAUAUGGCCAAUAUCAUUUUGCUCCUUUUGAUCUUCAUCUUCGGGGCUCCAUGAUCAUCAUCGUCACCGGCAUGACACCAUGAUCUCCAUCAUCGUGUCUUCAUGAAGUUGUCACGCCAACGACUACUUCUACUUCUAUGACUAACGCGUUUAGCAAUAAAGUAAAGUAGUUUACAUGGCGUUCUUCAAUGACACGCAGGUCAUACAAAAAAUAAAGACAACUCCUAUGGCUCCUGCCGGUUGUCAUACUCAUCGACAUGCAAGUCGUGAAUCCUAUUACAAGAACAUGAUCAAUCUCAUACAUCACAUAUCAUUCAUCACAUCCUUUUGGCCAUAUCACAUCACAUAGCAUACCCUGCAAAAACAAGUUAGACGUCCUCUAAUUGUUGUUGCAUGUUUUACGUGGCUGCUAUGGGUUUCUAGCAAGAACGUUUCUUACCUACGCAAGACCACAACGUGAUAUGCCAAUUGCUAUUUACCCUUCAUAAGGACCCUUUUCAUCGAAUCCGUUCCGACUAAAGUGGGAGAGACUGGCACCCGCUAGCCACCUUAUGCACCAAGUGCAUGUCAAUCGGUGGAACCUGUCUCACGUAAGAGUACGUGUAAGGUCGGUCCGGGCCGCUUCAUCCCACAAUACCGUCGAAACAAGAUUGGACUAGUAACGGUAAGCAUAUUGAACAACAUCAACGCCCACAACUACUUUGUGUUCUACUCGUGCAAAUAAUCUACGCAAUAGACCUAGCUCAUGAUGCCACUCUUGGGGAACGUAGCAGAAAUUCAAAAAUUUUCCUACGUAACACCAAGAUCUAUCUAUGGAGAGACCAGCAACGAGUAGAAGGAGAGGAGAGUUUGCAUCUACAUACCCUUGUAGAUCGCUAAGCGGAAGCGUUCAAGUGAACGGGGUUGAUGGAGUCGUACUCGUCGUGAUUCAGAUCACCGAUGAUCAAGUGCCGAACGGACGGCACCUCCGCGUUCAACACACGUACAGCCCGGUGACGUCUCCCACGCCUUGAUCCAGCAAGGAGAGAGGGAGAGGUUGAGGAAGACUCCAUCCAGCAGCAGCACAACGGCGUGGUGAUGAUGGAGGAGCGUGGCAAUCCUGCAGGGCUUCGCCAAGCACCUACGGGAGAGGAGGAGGUGUCACGGGAGGGAGGGAGGCGCCAAGGGCUCAGGUAUGGAUGCCCUCCCUUCCCUCCACUAUAUAUAGGGGCAGGGGAGAGGGGGGAGGCUCAGCCUUGCCCCCUACUCCAAGAAAGGGGUGCGGCCAAGAGGGGGGGAGGAGUCCAUCCUCCCCAAGGCACCUCGGAGGUGCCUUCCCCCUUGAGGACUCUUCCCUCUAGGGUUCCCUAGGCGCAUGGGCCUCUUGGGGCUGGUGCCCUUGGCCCAUGUAGGCCAAGGCGCACCCCAUACAGCCCAUGUGCCCCCCCGGGGCAGGUGGCCCCACCCGGUGGGCCCCCGGGACCCUUCCGGUGGUCCCGGUACAAUACCGAUGACCCCGAAACUUGUCCCGAUGGCCGAAACAGGACUUCCUAUAUAUAAAUCUUUACCUCCGGACCAUUCCGGAACUCCUCGUGACGUCCGGGAUCCCAUCCGGGACUCCGAACAACAUUCGGUUACCACAUACAAGCUUCCUUUAUAACCCUAGCGUCAUCGAACCUUAAGUGUGUAGACCCUACGGGUUCGGGAGACAUGCAGACAUGACCGAGACGUUCUCCGGUCAAUAACCAACAGCGGGAUCUGGAUACCCAUGUUGGCUCCCACAUGUUCCACGAUGAUCUCAUCGGAUGAACCACGAUGUCAAGGACUUAAUCAAUCCCGUAUUCAAUUCCCUUUGUCUAUCGGUAUGUUACUUGCCCGAGAUUCGAUCGUCGGUAUCCAAUACCUUGUUCAAUCUUGUUACCGGCAAGUCACUUUACUCGUUCCGUAACACAUCAUCCCGUGAUCAACUCCUUGGUCACAUUGCGCAUAUGAUGAUGUCCUACCGAGUGGGCCCAGAGAUACCUCUCCGUUUACACGGAGUGACAAAUCCCAGUCUCGAUCCGCAUAAAACAAUAGAUACUUUCGGAGAUACCUGUAGUGCACCUUUAUAGUCACCCAGUUACGUUGUGACGUUUGACACACCCAAAGCACUCCUACGGUAUCCAGGAGUUACACGAUCUCAUGGUCAAAGGAAGAGAUACUUGACAUUGGCAAAGCUCUAGCAAACGAACUACACGAUCUUUGUGCUAGUCUUAGGAUCGGGUCUUGUCCAUCACAUCAUUCUCCUAAUGAUGUGAUCCCAUUAUCAACGACAUCCAAUGUCCAUAGCCAGGAAACCAUGACUAUCUGUUGAUCACAACGAGCUAGUCAACUAGAGGCUCACUAGGGACAUAUUGUGGUCUAUGUAUUCACACGUGUAUUACGAUUUCCGGAUAAUACAGUUAUAGCAUGAAUAAAAGACAAUUAUCAUGAACAAGGAAAUAUAAUAAUAAUACUUUUAUUAUUGCCUCUAGGGCAUAUUUCCAACAGCUAUGUCUCCCACGUGUCGAAGCACGACUUAGAGGCAUAACCGCAUUGAAAGAAAUGUCACAAGUGAGGUAAUCUUCACACAACGCAUGUAAUACAUAAGGGAAAGAGAUACAUAGUUGGCUUACAAUCGCCAGUUCACACAAUUACAGGAAUAAAGCAUUACAUCAUACAAAUACACAUAAGGUCCGACUACGGAACCAAAAUAAAAGAAGACUACCCCAAAGCUACACAGAUCCCCGAUCGUCCCGACUGGGCUCCACUACUGAUCAACUAGAACGAAACAACACAAAGGACAAGAUCUUCAACGAGCUCCUCCUUGAGCUUGGUUGCAUCAUCUGCACGGUAACAUCGGCACCUGCAAACUGGUUUUGGAAGUAUCUGUGAGCCACGGGGACUCAGCAAUUUCACACCCUCGCGAUCAAGACUAUUUAAGCUUAUGGGUAAGGCAAAGUUAUGAGGUUGAGCUACAGCAAGCGACUAGCAUAUAUGGUGGCUAACAUACGCAAAAGAGAGCGAGAAGAGAAGGCAAGGCAUGAUCGAUAAAACUAUGAUCAAGAAGUGAUCCUAGAACAACCUACGUCAAGCAUAACUCCAACACCGUGUUCACUUCCCGGACCCCGCCGAGAAGAGACCAUCACGGUUACACACGCGGUUGAUGAAUUUUAAUUAAGAUAAUCUUCAGGUUUUCUACAACCGGACAUUAACAAAUUCCCAUCUGCCCAUAACUGCGGGCAUGGCUUUCGAAAGUUCAAAUCCCUGCAGGGGUGUCCCAACUUAGCCCAUCACAAGCUCUCAUGGUCAACGAAGAAUAUUCCUUCUAGCCGAAAGACCCGAUCAGGCUCGGAAUCCCGGUUAUAUGACAUCCUCGAUAAUGGUAAAACAAGUCCAGCAAGACCGCCCGAUGCGCCGACAUCCUGAUAGGAGCUGCACAUAUCUCGUUCUCAGGGCAACACCGGAUGAGCGCUCCGUACAACUAAAACCAGCCCUCAAGUUUCCCCGAGGUGGCAUUGCAAAGGACUCUAGUUCGGACCAACACUUAGACAAGCACUGGCCCCCGGGGGGGGGGGGUUAAUAUAAAGAUGACCCUCGGGAUGCGCGAAUCCCAAGGGAAAAAGGCUAGGUUGCGAAUGGUAAAACCAAGGUUGGGCCUUGCUGGAGGAGUUUUAUUCAAGGCGAACUGUCAAGGGGUUCCCAUUAUAAACCAACCGCGUAAGGAACACAAAAUCCGGGAACAUAACACCGAUAUGACGGAAACUAGGGCGACAAGAGUGGAACAAAAUACUAGGCAUAAGGCCGAGCCUUCCACCCUUUACCAAGUAUAUAGAUGCAUUAAUUAAAUAAGAGAUAUUGUGAUAUCCCAACAAGUAAACAUGUUCCAACAAGGAACACAUCUCCAUGUUCCAACAAGGAACAAACUUCAAUCUUCACCUGCAACUAACAACGCUAUAAGAGGGGCUGAGCAAAGCGGUAACAUAACCAAACAACAGUUUGCUAGGACAAGGUGGGUUAGAGGCUUGGUUCAACAAUAUGGGAGGCAUGAUAAGCAAGUGGUAGGUAUCGCAACAUAGGCAUAGCAAAAGAGCGAGCAUCUAGCAAGCAAAGAUAGAAGUGAUUUCGAGGGUAUGGUCAUCUUGCCUGAAAUCCCGCAAGGAAGAAGAACGAGUCCAUGAAGAAGACAAACGGACGUAGACGAACGGGUCCUCACAAACGUGACGUUAUUGGAACCAACCCGAAGAAGCAACACCGGAAAGAAGCAAACAACAUGGUAAACAACUAGCACAUAAACAUGGCAUGAUGCACAACCAAGUAUGAUGCAUGUCCGGUUUAAUGAAGCAUGGCAUGGCAUGGCAAAGUGCAACGAAAAACACUAAAACUUAAGUGAGUGGAGCUUGCAUAUUGACGAAACACCACGUGACUUAUUUAGUUUGAUCUUGUUUAUGUACCCAACAAGAUUAACAUGGCAAGAGGUGAAGCUAAGUAAAACUACCUAUCUAGUCAAGUUUAAAUGAGGCCGGAAGCAACGAACAAGAAUUCCGGAAAAACCCCAUAUGCAUAUAUUAGGUUUGGUACUGAUCUGUCCUAAACACAAUUUUAUAGUUGUUAAACAUGCAAAGUGAAGCCACCAAGUUAAACUAUGCAUUUUUCUACCCGAUUUACAUAUAAAGUUCAUUAGAAACCGAGCUACGGUUAUUUAGUUAUGAAUUAAAACAUUUUAAUAAGUUAUUUAAGCAAAUUUAAACAAACAACAUUUUAAACAUUUCAAACAUGCAUGAAAGUUGCAUAUUAUGAAACUAGAUGCAAUUCUAAGCAUUUAACAUGUUUGAAACAUUUUAAUCCGAUGCAAAAUUCAUUAGUUAUUAAAUGCAUGAACAGUAAGGGGUAAUCUAUAAAUAUGCGGUUUUUCUGUGAAUAGCAAAAUUCGUUCAUAGUAGAAAAAAAUAUACAUCGGGCCGAAUCUGGCCGACCCAACAAGCUCAGGAGAGGGCUGGGCGCAUCCUCACCAUGGGCUGAGGCCCAGUCAAAGCAGUGGUGGGGCAGGCUGGAUCUGUAGGGAAGCAGCGGGGGCCGGCGUGUAGUGCGGGCGACUUGGCCUUGGCGCCGGGGUCAAAUAGCAGCGGUAGGCUGGCUCUCGCGGAGCACUGGGCCAGGCGCUGGAGAGGCAGGCUGGGCCUUGGGCGGUUGACAACAGAGGCAACCGGGCCUUGGGGGUCACGGCCCAUGGCGAUCGACGGGGAGGGCGUGGUCGAUCUGGAGUCGGUCAACACGAGCGCGGCACUGGGCCAAUUCCAGAUCGAAGCAAGGCGGCGGUCCAGGCGCAGGGUCGAGUGGCGCUGCGUGGGUCAACGCGAGCGAGGCAGGGUCAAGGCGUUUGAGCGGGACGAGCAAAGCUCCUCUGCUUUCGAGCAGAGCGAGCAGAGGCCGGCGACGAUGGACUUUGCAAGGGCGGCGCAGAGGCUUGGCGGACGGUGGCAAGCUCGGUGCGUCGUAUCGCUGGAAGACUAAUGGGACGGCAGCGGCCGACGCUGGUUCACGAAUCUGCGUGAGGUAGAGGCCCCGGACGAGAUGCAGCAGGGGAACGAGCCCACGGCGCGGCGGCGGAAGCUCUUGCACAUACUGUUGGAAAUAUGCCCUAGAGGCAAUAAUAGAAGUGUUAUUAUUGUAUUUCUUUGUUCAUGAUAAUAGUCUUUUAUUCAUGCUAUAACUGUAUUAUCCGGAAAUCGUAAUACACGUGUGAAUACAUAGACCUCAAUAUGUCCCUAGUGAGCCUCUAGUUGACUGCCUCGUUGUGAUCAAUAGAUAGUCAUGGUUUCCUGGCUAUGGACAUUGGAUGUCGUUGAUAACGGGAUCACAUCAUUAGGAGAAUGAUGUGAUGGACAAGACCCAAUCCUAAGCAUAGCACAGAGGUCGGUUAGUUCGUUUGCUAAAGCUUUUCCAAUGUCAAGUAUCUCUUCCUUAGACCAUGAGAUCGUGUAACUCCCGGAUACCGUAGGAGUGCUUUGGGUGUACCAAACGUCACAACGUAACUGGGUGACUAUAAAGGUGCAUUACAGGUAUCUCCGAAAGUGUCUGUUGGGUUGACACGGAUCGAGACUGGGAUUUGUCACUCCAUGUUACGGAGAGGUAUCACUGGGCCCACUCGGUAGUGCAUCAUCAUAAUGAGCUCAAGGUGGCCAAGUGUCUGGUCACGGGAUCAUGCAUUACGGUACGAGUAAAGUGACUUGCCGGUAACGAGACUGAACGAGGUAUUGGGAUACUGACGAUCGAGUCUCGGGCAAGUAACAUAUCGUCUGAUAAAGGGAAUAGUAUACGGGGUUGCUUGAACCCUUGACAUCGUGGUUCAUCCGAUGACAACAUCGAGGAGCAUGUGGGAGCCAACAUGGGUAUCCAGAUCCCACUGUUGGUUAUUGACCUGAGGUCGUCUCGGUCAUGUCUGCAUGUCUCCCGAACCCGUAGGGUCUACACACUUAAGGUUCGGUGACGCUAGGGUUAUCAGGAAGACAAGUAUGUGAUUACCGAAUGUUGUUCGGAGUCCCGGAUGAGAUCCCGGACGUCACGAAGAGUUCCGGAAUGGUCCAGAGGUAAAGAUUUAUAUAAGGAAAGUGGUUAAACGGACACCGGAAAGUUUCGGUGGCAUACCGGUAUUGUACCGGGGCCACCGGAAGGGUUUCGGGGGUCCACCGGGUGGGGCCACCCCUCCCGGGGGGCCACAUGGGCUGUGUGGGAGAGGGAGCCAGCCCCUAGUGGGCUGGGCGCGCCUCCCCACCUAGGCCCAUGCGGCUAGGGCAAGGGGAGGGGAAACCCUAAAGGGGGCGCUCCCCUAGCUUGGGGGGCAAGCCACCCCUUUUCCCUCUCCCUUUGGCCGCCGCCCCCCUCUAUGGUUUCUCCUAGAGGGCCGCCCCCCUUGCCCCUCUCCUCCUAUAUAUAGAGGGGUGAGGGGAGGGCUGCUGUACACAACUCCAGGCGCAGCCCCUCCCCUCCCCAACACUUCUCCUCCUCCGUACGCACUUGGUGAAGCCCUGUCGGAGUACUGCUGCACCAACAACACCACGCCGUCGUGCUGCUGUUGGAUCUGCCUUCCUCAACCUCUCCUUCCUCCUUGCUUGAUCAAGACGGAGGAGACGUCGCCCGUACCGUACGUGUGUUGAACGCGGAGGUGCUGUCCGUUCAGCACUUGGUCAUCGGUGAUCUGAAUCACGGCGAGUACGACUCCCUCAUCACCAUCCCCUUGAAAGCUUCCGCACUCGAUCUACAAGUGGUAUGUAGAUGCAAACUCUUCCCCUUGACUCGUUGCUUAGAUGAACUCAUAGAUGGAUCUUGGUGAAACUGUAGAAUUUUUUUUAAUUUUCUGCAACGUUCCCCAACAGUGGCAUCAUGAGCUAGGUCUAUGCGUAGUUCUCUUUGCACGAGUAGAACACAAUUUUGUUGUGGGCGUGGAUCUUUUCAACUUGCUUGCCGCUACUAGUCUUAUCUUGCUUCAGCGGUAUUGUGGGAUGAAGCGGCCGGGACCAACCGUACACGUACGCUUACGUGAGACCAGUUCCACCGACUGACAUGCACUAGUUGCAUAAGGUGGCUGGCGGGUGUCUGUCUCUCCCACUUUAGUUGGAGCGGAUUCAAUGAAAAGGGUCCUUAUGAAGGGUAAAUAGAAGUUGACAAGAUCACGUUGUGGUUAUUCGUAGGUAAGAAAACGUUCUUGCUAGAACUCAAUUGCAGCCACGUAAAAGAUGCAACAACAAUUAGAGGACGUCUAACUUGUUUUUAUAGCAAUUGUCAUGUGAUGUGAUAUGGCCACAAGUUGUGAUGAAUGAUGAAUGAUAUAUUGGGAUGUAUGAGAUCAUGUUCUUGUAAUAGGAAUCACGACUUGCAUGUCAAUGAGUAUGACAACCGGCAGGAGCCAUAGGAGUUGUCUUUAUUUUGUAUGACCUGCGUGUCAUUGAAGAACGCCAUGUAAACUACUUUACUUUAUUUGCUAAAUGCAUUAGUCAUAGAAGUAGAAGUAGUCGUUGGCGUGACAACUUCAUGAAGACACGAUGAUGGAGAUCAUGGUGUCAUGCCGGUGACAAGAUGAUCAUGGAGCCCCGAAGAUGAAGAUCAAAGUAGCUAUAUGAUAUUGGCCAUAUCAUGUCACUACUUUAUAUAAUUGCAUGUGAUGUUUAUUAUGUUUAUGCAUCUUGUUUACUUAGAUCGAUGGUAGUAAAUAAGAUGAUCCCUUAUAACAAUUUCAAGAAAGUGUUCCCCCUAACUGUGCACCGUUGCUAAAGUUCGUCGUUUCGAAGCACCACGUGAUGAUCGGGUGUGAUAGAUCCUUACGUUCACAUACAACGGGUGUAGGAUAGUUUUACACAUGCAAAAACACUUAGGGUUAACUUGACGAGCCUAGCAUGUACAGACAUGGCCUCGGAACACGGAGACCGAAAGGUCGAACACGAGUCGUAUGGAAGAUACGAUCAACAUGAGAAUGUUCACCGACGAUGACUAGUCCGUCUCACGUGAUGAUCGGACACGGCCUAGUCGACUCGGAUCGUGUAACUCUUAGAUGACUAGAGGGAUGUCUAAUCUGAGUGGGAGUUCAUUCAAUAAUUUGAUUAGAUGAACUUAAUUAUCAUGAACUUAGUCUAAAACCUUUUGCAAAUAUGUCUUGUAGAUCAAAUGGCCAACGCUCAUGUCAACUUGAACUUCAACGCGUUCCUAGAGAAAACCAAGCUGAAAGAUGAUGGCCGCAACUAUACGGACUGGGUCCGGAACCUAAGGAUCAUCCUCAUAGCUGCCAGAAAACAAUAUGUCCUAGAAGGACCGCUAGGUGACGCUCCCGUCCCAGAGAACCAAGACAUUAUGAAUGCUUGGCAGUCUCGUGCUGAUGAUUACUCCCUUGUUCAGUGCGGCAUGCUUUACAGCUUAGAACCGGGGCUCCAAAAGCGUUUUGAGCAUCACGGAGCAUAUGAGAUGUUCGAGGAGCUGAAACUAGUUUUCCAAGCUCACGCCCGGGUCGAGAGAUAUGACAUCUCCGACAAGUUCUAUAGUUGUAAGAUGGAGGAAAAUAGUUCUGUCAGUGAGCACAUACUCAAGAUGUCUGGGUUGCACAACCGUAUGACCCAGCUGAAUAUUAACCUCCCUGAUGAGGCAGUCAUUGAUAGAAUCCUUCAGUCGCUCCCACCAAGCUACAAGAGCUUUGUGAUGAACUACAAUAUGCAGGGGAUGGUAAAGACCAUUCCUGAAGUAUUUUCUAUGCUGAAGUCAGCGGAGGUUGAAAUCAAGAAAGAACAUCAAGUGUUGAUGGUCAAUAAGACCACUAAGUUCAAGAAGGGCAAGGGUAAGAAGAACUUCAAGAAGGACGGCAAGGAGGUUGCCGCGCCCGGUAAGCCAGUUGCCGGGAAGAAGUCAAAGAAUGGACCCAAGCCUGAGACUGAGUGCUUUUAUUGCAAGGGGAAGGGUCACUGGAAGCGGAACUGCCCCAAAUACUUAGCGGAUAAGAAGGCCGGCAACACUAAAGGUAUAUUUGAUAUACAUGUAAUUGAUGUGUACCUUACCAGUACUCGUAGUAACUCCUGGGUAUUUGAUACCGAUGCCGUUGCUCAUAUUUGUAACUCACAGCAGGGGCUGCGGAAUAAGCGGAGACUGGCGAAGGACGAGGUGACGAUGUGCGUCGGGAAUGGUUCCAGAGUCGAUGUGAUCGCCGUCGGCACGCUACCUCUACAUUUACCCACGGGAUUAGUUUUGAACCUUAAUAAUUGUUAUUUAGUGCCAAGUUUGAGCAUGACCAUUGUAUCUGGAUCUCGUUUAAUACGAGAUGGCUACUCAUUUAAGUCUGAGAAUAAUGGUUGUUCGAUUUAUAUGAGAGAUAUGUUUUAUGGUCAUGCUCCGAUGGUCAAUGGUUUAUUCUUAAUGAAUCUCGAGCGUAAUACUACACAUAUUCAUAGGGUGAAUACCAAAAGAUGUAAAGUUGAUAACGAUAGUCCCACAUACUUGUGGCACCGCCGCCUUGGUCACAUUGGUGUCAAGCGCAUGAAGAAGCUCCAUGCUGAUGGACUUUUGGAGUCUCUCGAUUAUGAAUCGUUUGACACAUGCAAACCAUGCCUCAUGGGCAAGAUGACCAAGACUCCGUUCUCCGGAACAAUGGAGCGAGCAACCAACUUGUUGGAAAUCAUACAUACCGAUGUGUGCGGUCCAAUGAGCGUUGAGGCUCGCGGAGGAUAUCGUUAUGUUCUCACUCUCACUGAUGACUUGACUAGAUAUGGGUAUGUCUACUUAAUGAAACACAAGUCUGAGACCUUUGAAAAGUUCAAGGAAUUUCAGAAUGAGGUAGAGAAUCAACGUGACCGAAAGAUAAAAUUCCUACGAUCAGAUCGUGGAGGAGAAUACUUAAGUCACGAAUUUGGUACACACUUAAGGAAAUAUGGAAUCGUUUCACAACUAACGCCGCCUGGAACACCUCAGCGUAACGGUGUGUCUGAAUGUCGUAAUCGCACUCUAUUAGAUAUGGUGCGGUCUAUGAUGUCUCUUACCGAUUUACCACUAUCAUUUUGGGGAUACGCUCUAGAGACAACUACAUUCACUUUAAAUAGGGCACCGUCUAAAUCCGUUGAGACGACACCGUAUGAAUUAUGGUUUGGGAAGAAACCUAAGCUGUCAUUUCUAAAAGUUUGGGGAUGCGAUGCUUAUGUCAAGAAACUUCAACCUGAAAAGCUCGAACCCAAGUCGGAAAAAUGCGUCUUCAUAGGAUACCCUAAGGAAACCAUUGGGUAUACCUUCUACUUAAGAUCCGAGGGCAAGAUCUUUGUUGCCAAGAACGGAUCCUUUCUGGAAAAAGAGUUUCUCUCGAAAGAAGUAAGUGGGAGGAAAGUAGAACUCGAUGAAGUACUACCUCUUGAACCGGAAAGUAGUGCAGCCCAGGAAAAUGUUCCUGUGAUGCCUACACCAACUGAAGAGGAAAAUAAUGAUGAUCAAGGUACUUCGGAUCAAGUUGCUACUGAACUUCGUAGGUCCACAAGGACACGUUCCGCACCAGAGUGGUACGGCAACCCUGUCCUAGAAAUCAUGUUGUUAGACAACGGUGAACCUUCGAACUAUGAAGAAGCUAUGGCGGGUCCAGAUUCCAACAAAUGGCUAGAAGCCAUGAAAUCCGAGAUAGAAUCCAUGUAUGAAAACAAAGUAUGGACUUUGACUGACUUGCCCGAUGGUCGGCGAGCGAUAGAAAACAAAUGGAUCUUUAAGAAGAAGACGGACGCGGAUGGUAAUGUUACCAUCUAUAAAGCUCGACUUGUCGCUAAGGGUUAUCGGCAAGUUCAAGGGAUUGACUACGAUGAGACUUUCUCUCCCGUAGCGAAGCUUAAGUCUGUCCGAAUCAUGUUAGCAAUUGCCGCAUACUAUGAUUAUGAGAUAUGGCAGAUGGACGUCAAAACGGCAUUCCUUAACAGUUAUCUUAAGGAAGAACUGUAUAUGAUGCAGCCGGAAGGUUUUGUCGAUCCUAAGAACGCUAACAAAGUAUGCAAGCUCCAGCGAUCCAUUUAUGGGCUGGUGCAAGCAUCUCGGAGUUGGAACAUUCGCUUUGAUGAGAUGAUCAAAGCGUUUGGGUUUAUGCAGACUUAUGGAGAAGCCUGCGUUUACAAGAAAGUGAGUGGGAGCUCUGUAGCAUUUCUCAUAUUAUAUGUAGAUGACAUACUUUUGAUGGGAAAUGAUAUAGAAUUGUUGGACAGCAUUAAGGCCUACUUGAAUAAGUGUUUUUCAAUGAAGGACCUUGGAGAAGCUGCUUAUAUAUUAGGCAUCAAGAUCUAUAGAAAUAGAUCGAGACGCUUCAUAGGUCUUUCACAAAGCACAUACCUUGAUAAAAUUUUGAAGAAGUUCAAAAUGGAUCAGUCCAAGAAGGGGUUCUUGCCUGUAUUGCAAGGUGUGAGAUUGAGCUCGGCUCAAUGCCCGACCACGGCAAAAGAUAUAGAAGAGAUGAGUGUCAUCCCCUAUGCUUCAGCCAUAGGAUCUAUUAUGUAUGCCAUGCUGUGUACCAGACCUGAUGUAAACCUUGCCGUAAGUUUGGUAGGAAGGUACCAAAGUAAUCCCGGCAAGGAACACUGGACAGCGGUCAAGAAUAUCCUGAAGUACCUGAAAAGGACAAAGGACAUGUUUCUCGUUUAUGGAGGUGACGAAGAGCUCGUCGUAAAGGGUUACGUCGACACUAGCUUUGACACAGAUCUGGAUGACUCUAAGUCACAAACCAGAUACGUGUAUAUGUUGAAUGGUGGAGCAGUAAGCUGGUGCAGCUGCAAGCAGAGCGUCGUGGCGGGAUCUACAUGUGAAGCGGAGUACAUGGCAGCCUCGGAGGCAGCGCAUGAAGCUAUUUGGGUGAAGGAGUUCAUCACCGACCUAGGAGUCAUACCCAAUGCGUCUGGGCCGAUCAAACUUUUCUGUGACAAUACUGGAGCUAUUGCCCUUGCAAAGGAGCCCAGAUUUCACAAGAAGACCAGGCACAUCAAGCGUCGUUUCAACUCCAUCCGUGAGAAUGUUCAAGAUGGAGACAUAGAAAUUUGCAAAGUACAUACAGAUCUGAAUGUCGCAGAUCCGUUGACUAAACCUCUCUCGCGAGCGAAACAUGAUCAACACCAGAACUCUAUGGGUGUUCGAUUCAUCACAAUGUAACUAGAUUAUUGACUCUAGUGCAAGUGGGAGACUGUUGGAAAUAUGCCCUAGAGGCAAUAAUAAAAGUGUUAUUAUUAUAUUUCUUUGUUCAUGAUAAUAGUCUUUUAUUCAUGCUAUAAUUGUAUUAUCCGGAAAUCGUAAUACACGUGUGAAUACAUAGACCUCAAUAUGUCCCUAGUGAGCCUCUAGUUGACUGGCUCGUUGUGAUCAAUAGAUAGUCAUGGUUUCCUGGCUAUGGACAUUGGAUGUCGUUGAUAACGGGAUCACAUCAUUAGGAGAAUGAUGUGAUGGACAAGACCCAAUCCUAAGCAUAGCACAGAGGUCGGUUAGUUCGUUUGCUAAAGCUUUUCCAAUGUCAAGUAUCUCUUCCUUAGACCAUGAGAUCGUGUAACUCCCGGAUACCGUAGGAGUGCUUUGGGUGUACCAAACGUCACAACGUAACUGGGUGACUAUAAAGGUGCAUUACAGGUAUCUCCGAAAGUGUCUGUUGGGUUGACACUGAUCGAGACUGGGAUUUGUCACUCCAUGUUACGGAGAGGUAUCACUGGGCCCACUCGGUAGUGCAUCAUCAUAAUGAGUUCAAGGUGGCCAAGUGUCUGGUCACGGGAUCAUGCAUUACGGUACGAGUAAAGUGACUUGCCAGUAACAAGACUGAACGAGGUAUUGGGAUACCGACGAUCGAGUCUCGGGCAAGUAACAUACCGUUUGAUAAAGGGAAUAGUAUACGGGGUUGCUUGAACCCUUGACAUCGUGGUUCAUCCGAUGACAACAUCGAGGAGCAUGUGGGAGCCAACAUGGGUAUCCAGAUCCCGCUUUUGGUUAUUGACCUGAGGUCGUCUCGGUCAUGUCUGCAUGUCUCCCGAACCCGUAGGGUCUACACACUUAAGGUUCGGUGACGCUAGGGUUAUCAGGAAGACAAGUAUGUGAUUACCGAAUGUUGUUCGGAGUCCCGGAUGAGAUCCCAGACAUCACGAGGAGUUCCGGAAUGGUCCGGAGGUAAAGAUUUAUAUAAGGAAAGUGGUUAAACGGACACCGGAAAGUUUCGGUGGCAUACCGGUAUUGUACCGGGGCCACCGGAAGGGUUCCGGGGGUCCACCGGGUGGGGCCACCCCUCCCGGGGGGCCACAUGGGCUGUGUGGGAGAGGGAGCCAGCCCCUAGUGGGCUGGGCGUGCCUCCCCACCUAGGCCCAUGCGGCUAGGGCAAGGGGAGGGGAAACCCUAAAGGGGGCGCCCCCUAGCUUGGGGGGCAAGCCACCCCUUUUCCCUCUCCCUUUGGCCGCCGCCCCCCUCUAGGGUUUCCCCUAGAGGGCCGCCCCCCUUGCCCCUCUCCUCCUAUAUAUAGAGGGGUGAUGGGAGGGCUGCUGUACACAACUCCAGGCGCAGCCCCUCCCCUCCCCAACACUUCUCCUCCUCCGUACGCGCUUGGCGAAGCCCUGUCGGAGUACUGCUGCACCAACAACACCACGCCGUCGUGCUGCCGUUGGAGCUGCCUUCCUCAACCUCUCCUUCAUCCUUGCUGGAUCAAGACGGAGGAGACGUCGCCCGUACCGUACGUGUGUUGAACGCGGAGGUGCUGUCCGUUCAGCACUUGGUCAUCGGUGAUCCGAAUCACGGCGAGUACGACUCCCUCAUCACCAUCCCCUUGAAAGCUUCCGCACUCGAUCUACAAGUGGCAUGUAGAUGCAAACUCUUCCCCUUGACUCGUUGCUUAGAUGAACUCAUAGAUGGAUCUUGGUGAAACCGUAGAAAAAAAAUUUAAUUUUCUGCAACGUUCCCCAACACAUACCUCGAUUGGUUGCCACUUGGUGGUCCGGCGAGGUCCUGCAGGGGCGGUCGAGGCAGCAGGGGGUCGGGACGGCCAUGGCGGUUCCUGUCAGGGGCAAGAGGUCCGGCCACAAGAAGAGGCAGGGGCAACAAGAAGAAACAGGGGGAGAAAAGGAGGGUGGCGACUCAUCUGCUAGCUGAUUCGGGCACUCGGGAGGAGCUCGUCUCCCCGGGUCGACGAGGAGAGCGAGGAGGGAGAGGCUCGAUGGGCUUGGGUGGAUCGAGGGGAAGCAGAGGCUGGUUGGUUCGGUGGCGAAAUCGAGGAUGGAAGGAGAUGGCGCUGGUUGGGCAGGUGGAUCGGGGUGGAUCCCGAUGGGGAUUUGGGAGAUAAGUGCGGCGGCGGCAGGGACAACUCCCUAGUUUCUAGGGUUGGGUCCGUAUAUAUAUAGUAAGUGGGUUUUUGGGUAGGGGCUAAUCCAUCUCUCCGAUCGUAAUCGGACGGUCGGGAAAAAUAGGCUAGGGAGCCCAAAUAAGAAAACGGAGACAUUUUGUAGAUGUUUGGGGAUGAUCCGGACACAACGGUGGCGACAGUCUGGGUCGGGUUCGGGACAACUUCCGGACGCGCGCGAGGUGUGCCGCGGGCUGACGAGAGAGGUUAGGUUGGGCCUGGCGGUAGGUAGUGGACUGUGCAGAAGGCCUCAGGCUGAGAAAAGAGAAGAGAGAAAGGCCCGACGACUAUUUCCGGAGACCGAAAACGUCCGACAUUUGUCCGGCUAUAAUGCCGCUAUAGUUUAACGGUUGGGCUAUCAAACGAACUCCGAAUGCGAUGAAACUUGACAGACGGUCUAUCUACACUACAAUAAGACCGCAUGCCAACUUUCAACCCAUUCCGAGAACAUUUUCUGGCCACUUAUAAAAUAAUAUUUUGGACAUGCCGCGGGCGCGUGCAAGUGUUUCUGGGUUCAGAACGGAAAACAGAUGGAACUGGGAGACCCGGACUUAUGCAAGUUUUGAAAAUAUGAUGAUGCAAUGCACAUGAUGACAUGACAAGAUGCAACAGGCAAGCGAAUGGCAAGACAACAACAGCGAAUAACUGGAAGACACCUGGCGCAUCGGUCUCGGGGCGUCACAACACUCCACCACUACGAGAGGAUCUCGUCCCGAGAUCUAGAAUGGCACCGGAGGGACAACGGAAGAGAAAGAGGAGAGGUAAAGCUAAGUUGCUUCUUUGACAAAUGAGUGAAACCACGAACCUUGCAAAGAUUAAACCAUAUAAAGAAAGAAUGCAACAAAGAAGAACAAACUUGAAAGCACUCCGGUAGGGAAGAGGAACAAGGAAUUACAAAUUCGGAAAGCACUUCAGUUGAAAAGAGAUGAAAGACUUGAUAAAAUGAAAGAGCUUGAGCAACGGGGCACAACACUCCGGUUAAAUGGAUAAACCAAGAAAAGAACAUGAUGCUGACAAGAAUAAGAAGAAGGUUUGAAGAGAGCCGCAACACAAUGCCUCCAGAACAGAAGUAAGAAUUUAAUGAACGAAGGGAAAAAAACGAGAGCAUGCUUACAACAAUGCUAGAAUGGAGUUGUUGGAAAACCAACAACGAAAAGAAUAAGAUUGAUAUGGUCUUAUGGAAUACAUCUCAUAUUAUGAGGUGACAACCUGGCACUCACAGAAAAAAGAAUUGGAUUGAUAAGAACAAGGGGACGAGAAACUAAUUUCACCGGGAAGGAUAGAUGAAGAACUUGGAUCAUAUAUUAUCACCAUUAAUAGCAUUAAUCCUUAGGAAAAAGCUUUAGGUGAAAUAUAACUCUAGAUAACUCCAACGAUUAGGUUGAUGGAUUUAAAAUAUCUCAUUCUUAACAAUAUGUGAAUCAUGAAACAUGAGCUCAAAUUAUCAAGAAUGACAUAAUACCACCUCCAAUGAUACGGUAGAAAGAAUUGCACUCCGGAUUGCAAGAUGAAGAAUGCUUGAGCUCCUCUGAAAAGAAUCUCGAUGAAUCCUUCGAGAAGGAAUUAAAUCUUUGAUGAACCAUCAUGUAGAGCCUUCAUGAAGAACUCCGGUAACAAAAGAAGGACGAAAAGAAAGAGAAGUUAAAAACACAAGGUGAAACCUUGUAAUUAUUAGAUGGAUCUUCGUGAUGAUAUAAUUGCGAGAGCUUGGAAUUCCGGAAAGAAAAGAUAAAGCCUCUCGAACCAAGAAUGAGAUAUGAUGAACCACCCCGGACAGCAGAAAUUGAUUUUUACUUGAUGAAACAAGAAUAAGAAUUACAUUAUGCUUAUCCUUCACCGAUAAAAUUGAUGACAAACAAUGGAUUUGGCACACUACUUAUUCUCGUAGAAAGGGGUAAGAUUGAUAUAGCGCAAACUUGAGAAUGUCUUCUGCGAACCGACGGUAGGAUUGGAAAGAACGAACGAAUUGAUAUGAUAACCAAGGAAGAGAUAUCUAGAAGGACCCACCAUAAGGAUUGAAAAUGAACGAAGUAAAGGGAUGAAUCACUGGUAAGAAUUAGCAAAUGAACGAAGAUACAUGAGAGAGUUUAGAUACAAAAGAACGAAGAGAUCAUGAACUGAUUAGAGGAUAUUUGAUCGAUGCAUCGGUAAGAUUGGAGGAUGAUAACAGAAAGCUGAGAAUGAAAAAAAAUCCUGAAUUGAUGGACUCCGGAUAACAAACUGAGAAGACUCUUGAAUUUCUCCGGAUAGGUGAAAAGAAUUCCCACAAUCAAAAAUAAUUAUGAGAGGAUGGAAACCAAACUAGAAUCAUGAAUCUUGAAGAGAAUGGAGCAAGAUUGAGAGAAAAAAUCUUCUUCGGUCUUCAAAAUCUGAGAGUUACUGCGAGAAACACCACCAAUAAUUGUACAGGCACUCCGGAAGAAUCAAAAGCGAAGAGAUUGAGCCAACGAUGAAAAGGAUUUAUACCGAUCUUGGAGAAAGACAUUUGACCGAUGAUAAUUCAUUCUUACGUCAAACUUAAAAAGAUUUGAUAAUCGCUCUGGGAAAAUAAGAAGAGUCAGGUAAGAUCUUGGAAAAAGACCUGUGGGUUAGGGCCCACUGAGAAGAAACACCUUAGAAGGAUUACUUGAAAGGGAGAAUACACCGGUUAGAAAAAAAUGGCUUGAAUGAGAUAACAACCUCGGAAUAGGUUUGAACAGAUCUUGAAGGAAAAGACGAGGCUUCCGAGAUAUCUUCAGCACUCCGGAAUAAUUGAAUAGCGAGAAAUGAAUGAAUAUGAUGAGCACCGGUAUGAUAAAACUUCUGAAACAAGGAAAGGAUAUGAUCAACACCAAAAGCUUGAAUUGAAUCCACCGGAGAAGAAAAAGAAUGAUGAAAGUUGAGCUAGUAGAACAUCUUCAUGGAAAACACCGGGUAAGAACAUUGACGGAAAAAGGAAUGGAGAGACUUCACAAUAAUAAAAGGAUACUUGAUUAAGAAAUCUGAGUCCUCGAAGAAAAAGGGUGGGAGGGCGGGAAAACAAAGGCAACUUGGGGACGGAUGAAACAAACACCGUUGAGAAGAACUGAUACUUGAUCUUUCGGAUGUUGUAAUGAUCGGAUCCACUUGGAGAGAAGCACACCGGUUAAAAAGGAUUGACAUGACAAACUCAAUGAUCGAGAAGGAUUAUUGUUCACAUCGGGGUAUUAGAACACCGCUUAGGAAAAGGUAUGGAAUCAACAUUUGACUUCGAAGCAACUCGAAUACAACAACUCAAAACAAAACAAAAGAUUGGCUUGCAGAAGAAGCCGGAACAAACAUAUGGUAGAGAUUUCGUCCGAAGUUUUCGUGGUGGGGCCUACACGGGCUCGAUCAUACAACACCAUCAUGUACAAGGAAGUGCACAUGGCAUACGAAGCGUCCCCGAGUCGGCAUAGCCAAGGACUCUUUAAGACACAACGAGACCACUGUAAAACCAACCGUGGAUAGGCGGACCACUAGACAUCAAACCCCAAUUUCAUAUCAUACAUCUGUCGGAAAGAUAUCCUAAGAGCUACUUGAAUUCCCACUUAUAAACUCCCGAAAUUUCCCGGUUAUGCAAUCUGGUGUUGGGGAUACAGGGGAAGCAUAAUAUCUCACCCAAAACUAACAAAUCCUACAUCCAGUUGUAUCCAUCCUUCAACACAUAAGCAAGAAACCUUCGGAAAUCAUCUACCUCAACCUUCGAAAAGCAUCCGUUAUACGAUUUAUGGCAAUACUCCCGUACUCCCACCCCAGUACUGGGUGGCGUCGAGGUUAUCUCACCAACAACUGCAUAAAAGAGAUUUUCAAUGUCGGCGAAACUAAACUCAGGUAUUCUAGAACUGCAACGAUAAAAUUGUGACAACAACACCUCGAAGCUCAACUCCCCGGGGCACUGCCACAACCCCUAAAUGACAUGAGGCACCAAGAACAAUGUUCUCGUCACAAAACCAUCGGAACAAUUCCAAGAUACCCGCGUGAUCCUAAUUGUUUUUUUUUGUGAAAAUUUGAGAAGAGAAGAGUCAAAACUCUAAGUCAGGAUGCCUCACCAGAGCGACGAAGGGACUGAGGAGUAAAAAGAAGUCCUAACUCUCUGAUAUAUAUAAUCCUAAAUGACUCAAAACAUUUCUAGACUCAAUAACGCCAACAAUUCGAUCAAGCAGGGGGCUCCUAAGGUCGGGGAAGGCUCUGAUUACCAACUUGAAAUGCCCUCGAUGCGGCUAUAUCUCCCACGUGUCGAAGCACGACUUAGAGGCAUAACCGCAUUGAAAGCCAUGUCGCAAGUGAGGUAAUCUUCACACAACCCAUGUAAUACAUAAGGGAAAGAGAUACAUAGUUGGCGUACAAUCGCCACUUCACACAAUUACAGGAAUAAAGCAUUACAUCAUACAAAUACACACAAGGUCCGACUACGGAACCAAAAUAAAAGAAGACUACCCCAAAGCUACACAGAUCCCCGAUCGUCCCGACUGGGCUCCACUAUUGAUCAACUAGAACGAAACAACACAAAGGACAAGAUCUUCAACGAGCUCCUCCUUGAGCUUGGUUGCGUCAUCUGCACAGUAACAUCGGCACUUGCAAACUGGUUUCGGAAGUAUCUGUGAGCCACGGGGACUCAGCAAUUUCACACCCUCGUGAUCAAGACUAUUUAAGCUUAUGGGUAAGGCAAAGUUAUGAGGUUGAGCUGCAGCAAGCGACUAGCAUAUAUGGUGGCUAACAUACGCAAAAGAGAGCGAGAAGAGAAGGCAAGGCACGCUCGAUAAAACUAUGAUCAAGAAGUGAUCCUAGAACAACCUACGUCAAGCAUAACUCCAACACCGUGUUGACUUUCCGGACCCCGCCGAGAAGAGACCAUCACGGUUACACACACGGUUGAUGCAUUUUAAUUAAGAUAAUCUUCAGGUUUUCUACAACCAGACAUUAACAAAUUCCCAUCUGCCCAUAACCGCGGGCAUGGCUUUCGAAAGUUCAAAUCCCUGUAGGGGUGUCCCAACUUAGCCCAUCACAAGCUCUCACGGUCAACGAAGGAUAUUCCUUCUAGCCGGAAGACUCGAUCAGGCUCGGAAUCCCGGUUACAAGACAUCCUCGACAAUGGUAAAACAAGUCCAGCAAGACCGCCCGAUGCGCCGACAUCUUGAUAGGAGCUGCACAUAUCUCGUUCUCAGGGCAACACUGGAUGAGCGCUCCGUACAACUAAACCAACCCUCAAGUUUCCCCGAGGUAGCGCUGCAAAGGACUCUAGUUCGGACCAACACUUAGACAAGCACUUGCCCGGGGGGGGGGGGUUAAAAGAAAGAAUAACCUUGGGAUGCGCGACUCCCAAGGGAAAAAGGCUAGCUGGCGAAAGGUAAAACCAAGGUUGGGCCUUGCUGGAGGAGUUUUAUUCAAGGCGAACUGUCAAGGGGUUCCCAUUAUAACCCAACCGCGUAAGGAACGCAAAAUCCGGGAACAUAACACCGAUAUGACAGAAACUAGGGCGGCAAGAGUGGAACAAAACACUAGGCAUAAGGCCGAGCCUUCCACCCUUUACCAAGUAUAUAGAUGCAUUAAUUAAAUAAGAGAUAUUGUGAUAUCCCAACAAGUAAACAUGUUCCAAGAAGGAACACAUCUCCAUGUUCCAACAAGGAACAAACUUCAAUAUUCACCUGCAACUAACAACGCUAUAAGAGGGGCUGAGCAAAGCGGUAACAUAGCCAAACAACAAUUUGCUAGAUCAAGGUGGGUUAGAGGCUUGGUUCAACAAUAUGGGAGGCAUGAUAAGCAAGUGGUAGGUAUCGCAGCAUAGGCAUAGCAAAAGAGCGAGCAUCUAGCAAGCAAAGAUAGAAGUGAUUCCGAGGGUAUGGUCAUCUUGCCUGAAAUCCCGCAAGGAAGAAGAACGAGUCCAUGAAGAAGACAAACGGACGUAGACGAACGGGUCCUCACAAACGCGACGUUAUCGGAACCAACCCGAAGAAGCAACACCGAAAAGAAGCAAACAACAUGAUAAACAACCAGCACAUAAACAUGGCAUGAUGCACAACCAAGUAUGAUGCAUGUCCGGUUUAAUGAAGCAUGGCAUGGCAUGGCAAAGUGCAACAAACAACACUACAACUUAAGUGGAGCUCAAUAUGCAACUCCGUUGCAUAUUGACGAAACACCAUGUGACUUAUUUAGUUUGAUCUCGUUUAUGUACCCAACAAGAUUAAAUGUUGAUUAACAUGGCAAGAGGUGAAGCUAAUUAAAACUACCUAUCUAGUCAAGUUUAAAUGAGGCCGGAAGCAACGAACAACAAUUAUGGAAAAACCCCAUAUGCAUAUAUUAGGUUUGGUACUGAUCUGUCCUAAACACAAUUUUAUAGUUGUUAAACAUGCAAAGUGAAGCCACCAAGUUAAACUAUGCAUUUUUCUACCCCUUUUACAUAUAAAGUUUAUUAGAAACCGAGCUACGGUUAUUUAGUUAUGAAUUAAAACAUUUUAAUAAGUUAUUUAAGCAAAUUUAAACAAACAACAUUUUAAACAUUUCAAACAUGCAUGAAAGUUGCAUAUUAUGAAACUAGAUGCAAUUCUAAGCAUUUAACAUGUGUGAAACAUUUUAAUCCGAUGCACAGUUCAUUAGUUAUUAAAUGCAUGAACAACAAGGGGUAAUCUGUAAAUAUGCAGUUUUUCUGUGAAUAGCAAAAUUCGUUCAUAGCAGAAAAAAAAAUAUACAUCGGGCCGAAUCUGGCCGGCCCAACAGGCUCAGGAGAGGGCUGGGCGCAUCCUCACCAUGGGCUGAGGCCCAGUCAAAGCAGUGGUGGGGUAGGCUGGAUCUAUAGGGAAGCAGCGGGGGCCGGCGUGUAGUGCGGGCGACUUGGCCUUUGCGCCGGGGUCAAACAGCAGCGGCAGGCCGGCUCUCGCGAAGCGCUGGGCCUGGCGCUGGAGAGGCAGGCUGGGCCUUGGGCGGUUGACAGCAGAGGCAACCGGGCCUUGGGGGCCGCGGCCCAUGGCGAUCGACGGGGAGGGCAUGGUCGAUCUGGAGUCGGUCAACGCGAGCGCGGCGCUGGGCCAAUUCCAAAUCGAAGCGAGGCGGCAGUGCAGGCGCGGGGUCGAGUGGCGCUGCAUGGGUCAACGCGAGCGAGGCAGAGUCAAGGCGCUUGAGCGGGACAAGCGAAGCUCCUCUGCUUUCGAGCAGAGCGAGCAGAGGCCGGCGACGAUGGACUUGGCAAGGGCAGCGCAGAGGCUUGGCGGACAGUGGCGAGCUCGGUGCGUCAUCUCGCUGGAAGACGAAUGGGACGGCAGCGACCGAUGCUGAUUCACGAAUCCGCAUGAGGUAGAUGCCCCGGACGAGAUGCAGCAAGGGUACGGGCCCACAGCGAGGCGGCAGAAGCUCCUGCACGUACCUCGGGAGGUUGCCGCUUGGUGGUCCGGCGAGGUCCUCCUGGGGCGCUCGAGGCAGCAGGGGGUCGGGACGGCCAUGGCAGUUCCUGUCAGCGGCAAGAGGUCAGGCCACAGGGAGAGUCAGGGGCAACAAGAAGAAACAGGGGGAGAAAAGGAGGGCGGCGACUCAUCUGCUAGCUGAUUCGGGCACUUGGGACGAGCUCGUCUCCCCGGGUCGACGAGGAGAGCGAGGAGGGAGAGGAUCGAUGGGCUUGGGUGGAUCGAGGGGAAGCAGAGGCUAGUUGGUUUGGUGGCGAAAUCGAGGAAGGGAAGGAGACGGUGUUGGUUGGGCAGGUGGAUCAGGGUGGAUCCCGAUGGGGAUUUGGGAGAUAAGUGCAUCGGCGGCAGGGACAAGUCCCUAGUUUCUAGGGUUGGGUCCGUAUAUAUAUAGUAAGUGGGUUUUUGGGUAGGGGCUAAUCCGUCUCUCUGAUCGUAAUCGGACGGUCGGGAAAAAUAGGCUAGGGAGCCCAAAUAAUAAAACAGAGACAUUUUGUAGAUAUUUGGGGAUGAUCCGGACACAACGGUGGUGACAGUCCGGGUCGGGUUCAGGACAACUUCCAGACGCGCGCGAGGGGUGCCGCGGGCUGACGAGAGAGGUUAGGUUGGGCCUGGAGGUAGGUAGUGGACUGUGCAGAAGGCCUCAGGCUGAGGAAAGAGAAGAGAGAAAGGCCCGACGACUGUUUUCGGAGACCGAAAACGUCCAUCAUUUGUCCGGCUAUAAUGCCGCUAUAGUUUAAUGGUUGGGCUAUCAAACGAACUCCGAAUGCGAUGAAACUUGACAGGCGGUCUAUCUACACUAUAAUAAGACUGCGCGCCAACUUUCAACCCAUUCCGAGAACAUUUUCCGGCCACUUAUAAAAUAAUAUUUCGGACAUGCCGCGGGCGCGUGCAAGUGUGUCUGGGUUCAGAAUGGAAAAUAGACGGAACUGGGAGACCCGGGCUAAUGCAAGUUUUGAAAAUAUGAUGAUGCAAUGCACAUGAUUACAUGACAAGAUGCAACAGGCAAGCGAAUGACAAGACAACAACAGUGAAUAACUGGACGACACCUGGCGCAUCGGUCUCGGGGCAUCACAACACUCCACCACUACGAGAGAAUCUCGUCCCGAGAUCUAGAAUGGCACCGGAGGGACAACGAAAGAGAAAGAGGAGAGGUAAAGCUAAGUUGCUUCUUUGACAAACGAGUGAAACCAUGAACCUUGCGAAUAUUAAACCAUAUAAAGAAAGAAUGCAACGAUGAAGAACAAAGUUGAAAGCACUCCGAUAGGGAAGAGGAACAAGGAAUUACAAAUUCGGACAUCACUUCGGUUGAAAAGAGAUGAAAGACUUGAUAAAAUGAAAGAGCUUGAGCAAAGGGGCACAACACUCCGGUUAAAUGGAUAAACCAAGAAAAGAACAGGAUCCUGACAAGAACAAGAAGAAGGUUUGAAGAGAGCCGCAACACAAUGCCUCCGAAACAAAAGUGAGAAUUUAAUGAACGAAGGGAAAAACGAGAGCACGCUUACAACAAUGCUAGAACGGAGUUGUUGGAAAACCAACAACGAAAAGAAUAAGAUUGAUAUGGUCUUAUGGAAUACAUCUCAAAUUAUGAGGUGACAACCUGGCACUCACGGAAAAAAGAAUUGGAUUGAUAAGAACAAGGGGACGAGAAACUAAUUUCACCGGGAAGGAUAGAUGAAGAACUAGGAUCAUAUAUUAUCACCAUUAACAGCAUUAAUAACUUAGGAAAAAGCUUUAGGUGAAAUAUAACUCCAGAUAACUCCAACAAAUAGGUUGAUGGAUUUAAAAUAUCUCAUUCUUAACAAUAUGUGAAUCAUGAAAGAUGAGCUCAAAUUAUCAAGAAUGACAUAAUACCACCUCCAAUGAUACGGUAGAAAGAAUUGCACUCCGGAUUGCAAGAUGAAGAAUGCUUGAGCUCCUAUGAAAAGAAUCUCGAUGAAUCCUUCGAGAAGGAAUUAAGUCUUUGAUGAACCAUCAUGUAGAGCCUUCAUGAAGAACUCCGGUAACAAAAGAAUGACGAAAAGAAAGAGGAGUUAAAAACACAAGGUGAAACCUUGUAAUUAUUAGAUGGAACUUCGUGAUGAUAUAAUUGUUAGAGCUUGGAAUUCCGGAAAAGAAAAGAUAAAGCCUCUCGAACCAAGAAUGAGAUAUGAUGAACCACCCCGGACAGCAAAAAUUGAUUUUUACUUGAUGAAACAAGAAUAAGAAUUACAUUAUGCUUAUCCUUCACCAAUAAAAUUGAUGACAAACAAUGGAUUUGGCACACUACUUAUUCUCGUAGAAAGGGGUAAGAUUGAUAUAGCGCAAACUUGAGAAGGUCUUGUACGAACCGACGGGAGGAUUGGAAAGAACGAAUGAAUUGAUAUGAUAACCAAGGAAGAGAGAUCUAGAAGGACCCACCAUAAGGAUUGAAAAUGAACGAAGUAAAGGGAUGAAUCACUGGUAAGAAUUAGCAAAUGAAAAGAUACAUGAGAGAGUUUAGAUACAAAAGAACGAAGAGAUCAUGAACUGAUUAGAGGAUAUUUGAUUGAUGCACCAGUAAGAUUGGAGGAUGAUAACUGAAAGCUGAGAAUGAAAAAAAAUCCUGAAUUGAUGAACUCUGGAUAAUAAACUGAGAAGACUCUUGAAUUGCUCCGGAUAGGUGAAAAGAAUUCCCAUAAUCAAAAAUAAUUAUGAGAGGAUGGCAACCAAACUAGAAUCACGAAUCUUGAAGAGAAUGGAGCAAGAUUGAGAGAAAAAAAAUCUUCUUCGGUCUUCAAAAUCUGAGAAUUACGGCGAGAAACACCACCAAUAAUUGUAGAGGCACUCCGGAAGAAUCAAAAGCGAAGAGAUUGAGCCAAUGAUGAAAAGGAUUUAAACCGAUCUUGGAGAAAGACAUUUGACCAAUGAUAAUUCAUUCUUAUGUCAAACUUAAAAAGAUUUGAUAAUCGCUCCGGGAAAAUAAGAAGAGUCAGGUAAGAUCCUGGAAAAAGACCUGUGGGUUAGGGCCCACUGAGAAGAAACACCUUAGAAGGAUUACUUGAAAGGGAGAAUACACCGGUUAGAAAAAAAUGGCUUGAAUGAGAUAACAACCUCGGAAUAGGUUUGAACGGAUCUUGAAGGAAAAGACGAGGCUUCCGAGAUAUCUUCAGCACUCCGGAAUAAUUGAAUAGCGAGAAAUGAAUGAAUAUGAUGAGCACCGGUAUGAUAAAACUUCUGAAACGAGGAAAGGAUAUGAUCAACACCAAAAGCUUGAAUUGAAUCCACCGGAGAAGAAAAAGAAUGAUGAAAGAUGAGCUAGUAGAACAUCUUCAUGGAAAACACCGGGUAAGAACAUUGACGGAAAAAGGAAUGGAGAGACUUCACAAUAAUAAAAGGAUACAUGAUUAAGAAAUCUGAGUCCUCGAAGAAAAAGGGUGGGAGGGCGGGAAAACAAAGGCAACUUGGGGACGGAUGAAACAAACACCGUUGAGAAGAACUGAUACUUGAUCUUUCGGAUGUUGUAAUGAUCGGAUCCACUUGGAGAGAAGCACACCAGUUAAAAAGGAUUGACAUGACAAACUCAAUGAUCGAGAAGGAUUAUUGUUCACAUUGGGGGUAUUAGAACACCGCUUAGGAAAAGGUAUGGAAUCAACAUUUGACUUUGAAGCAACUCGAAUACCACAACUCAAAACAAAACAAAGGAUUGGCUUGCAGAAUAAGCCGGAACAAACAUAUGGUAGAGAUUUCGUCCGAAGUUUUCAUGGUGGGGCCUACACGGGCCCGAUCGUACAGCACCAUCAUGUACAAGGCAGUGCACAUGACAUACCAAGCGUCCCCGAGUCGGCAUAGCCAAGGACUCUUUAAGACACAACGAGACCACUGUAAAACCAACCGUGGAUAGGCGGACCACUAGACGUCGAACCACAAUUUCAUAUCAUACAUCCGUCGGAAAGAUAUCCUAAGAGCUACUUGAAUUCCCACUUAUAAACUCCUGAAAUUUUCCGGUUAUGCAAUCUGGUGUUGGGGAUACAGGGGAAGCAUAAUAUCUCACCCAAAACUAACAAAUCCUACAUCCAGCUGUAUCCAUCCUUCAACACAUAACCAAGAAACCUUCGGAAAUCGUCUACCUCAACCUUCGAAAAGCAUCCGUUAUACGAGUUAUGGCAAUACUCCUGAACUCCUGCCCCAGUACUGGGUGGCGUCGAGGUUAUCUCACCAACAACUACAUAAAAGAGAUUUUCGAUGUCGGCGAAACUAAACUCGGGUAUUCCAGAACUGCAACGAUAAAAUUGUGACGACAACACCUCGGAUCUCAACUCCCCGGGGCACUGCCACAACCCCUAAAUGACAGGAGGCACCAAGAACAAUGUUCUCGUCACAAAACCAUUGGAACGAUUCCAAGAUACCCGCGUGAUCCUAAAUUUUUUUUUGUGAAAAUUUGAGAAGAGAAGAGUCAAAACUUUAUGUCAGGAUGCCUCACCAGAGCGAGGAAGGGACUGAGGAGUAAAAAGAAGUCCUAACUCUCCGAUAUAUAUAAUCCUAAAUGACUCAAAACAUUUCUAGACUCAAUAACGCCAGCAAUUCGAUCAAGCAGGGGGCUCCUAAGGUCGGGGAAGGCUCUGAUUAUCAACUUGAAACGCCCUCGAUGCGGCUAUAUCUCCCACGUGUCGAAGCACGACUUAGAGGCAUAACCGCAUUGAAAGCAAUGUCGCAAGUGAGGUAAUCUUCACACAACACAUGUAAUACAUAAGGGAAAGAGAUACAUAGUUGGCUUACAAUCGCCACUUCACACAAUUACAGGAAUAAAGCAUUACAUCAUACAAAUACACACAAGGUCCGACUACGGAACCAAAAUAAAAUAAGACUACCCCAAAGCUACACAGAUCCCCGAUCGUCCUGACUGGGCUCCACUACUGAUCAACUAGAACGAAACAACACAAAGGACAAGAUCUUCAACGAGCUCCUCCUUGAGCUUGGUUGCGUCAUCUGCACGGUAACAUCGGCACCUGCAAACUGGUUUUGGAAGUAUCUGUGAGCCACGGGGACUCAGCAAUUUCACACCCUCACAAUCAAGACUAUUUAAGCUUAUGGGUAAGGCAAAGUUAUGAGGUUGAGCUGCAGCAAGCGACUAGCAUAUAUGGUGGCUAACAUACGCAAAAGAGAGCGAGAAGAGAAGGCAAGGCAUGAUCGAUAAAACUAUGAUCAAGAAGUGAUCCUAGAACAACCUAUGUCAAGCAUAACUCCAACGCCGUGUUCACUUCCCGGACCCCGCCGAGAAGAGACCAUCACGGUUAUACACGCGGUUGAUGUAUUUUAAUUAAGAUAAUCUUCAGGUUUUCUACAACUGGACAUUAACAAAUUCCCAUCUGCCCAUAACUGCGGGCACGGCUUUUGAAAGUUCAAAUCCCUGCAGGGGUGUCCCAACUUAGCCCAUCACAAGCUCUCACGGUCACGGUCAAUGAAGGAUAUUCCUUCUAGCCGGAAGACCCGAUCAGGCUCGGAAUCCCGGUUACAAGACAUCCUCGAUAAUGGUAAAACAAGUCCAGCAAGACCACCCGAUGCACCGACAUCCUGAUAGGAGCUGCACAUAUCUCGUUCUCAGGGCAACACCGGAUGAGCGCUCCGUACAACUAAAACCAGCCCUCAAGUUUCCCCGAGGUGGCGUUGCAAAGGACUCUAGUUUGGACCAACACUUAGACAAGCACUGGCCCGGGGUGGGGGGUUAAAAUAAAGAUGACCCUCAGGAUGCACGACUCCCAAGGGAAAAAGGCUAGGUGGCGAAUGGUAAAACCAAGGUUGGGCCUUGCCGGAGGAGUUUUAUUCAAGGCGAACUGUCAAGGGGUUCCCAUUAUAACCCAACCGCGUAAGGAACGCAAAAUCUGGGAAUAUAACACCGAUAUGACGGAAACUAGGGCGGCAAGAGUGGAACAAAACACUAGGCAUAUGGCCGAGCCUUCCACCCUUUACCAAGUAUAUAGAUGCAUUAAUUAAAUAAGAGAUAUUGUGAUAUCCCAACAAGUAAACAUGUUCCAACAAGGAACACAUCUCCAUGUUCCAACAAGGAACAUACUUCAAUCUUCACCUGGAACUAACAACGCUAUAAGAGGGGCUGAGCAAAGCGGUAACAUAGCCAAACAACAGUUUGCUAGGACAAGGUGGGUUAGAGGCUUGGUUCAACAAUAUGGGAGGCAUGAUAAGCAAGUGGUAGGUAUCGCAACAUAGGCAUAGCAAAAGAGCAAGCAUCUAGCAAGCAAAGAUAGAAGUGAUUUCGAGGGUAUGGUCAUCUUGCCUGAAAUCCCACAAGGAAGAAGAACGAGUCCAUGAAGAAGACAAAUGGACGUAGACGAACGGGUCCUCACAAACACGACGUUAUCGAAACAAACCCGAAGAAGCAACACCGGAAAGAAGCAAACAACAUGAUAAACAACCAGCACAUAAACAUGUCAUGAUGCACAACCAAGUAUGAUGCAUGUCCGGUUUAAUGAAGCAUGGCAUGGCAUGGCAAAGUGCAACAAAAAACACUACAACUUAAGUGAGUGGAGCUUGCAUAUUGACGAAACACCACGUGACUUAUUUAGUUUGAUCUCGUUUAUGUACCCAACAAGAUUAAAUGUUGAUUACUAUCUAGUCAAGUUUAAAUGAGGCCGGAAGCAACGAAUAAGAAUUCCGGAAAAACCCCAUAUGCAUAUAUUAGGUUUGGUACUGAUCUUUCCUAAACACAAUUUUAUAGUUGUUAAACAUGCAAAGUGAAGCCACCAAGUUAAACUAUGCAUUUUUCUACCCCAUUUACAUAUAAAUUUUAUUAGAAACCGAGCUACGAUUAUUUAGUUAUGAAUUAAAACAUUUUAAUAAGUUAUUUAAGCAAAUUUAAACAAACAACAUUUUAAACAUUUCAAACAUGCAUGAAAGUUGCAUAUUAUGAAACUAGAUGCAAUUCUAAGCAUUUAACAUGUUUGAAACAUUUUAAUCCAAUGCACAGUUCAUUAGUUAUUAAAUGCAUGAAUAGUAAGGGGUAAUCUAUAAAUAUGCGGUUUUUCUGUGAAUAGCAAAAUUCGUUCAUAGCAGAAAAAAAAUAUACAUCAGGCCGAAUCUGGCUGGCCCAACAAGCUCAGGAGAGGGCUGGGCGCAUCCUCACCAUGGGCUGAGGCCCAGUCAAAGCAGUGGUGGGGCAGGCUGGAUCUGUAGGGAAGCAGCGGGGGCCGGCAUGUAGUGCGGGCGACUUGGCCUUGGCGCCGGGGUCAAAUAGCAGCGGCAGGCCGGCUCUCGCGGAGCGCUGGGCCUGGCGCUGGAGAGGCAGGCUGGGCCUUGGGCGGUUGACAACAGCGGCAACCGGGCCUUGGGGGUCGCGGUCCAUGGCGAUCGACGGGGAGGGCGCGGUCGAUCUGGAGUCGGUCAAUGCGAGCGCGGCGCUGGGCCAAUUCCAGAUCGAAGUGAGGCGGCGGUCCAGGCGCGGGGUCGAGUGGCGCUGCAUGGGUCAACGCGAGCGAGGUAGGGUCAAGGCGCUUGAGCGGGACGAGCGAAGCUCCUCUGCUUUCGAGCAGAGCGAGCAGAGGCCGGUGACGAUGGACUUGGCAAGGGCGGCACAGAGGCUUGGCGGACGGUGGCAAGCUCGGUGUGUCGUCUCGCUGGAAGACGAAUGGGACGGCGGCGGUCGACGCUGGUUCACAAAUCUGCGUGAGGUAGAGGCCCCGGACGAGAUGCAGCAGGGGAAUGAGCCCACAGCGCGGCGGCGGAAGCUCUUGCACGUACCUCAAUUGGUUGCCUCUUGGUGGUCCGGCGAGGUCCUGCGGGGGCGCUCGAGGCAGCAAGGGGUCGGGACGGCCAUGGCAGUUCCUGUUAGCGGCAAGAGGCCAGGCCACAGGAAGAGGCAGGGGCAACAAGAAGAAACAGGGGAGAAAAGGAGGGUGGCGACUCAUCUGCUAGCUGAUUCGGGCACUCGGGAGGAGCUCAUCUCCCCGGGUCGACGAGGAGAGCGAGGAGGGAGAGGAUCGAUGGGCUUGGGUUGAUCGAGGGGAAGCAGAGGCUGGUUGGUUUGGUGGCAAAAUCGAGGAAGGGAAGGAGACGGUGCUUCUUGGGCAGGUGGAUCGGGGUGGAUCCCGAUGGGGAUUUGGGAGAUAAGUGCGGCGGCGUCGGCAGGGACAAGUCCCUAGUUUCUAGGGUUGGGUCCGUAUAUAUAUAGUAAGUGGGUUUUUGGGUAGGGGCUAAUCCAUCUCUCCGAUCAUAAUCGGACGGUCGGGAAAAAUAGGCUAGGGAGCCCAAAUAAGAAAACAGAGACAGUUUGUAGAUGUUUGGGGAUGAUCCGGACACAACGGUGGCGACAGUCCGGGUCGGGUUUGGGACAACUUCCGGACGUGCGCGAGGGGUGCCGCGGGCUAACGAGAGAGGUUAGGUUGGGCCUGGCGGUAGGUAGUGGACUGUGCAGAAGGCCUCAGGCUGAGAAAAGAUAAGAGAGAAAUGCCCGACGACUGUUUCCGGAGACCGGAAACGUCCGACAUUUGUCCGGCUAUAAUGCCGCUAUAGUUUAACGGUUGGGCUAUCAAACGAACUCUGAAUGCGAUGAAACUUGACAGACGGUCUAUCUACACUAUAAUAAGACCGCAUGCCAACUUUCAACCCAUUCCGAGAACAUUUUCCGGCCACUUAUAAAAUAAUAUUUCGGAGAUGCCGCGGACGCGUGCAAGUGUGUCUGGGUUCAGAACAGAAAAUGGGCGGAACUGGGAGACCCGGACUAAUGCAAGUUUUGAAAAUAUGAUGAUGCAAUGCACAUGAUGACAUGACAAGAUGCAACAGGCAAGGGAAUGACAAGACAACAACAUCGAAUAACUGGAAGACACCUGGCGCAUCGGUCUCGGGGCGUCACAUCUACUCUAGCUAAUUGCUCCCACUUUCAAUAUGUAUCCAGAUUGAGACUGAGAGUCAUCUGAAUCGGUGUUUAAAGCUUGCAUCAAUGUAACCCUUUACGAUGAACUCUUUAUCACUUCCAGAACUGAGGAAUAUUUCCUUAGUACUCUUAGGUAUCUAAGGAUAAUUUUGACCGCUGUCCAGUGAUCUACUCCUGGAUCACUAUUGUACCUGUUGGGGAACGCAGUAUUUCAAAAUUUUUACCUAUGAUCAUGCAAGAUCUAUCUAGGAGAUGCAUAGCAACGAGUGGGGAGAGUGUGUCCAUGCACCCUCGUAGACCGAAAGUGGAAGCGUUUAGUAAUGCGGUUGAUGUAGUCAAAUGUCUUCAUGAUCCAACCGAUCCAAGCACAGAACGUACAACACCUCCGCGUUCAGCACACGUUCAGCUCAAUGACGUCCCUCGAACUCUUGAUCCAGUUGAGGCCGAGGGAGAGUUCCCUCAGCACGACGGUGCGGCGACAGUGAUGAUGAUGUUACCGGCGCAGGGCUUCGCCUAAGCACUACGAAGAUAUGACCGAGGUGUGUAACUGUGGAGGGGGGCACCGCACAUGGCUAAGAGAAGACUUGACAUGUCUUUGGGGUGCCCCCUCCCACGUAUAUAAAGGGGGGAGGGGAGGUGGCUGACCCAAGGGGGGCAGGUAUGGGGAGUCCUACUAGGACUCUGGAAAGUUGCAUGGCAAUAUAUCUCGGAAUGGCUAUAGAAAUGCCAUAAUAUGUAGGUAUGGUGGCUAUUUUGAGGAAGGUAUAUGGUGGGUGUAUGAUACCGGCGAAAAGUGCGCGGUUUUAGAAAGGCUAGCAAUGGUGGAAGGGUGAGAGUGCGUAUAAUCCAUGGACUCAACAUUAGUCAUAAAGAACUCAUAUACUUGUUGCAGAAAUCUAUUAGUUAUCGAAACAAAGUAUUACGCGCAUGCUCCUAGGGGGAUAGAUUGGUAGGAAAAGACCAUCGCUCGUCCCCGACCGCCACUCAUAAGGAAGACAAUCAAUAAAUAUAUCAUGCUCCGACUUCAUCACAUAACGGUUCACCAUACGUGCAUGCUAUGGGAAUCACAAACUUCAACACAAGUAUUUCUCAAAUUCUCAACUACUCAACUAGCAUGACUCUAAUAUCACCAUCUUCAUAUCUCAAAACAAUUAUCAAGCAUCAAACUUCUCUUAAUAUUCAACACACUUAUAAGAAAGUUUUUACUAAUCUUGGAUGCCUAUCAUAUUAGGACUACCUUCUCAAUUUAAGCAAAUUACCAUGCUGUUUUGUAGGAUUCUCAAAAUAAUACAAGUGAAGCAUGAGCGAACAAUAGUUUCUAUAAAACAAGACCACCGCCGUGCUCUAAAAGAUAUAAGUGAAGCACUAGAGCAAAAAACAAUAUAGCUCAAAAGAUAUAAGUGAAGCACAUAGAGUAUUCUAAUAAAUUCCGAAUCAUGUGUGUCUCUCUCAAAAGGUGUGUACAACAAGGAUGAUUGUGGUAAACUAAAAGCAAAGACUUAAAUCAUACAAGAUGCUCCAAGCAAAACACUUAUCAUGUGGUGAAUAAAAAUAUAGCUCCAAGUAAAGUUACCGAUGGACAAGGACAAAAGAGGGGAUGCCUUCCGGGGCAUCCCCAAGCUUUGGCUUUUUGGUCUCCUUGGAUUUACCUUGUGGUGCCUUGGGCAUCCCCAAGCUUAGGCUCUUGCCACUCCUUGUUCCAUAAUCCAUCAAAUCCUUACCCAAAACUUGAAAAUUUCACAACACAAAACUUAACAAAGAAUCUCAUGAGCUCCGUUAGCGAAAGAAAACAAAACACCACUUCAAGGUACUGUAAUGAAAUCAUUCUUUAUUUAUAUUGGUAUUAAUCCUACUGUAUUCCAACUUAUCUAUGGUUUAUAAACUAUUUUACUAGCCAUAGAUUCAUCAAAAUAAGCAAACAACACACGAAAAACAGAAUCUGUCAAAAACAUAACAGUUUGUAGUAAUCUAUAACUAGCGCACACUUCUGGAACUGCGAAAAAUCCACCAAAUUAGGACGACCUAGAUAAUUUGUUUAUUAAUCUACUUCAAUUGGAAUCAGUAUUUUAUCAUGUUUUGAUGAUUUUUAACAAUUGUAUUCGUGAACAGAAAGUUUCUGGAAUUUUCAGCAAGAUCAAAUAACUAUCAUCCAAGAAGAUCCUAUAGGUUUAACUUGGAACAAACACUAAUUAAAACACAAAAACAAAUCUAACCAGAGGCUAGAUGGAUUAUUUAUUCCUAAACAGAAAAAACUAAAAUAAAAUUGGGUUGCCUCCCAACAAGCGCUAUCGUUUAACACCCUUAGCUAGGCAUAAAAGCAAGGAUAGAUCUAGGUAUUGCCAUCUUUGGUAGGCAAUCCAUAAGUGGCCCUCAUAAUAGAUUCAUAAGGUAAUUUAAUCUUCUUUAUAGGGAAGUGUUCCAUGCCUUUCCUUAACGGAAAUUGGAAUCUAAUAUUCCCUUUCUUCAUAUCAAUAAUUGCACCAAUCGUUCUAAGGAAAGGUCUACCAAGAAUAAUAGGACAUGAAUGAUUGCAAUCUAUAUCAAGAACAAUAAAAUCUACGGGCACAUAGUUCCUAUUUGCAACAAGAAGAACAUCAUUAAUUCUUCCCAUAGGUUUCUUAAUAGUGGAAUCCGCAAGGUGUAAGUUUAAAGAGCAAUCAUCAAAUUCACGGAAACCUAACAAAUCACACAAAGUUUUUGGAAUCGUGGAAACACUAGCGCCCAAACCACACAAAGCAUAGCAUUCAUGAUCUUUAAUUUUAAUUUUAAUAGUAUGUUCCCACUCAUCAUAAAGUUUUCUAGGGAUAGAAACUUCCAAGUCAAGUUUUUCUUCAUAAGAUUACAUUAAAGCAUCAACGAUAUGUUUAGUAAAAGCUUUAUUUUGACUAUAAGCAUGGGGAGAAUUUAGCAGGGAUUGCAACAAGGAAAUAGAAUCUAUCAAAGAGCAAUUAUCAUAAUUAAAUUCCUUGAAAUCCAAGAUAGUGGGUUCAUUGAUAUCUAAAGUUUUGACCUCUUCAAUCCCACUUUUACCAAUUUUUCCAUCAAGAUCUAAAAACCCCGAAUUUUUGGGACGCCUUCUAACUAAAGUUGACUCAUCUCUAGUCCUAUCAUUAUCAAGACUCAUAUUGCGAAACAAAGAUUUAAUAGGGGAUACAUCAAUAACUUUUAGAUCUUCAUCUUUAUUCUCAUAAAAAAAUUCGGUUUAGCGGCCAUCUUAUUAACUAAGGUGUUUUGCUUAUCUGAAAUUCCAGCAAUUAAUUUUUUGAGAUGAGCAAUAUGAUAUUUCAAACCAUAAAAUUCCUUAGACAUAUCGUCGAGCUCUUUAUUCAUGUAACCCAUAAAGCUUUUUUGUUCUUUAAGCUCGUUUCUAAAGAAAUUGUUAUGCUCAAAUUGUAAAGUCAUGAAACUUCUGAUGUUAUUUUCAAUCUCUUCUAACUUUUUAGGGUGAAGAUCACCAAAUCUAGGUAGAGCCAUCGUGACAAGCAAGCAAUCCAACACGCGAGCAAACAAGAAGCGAGCGGAAGAAAAAUGAACGAAAAGAGAGGGCGAAUAAAAUGGCAAGGGUGAAGCGGGGGAGAGGAAAAAGAGAGGCAAAUGGCAAAUAAUGUAAUGCGGAGGAUAAGAGUUUGUGAUGGGUACUUGGUAUGUGUUGACUUGUGUGUAGACUCCCCGGUAACGGCGCCAGAAAUCCUUCUUGCUACCUCUUGAGCACUGCGUUGGUUUUCCCUUGAGGGGAAAGGGUGAUGCAGUAAAGUAGCGUAAGUAUUUCCCUAAGUUUUUGAGAACCAAGGUAUCAAUCCAGUAGGAGACUACGAUCGAGUCCCACGCACCUACACAAACAAAUAAGAACCUCGCAACCAACGCGAUAAAGGGGUUGUCAAUCCCUUCACGGUCACUUACGAGAGUGAGAUCUGAUAGAGAUGAUGCGAUAAUAUUUUUGGUAUUUUUAUGAUAAAGACUAGAAGUAAAGAAAGCAAAAUAAACGGUAAUAGAAAUAGCUUGUUGACGGUAGAUUAAUAUGAUGGAAAAUAGACCCGGGGGCCAUAGGUUUCACUAGUGGCUUCUCUCAAGAUAGCAUAAGUAUUACGGUGGGUAAACGAAUUACUGUCGAGCAAUAGAUAGAAUUGAGCAUAGUUAUGAGAAUAUCUAGGUAUGAUCAUGUAUAUAGGCAUCACGUCCGUGACAAGUAGACCAAAACGAUUAUGCAUCUACUACUAUUACACCACACAUCGACCACUAUCCAACAUGCAUCUAGAGUAUUAAGUUCGUAAGAAUGGAGUAACGCUUUAUGCAAGAUGACAUGAUGUAGAGGGAUAAACUCAUGCAAUAUGAUAUAAACCCCAUUUUUUUAUCCUCGAUGGCAACAAUACAAUAUGUGCCUUGCUGCCCCUGCUGUCACUGGGAAAGGACACUGCAAGAUUGAACCCAAAGCUAAGCACUUCUCCCAUUGCAAGAAAGAUCAAUCUAGUAGGCGGAACCAAACUAAUAAUUCGAAGAGACUUGCAAAGAUAACCAAUCAUACAUAAAAGAAUUCAGAGGAGAUACAAAUAUUGUUCAUAGAUAAUCUUGAUCAUAAACCCAUAAUUCAUCGGAUCUCGACAAACACACCGCAAAAAGAAGAGUUACAUCAAAUAGAUCUCCAAGAGAAUCGAGGAGAACUUUGUAUUGAGAUCCAAAGAGAGAGAAGAAGACAUCUAGCUAAUAACUAUGGACCCGAAGGUCUGAGAUAAACUACUCACACAUCAUCGGAGAGGCUAUGGUGUUGAUGUAGAAGCCCUUCGUGAUCAAUGCCCCCUCCGGCGGAGCACCGGAAAAGGCCCCAAGAUGGGAUCUCAUGGGUACAGAAGGUUGCGGCGAUGGAAUUAGGUUUUCGUGGUCCGUUCUGAUGGUUUGGGGGUACGUAGGUAUAUAUAUAGGAGGAAGAAGUCGGUUGGUGGAGCCACGAGGGGCCCACGAGGGUGGAGGGCGCGCCCUGGGGGGUAGGCACGCCCCCCUACCUCGUGGCUUCCUCGUCUGUUGCUUGAAGUCCACUCCAAGUCCUCUGGAUCACGUUUGUUCCAAAAAUCACGUUCUCGAAGGUUUCAUUCCGUUUGGACUCCGUUUGAUAUUCCUUUCCUUCGAAACAUUGAAAUAGGCAAAAAAACAACAAUUUGGGCUGGGCCUCCGGUUAAUAGGUUAGUCACAAAAAAAAUAUAAAAGUGUAUAAUAAAGCCCUUUGAACAUCCAAAACAGAAUAUAUAAUAGCAUGGAACAAUCAAAAAUUAUAGAUACAUUGUAGACAUAUCAGAAUCCCUAGUCCAAGUAGGAUUGCCCUCUCCUUUUUCCUUUCUCGGAAUAGCAAAGAGGGAAAGAGAGGAGGAGUAGGAGAGGGAAGGGGGGGGGGCGCCGCCCCCACCCCUUGUCCAGUUAGGAUUGGCAAGGGGGGGGGCGCCACCUACCUGGCCGGCCCUCUCUCCUUUGCUAAGGCCCAUGUGUGGCCCAUUAACUUCCCGGGGGAGGGGUUCCGGUAACUCCCGGUACUCUGAAAUUUAUCCGAUACUUCCUGAAACCAUUCCGGUGUCCGAAUAUAACCUUACAAUAUAUGAAUCUUCACCUCCUGACCAUUUCGGGACUCCUCGUCAUGAACGUGAUCUCAUCCGGGACUCCGAGCAAACUUCGGUCAUCAAAUCACAUAACUCAUAAUACAAAUCAUCAUUAAACAUUAAGCGUGCGGGCCCUAUAGGUUCAAGAACUAUGUAGACAUGACCGAGACACAUCUCCGGUCGAUAACCAAUAGCAGAUCCUAGAUGCUCAUAUUGGCUCCUACAUAUUCUAUGAAGAUCUUUAUCGAUCAAACCGCAUAACAACAUAUGUUGUUCCCUUUGUCAUCGGCAUGUUACUUGCCCGAGAUUCGAUCAUUGGUAUCAUCAUACCUAGUUCAAUCUCGUCACCGGCAAGUCUCUUUACUCGUUCCGUAAUGCAUCAUCCCGUAACUAACUCAUUAGUCACAUUGCUUGCAAGGCUCAUAGUGAUGUGCAUUACCGAGAGGCCCCAGAGGUACCUCUCCGAUACAAAGAGUGACAAAUCCAAAUCUCGAUCUAUGCCAACUCAACAAAAACCAUCGGAGACACCACAAGGUGUUCCUCCGGUAUUUGGGAGUUGCAUAAUCUCAUAGUCAGAGGAACAUGUAUAAUUCAUGAAGAAAGUAAUAGCAAUAAAACUAAACGAUCAUAAUGCUAAGCUAACGGAUGGGUCUUUUCCAUCACAUCAUUCUCUAAUGAUGUGAUCCCGUUCAUCAAAUGACAACACAUGUCUAUGGCUAGGAAACUUAACCAUAUUUGACUAACGAGCUAGUCAAGUAGAGGCAUACUAGGGACACUGUGUUUGUCUAUGUAUUCAUACAUGUACUAAGUUUCCGGUUAAUACAAUUCUAGCAUGAAUAAUAAACAUUUAUCAUGAUAUAAGGAAAUAUAAAGAACACCUUUAUUAUUUUCCCUAGGGCAUAUUUCCUUAAGUACCUUCUUGCCAAAGUCAUGGCAAGCACACAUCAAGUCUGGUACACAGCAUAGCAUACAUGAUAGAAACUAUGGCUGAGGCAUAGGGAAUGACUUUCAUUUUCUCUCUAUCUUCUGUAGUGGUCGGGCUUUGAGUCUGACUCAAUUUCACAACUUGUAACACAGGCAAGAACCCUUCUUUGACUGAUCCAUUUUAAACUUCUACAAAACCUUGUCAAGGUAUGUGCUUUGUGAAAGUCCUAUUAAGCGUCUUGAUCUAUCUCUAUAGAUCUUGAUGCCCAAUAUAUAAGCAGCUUCACCGAGGCCUUUCAUUGAAAAGCUUUCAUUCAAGUAUCCUUUUAUGCUAUUCGGAAAUUCUAUAUCAUUUCCAAUCAACAAUAUGUCAUCUACAUAUAAUAUUAGAAAUGCUACAGAGCUCCCACUCACUUUCUUGUAAAUACAGGCUUCACUAAAAGUCUGUAUAAAACCAUAUGCUUUGAUCACCUCAUCAAAGUGUAUAUUCCAACUCUGAGAUGCUUACACCAGUCCAUAGAUGGAUCAUGGAGCUUGCACACUUUGUUAGCACCUUUACGAUCGACAAAACCUUCUUGUUGCAUCAUAUACAACUCUUAUUUAAGAAAUCCAUUAAGGAAUGCAGUUUUGACGUCCAUUUGCCAAAUUUCAUAAUCAUAAAAUGCAGCAAUUGCUAACAUGAUUCAGACUAACUUAAGCAUCGUUGUGGGUGAGAAGGUCUCAUCAUAGUCAACCCCUGGAACUUGUCGAAAACCAUUUACGACAAGUCAAGCUUUGUAGGUGGUGACAUUACCAUCAGCGUUAGUCUUCUUCUUCAUGAUCCAUUUAUUCUAAAUGGCAUGCCAAUCAUCGGGCAAGUACACCAAAGUCCAUCCACUACAAAAAAGACAUUUCCGUGAUGAUACGUGUUUGUCACAGUAAGUCACAUUUUCUGUCAUGCAUGUACAUCCAUGACAAAUUUAUGAUAGAAUCAAGAUAGUCAUACAUGUGCUGUCGUAGAAGUGUUCCAUGACAUUGCCAAAAUUAUCAUCAUGGAAGUGUCCACUUCCAUGAUGAUAAAUCACGCGUCAUAGAAGUGCUUUCGUCAAGGGUGAUUGACACGUGGAAUCCACCGUAACGGGACGCUGUUAAGCUAUCAGGUCCAGUUUUGGAUCCAAUAACCCGCUAACAGCCACGACCAAUGCCGAUUUUCCACGUGUAAAAUUCUCAUUGGCUCACGGAACCACGUGUCAGCUCCGCGUUGGCACAUGUGUCACUUAUCCAACGAGCGAGAUGCUCCUAUGAUACGUUGACACGUGGACCGGCCCAAAAGUGGCCGGUAAAGAUUAAAUGGGCCGGCCCAACUAAAGGCCCGGAAGAUUUAGCGGGCCAUAAAGGGCCGGCCCAACUAAUGGCCCACAAGAAUUUUGCAGGCCAUAAUGGGCCGGCCUAGCUAAAGGCCCACAAGAUUUUGCAGACCAUAAUGGGCCAGCCCAGCUAAAGUCCCACAAGAUUUUGAGGACACUAAUGGGCUGUCCCGUUAACAGGCUGCCAUGUUUUGGGCCAAAUGCCGACCCAUAUUUGAUCCGGUCUAUAAACAACCAGCCAAGUUCUGGGCCCAAUAAAGGCCCAUAUGAGAUCCAGCCCUUUAAAAGCCUAGCAUGUUCUGGGCAAAAUUACGGCCCAAAUCAGAUUCGGCCCUUUAAGAGGCUUUGGACUAAAUUAUGGCCCAUAUCAGAUUCGGCUUGUCAACUGGACUCUAUGCUUUUGGGCCCACUUGCUAAAGGCCCAUACAGUAAUUCGUCCUGAUAUUAGUCGCGGCCUGUUAAAGGCCUGUUUAACAUUUCGGCCCUAUAUUUAUUUCGGCCUGUUGAAAGCCCGUCAUAUAGUUGGGCCUAACUACGGCCCGGUUUCAUCCAGCCUGCUCACAGCCGAUAAUCUGAUUGGUCCAAACAAGGACCGAGACAAUUUUGGCCUAUUAAUGGCCCAUGAUGUGAUUGGCACAAUCAUGGGAUGGGGUCUAUUUCGGCCUGCUGCCGGCACGUGAGCUGUUCGACACGUUUCAGGCCCAACCCACUUUUCACCCUCCUAAAAGCCCAUUGAGUUUUCUUGCGAAAAUAGGGUCGGCAGUUUACUCGGCCUAUUAGAGGCCCAAAUCUACUUGUGGGCCAGAUUACAUUUAGGCCUGUUAACAGACCGAUUAUGUAGUGAUUAGCAUGAUGGCCCGAUUAUGUACCAUAAUUUUACAGUUUGGCAGGUUUACUGCGAACACAGGAUAUAUAUACAGUAAAAUAAUUGCAGCAUCGUUAAUAAUAAAAAACCUAGACUAUACAAUAAAAAAAUUACAUCCCAUUACAUCCACUUGACAUCAAAGUUCGCCACUAUGAUAAUAAAGUAGAAGCAGACAGCAGAUUACAUACACUAGGCAUCAAAGAUCGCCACCAGUGCAAAUAAACACGUCGACAAAAUAAUAUACAAAACCGACAGCACUUCAAUAGAGUUCAAGAAAGGUUAGCCCUACUCGGGAGCUGCAAUGCAAGCAGCUGAGCAAGCUGAUGAGACGGCACUUGUUUGACACUUAUAUCCUCCUCACUCUGAAAGAUAAACAAGCAGACAUAUGACAGGUUGUGCACAUAUAAGUAUCAAUGCUGACAAUUCAUCACAUUUCUUACUGACAAAUAAAGUGACAUAGUUUAAAAUAGCAUUAACACAACAUGGUAUUGUUUAGGUUAAGACAUGGCAUGAAAUGACAUUGUGAAGGAGUUGGCAGCUUCACGACACCACUAGAUUACAGAUCAAGAACUCAUAAGUAUCUAUAGUUAGUGUGCUGUAAAUUUAUCCCAUUUCAUAUUGGCAAAAAAAAGAUGGUUUAAAUAAUAGUACAAUGAUAUGACAUUGUUCAUAGUUAAACAUUGCAGAAUAUGACAUUAUGUUGUAGUGGGUAGGUUCACCACGCCACUGGAUUACGGAUCAAGAACAGAAGCAUACAUGCGGUGCAAAAGAAGAUCACUUGCUCUGUAUAGUUUAAUUUACAUGGUAUGAAGAAGGAACUUGGUUGUACAACUGAAAACUUAAAUGGAGAAGGACAAACUUUUGUCUAUGAACUACAUAAUAAACUUUAAAGAUGCAAUUUGAUGCAAACACCAAAAAUAAACAGCUGUUGCAGUCAUGCCUAACCAAAUAUACACAACAAAGUUUGAAGGCUUGAGAAGGACAAACUUACAUUAUUGGUGAAGACAGGCUCUAUAAAGCCCUUGUCCAUGUUGAUGGGGGGGGGGGGCAAUUCAAGAAGUUUACCACAGAAUAUUCUUCAUAAGCAUUGCCUUUAUUCUACAUUUUGUUAAGAGUAAAUAUAGAUGUGAUAAUAUAAGAAAAAAUGGAGAAUAUUUAAUAUAAGAUGAAGAGUGAUGUUAUAGGACCAAGUAGCUAUAAAUUUAAGUACAACGAUACAGGUAAAAGGUACAGCCAAGAGUAAUGCAGAGCUAAACUUCUUCAGGACCAUCGGUGUUAUCCAACCUUAUGGUAAGAGUAAAUAUAGAUCUAAUGUGUAGAAAAUGGAGGGCAAAGGAAAAUAAGAUACAGAGUCAUGGUUCAUGAACAACUACCUGUCAAUAUAAGUACACUGAUAAAGGACAACAGGUAAUUACAAAAACAAUGCAGCACUAAAUUUUUUCAUUGGCAUUGGAUAUAUUCCACACUAAUGUAACCAUUCGUACAUAUCAGAUAAUUUGGAGCGAACAAUUGACAAGCAAGCUAUCAUGCAUAUUGCUGUCACAUAAUGAACCAGGUAUGAAUGCAAGUACAGUGAUACAGGACAAUAGGUACUAACAAGAGCAAAGCAGCGGGCAGCAUAUUUGUGAUAUCCUGUCAUUCUUUUCAAACCGGAAUUCUUCUUCAAGCUGAUUUCCUGAAAAAAAGAUCCAUAAGGCACAUGCAAAAAAGUAGAAGUUCAAAUUGUCAUGUGAUAUCAUAGACAAUACCUCAUCCUGGGAACGAGACCAGUGCAUAACAAGGUUUUCCAUUCAAUAUCUUCUAAAUUUAGCAUAGGAGACUUCACCGGAACUUCGUUUAUAGACUUGCCAUCAAAGUGUGAUUUCCUCAGGUAACACUGAUACUAUUGCAAUGGUUCCUUGAAAAGUGCAAGCAAGCUUUGCUCAUCAUGACUAUCCAGAUUGACCCUCGCCUACUUACAACAAUGUAAUGUAAAUCAUUGAUAUGUUCAAUCAGAAGAAAACAGGAAAAUAAUCACCAUGAAUAAUAGCACUUACACGUAAGUGGGACACGAAGAUGUGAAAAUGGUGUUUGUCUUCACUAUAAUCUUCCCAUGAUGGGAAUAUAUGCACAUCGUCCCUAACAACAUUGAAAGCAUUGUCUUUAAAACUGUGAAUAACUGGAAUGGGGUUCCAAUCUGUAGGAAUUGGCCGUCUCAGCAGUUGGGAUAGGUCUUCGGCCGGUGGACUUGCUGUACUUUUUGCUGGAGUGAGAUUUUUUGUGGUACGGCUGGUGCUAUGGCAACUAAAAUCAACAUACCUUUUGCUGGAGUGGUGGUCCUGUGUGGUGGGGCUAGUGGUGUGGCCAGUGAGUAUGGGUACAAUUUGUUGGAGUCGGUCCUACGUUUUGUGUCACUAGUUGUACAACCAAUAUAAGUGGGGUGCUGUCUGAUUUCUCCGGCACCACCAUGUUUUUCAAGGACUUUGCUGGUGCUCCUUCAGGUUCGGCAAUCACCCUCUUCCUUUUUGAUGUCUGAUGCACAAGAAUAGCAUUUGAGUAGAAAAACAUGGUAUGAUGACAUAUGGAAUAUGUAUGGAUGGGCAUGGCAUCUUGACAUAUAUGAUGAGUAAACUAAAUAGAUUGCGGUGCAACAAAGUAGAAGAAAUGCAAGACAACAUAUGCAAGAUACGCACAAUCAAUAAAACCUUGCCAAAUUAGAACAGGCACCUUGAUGGGUGAAUAGGACAGGCCACCUGCCUUUGACUCCUCGAGGUUAGAAUAGUCAUUAGGAUCAUAUUCUAAACAAGAAUCUAUAGGUGGGGAGCGUAUGUGUCUCAUUGCAUCCAGAAUGGCACUCAGUGCCUUGGUGCCAAUUUUGUAAGUCGUUGCAGUGUUCCACAAUAUUCUUCUGAUGCGCGGAUUCUGAUAUUCACUGUAAUUACGUAUAAUAUCUGAGAACCAUGAAAACAUAAAUAGUAGUGAGAUUAUGUUUGUAAUGCAGAGGAUAUUCUAAUAUAGGGGCGCCCCUAUAAACCCUUGUGUGCUAUCACUGGAUUCUGCUGAGAGAGCUCAUGUGUGCUGUAAUAUGGUGCGUGCAUUAAUAUAAUAUGGCACAAGUACACAAAAAAUAGGUUCCAGAAGUAAGGAUAGUUGGCAGAUGACAGGUUCAUAAUAUAUUGUAUAGAGAGUUUAUUGCCAAACCUUGAUAACAAGAGCACACAGCAACUAGGCAGAUUGUAGUGUACAUAAAUGGGGUACACCAUAACCACGAUAUAUAAAUCAGGAAAGUGGAACUGGCUGGAAAAUACGGUGUUGUAUUGCCGCUACUAAUUGAAAGCCUGUCGAUUAUAGGCCAGCUCUAUCAGCUGUUGACUGCAGAUGUCCCUGCUCCCCUUUUGGACAAGGAACAUACUGUACGUACUUAAUACAGAAUUACAAAAGAGGAACAUGUUAAAGAACAGAAGAGGAAUCAUAUUCUUGAGGUUUCGCUGCAUUGCAUACAAUGUUGGUUGCCCACUCAUGAUGAAUCACAACGCCCAAAGAAAUGCAAUUCCAUGCUGUCUCUCUAUAUGUGGCCACAUGCAUUUGGAAAAAUAAAGUGGGAGCAUUACCCGAACAAUUAAAUGUGUGUCUGUUAACUAAUAUCAGUAUCAUAUCACAAUUCGUAUUUGAAGAAGUAAGCUUUGGACUUAUGAUUGGUGUGUUGUUUAGCUUCAAGAGUGGACUGCUGCUAGUGCGACACAUAGCAGCUACACACAUCAUAGUGUAGAUAUAACGGGAAAACCAUAAGCAUCAAGAGUAAAAUCAGCAAAGUGGAACUUGCUGGAAUAUAUGUGCUAGUAUUACUGGUACAGCUAGAAAGGCUUCGGAUACCAGCUCUCUUGAACUGAAGGUGCAGUACUGUUAAUAUCAGUGUAACUCUCAAAGGUGACACAACUCCCUGCAUUUCCUUGCUAAUCUUAUAGAAUUCAAGUGGGCAGGCCACUACAAAUCCUAUUCCUAUGUUUACAAAAUCCUACGAAUCAAAGAGGCUCGAAGAGUUCAAAGUGUCCAUCACAACCGACUGUAUAGACCUCUACACUGCAAAUGUCCCUGCUCAUCUUCACCACAAGGAACAUACUGUACUACUAUCAUACUCCAUCCGUUCCAAAAUAUAAGUCUUUGUAGAGAUUUCCUUGAUGGAUCGCAUACAAAUGUAUAUAGAUACAUUUUAGAGUGUAGAUUCACUCAUUUUGCUCCAUAUGUAGUCCAUGGUGGAAUCUAUACAAAGACUUGUAUUUAGGAAUGGAGAGAGUACUUAUUAAAAAAGAACGGAAGAGGAACAUGCUAAAGAAGAGCAAUCAGAUUUUGGAUAAUAAAAUGUUCGUGGCAGAGUGCCCACACAUGAUGAACCAGAGUACAUUAAGAAUGCAACUCCCUGUUGUCUCUCUAUAUGUGGUGGACGUGCUUUUCAAAAGUAAAGUAGGAACAUUAGCUGACCAAUUACAUGUUAUCUGUUUUAGUAAUAUCAGCAUCAUAUCAGAUUUGUAUUUGAGCAACAUAUUUGGAAUUAUGAGUGGCACGUUGUUUAGCUUGAUGGAUUCAGGAGCAGUGCUAAGUAGGUACGAUGAUGGUAUUGAAUAUAAAGGCAUGUCUGCAUGGAAGUCGCGUGACUUUUGUCAUUUGGGUCAGUUGACCAUUUCAGGUGGUUGGAUGAAGAUCCUAUGUCUCCUAACCCUUCUUCUUCCUCGUCUCUGAUUCUUCCCAUACAGAACACAGCACGGGCCGCCGCCGAACCACCGGCCCCGACUCCCCGCCCUCCCCUGAACCGCCCCCACCGGCUGUGUUCCUCCGCCACCCCCGCCCCACCCGCGUCAAGUUUUCUUCGUUCGGCGAGGCCCCACCACCGCCCCCCACAACCACCGUCCCAACACGAGCCCCUUCCUUCGCACCGGCAAAAUCCGGCGAGCUCUGAAAAAUCGACUGGCCCAAUUUUGAAAUUUAGUCUACUAUCAUUUAACUAGUGUGGAAUAUAAAAGGGGAAAACCAUAAGUAUUACGAGUAUAGUGUUGAGCGUGCCAUGGCGGAUCUGAAGGUGCAAACCGAACAAAGGCAACUUCGCAAUCAAUGUUUGCUUUCAACUAGCAAGUAACUGAUGGACAAGAAAUCAGAGUAAAGCAGUGGCGAUCUAUUUUCUUGCUGCGAUAAAUAAGUUUAGCAAAUACGAAAGAGUACCGCCUCUGGUGCGGCGCCGUGUAUGAAUCUGCUGAGAAUUUGACGGUGCUGCGGUAGCGAUGGCUGUCGGCGGCGUGGAAGCAGAUGUAGGAGGGUAGACGGUGGCGGUGGGGUGCGGUGGACGAGACGGUCGUAGGAGCGGUGCUACGAAGGUGGACGACUGCGGGGAUGAAGCGAGAGGACGGGAUGCAAGGAUCCCGGUCCGAAGCCGCAUAUGAGAUAGGUCGAUCUCUUGUAAUGGACGACGGCAUCGGGGUAUCAGCUCCGGCAUGGUGAAGGAGGACGGCGGUGAAUGGGGUGGCGGACGGAGGAGGCUGGGGUGGAGAUGGUAUUUUGGCGCCCACGGAGUACGAAAGGGGAAAUGGAGGGAGAGAGGAAGGGGGGAACCAUGUCUUCAGGGCGUGCUUGUCCCAAAUGCGGGGAAAUUUACAAACUUUGCCCCCGUUUAAAAUUUCCUACAUCACAGCAAUAUUAGUCGGUUGGGGAUAGGACAGUAAUCUCGCAUACACCAAAUAUUUGCCGACGAGAGUUUGUUUUUGGCGCCCACCGUGUAUGAAUCGGGGAGUGUUGGGGAUGCCAGGAUGCCAGGAUGACCACAGAGAAUGCCAGGAUGACCACAGAGCGGGCCGCUUUAGACUCACAAGCCUACAGGCUCAUGUUGGACCAGAACGCGUCGCAUGAAGUCAUGAAGAGGAAGUACCGAUCCCGUUUGCCUUCGGUUUUCGAGGCCAGAGACCUUUUCAACACCCCAGGAGCAGGAACCAGUAAUCCGCUUGAGGGAAACCGGGCAGAAGCUCCUGGGACCGACGCGCCGGUUCAGCCCCGUCUGAUGAAUCCGCCUCGUCAAAACACUGUUAUACCUCAGGCUGUUUCAACACCUCUGGGUCACUACUCCAACCCAAUGGACAAUCUCGUUGCCGCUGCUGCACGGCUGGAGGCCAUUCCAAUUGAAGGUGACUCGCCGCAGGCGGUAGAGACGCGACGGGUCAAGGAGCUUCUUAGGACAGCUUUGGUCCAACAGGAAGCAUACUCGUACAGCCGCGACCGGAUCCACUCGACCCCUCAUCCAAGCCGGAGCUAUAGAAGGCAUAUGGAUGAACCGGCAGUGUCAAGUAAUGAACGACGUGGAGCACCCCGCAGCAACAACCCGGCGGGUGGUGCUGAUAAAGCUCGGGAAGUGGUGGACCGGGCCCGAGCGUGCAGGGAGGCCGAGUUAGCCGCACAGUAUCAGGCUCGGCAGCUUACGCCGGUUCGUCCAACUAUCUCAGUUGAACCUGGUGUUACUUCUAGUUCUUUGGGGGUGCCUUGCCUUGUCCCCGCUUUACGCAAUGUGCGCCUGCCCAAGGAUUUCAAGGGCCCAUGCAAGGUACCAAAUUACAUGGCGGAUCAACCCCCAGAGACAUGGGUGGAGAGCUAUGAGAUGGCCAUGGAGAUGCUUGAUGUGGAUGAUGCGGCAUGUGCGAAGUACUUCACCAUGAUGCUUGAAGGAACGGCCCGCACUUGGUUAAAAAGCUUACCAGCCAAUUCUAUCAGUUCAUGGGCCCAAUUACGAGCCCGGUUUAUCAGUAACUUCAAGGAUACAUGUAAGCAGCCUAUGUCGAUAGUGGACUUAGCUGCCUGUGUCCAGGAGGAAGGAGAAUCGAUGACUCAUUGGGUGCGCUGGGUCUCGCAGGUUCUGCAUACAUCAGACCGCAUCAACGCUGACACCGCGGUUAUAACCCUAGAAGGCAAUUGCCGGUUUGGGCCCCUAAAGCUGAAGUUAGGACGAAUGAAGCGCCAUUGCACUGACAUGGGGACCCUCAUGGCUGCUUUGGUAAAAUAUGCUGAUUCUGAUAGUACCAAGGAUCCCGAGUCUGAUGAUGACAAGACAGGGAAGGGAAAGAAGAACAGCAACUCCAAAGGUCAGCAGCAUCACUCGGCAGGUAACGGUAGCGGAGGCAAGCGUAAAGAGGAUGGAAACAUGGACUUCUUGGCUAAUACCAACGUGCAGGACAAUGGUCAGCGACGCAAGGGUAAACCGUCGAAUCGCGGUGGAGCGCCUAACCCUAACCCGGACCACUUAAAUUAUCUAUUGAACCAGCCCUGUCCAAAGCAUGGGACGAAGGAGGUGCCAGCAAACCACCUUUGGAAGGAUUGCUUCAUUAUGCAGGAGUUCAAGAAUUCUAAUGCUUUCCGGUAUGAUCACGGCUCCGGCAGUGGCUCAAGAUCCGGGCCGGGUUACGGUGGAGGAAAUUCCGGUUCAGGAUUUAAUGGUAAUCCGGGCGGACAUAACAAUCAAAAUAAUCAAAACAACCAGGGUGGUUACAACCAGCAGCAGCAACAGUCAGGUUACCAGAGCAACCCAAAGCAGUUGAACAGUGGGCAGUACCAUGUCUUCACCACUAGCUUGGACAAGCGAGACCGGAAGGUUCAGAGGCGGGUAGUCAACUCUGUUGAACCGGCCGUGCCCCGCUAUCUACGCUGGUCUGAACAGCCAAUCAUAUGGAGCAGAGAGGAUCACCCUCCCCAGGUUGAUAAUCCAGGUCAGUUGGCUCUGGUGGUGGCGCCUCAGGUGGGAGGUUACAAGUUCACCAAGGUGUUCAUGGAUGGAGGGAGCAGCAUUAAUAUCUUGUACUAUGAGACCUUCCGUCGUAUGCGACUAACAGAUAAAAAUCUCAAACCGUCCAAUACGGUGUUCCACGGUGUGGUACCUGGCAAGUCAGCAUAUCCUGUUGGUAAGAUAGCUCUGGAAGUGGCCUUUGGAGAUGAUCAUGAUUCCAGGUCGGAAACAUUGACGUUUGAAGUGGUGAAAAUCCAAAGUCCAUAUCACGCCCUGUUUGGGCGACCGGCCUACGCCAAGUUUAUGGCACGACCUUGUUAUGUGUAUUUGCAACUCAAGAUGCCGGGUCACAAGGGGACAAUAACGGUUCACGGAAGCCGUAAAAUCGCUUUGGAGUGCGAGGAAGGAGAUGCGGCCUACGCAGAGUCGGUUUGUGCCACCGAGGAGCUGAAGUAUUAUAAGGACAAUGUUGAUUCGGCGGACAUGACUCCAUUAAAAAAGCCAACUACGGAGCAUGAUCCGGCCCUGAAGUUCAAAUCGGCAGCAGAAACUAAGCUUGUUGACUUCGUACCUGGCGAUUCGUCCAAGCAGUUUAGCAUCAGUGCCAACUUGGAUCCGAAAUAGGAAAGCGCGCUCAUCGAGUUCAUCUAUGAGAAUCGGGACAUUUUUGCAUGGAAGCCCUCUGACAUGCCAGGUGUACCGAGGCAACUCGCCGAGCACACCCUUAAUGUGGAUCCUAAAUACAAACCGGUGAAACAGUUCCUCUGUCGGUUUAACGAAGAAAGACGCAAGGCGAUUGGAGAAGAGGUAGCCAGGCUUUUAGCAGCUGGCUUUAUUGUUGAAGUUUUUCACCCUGAGUGGCUUGCCAAUCCGGUGCUGGUCCUUAAGAAAAACGGCACCUGGCGCAUGUGUGUUGGAUUACACAGAUCUUAAUAAGGCUUGUCCAGAAGAUCCUUUUACCCUCCCCCGUAUUGAUCAAAUUAUUGAUGCCACGACGGGUUGUGAGCGUUUAAGUUUUUUGGAUGCAUAUUCUGGCUAUCAUCAGAUCAAAAUGGCAGUUAAGGACCAGGAGAAGACGGCAUUCAUAACUCCCUUUGGAGCCUUCUGCUAUGUGUCUAUGCCCUUUGGGCUCAAGAGUGCCCAGGCAACUUAUCAACGGUGUGUACAAAAUUGUCUUCACAAGCAGAUUGGCCGUAAUGUACAUGCUUACGUAGAUGAUAUCGUGGUUAAGUCCAGGGAGAAGGAGACUCUGGUUGAUGACUUGAAGGAAACCUUUGAUAACCUGAGGACGUACAAGAUGAUGCUUAAUCCGGCCAAGUGUGUCUUUGGUGUACCGGCAGGCAAGUUAUUGGGUUUUCUGGUGUCCAACAGGGGAAUUGAGGCUAAUCCAGAGAAGAUCACAGCCAUCACCUCCCUGGCUAAACCGAAGUGUAUCAAUGAUGUUCAACGCCUGGCAGGUCGGAUUGCCAUGUUAAGCCGGUUUAUCAGCCACCUUGGUGAGAAGGCAAUCCCUUUGUAUCAGAUGUUGAAGAAGACGGAUCAAUUCGUCUGGAGUUCUGCUGCUGAUAAAGCAUUUGAGGACUUAAAGCGGCAAUUGGCCAAUCCGCCUAUGCUCGCUGCUCCCAUUGAAAAAGAGCCAUUGCUGCUAUAUGUGGCUGCUAAUGCUCGUGCGUUCAGUGUGGCUAUUGUGGUGGAGUGAAAAGAGGCAGGUAAGGAGCAUCCGGUUCAACGUCCGGUCUAUUACAUCAGUGAGGUACUCAUUGAGUCCAAGCAAAGGUAUCCGCAUUGGCAGAAGCUGGUAUACGGAGUUUUUAUGGCAAGCCGGAAGCUUAAGCAAUACUUCCAAGGGCAGCCCAUUACGGUGGUCAGUUCUGCUCCCUUGGGGGAUAUCAUCCAGAACCGGGAAGCGACUGGCCGGAUUGCCAAGUGGGCUAUAGAGCUUGGGCCUCACAGAUUGAAGUAUGUGCCUCGGACAGCGGUUAAGUCUCAAGCACUUGUUGAUUUCAUCAAUGAUUGGACGGAACUGCAAGCACCUGAAAAGCCGGAUCACACAUAUUGGACCAUCCAUUUUGACGGAUCCAGGCAAUUGGAAGGCUCGGGGGCUGGAGUCCUAUUAACUUCCCCACGAGGUGAUAAGUUUUGUUACGUUCUCCACUUAAUGUUCCCUUGUACUAACAAUGCAGCUGAGUAUGAAGCCUUGCUCCAUGGUCUCCGGAUGGCUAAGGAGAUGAAUCUAAGUCGAGUUAAGUGCUUUGGUGACAAGGACCUCGUGGCUUAACAAGUAUCUGGCACUUGGGAUUCCAAGGACCCACUCAUGGCAGCAUAUCGUCGUGAGGUGGAUAUUGUUGCAGGUCACUUUAAAGGCUAUCAGGUGGACCACGUGGACCGACGGAAGAAUGAAGCGGUGGACGCUUUAAGCUGGCUGGGCUCUUAGUGCAAACCGGUCCCGCCCAAUGUUUUUCUGGAUAUGCUGCACAACCCGUCGGUCAAGCUCCCUGGUGAAGCGGAUUUGGCUAUUCCUGAUCCGGAGGCUCAAUUGGUGGCAGCUCUUCAUGUCAUUCCGGAUUGGAUGCUUCCUUACCUGGCGUACAUGAACCGGGGCGAGUUACCAGAGGAUGAGACUCUGGCCCGACAGAUAAUCCGGCGGUCCAAGUCCAUGACUAUUGUCAAUGGUGAGUUGCAUCAUUGCAGUGUAUCAGGGGCGUUUCAACGUUGUGUGUCUCCUGAAGAAGGCUGUGAAAUUUUGCGUGAGAUCCACGAAGGAUAUUGUGGUCACCACGCCGGUUCAAAAUCUUUGGUGGCUAAAGCGUUUCGCCAUGGCUUCUAUUGGUUAACUGCUCAUGCUGAUGCGGAGGAUCUGGUCAGACGAUGUGAUGGUUGCCAAAAGUUUUCAAGACGUGCUCAUGUGCUGGCUCAAGAAUUGAGAAUGAUUCCAAUUACUUGGCCGUUUGCGACUUGGGGGCUGGAUAUGGUUGGGCCUUUCAAAAGGUCCAAAGAUAAGAAGACCCACCUCCUGGUGGCGGUUGACAAGUUUACAAAGUGGGUGGAGGCAGAACCUGUUAGCAAGUGUGAUGCGGCCAUGACGGUUCAGUUCAUCAAAAACUGAUUUUCCGGUUUGGCUUUCCACACAGUAUCAUCACAGAUAAUGGUACCAAUUUGUCCAAGGGUGCCAUGAAGGAGUUUUGCGAACGGGAGCACAUCUGGCUUGAUGUUUCAUCAGUGGCACACCCACAGUCCAAUGGUCAAGUAGAAAGGGCUAAUCAAGAGAUCUUGAGAGGCAUCAAGCCCCGGCUUAUGGUUCCUUUGCAGAGAACACCGGGUUGUUGGGUAGAAGAGUUACCAUCUGUGUUAUGGAGCAUCAAUACUACACCCAACAGAUCAACAGGAUAGACGCUGUUCUUCAUGGUCUACGGAGCGGAGGCGGUUCUCCCAAGUGAUAUCCGUCAUGACUCACCUCGUGUGGCGGCUUAUGUUGAAGCGGACAAUGAGACAACACGGCAAGACGCUUUGGACCCGUUAGAUGAAGAACGUGACAUAGCAGCCGCCCGCUCGGCGAUUUACCAACAGGAUCUUCGUCGUUAUCACAGUCGCCGAGUCAGAACCAGAACCUUUCAGGAAGGAGAUUUGGUGCUUCGGCUCAUCCAAGAUCAGACUGAUAUGCAUAAGCUAUCCCCACCUUGGGAGGGACCUUUCGUGGUCAGCAAGAAUCUGCACAACGGGUCAUACUAUUUGAUCGAUAUUCGAGAGCAUAAAGACUCACGUACAUCAGAGGAGGAGACCAACAGGCCGUGGAACAUAGCUCAUCUUCGGCCUUACUAUACCUGAGCCAUUGGCUCUACUUAUGUACAUAUUACGACAAUGUAUAUAUUAUGAUUAAAUAUAAUAAACUGGAACCUCAGCUAAAGCGGGGUAUCUGUUCUUUUACAUCAUGUGUGGUUACACGGAGUUGUUCUAAAGCGGCCUCCGGUUUAUCCCUUGAGUUAGCUUUUCAAAGCAUCAUGUUAUAUCACUUGGGGGCUUGGUCGUGUCCAAACCAAUGCAACACCUCUUGAUAGGCGAGAGCCACCAGAUCACUUGGGGACUUGGUCACAUCUGAACCAGUCACGCCUCUUGAUCGGCCUAAGGCCACAGAAUCACUUGGGGGCUUGGUCGAACCUGAACCAUUGCCACGCCUCUUGAUUGGCAUAAAUGCCACGGUUUCAUUUGGGGACCUGGCCGACUUGAACCAUAGCUACACCUAUCGGGAGCUUGGUCGUGUCCGACCAUGGUAAAGCCAUCUGAUCGGCUCAAAUAAAGCCUCUCUUUGCAAACGGUUUUAUCAUUGCCUUUGCUUCACAUUUUCUUUGGUAGAUAUUUCUUUCUUUUUGUUGCAUUUUUUAAAUCGACAAAGUUUUAAGCCGGUUCAAACUGUCAAUUGACGGAACACGGUCCAUUUUUAAUCCGGAGACUAUUUGCCCGGUUUGAUUUUUUAUAAACAUCCUAUUACGGAGUAGCACGGUGUUUUAUUAUAACCCGACAUGGUUUACAUGGUAAACCAGCAUUAUAUAUAUACAUGAGCUGCUAUCUCCUCCAACAGUGUGGGUUUAUAAACCUCCGCUUCAAGAUUGGCCAAGCCAACUUCAUGCCCAAUGAUGGCAGGUAUUAUGUAUCCCAAAGAUUUGAUCAUAUGCUUAAAUUUCAGAUAUUUUGAUUUCAUAUAUGCAGACAUCAUACUUCGCCUGACGGUACAACUGCGGUGCCACUUUAAGAUUUUUUGUAUUACAGAAAAUACUUUGGAAAGUGCAUCACCCAAAGGAAGAACAAGUUGUAGUAAUUAUGCACGAAGGCAUAUCAAAGUCAAGAGUAUCGGCUAGCCUAUUACAAGGCAACACGGUGCCCAAAAUAAGAUCAUUGUUUUUUCGCAAAGGAGAAGCAGUUUAAACCGGCUUCCGGUUCAAGCUUGGUCACCAGCCUGGCCUGAUGGUUGUGGGUCAUCCCGCGCCGCUUCAACUUCAGCUUCUCUACCCAGCGGCUGGAAAUCAACAGUUGUCCAGUCGAUUCCCAUUAAUGCUUGAAAGACAGCUUCAUCAUGGAUCAGCAAUGACAGUUCAAUAUCGGAAGCGUAAGUAUGCUUACGGAUUGGAGGGAUAAGAUUUUCCGCUUUAGGAAUUGGUGCAGCUACUCGCUUAUUUUGGUUGUCAUAUUGGGCUUGAUAAUCAGACAAGUCUACUUCUUCAACCAAUUGACAAGCUAGCGGACGCACCUCCCGGUUUAUUGCUCGCAGAUCCGCUUCACUAAAUUCUGACCUGUCUUCCUUCAAGCUGGGAUAGCCCUGAGCCGCUUCAACAGGAUCAAAAUCUGGCACCCAAGCUUUUGCCCGGAUUAAGGCAUUGAUUGCACCAGUUCGAGCAGAAGAUUUCUUUAGCUCUUCAACCCGGGCAGGAAGCAUCGACAGUCUCUUUAGGGUGUCCUGAAUCAAAGUGGGCGCCGGAUUGUUGUGGGAUGCAGUACAGAUGAUCCGUUGUGCACCAGUGUACAGUUGUUCGAUCAAUGUGUAGGCGGCUUUCAAUUUCUUCCGCACAUCUGACCCCAAGUGACCAAUGCGUGUCCCUGAAAUAUUACAAAGGGUUAACAAACCGGCAGCUCUAUAAGACGGUCGAAUCAAUCCAGAAAUCAAGCCAGCUUACCAAAGAUAGCAGCGGUCAUGGCAUGCACAUGCCGCUUUAUGCUGGUCAGUUCGUCCACCACCGGUUUCAGUGCAGCCUCGGCAUCUUCUGCUCGUUUGGUUAAAGCGGAUUUUCCAGUGGCCUAAUCUGCCCGUUUUUUCUUGAAACCCUCCUUAAGCUGUUCCAUGGCGCUUAAAGCACUGGUUAAUUCCUCUUUUGCUUUGGAGGUUUCAGCUUGUUGGGAUUUCAGAUUUUCUUGGAGAUCGGCGACUUGGUUUUCUUUUGUCUUCAACUCAGCCUGCAUAUAGACAGAUAUAUGAUUCCGCAAGCAGUACAACAAUUGAAGUACCAACCACAUAACAAGUUAUGCACUUGGCCCUUGGGGGCUAAUGUAUAUUUGAUCUUAAUCUUUCAAUAGAUUCUAAAGUCCCAAGAUCAAUACAAGUAUUCAACUUGGCACUUGGGGGCUAAUGGCUAUUUGCUCAAAUAAAGAUGACAAUUACUUAAAGUCCCGGUUUAACUACGCUAAGUUGAACCGGCCCUUGGGGGCUACAUCAGCGAAUUCCGAAGUAUGGAGAUUUAUAUUAGCAAGUCCCGGUUUGAAUGAAGAUUCUAAACCGGCCCUUGGGGGCUAGGAGAAUUAACAAGAUUGAAAUGUCCAAGCAGGGAAAAGCACAUGGAAGUUACCUCAAAUUUCCCUUUCAUCAUAUUCACCAGACCAGCUUCAUAAUCACGGCUGGUAUACAGCCGGUUUAGAUAGCCAGGAUGAAGAUCUUGGGCAUUCAGAGCAGCAUAGGUCGCCAAGUCAACAUUCCACUUGCCUUUUCCCAUGGCAGCAAAUUCUUAUUUGGCGGUAUGCUUGGAUAAAGCAACAGGAUUGCUGGGCUCUGUACGGCCAAUACCAGUAAUUACAACUUCAUCAUCCUUAGCAUCACCGGUUUGCACUGGCGCAGUCGGUUUGUCAGCAGGCUGGGAUGGACUGGUGGAUCUCCCAAACCAGAUGGGGCUUGUGGGCUGGUUGAUAGGGCCUGAGGCAUCAAUAGGCCUUUCUUCAGCAAUAAAAUUGUCAUCCUGCUGUGGUGGAUCAUUGGGUAUAUCUUCAUGAAUAGCCACUUCAAGAUCUGGUGUUUUACCCGGUUUAGGGACGGUGUCCUCCUCGGCCGCUUUAUCUAGGCGAGCCUUCUUGCUCGGCCUAGGCUUGGCCCUGAAAGGAAUAACGAAGUCAAAAUACAGCAUAUGUUACAAGGUGAUGUAUCAGAAAUAUGAUGAUAAGUAUAGCUUACCCAAGCACCGUUUUGAGCGGUGGCAGCUGAGUAGCCGAUGACUCUCCAGAGGAUGAGUGGGAAGUAACCUGAUAAUCGGAGUCAGAUGGAUUAAGAGGUUGACGAAAACAGCCCGCUUUAGGACAAGCACUGACAAGCAAAUUAGAGACCUCUGAACAGCGUUUCCGAACCGGACUGUUCGGUAAAACCAGCAGAGGUAACUACCUGGCCACUGUGCCGGGUUGUGCGGCGAGCUUCGUGCUGUUGGGUCUUCAUAAGAAAUUUGGGAUCCAAGUAAGCAAGAGGAUGAGAAAAUUUAACCUUCCGGUUUUCCUGACGGAUUUUUAGUGAAGGCAAAGGGUCUGAAUCGGAAGAGAGAGUAAUUACCUCUGCAGCAUCAGCAUGGCUGGCUUCGGCAUCAUCCUGACAAAUAUCAUCAUCAAUAAGGCGCAUGAAAAAUAAGCCAAGUGAGUCGAGCUCUACCUCAAGGUCCGGAUUACCCACAUCAUCAUUAGGGGUCGGAUCAGAAGAUGCAGUGGUUUUCUUCUUAUGAGCAGGCCGUUUCACGACUUUAGUCUUUGGCCGGGUUGGUCGUUCCGGUUUGUCUGUUUUUUCUGGCUUCUCCUGUGGAAGUUUCUUGCUCCAAAACGGAUCAUUACCCUGUUUAAAUAGACACUGAUAUUAAACAAUGACCAGAUAUAUCAAUAACAGGUUCAGUAAAAAGAAAAAUCAAACUCUUACAGCUGGCGGUUUGUUGGUGGCACAGAAGGGAAGCAGGCCGGUUCGAGCACAGACGUGUUCCGGUUCAUUCAACAUUUUAUUCACAGCCUCUAUGAUUUCUUCGUCGGUGAGCUGGAUGUUAGCAUGUCGCAGUGGGUCAUCAACACUGCCAGUAUACUCGCACAUCAAACCGGAGCGCUGACUAAGGGGCAGUAUGCUCCACGAUAUCCAACAGCGAGCGAGAUCAACCCCUGUUAAACUGUUGGCCAUGAAGGCUCUGAGCUUGGACAGUUGAGGAGCGUAUUUGCUUCUCUCCUUGGCAGUCAACCUUUGCGGAAAGGGGUGUGUAUUGCUAAGCCGCUCCGCACGAAAGCUAGGCAAAGGAUUUUCACCAGCAGGGGAGGUGUCUUUGCAAUAGAACCAUGUUUGAUUCCACUCUUUGGGAUGGCUGUGCAGUUUGGCGUGAGGGUAUGUGACCUCUUUCCUUUUCGGAAUUGCCACACCACCCAAUUCCGUAUUGGAACCGUCAGUAAACUUAGUGCGGCGGUUUAGAUGGAAGCAGUCUCUGAACAACUCAACUGUGGGCUCCUCUUGAAAGAACACCUCACAGAGCACUUGGAAGUGACACAUGUUUGUAACAGAAUUGGGGCCAGUGUCUUGUGGGUGGAGUUGAAAAUCGGCCAAAACAUCCCGGUAAAAUUUAGAACCGUGCGGCUUAAAGCCCCGGGCUAAGUGAUCUAUGAAAACGACAACCUCUCCUUCUUGAGGUGUGGGAGGGCAUUCUUUGCCAGGAACCCUCCAAUGGAUGGUGUUUUUGCUGCCUAAAGCGCCGAUCAGGACUAAAUUGUUCAGUUGAGUCUCUGUGACGCGAGAAGGAACCCAGUUGCACUCAUAUACUUGCUUGGCCAUGAUGAAAUCUACAAGAUAGGUGAUUCCGGUUCAAGAAUGCAUUGAUUAAAGUACACUGGUAUGUACAAUGUUAAACCGGAGACAGCUCUAUCUAAACCGGAGUUUUAUGAAGCAACAACAUCUGGCGGUUCAACAAGGGGACUAAUGGUAUAUACCGGUUUGUUAAUUUUUUCUACACCAAGUUAAACCACCAGAUCUAAGCAUUGAAACAGUUGAGAUUGCGGAUGGAUAAGUGUACAGAAACAGAUUUCACAAGAUUUCUCUACAGCGACGGGUCUGAAGCAAGUUCAAAAAAGAAGGAAAAUAUUCAAGGUUCAAAAAAAGAACAGUACCGAAUCAAUGGGCAGAGAUACAGGUAGAUCUAUGGUCUUGAGGCAUGUAAGUGAAGGCGGAUGCUAAAAACUACCGCUACACAGAGCAAAGGUUCACAGGUUCAUCUAAGAUCUAUCAUAUGACUACGAAGCAGACGAUGAACACUAAAGAACUUGGAAACCCUAGAACGGAUCUACGAAGGAAAAGGUGAAGAACUCACCGGAGCCGAGGAAGAAACAGAAGGUCGCCGCGAUGCUCUGGUACAAUCAGGGUGAUGCAGCGGCCAAGGUUGGAGCAGAGGUCAUCGAUGGCGGCGGAGCUCCGAAGCUGGACGAUGCGGGGAAGACGAAGCAGAAGGGCACGAAGGAGAAAAAGAAAUGACCCUUCGGUCCUAUUUAUAAGGCAAGGGACAUGUGUCAGGCGCGAAAAUCAAGGGAUUGUGGGUUUGGAAAUGAAGCUGUCGCCUCAAUUGUCGCAGACCUAUUAAACAAAAAAGGUAUCAUGGAUAAGUUUCUUUAUAACAGGUGACUUCACGCCGGUUUACAACGACCAGAGAAGAUGACAUCACGGCGGUUCAACAAACUACAAGAAGAUGUUGAAGAUGAAGUUUUUUGCUAUAGGAUUGACAUGAACCUGUUCAAAUCAAUGUGGGGCCUAAUGUUGGGGAUAUUACUACUGGGCGUAAACCGGCCUAUCUGGGCCGUGUUAACUUCAUCAUUAGUUAAGUAUGUUAAAGCCCAUGAAGGUAGAUGAGGGCUUAAAGCCCAUGAUCGGUUUAAGGCCUGUAGCCAUAAACCGGCGUCGGUAUGUAAACUUGUAUUGUAAGUUAGGAAUAAGUAGAGACCAAACCGAACACGUAUAUGAGCCAGUGUUGGGACUCUGUAAACCGAUGGGCGUCACCCAUGUAUAUACGGGGGACGACCCGGCGGCAGUUCAAGGACAACAGACAACAACUCGAGACUUAGGCGAAGCUUGUUUGCUCCCUAGUCAUCGAAACCCCAUCAAUUCUAUCACAACUAGACGUAGGCUUUUACCUUCAUCGAAGGGGCCGAACUAGUAUAAACUCUCUUGCAUCCCUGUGUCCGCUUUAACCCCUUCAAGCUAACCCGUUGCGAUGGCUCCACGACUAAGUCCUUUCACGAGGACAUCUGCCGUGACAAAACCACGACAGGGAGGGAGUCGAUUUCGGCCGAGGAGACACUGUGUUUUGGUGCCCACCAUGUAUGAAUCCGGGUGAGAGGCGGGUAUGUCUCGUUUGAGUGAACUUACAAACCUACCCCUAUCGAAACCUAUAGAAAUCGAGCCGAUAGGCUUUGGGUGUAAGGAUAGGCAAUAAUUUCCAUCUCGCAGAUUUUGGUUUCGGGCGGUUACUGCGACUUUCCCCGCUUCGUUCAAAUCUUUGCAGAGCAAAAGUGCAUGUUUACCGUGCCAACUAAAUUCAAAUCCAGUUUGUAUUCUAUUUUUGUUCGGCCAGGAUCCAUUUGCGAUUCAAAUAAAAUUCUAUAUACAUCAAUUUUUAUAUAUACUUUCAAAAGCAUAACAUAGAAUUCUUCACCUUUAUAUGUAUAUAAUAUGAUUUAAAAAUACAAUGAUCUCAAAAUCAUAAGGUUGAAUUCAAAAAAAAUUAAACCAAAUUAUGUUCUACUAAAAUGGAUGGAUCAGUAAUAUCUACAUAUUAAAUAACAUAGAUGAAUGUGAAUUUAUAUGAGUAUGCAUGUUUGAUAGCUCAAUUUUGGUUCGAGUAUGAAUUACAUGUAUCAUCAUCUCGAAUUCAAAUAUUUCAAUCCCUUUUAUGUUGAUUCCUUUCACGCCCAUCUCUUUGGCAUGCUCCUUCAUGUAGCUAUCAUUCUCUUUUCCCCAGCUCAGCCGCAUGCUCACUUCAUGUUUCUCCUAUCUUUGCAAACAUGGUCUCUCGACGUCUCCCUUGAGAAGUAUCACACUCUGCCUAUCAUUAUACAUUACACGGUUUUCAUUAUCUCUCACGUCUCUACCGUUCUCUGGUAUCACUAGGUACCUAAGCUUUCUUUUUCACCGCCACACACACAGUCUCGCUCGUCUUUCACUUUGUCUUUCUCUCUAUGGGGUUCUCUCACACACCCUAUAUAUCUCUAGAUAUGACUCAUACCACUAAAAUUACUCUCUCCUGCAGACACAACAUUUGUUGGGGUCUCCUUUACUUCUCCAUCCCAGUUAUAAACUGACAUUAUUCAUUUGUUUACCGAUCAUACAAACUCCCCCCUCCCCCGCUCUCUCUCUCUCACACACAGCUCCUGCGCCCACUCCCCUUCCCGACUAUCGUCUCACACACACACACACACACAAAACUCUCGCUUUCGCACCCCCGGCUCGUAUUUCUCUCACAUCAUUGAUCGACUAGCCUCCAGAUAGGUUUAUACACCCGCACACUCGUGCUUAACUAUCGCAUACAUGUCUCUCUCGCACUCCUUGUAUCUAUGUAGAUUUUUUGUCCCUUCUUGAGACACGCCCUCUCGAUCAUGCACACACACACUAUCGCCUCAUUUUAAGCCGAUACCUCUCGCACACACACUCUUUGUGUCUUUGUCACACAUGUACUCCGUCCUCCUCCUCUUCCCCUCUCCCUCACACACACAACACACACACAUAUGGGCUUUUUGCAACAACUAGCAAGAUGCCCAUGCGUUGCACGAAACAUCAAGAUGCAUUUGUAUGAGUAGUUUAUCUUGUGGGAGAAAAGGAUGAACGAGGGAAGACCUUAUUUGCAAAUGUGGAGAGGGCUGUGGGUAUCUUUUUGCAAAAUUGCCAUAGUUUCCUUCCUAUCCAUUAGAUAUAAAUCGGACGGCCUAUAUAGCAGGAUGGCAGGCACACCAUCAUCACCAACUCUAUUUUUUUAUCUCGAACUCUUAUAAAAAUCAUAGUCGGUGAUGAUGGUGUGCCUGCCAUCCUGCAAUAUAGGUCGUCCGAUCUAUAUCUAACGGAUAGGAAGGAAACUAUGGCAAUUUACCCGCACUCCUCUCCACAUUUGCAGAUAAGGCCUUCCCUCGUCCAUCCUUUUCUCCCACAAGAUCUUGAUGUUCCGUGCAACGCAUGAGCAUCUUGCUAGUAAGAAUAGAAAUGAGAGGUAUACCACUUCUCGAAUCUUGAAAUCAACAACAUUCCUCCCUUAUCUCAUCAAAACCACCAAAGGAAUAUAUUUUGAGUGAAACAGAAGAUAUUUUUAGUUAUACAAGUCUUUCGAAACUAGACUCUUUUUUCUAUCAUAUCGGUGAAUAUGUAUUAAUCUACUUUGAUCGUGUUGCAACGCAUUGCCACAGUGCUAGUAGUUAUUACUACUGUAUAAUUUUUUGGACAACAGACAAACGCUGGAGUACAUAUAUGAAGAGAAGAGGCGCACGCACGCAGUCGGUCUCUUACUGUCUCACACGCAUGAGAGUUACGUAAAGGCACCGUUAAAAAUAAACCCUAAAACCCUAGGUGCACGAUUGCUGCAUGCGCGGGUACCGAGUACGUGGUGGAGCACACCUUUGUAGGAAUAGUCAGCUCGUGUGACAAUUUGAUCCAUAGGAGUUGAUGGUCUGGACCACAGGUGAACGACCUGGAGGCGGUGGCUCGCUAGUUGCCACAGAUCGAGUAGCCACGUUUAAAAUAUCAUUUUUUAGAGGGGUAAGAGUUCUGAUUUUCAAGGGCGUGUUAUAAGUACUUAAGUAAUUUUUAGAACGAUUGGUAUGGAGCGAAAAUGGAAUUCAUAACUACUACCUCCUUGGCGUAUGGUUGUAUGGGUUUAUGUUGCGAGAUGUUGAACCUGGUAGUUCUAGGGCAAAUACUAUGGUUUAGAUGUUGGUUUUAGUAAUGAAAAUCGGAAGGGGGAAACCCUUCUUUGAUAAAAAAACUACUACCUCCAUCCUGGUUUACUAGUCCCCAUCGUAUUUUGGGUCAAAGUUUGUCCACGAAUUUCUACACUCUUAUAAAAAAUAGAGUUGGUGAUGAUGGUGUGCCUGCCAUCCUGCAAUAUAGGCCAUCCGAUUUAUAUCUGACGGAUAGGAAGGAAACUAUGGCAAUUUUGCAAAAAAGGUACCCACACACCUCUCCAGAUUUGCAAAUAAGGCCUUCCCUCGUUCAUCCUUUUCUCUCACAAGAUAAACCAGUCAUACAAAUGCAUCUUGAUGUUACGUGCAACGCACGUGCAUCUUGCUAGUUACUUGUAAAAUGUGAAUGGAAAACGAGAUUUUGUUAUACCCAAACAAAAAAGGACUGGAGGUAGUGAUUUCUCUGACACGCACACAACCUCUCAUAGCGCAGGCAUUGAAUCAGUGCGUCGGCCAAGAGGGCCCCACUCAUGGCAGGCCAGGCUGAACACGCCUCCUCGCCACAUGCAACCGGCUUCAGACUGCCCCGCCUGCCUCCAAUUCAUCCGCGCGUGUGCCGGCAACACGUCCUUCCGCGAGCCAGCUGGCAUUUUAGAACACAACGUCGGCGGUUGGCUCCUCUCAUCCGCUCGAUAUUUAAAUGAGGCCAGACGCCUAGCAAGAACCGCACCACACCGCUGCUCCCCAUAUCCUCCUUGCACCAUUUUCUCCACACUCUCCAUAACAUGCAGUGAGCAGGAAGACGAGUUCUCUGGCAUAAAAGCCGGAUUGGUGCCCCGACAAGCCAGGCAACUCAUUGCCCCACCUCCCUCCCCGCCCCAGGCCGUCAGUAUGAUGGGCGAGGCUGCAGGUAGGCAAGCGGAGGAGCAAGCCACUGCUCCAAGCUGGCCCUUGGCGCAUCAACUCGAUGCUCCAAGCCUGCUCACAGAGGAGUGGCCAGUUGCUGCACGCCGACACAUGGCGGACCACAACGUCCAAUGCACUGUGGUUGGCCGCGCCAUACGACGCAGAUGUUGGCGGAACCGCGACAUGUUGGCGAAGGUGGCCAACACGUUUGCGGCCAUUGCUUACACCAAGGAAUAGUAGACCACAGGAGCCGCCGCCGCUCUGAACCCACGAAUGCUACGACCACCGCGUCGCCGGCAUAUGCACCUGGUGUGUUGCCCGAUUUGGCUCAAAACAUCGUGGACCCCAGCCGUGGCCGGCAUUAGAAAUUAUACCUGCUUCUAGAAGUUAUUUGCAAUUAGGCAAAAAAUGACCAAAAUAUAAUUAAUUACGCAUGUUCUUGACUUGUUGUGCUCGCACUGGUAAUAGGAACUAGAGGUUUUUCUUUAUUUAUAACUCUCCUCACAUUUUUUUGGCUUUCAAGUGAAUCAUGGUUGUGGACAUCAUCUAUGAAUGUGAAGAUAUCUGUGAACAUGAGUUUGAUGUGCAAGUUGAACUUGGAAUGUUGGGUUUGUGUGUGAACUAUACAAUGUCCAAUGCUUCGUCUGUUAUUGUUUGGAAAGUAAUUGCUAUUAUUACAUGACCCGAAAAAAAUAUAUUUUGUGCCACAUCAGUAGAUGCACGGACAUCACAACAGGCAUGCUAACUGGAUAAACAUUUGAACCUAGCUAUUAUGAAGGAAAAUUUGUAUUGACAAUAGUUUUAGAUAGCAGGAGACGCCUAUCCUGCUCUACCUCUGCUAGCUUCUUUCUGGCUACUUCCAUCUCUUCUUUGGCUUGGGUGAAGAGAGCAUCGGAUUGCUCUUUUCGCUUCUUCAGGAACUCAGCUACAUUCUCAAGGGCUGCUGCACGCUUUCUUUCAGCCUUUACUAGAGCCACGACGACACGAACAGUUGACGACUCCACCUGGCUUGUCUGUAAUCCAGCAUCAUCUGGGAAUUUGCACCUUGUGUCUAAUCUAGCAUCAUUAGGGAACUGGCACCUUGUGUGUAAUCCAACCUCAUUUUAGAAACAUGAUCUCGAGGUUGACCAUACUUCCCUCCUUGCAGGAACUGCAUCCUGACAUGAAGUUACUUCUUUUUUAGAUCAAUACUUAGAGCAACCUAGAUCCAUUUAGUACAAGCCAGAUAAACAGGACCCGGAGAAGUGAAUUCAAAAGGAAAAUAUAAAAACAGACUACAAGGUGAGAACACCCACUUCCUACAUCAAGCUAAAAACGAAAGCACUAGGAUGAUUAAGACUCUUCUUAUUACACAUCGAAGAACACGAGGCUAAGAGAAAUAGAAACUACAACAUAUAAACAUCAAAGAACACGAGGCUAAACGAAAGUAAUUGAAAGGGUGUUACUUACCAAAGCUUGUUUUACAGGUUCGGUGCAGCCCCUCUUUAACUUGGCACACUCCUUGAAGAUGUCCCCAAGAUCCCGUGUUUGGUCUUCAUUGCUGCUCUGCAUGUUUGCACUCGUGGUUUUAAAAUCUCAACAUGGAAAGAAAAAUAUACUGGUAAUACUCACGCAUCUUGUGGGCAGCAUUAAAGCACUCGUCUGCCAUGUUAGAGCAUCUCCAAUAGAAGCGCAACAUGCGGCGAUUUAAAAAGCGUUUAUAGUGCUGAGAUCGAGAAGUAGAGAUAGAGAGUAGAGACUAGAGAGUAGAGACAUAGAUAGUUCUCAGCAUAGAUAUAGCAUAGAUAGAUAAAAAAAUAGAUAGUUCAACUCCUCCUCCUCGGUGAUGUCCUCCUCCGACGUCUCAAUGUAGGCGUGAAGAUACCGAUUGUCGCCGGAUUCCCAGGGCGACGCUGCUCCUAGCCCCAUGUUGAAUUGAGCGCCAGCGUUUCGUGUAUGCUUGUCCUCGCGAUAGGCGGCUCACUCCGCCCUCCUCUUCUCCAUCUCUGCUUUCCUUAGCACGUAUAACUCGCCCUCGUUGAUGAUGUCCUGCGGGAAGUGUUGGCGCCACAGUGCCAUGGCUUCCCCGUCCAUCUCGGCGAUGCCGAUACGGUGCUCCCACCUCCGGUUGUCGGGACGAUCCUCGUCGGUGAUAAGUCGUGGUAGAGGCGCGAGCUCCUGCGCCCGCUCCCGCGUCGGCACGUUGGGGAAGUUCAAUGUUCUAUGAGGCCACCGGAGGCGCCACGCCGCCGCGUCGUACGCGCGGGCGGCCUCGUUGGCGGUGUCGAAAUUGCCGAGGCCGCGGCGCGUCCCGCGGAACCGGAUCUCGGCGGAGAAGCUGCCAGAGGGGCGUGCACGGAUGCCGCGGUAUCCCCAAGUUUCCCGACGAUGCGGCGGCAUGGUGGCGUGGUGGCGGCGAGGUGAGAAAGAGCGGGGAAAGAGCGGUGGCGAGGCGCAGAGCGGGGAGAGAGCGGUGGCGAGGCAUAGAGCGGGGAGAGAGCGGUGGCGAGGCACAGAGCGGGAAGGGACCGGUGGCGAGGCGCAGAGCGGGAAGAGAGCGGUGGCAAAGCACAGAGCGGUAGGAGGGCGUUGGAUUUUAUAAAGCGCGCCGGACGCCGCGCGCCCGGCCGCUUUUUCCUAUGCGCGCGCGAUCCUUUCCCGACGUCCCUGCUAUCUCUACUCUCUUCUCUUCCAUUAUAUUUAUUUAAUAUUUAAUAUUUAUCUCUACUCUCUUCUCUACUGUUAUAUUUGUUUUAUAUUUAAUAUUUAUCUCUACUUCUCUACUCUCUACUCUUUUUUUCUACUUUUUUCUCUAUCUCUAUCUCUACUCUUAUAAAAAACAGAGUUGGUGAUGAUGGUGUGCCUGCCAUCCUACAAUAUAGGCCGUCCAAUCUAUAUCUGACAGAUAGGAAGGAAAUUAUGGCAAUUUUGCAAUAACAUACCCGUACCCGUCAUCAAAUUUGCAGAUAAGGCCUUCCUGCGUUCAUCCUUGUCUCCCACAAGAUAAACUACUCAUAUAAAUGCAUCUUGAUGUUCUGGGCAAUGCAUGGGCAUCUUGCUAGUUUCUCUACUCUUAUAAAAAACAUAGUUGGUGAUGAUGGUGUGCCUACCAUCCUGCAAUAUAGGCCGUCCGAUCUAUAUCCAACGGAUAGGAAGGAAACUAUGGCAAUUUUGCAGAAAGAUACCCACACCCCUCUCUAGAUUUGCAAAUAAGGCCUUCCCUCGUUCAUCCUUUUCUCCUACAAGAUAAAAUACUCAUACAAAUGCCUCUUGAUGUUCCGUGCAACGCAUGGGCAUCUUGCUAGUUCUAAAAAACUAUACAUCAUUUUCCACACUAUUGGUUGCCGAUGAAGAACCUACCCAAGCACAGCGCGAUACAGGAGCGAUGCAUAAUUACAAGCUGAUAUUCUGUUGGACAAUGGAAGCUAUAACCAAUUACUUUUACCGAAACAAUAGCAACCAAGAAAUUUGAAGGAUUGGUAUGAACAGAAUUGGAACUUCACGUGUACUUCUAAGUGAUUCAAUACACACAUACACUACUAGAAAACCUUAUACACAGAAGUUUAGCAGUAGCGCGGUUUAAAAAUGGUAUAAAAACCGCGCUACUACUAAGUUGAUAGUAGUAGUGAGGGGUAUAAACCCGCGCUGCUACUAAGUGGUGUCCAACAAUGCCCCGUGGAUAGGCCAUAGUAGUAGCGAGGGGUAUAAAACCGACGCUACUACUAAGUAAGUAGUAGCAGCGCAGGUAAGACCCCCACGCUACUACUAAGCAUGUCCACCCCGGCCCGACGCACACUCCCACCCCACCACGAACACAUGACUAAAAAACAAUGUUCCUCGGUCCACCCCACCCUGGCUCCUCUCCCCACGAUCUCCUCGCCGCCUCCACCACCCACCCCGGCUGGUUCCGGCGAGCAUCGGUCGCGCGCAAUACUCCCCCAAGCUCCGCCCCUCCAUCCAGAUCUGACAUGGUUGCGAUUCCUACAUGGCCACCCUCUUCUCCACCGCGCUCUCGCACCACCUCAUCCCGCUCCUCCGCCGCCUCCUUUGCCUGCGGCCCGCUGCGCGCCGUGUCGGCGCUGCUAGUGCCGCAGAGGCGGCUCCUGCUGCCCAUGGCCAUGGGGGACGCCGGGGGGGACAGAGCGAGGGCGCCGGGGGAGGAUCUGCCAUUCCCGGUGAUGGCGCAACAGAGGAGGAGCUGAGCUAUUGUGCGCGCCGGACAAGGAGCUCAAAUCCUGCUCCGGGAGGCAACGCACAGGAAGUAGCAGCUGAGCCAGAGGAGAUGCAUGGGAGGGAACGCGUCGUUGCCGUCCGCCUGACACCCCCGCUUCUUCUCCGCCGUCAGCGUCGUCCCCAUGAUUCAGCUGUUCUCUUGCCAGAUCUGAAUGAACAGGGCAUCUCAAAGGUUCAUUCUCUAGCUAAGUACACUUCUGAUUUGGUUUUCCUCCUUCAUUAAUUGCAAAGGGGAUUAAUCACCGCUAUCUGAUUCUGCUUGUUGUAUUGUUGUUUUUGAGUAAAAUUGGUAUGCCUAUAUGUAGAGAGUUUUGUAGCUAACUGAUGAAAAUAAAAUGUGGCAUCUCAGAAGACUUUUUGUUCGUCUGAAUCCUAAAGCUAUAUGCAGAUGCGUAGAUGGGGAACUUAGGGGAGCAUUAAGAUUGAAAUGUGAGGGUCAGUUUCAAUAGAUAGUAAGAUUAAAGCGCCAGGGUAAAUUUUUACUGAAAGUCAAAUUGCUGUAUAUUUCUUCAGUGGGUGCAUCUGCAUCGGGCAACCUAACGUCUUCACCAUGAUUGAGCUGAUCAAUCUUCACAUCUGAAUGAACAGGGCAUCCAUCCAUCUCAAAGGUUUAUUUUGUACGACUAGCUAAUUAAACUUCUUAUUUGUUUUUUCUUAUUCUUCCUUUAGUAAUUGCUAGCUGAUUCUACUUGUUGUACUGCUGUUGGUGUGAAUCCCAUUUGAAAAUUGCUUUGCCUGCAACUACAACAGUAACACCAGCAAAGUAAGGAACGCUAAGGCUAGGCAGAGCAAGGAAGGGGAAGGAUGACCAUGCCAUGGGGGCUGGUGGCGUACAUGGUGGACAUGGUGUGGGCGGUGCUCGCCUGGUGGGUGUCGGCAUGCCUGCUGGUCGCCAACGAGAUCGCCCGCGGCAUGCGGGCCGGGGAGAUUGGCCCCUUCGUCGUGGGGUGAAUCUCACUUCGGGAAUCCUCCCUUCUAACUCCUUCAUGCAGGUGCUCUGCUCUGAACCUUCUGCUCUAGUUUCUUUGCUAGUAAAUUGAUGAACAUGGGGAUACAUUUUUUGAUUACCCUAUCUGCUCUAUAUCUUGAAAUACACGCCAGCGAUGUGUUAAUUGGCUCUGAGAUUUGUGUUUGCCAAAUAUAUUCAAGUACCUAACAAGAGGCUAAUGAGAGACUUUAUACAGAGUAGUUUUAUCUUCUGGAUAUAUGUUAUUUUUCUUUUGGAUAAGAUAAGAUGUUGUUAUACUGGUAUAGGUUAUACUAUACUGGUAUAGGUUAUUUUUCUUCUGGAUAAGAUAAGAUGUUGUAAAAUAGUCUCGGCUUGAACUAAGUUCAAAUUGGUUUAGUAAAUCACUACGCAAAUGAAUGCUCCAUUGCAGCAGAGCUGCACAUGGACGUGGAGUUGUUAUACAAGUGAAUGCUGUUCUGCACUUUUGCUUAUUGUACGCUCCUCCUUUUGCCCAUUUUAUUUCCUUAGGCAACGUACUCUGAUUCAGCCAGGACAUCACACGACCGUGCUCUGUUUCUUCUCAGGUCCAGCCUGAUUCGAGCUUCCUGGACAGCCACAAGGCAUGCCUUGGCCGCCAUUGAGCAGAAUGCCGCUGGUGGCCAGCGGCGACAGAGUGCCGUCUCAGCAGAUAAGGGAGUAUCAAGCGAGACAUCAUCAUCAUCAAGCGAGCAUGGGAGUUUUUCCUGCAAGCAAGUAUCUCAUUAUCCUUACCUUCAUCUGAACCACACUUGCAUUUUUAAAUCUUUGGAGAUGGCGUAGGAUAAGGCCCAGAUGAACGCUUGUGGAAAUAUUACAGCCCCACUGUUAGGAGUACAAGUUAAGUCCCGACAGACUGGGCGUAAGUGGAUUGGUUUGCCUUUUGAUUAGUAUAUAAGUAGAUGGUAGCAGACCUGGACAAAUAACAUUAAAAAUAGACUUCGCCUAUUUCCUGUUUUGAAGAGCAGUUGGAAUCAAUUUUGUGAUGUCCUUUGUUGGCGAUUUCCCUAUCCAUGAAAUGAUAAAUUUGAACAGAUGUUAACUGUCAAAUAUUUCAAGCAUAUAUAGCUCAAAUACACUAGUAUUUCUUGAAUGCACCAAAACAAGAAGAUAUCAUGAACACGUACAGCUAGGGUAUGCAUUUAGUAGGUGUUUUCCGUUUUGAAGAUUCAUAAUAGACUAAAAGAGACAUAAAUUGAAGAAAAUACCCUACUGGAUCUGCAGGAGGGCGCGAACUAACAAGUUUUCACUUUCUCGACUGGGUGCAGGGUGAUCGAUGAGGACUACUGCGGACCAAUGGGAGUCGUGCUCUUCAACUACUCGGAGGUAGACUUCACCGUGAAGCCCCGCGACCGCGUCAUACAGAUUAUCGUCUAGGUGAUUAUGACGCAGGAGGUCCCCGGGGUGGAGAACCUCGACGCCACCGUCCGGUCACCAGGUGGAGGACGACGCCAUUGUCCGGAGUUCCUCAAGGUGGAGGACCUCGACGCUUUGUACAUACAUCUAGAGAAGUGGUCUGGUUAGGUUGGUGGUGAAACGCUAGGGAAGGUACCAACCUUUUGAUGAUGGUUGUGUGCGUCCUCGUGAUCUCUUCGAGUUGAGAUGUUCAAUGUUGCAUCCAUGAACACUGCUAGUGUUAAGAUGGUUCUGUGAAAUUUAUUUUGCACUGGAUGUGUCUCUGAUCUCCAUUCAUGAAUACUGCAUCUAUUUUUAUUUUUUUAAUUCCUAAUUUGUUACUAGUAGCGUUGGGAAAAAAGUGCCCUACUAGUAUUUAGGAUACUAGUAGCACUGGUUUUAUAGGCACGCUACUACUACUUCAUUAGUAGUAGCGCGAGUCUAUAAUAGCAGUAGCGUGGGCGGCACACGCUACUACUAACAAAGUUAGUAGUAGCGCGGGUCUCACCCACACUACUACUAACUAUUAGCUAUAGCGCGAUACUAGUAGCGCGGGUACCCACGUUGCUAGUAGCCUUUUUCCUAGUAGUGAUAACCAAUCGAGGAGGAGAAUGAUGGUCGCGGCAGCCUCUGUGCAUCAUGGUCGGCAACGGGAGUCAGUUCAUUGUCCACGACGGUGGUGCUUCUGUGCUUGGCGUCGGCUUCCGGGAAGCAGAUCCGAGACCAUGGAAGCACUACAAACAAAAUACACUUCCGUGAUGAUACGUGUUUGUCACAGUAGGUCGCUUUUUUUGUCAUGCAUGUACAUCCAUGACAAAUUUAUGACAGAAUCAAGAUAGUCAUACCUGUGCUGUCGUAGAAGUGUUCCAUGACAUUACCAAAAUUAUCAUCAUGGAAGUGUCCACUUCCAUGAUGAUAAAUCGCGCGUCACAGAAGUGCUUUCGUCAAGGGUGACCGACACGUGGCAUCCACCGUAACGGAACACCGUUAGGCUAUCGGGUCGGGUUUUGGAUCCGAUAACCCGUUAACAGCCCUGACCAAUGGGGAUUUUCCACGUGUAAAAUCAUCAUUGGCUAGAGGAAACACAUGUCGGCUCAUCGUCGGGAUAGAUGUCAUCCACUCACUGGACAGAAGGCGCCUAUGAUACGUCGACACGUGGCACGGCCCAACAAGUUUAAAUGGGCCGGCCCAACUAAAGGCCCACAAGAUUUUGUGGACCAUAAUGGGCCGGCCUAGCUAAAGGCCCAUGAGAUUUUGCGGACCAUAAUGGGCUGGCCCAGCUAAAGGCCCACAAGAUUUUGUGGGCCAUAAUGGGCCGGCCCAGGUAAAGGCCCACAAAAUUUUCGUGUGCCAUAAUAGGCCGGCCCAGGUAAAGGCCCAUGGUGACUCUAGCCCAUAAUGAACAGUAAUUUUCUUUAUACCUGUUAACAGCCCGUGAUUUACAUGGGCCGUUUCCAGCCCGUGUUAGCUUUCGGCCUAUUGACGGCCCAUACAUUCUUGGGCUCCUUUUCGGCCCUCGAUUACUUCAGGCCCGUUACUGGCCUAUUCCCCUAAUGGGCCAAAUUCGGCCCAUGGCAAGAGUCGGCCCGUUACUGGCCUGUUCCACUAAUGGGCCAAAUUCGGCCCAUGGCAAGAGUCGGCUCAUUACUAGCCUGUUACCCUAAUGGGCCAAAUUCGGCCCAUGGCAAGAGUCGGCCCAUUUCUAGCCUAUUAACCCGUUGCGCCGUUUCCAGCCCGUCCUAUAUUCUGGCCCAUUAAUGACCCAUUAUGCCUGUGACAGAAUUAAGCCUUUGUUGUCCUACGGCCUGUUAACGGCCUGGGCCGAUACCAAUUACGCCCGAUUAUGGCCCAUGUAGACCCAUUUAUCCGACGGCCCGAGGCCCACCGAUUACAGGCCCAUUUAUCGAUGGCCCGUAGGAGACCCAUGGAUCCUACGGCCCGUAUAUGGCCCAUGGUAGUUGCGGCCACUAGCAAACCAGGGAAAAAGAAGACUAGGAAAUAAAUAAGGCCGAAACUAACGCUAGGCUAUUAAGGCGAUUGCACAUAUUACAUCCACUCGGCAUCAAAGAUCGCCACCAGUGCAAAUAUAGGGAACACCCUACACUAUACAAAAAUGGCUUACCGUUUUCUUCAGGCGGUGGCUGCACGUUAAGAAUAAAUUUUGUAUCGCACCAAAACAAAUUACAACUAUAUAACAAAAGGAAGGUUGGCAUAAAACUUAACAGUCUAGCAGAUAAAUGCACCACCAAAAGUUCAGAAGCUUAGUUCAUUUGACCUGACUGUUACGUUUUCAUGCUGUAUUGUCCGAUGGAGCACCAUAACCCUCGCCUUCAUUUCCCCUAGGCUCCUGAACAACAUAUCAAAUGUCUGAUAGUCUGGUUUCAAAACCAUGCAUAUCUUGACGACAUUGAGCAAUGUUUCUCCUUGUUUCACAAAGGGUCUCUGUUAGAGAAUGGGCUUGUGUCUAGAGCACAGAUACAACAUUGCUUUGAGCUUGCAUAUCUUGAUCAUGAGGCAGUUUGGAUGAUAUUGCCUUAACAACCAACCCAAUAUUACGCAGGAACAUGCUUUUGGCACUGUUAGUGGACAGGUACUGACCCACUGCAGCAAGAGCUGACAUUGCGGUUAUAGUUGCCUCCUCACCUUCAAAAGGUGGCGGUUCCACCAUUCUUUCCAUAGCUCGCUGAAAAGUUGAGGUUUUACAUUAGUAGUACCAGAACAGAAGAUACUAAGGAGGCAGCAAAACCAAACAAAAUAGCUUUGGUCUAUAUACAGAACUUAUUCUGGUGAACCCAUGUAAAAUAUUAGUUGUAUUUUAUUGCAAAGUACAUAAUAAAACCAUGUUCUAAAAUAUGACCAUGUACCAUCGCUAAUGUAUUGUCUAUUUCUUCACAUUGUAUUGAGGGCUAAGGAUAAAGAGACGAAGUUUAUAAUACGGUAAGCAUAGUAUGACAUCAUUCAUAUCACAAAACAACUGAGAACAGACAAAAAGGCAAUUGUAACAUUGUGUGGGCAAGUCCAGCACGGAACUAGAUUACGGGUCAAGAUCAAAGGAACAUCACUCCUCUCUUUUAAACCUUGUAAGGUGCAAUGAUACGCUAAGACAAUUGUGUAUAAAAUUGAAAAGAGUAAUAGACAUUGGCUGUAAACCAUGCAGUUCAAGGCACAAGUCAGAGUAAGUAGUAGUUAAAAGGCAUGAGGAUUAAGGACUUACAACAGCGGCUUUGACUGGUGUAGUCAUGCCCUUCUUCUUGCUGGUGUGACAAUCCUUGAAGAUUUCCACGGCAUUUGGUUCAGGUACUUUUUGGUCCUUGCGGGCUUUCCUCUGCAUUUGGAACAAGUCAAUAUAGAUCUGAUAAUAUGGUACAGCGAAAGGAGUGAAACAGUAGCUAAUUACAAGAGCCUCGUAGUGUGCAAUAUAGCUAUGACAUCCUGUCGUCUGUUGGAAUUUCACUUUUGUAUGAUUGGCCUUGUUGUUUGAACAGUUCACCUACAAGAAGAUAGAUUUGUGUGGCACAUGCGUAAAUAGGACUUCAACAUGUGAUCUGAUGACAUAUAUAUAAUGUACCUGAUACUUCGAAUCGGACCAGUGUUUAACGAGGCCUCUCCAGUCUUCAUCAGAUAUAUUUUCCACUGGAGAUGUUUGGGCAAGUUCACUGUUAGCCUUGCCUUCAAAGUGAGUUUUCCUCAAGUUAUACCGAUAUUGUCGUAGAGCAGACUUGAAAACAUGGGUGCAAGCUUGUCUGGUUGCAUCAUCUUGGCUAUCCAACUUGUACCUCAUCUGUUAAAAAUUAUGGGAGUCUCAUUAUCAGCAACCUAGAAAGUAUUGGACAGAGCAAGACAAUAUUACUAGUUUCCAUACAUAACCAUACUUACAGAUAAAUGGUCGAGGAAGAUGUUGAACUGGGUUUCGUCUUUGUCAUUCCUGUACUGAAUCCAUGUUGGGAGGAUACGUUACAUGGCACCUAACAGCAACCACUGCCUCUGAUAUUAACUUGGUUGACUCUGUAGCAUCACGUGGCCUUUUUAAACCUGCCUCAAAACGGAUCUCCAUUCUUCCUCUAGAUUUAGUUAACCUAUCGAGCAUUAUCCCUGAUGUUUGUUUCCUCUUGCGCAAGGUGCUAGUCCAACAACAAACAUAGGAAGUGUUAGUGUACAUCAAACUACGAGACUACAUAUAAAGAAGCAUGCAACUGUAACUUGACUCCAGCAACUACCUUCUUGUUGUUGAAGCUCACAAGGUUCAUAUGAUAUUGCCAACUCGUCCUGUGUCAAGAGUGCUUGGGAAGUAGUGUCAGGUGGCAAGGGAGCUUGGGAACGUGCUGCUAGCUCAGUUGACGCACGAGUACGUCGUGCAGCUGGUAGUACUGUGGUAGGUGUUGCAAGAACUAGGGUUGUCUCUACUUGUUUGGUGGUAGCUAUUUGUUUCUGUUUGUCUUUUUUUGCAACUCGUGUAGCAUGGGAUGCCGUGUUUGUAGAAUUUUUUGCUGGACUUUGACCUUCUAUUGCACCAUCAGUACCAGCAGAAUCUGUAGGAUUCAUCCACUUCUCAUUCCCUGCCAUUCUGUGUUUCUUCCUCUUUCUCUGUGCCAUGUUAAGUCAAGCCGACAAGAAAAAUGAAUAACAGUUUAGUUCUUCAGAACAAAUUGAUGCGUGAUGCAGACGAACUGAACUUUGAUGUUAGACAACCACAUGAUAGGAGGAUGUAAUAUGUAUGAAAAACAGGACGGAAGAGAUAACCAGAACUAUGAUGUGUAAACUAAGAAGACAUUUCACCAAAUUAGAAGCAAUGCAAUGGAAGGUAGACACCAUAUGAAAGAUGCUACAAAUAUCGCUCUACCAAGUUAACAGUGUCUCAUCAUAAAUGGCGUUUAAACAAAUGUGAAGCAGUACAAGAAAUAAAUCAUAUGCAAGAUGCAAACAACAUCACACUACCAUGUUAGAGGUCUCUCUUCAUUAGUGCCAUUGCAUAUUCAUAGCAUUGCAUAUUCACAGCUUAUGAUGUGUAAACUAAGGAGAAGGCAUUUCAACAAAUUAGAAGCAAUGAAAGCUAGACACCAUAUGAAAGAUGGAAUGAAUAUCACUCUACCAAGUUAAAACUGUCUCGUCAUAAGUGCCAUUUCAACAAAUUAGUAAUACAAGCUAGAAAAGAAUGUGAGAUGUAACCUAUAUCACACUCCAAAGUCAAACGUGUCUUAUGAUAAGUGAUUGUUGCAGGUUACACAACAGUGGUAAUUUGAUGUAACAUGGUGUGAUAGACAUAUAUUGUAUGUUCUAGAAACAGGAACACGUGUCUUAUUCAAGUAUAAUGUGUAAAGUAAGCAGAUGGAAUUCAAAAAAAAUUAGAACCAAUACAAGCUAGGCAUCACACAUAACAUGCAACCACAUAUAACAGUGCCAAGUUAGAGGGAGCACCGGUGAUGCUGCACUAGGGGAGACGUGCUCAUCAUAAACACAACUUUGUUGAGUGUCUAUGCAUGUGUUGUCUUGGAAAUCAUCUUGGGGGCGUGGAGGAGUAGAAACUGUAGGGGCCCUCCGUUCGAAAGGAGCACCUUUAUCCGUUGCCUUGCUAACUUCCUUCCACUUUAUUGAUUUUGAAUUGUCAAGUAAAACCGACAAGAAAAAGCAAUAAAAUUCUCUCUUCAGAACUCAUUCAUGCAUGAUACUGAUAAUCACUACUUUGAUGUAAGGCAAACACAUGAUACCAGGAUGGAAUAUGUACGAAAAACAGGACGGCAUGGCAUGUUCACAACUGUUUGUGUAAACUAAGCAGAAACCAUUCCAGCAAAUAAGAAGCAAUGCAAGCUAGACACCACAUGAAAGAUGCAACCAAUAUGACUCUACCAAGUUAAAAGUGUCCCAUCAUAAAUGAAAUUUCAACAAAUUAGAAUCAGCGCAUGCUAUAAAUCAUAUGAAAGAUGAAACUAAUAUCGCACUGCUAGCAAUGCAAGCUAGACACCACAUGAAAGAUGCAACCAAUAUGACUCUGCCAAGUUAAAAGUGUCCCAUCAUAAAUGAAAUUUCAACAAAUUAGAAUUAGCGCAUGCUAUAAAUCAUAUGAAAGAUGCAACUAAUAUCGCACUGCAUAUACUAAAGGUGUCUCGUCAUGUUGAUUGAUGCGGGAUAAAAAACAAUAGUUUUAUCUAAGGACAUGCUUAAUAGACAGAUGUACUAUGCACUAAAUACAGGAAGGCAUGUCACAUUAAUAGGUAUAAUGUAUAAGCUAAGCAGACUAGCACAUGUAGUUUAACCAGAUUGGAAGAAUUACAAUCUAGACACCAUAUGCAACAUGCAACCACAUAUCACGCUGCCAAAGUUAGAGCAAGCACCUGCGAUGCUAGUGUAGGGGAAAUGUUGUAAUCAACUACAGAGCUACGUUCACUAUCUUCAUCUAGCAUUUCUGUUUCUUGAGAAUCAUGUCGGGAGGCUGACGUUGCAUUCUUUAAAUGAGGAGUAGUCCCCUUGCCUUCCUGCCUCGUCAUAAGUGAUUGAUGACGGAUACACAAGAACAUUAGUUUGAUGUAAGAACAUGGUUAAUACACAGAUGUACUAGUGUGUACCAAAAACAGAAAGGCAUGUCAUAUUCAAAGGUAUAAUGUGUAAGCUAAGCAGAUGCAAUUUAACCAAAUUGGAAGCAAUACAAGCUAGACAUCCGGCUGGAGUGGUGAGCAUGAUCAUCUAGGACCUGAGAGCCUGGUGGGAGGCGGGCUGUUUCGCCACCAUCGCAGCUUUUUAGUUGGCUUCCAGGUGAUGCCUAUCUUUGCUGGGCUUGUCACUUGCUCGGCCAGUGCCCUAGCUAUUUGUCUUCUGGUGCUCACGGGAUGGUGGUUCAUGUAAAAAUUUAUCUUUCCUUAUCUUACCGACUUCGGCCUUUCGAAUACAAGCUAGGCACCAUAUGGAACAUGCAACCACAUAUGACACCAUGAAGUUAAAGCAAGCACCUGGGAUGGUGGUUCAUUGCGAGCGAGGUCAUCAACUCCAGAGCUAUGUUCCCCGUCUCCAUCUGCUGACACUACACCCUUUAAAGCGUUGAAACGUGUCUUGCCUAGCCGCACACCAAACUGGAGCGACUUCUCUCUUUUCUUUUUGGCUUCUCUCAUGGCAGCAGAGUCUGAAAUACCCUUGAAUAAAAACACAACAGUGAGAGUAAGGGUGAAGUGUGUGCAGAACUAGUACACUGUAAAAGUAGCAGAUAGCGGGUGACUGAGAAAUAAAUGACAGGAGCCAUAUGAUAGCUCUACAACAUUGCAUGGCAAACAAAAUUAGAUUCUACCAUGUAUGAUUUUGUAAUAUAUGAGCACAGGAAAUGGAGCUACUCCUCCAGCACACCACCACAUGUGGUCAUAUCUAAGAUAACAGUCGACUGAAAAUAAAUAGGUCAGUCAAUUUUUUAAUGAACCGUCCAAUCUAUAAGGAAUGGGCAGAUGGCCUUCGUCAACCUCCCGCCAGUCACUGUUGACGAUCUUUCUCGAACCGCCAGCGACCACCAGCCCAGACCCCUGCCUCCGUCGCCCCGCCCUCCCAUCCACCUCACACCACCGCCGUGCUUGGCAGCGCCCCCAGGCCAUCCCUUUAAUCCCGCCCGACCUCCAGAUCAGGCGCCAGUAGCUCUAGGCCGCACACGCCCCUAAGAUAAACACCAAGGCACUGCUUCCCCGGUGUAAUAGGCGUACUAGCUCCUAUUAUGCCGGGGAAUGCUUCCGUUAAUUGGGAAUCAAGUGGCCAAAAAUUGAAAUUCAGGGGGGCGAUGGACCUCUAGCUAAGGUGAAAUAGUAUAUGAGGAGAAACCUUGUGCAUCGCGAGUACUAGGAACAUCUAGUAUCAAGAAGAAGCGGUCAACUAGUGUCUUCUGUGGGAUGAAUACCGUGCAAGCAGGGACGUAAGAUUUACACGAAUAAGGGAAGAGGAGUACCUUUUUCGGUUGCCGAUGUGUUCACCUCCACAAGUCGCGCCGAUUUUCUUAUUUUUACCGAGGAAACUGAUGUUCUAGAGGGUGCAGGCUUGGACGAACCCAUGGCCAAAUUGUUGGCUGUGUUGCCGUGGCUGUAUGUCGGCGGAGGGGAAGCAGAUCUGAGGCGGUGAAGGACGGCGUAGCAGGAACAACUCCGGUGCGGUGGAGGGUGGCAAAGUUGGAGCGGCAACGGUGAGGAGCAGGACGGUGUGGUUGAACUGGCUCGGGUAUGGACGGCUCGGCCUCGGCUUCAACUACUAGCCGUGGAGGGUGUUGCGGUUGAGGUUGCGCUGGACGAUGACGUCGGGGUAUCGGCUCCGACGUGAUGGAGGAGGGCGGCGGUUGAUGGGUGGGAUGGGAUGGCAGACGGAGGACGCCGGGGUUUCACGGCUGGCGGAGAGGUAGUUUUGGCGCCCAUAGAGUAAGAAUGGGGAAUCGGACGGGUGGGGGGGGGGAACCAUGUUUCGGUCCGGGACGCGCUUGUUUUUGGCUUUUUUGAACAGAAAUGGGACGCGCUUGUUUGAAAUUUAGGGAAAGUACAAACUUUGCCCCCCCCCCUCUUAAAUUUCGGACCUACUGCGGGUCGAGGGUAGGAUGGUAAUCCCAGGUGUCCCAAAUAGUGGGCGGGAGCGAUUUUGGCCGCGCGCAUGUGUGCUUAGGCGGCCAUUGUGUAUGAAUGUUUUUCGGAUGCGGUUGCAUGGCGUCUAGAUGAAGCUACAAACCUACCCCAGUUUAGACCUUUGGACGUCGGGCCGGUAGGUUUCACGGGUCGGAGUUAUUAGAAAAGUAAUUUCCUUGUACUACCAAACAUUGGUCUCACGCGGUUUCGGGCGAGUAGAGGCUCUUUUGGCGCUUUGUUUGAAAUUUUGCAACACAAGCAUUCACGUCUAGAGUACUCUUGAACUAUGAGGAUUGACCUAAAUAUACAACAUUAUAUUUGACCUUGUAUGUUUGAAAACCUCAUUAAAUUAUCCACUACUUUUUGAAAUUUUGACACUUGAAAAUCCUAUAACUACGAUUAUUUUGGAAUGGAGGAGCUAAAUUUGAAUCUAUUUUGUACGCGACUACAUAUGCUAUUAUGUACAAAAUCAGAGCAAAGAUUGGUGCCCCAUAAUUUAGGUAUGGUUUACAAAUGGCAUGAUAUCAAAUUCAAAUAAUUGAAUGGACUUCAUGUUGAAUUCGAUUUUUAAACCACCUUAAGUUGAAUUCAAAUGUAUGCUAGUUCAUAGGUAGUAGCUAUUUAAAUGUCCAUUGUGUAACUUUUGUAUGUAUAAUGUGCUUUACACACACAACAUGAACUAUACUCACGUUUAUAUUCGAUUGCUAAAGCGAUGCAUUGUCUGGAGUUCAAAAUACUAACUAUAUGGAUCAAUUGUGUCGAAUAAUAACAUAGACAUGCUCAAAUUCGAUAGAAUCUAGAUGUCUGAUGGAUCAAUGACCGCUCCUUAUGCGAAUUGCAAAUAUCAUGAUCCCAUCCUAAUAUUUGGAUACAAUUUAUAUCUUUAAUCAAUGUGUAGAGCAGUCUUUUACGUGUAGUUUCACUCUCCAUCGGUGGUCUCUCACACAUGCUCACACACUCUCUCCCGAGGUGUCUUUCUCGCACACAUGCUCUAGAUAUAACCCUCCCUCCCUCUCGUCACCAUUUACAACUGUUUUCACUAACCUUUAUCACAAGCACUCUUCCUCUCGCAAACAUACACACGCACAAUCCUCAUCGACCCUUUCUAUAUACAUGGACCUGCCUACGUGUCUCAUGUACACACAUUAUCUUUACGCUUGUCUCUCACGCAUUGUCUCACACCUCUCUUCCUAAUCGACGAGUAUGAUUCUAGCAGAGCAUUUUGUAGGAUGCCCCUUAAAGUUAGGUUGGAUGAAUAGUAAUAUCAGAGAUAAAGGGGUUACCUUAGUCUGAGAACCUAGGGUUACAAAUCCUAGCCGGCUUUGUCAGUGGACACAGAGUCCUUCACAAUUCUGCUAUCUUUGUCUUGUAUGACUAGUCAUCCAUGGGUCUUCCUAAAUGCAUCACGGACCGACCAAUGUGGCGCAGGACGGAACAGAACGAAGGGCCUCACCUCGACCCACCGGACCUCACGCGGUGACACACCCUCUGCCCCCACGUCUCAUUAUCUUCUCACACCCACACAUACCAACACAAACACCACACACAGAAAAUUUGUCUUGGUGCCUCUAUUCCCUCCCCCUUGCAUAUACACACUCAAGGGAAUGGAAUCUCUUGUCGUGACGUCAUAUUCGUCUCUCUCUCUAGACCACUCUCAUUUCUCGUGCUAUCACNNNNNNNNNNNNNNNNNNNNNNNNNNNNNNNNNNNNNNNNNNNNNNNNNNNNNNNNNNNNNNNNNNNNNNNNNNNNNNNNNNNNNNNNNNNNNNNNNNNNNNNNNNNNNNNNNNNNNNNNNNNNNNNNNNNNNNNNNNNNNNNNNNNNNNNNNNNNNNNNNNNNNNNNNNNNNNNNNNNNNNNNNNNNNNNNNNNNNNNNNNNNNNNNNNNNNNNNNNNNNNNNNNNNNNNNNNNNNNNNNNNNNNNNNNNNNNNNNNNNNNNNNNNNNNNNNNNNNNCGAAUACGUAAUACACACACAUACCUCUCUAGGCCCCGCCAAAUGCAUCAACUACACAUUCACACAUGUUACAUCAUGUACCCCAUUGAUCUAAAAAGCCCUCUCUUCAUGUUUAUUUUGCAUACAACAUUCCUUUUGAAUAAAGUGUGGCCAAAAAAUUAUUUUAGAGUUUCUACAUCUAUACAACAUUACAAAGUUAUAUGGAGGAGUACGAACGCUAAUUUGCAUUGCAUGGUGCCCACAAUGAUAUUUAUUCCGCACUGUGAAUUUGUAUAUUUUUAUACUAUAUACAAAGUUAGUCAUAAUAAAGAGAAAUGAAGAGCAUCUCUCUCUCCAUCGCAUACCCCCCUGUACGACCCUUUCACGUAUGCACACAAAACUAUCUCUAGGUCCUCUAAAAGUAAGCCCCCAGAAAAUUCACGCAUGUUUCAUCUUUCUCUCGCGAUAUAUGCAAUGCCGAUCAUUGUAUUUGAAGAGAAAGCAUGAUACGUACAUUGGACUUCAGAAUCCACUCAUUACGGUCACCAUUUACGUUUAGUGGUUAUUAUGCAGUCACGGGCUCACCGUACAACUCUGUAUUUGCUCAUGACAUGACUAGUUGACUAGUUAAAUGCUCCACGUGGCACCUCUAGUGUUGCAUCACAUUGUCUCACUACCAUCGUGCCCACCUGUCGACUUGUAUCUACUCUACAUCUACACUCUUAUAAAAUACAUAAAAUACACUCUUAUUAAAAACAGAGUUGGUGAUGAUGGUGUGCCUGCCAUCCUGCAAUAUAGGCCGUCCAAUUUAUAUCUGACGGAUAGGAAAGAAACUAUGGCAAUUUUGCAAAAAGGUACCCACACACCUCUCCACAUUUGCAAAUAAGGCCUUCCCUCGUUCAUCCUUUUCUCUCAAAAGAUAAACAAGUCAUACAAAUGCAUCUUGAUGUUACAUGCAAUGCACGGGCAUCUUGCUAGUAAGAAUGAAAACAAACGACAAAAAUAUAUUUGGACGGUGGUUCGAAGUCAUGACCGCGGGCACAGUGGACAAGGUGGCCUUGUAUUGGUAUGCUGAGCCGUCUGUUUUAAAACACAUGAGCUGGUGUGGUGAUUAUACACACACGCACGCAUGCACAUGAACUGCAUCCACGCAACACUCACACAAACACAUGCACCCACGCACGCACGCAACACUCACACGUACACACGCAGCCAUGCACGCACGCAACACUCACACGCACACACGCACGCAUGCAUGCACACACCAGUACACGACACGACCAACACACACUCUCACGCUCAAGUGCUCAACCUACACGUGCAUGCGCACACAUCAGGCCCUGACAGACACAUACACAACCAGGUGAUUCCCGCGCACGGGUUGGAGCCUUGUCGCGCCUGCGUAAAUUUGUGUUUAUCUGACCUUUUGCCUAUGCGAACUGACAUGUGGGACCCACAAUGAACAUGGUCAAUUUAACUAGUCAACAUGGCGCCACGUAGACUAUUUGGUCGGUUAACAGAGUGCAAUCCGAUGCUGAGCUGUGAGCAAGUGAUCGUAUAAUCACCGCAAAACGUAUAUAGUAACCGUAAUCAGCUUAUUCUGAAGUUCGGUGACCGUAUUACGCUUUUAUCUUUGUAGGCCCUCCAAAACUACAUCUCUACACAUUCUCGCAUGUUACAUCUAACAACUAUGCAAUACAGCACUACAACUACACUCUAACACAAUAAAUCAUAUGUGUUUUUAGUUUUACUAUAUAUCAUAUUGUUACUUAUAAUUAUUCAGUUUGCAUACAUUAAAAUUGCCUUUGAAAUGUAUGGCCAGUAUCAUCUACCGUGCGGGAAAAAUCCCGCCCUUUCCUGUUUAAUCGGGUUUGUAUCGAUGGAUCGUGCGAAACAGCAAAACUAUAGUACUAUACAGUACAAGUGACAGUUCACUGGGCCGUUGUGUCGUCUACUCCUCCGUCGUAAGAGUGGAGCACUCCCUUUCAUAAAUCUUCUAGUCCCUUUCGCCGACAUGUAGGACAUCAAGCUACCGGGUCCAUGUGCCAUACCGGAAUACAGUGCAGAGCAGCCGGGGUGAAGCACCCCAGUCAUGGCGCCGGCGUAGUAAUGAGCAAUGAGGUGUCAAAUCACAAAGCUGCACCUUUCCCGUAGUUAAGUUGGAGGGAUGAAGACUAGUAGAAAACAGGGCUAUGGUCCAGGCCGGCUUAGCCCAUUAGUCCCGGUUCAGUGUAGAACCGGGACCAGUGUGGGCAUUGGUCCCGGUUCGUGAGCCCCGGGGGCCGGCCGGGCCACGUGGGCCAUUGGUCCCGGUUCGUCUGGACCAUUUGGUCCCGUUUGGUGGGACGAACCGGGACCAAUGGGCCUCGCUCUUGGCCCACCACCAUUGGUCCCGGUUGGUGGCUUGAACCGGGACCAAAGGCUCCCCUUUAGUCCCGGUUCAUGCCACCAACCGGGACCAAUGAGGUGCCUAUAUAUACCCCCUCACGCAAGAGCAGAUCACAGUGCUCUGUUUUUUCUGGCCGAGGGGGAGAGGGCUUUGUGGUGCUCUAGCUCACCUCCUAUGCACAUGAGGUGUUCGAUGGAAUGCCCGAGCCACACUACUUAAGCUUUCUCCUCUCGAAGCUCGACCUCCAACUCCAUUUUCCUCGAGAUUUGUCUAGAUUUAGCGGUCCGUCACGCCCCGUCCCCGUCUUCACCGCCGUCGAUCACCCGCGCCGAUCUCAUCACCGACACCACCAUGGUGAGCCUCUUGUUCUUAUCUUCUUUCUGAAAGGAAAAAUAUUAUUACUUGUAUGUUUAGAUAGAUACUUGUAUCAUUUUCUUACAUUUAUUGUUGCAUCUUAUAUAGUGCGAUGGUUUUGGUAUCCGCCCCCGUCGGCCCUCGUCCUGUCUAUGAUUCGGAUUUGGUAUGUAUAUUAUCUUUAUAACUAUUGGUUCAUUUAUUGUUUAUGAAAAUUAUGCCGACCAACGUGACAUAGAUUUUAUUUAUCUAGGAUGUAUGUGAAUCAGAAAUGCCAACCGACCCUAUUGUCGAGAGGUUAAAUUUAGUUGAAGAAGAAAACAAUUUGUUGAAGGAAAAAAUAAAAAAAAUUGAGGAGGAGAAGAUGAUAUUGGAGUUGCAUGUUGCGGAUGUCGUCGAUGAUCACAAGAUCAAGAUGGAUGCAAUGCGCUUGAAGAUUAGAAAGAUUAGAAAAUAUGCCAUUCAUACCGAGGCUUGGUAUCAUUAUGCCGUUGGAUCAAUUGUUACCUUGGUUGCGAUUAUGAACGCAUUUGUUUUUGCAUUGAAAUGUUUUACAUAGUUUCAAUGUAUGGUUUAAUUAAUUAGAUGCUCUGGAGAGCUAUAUGUUGUUAGAUGAGAACUAUGUAUGCACUUUGGUUUUAAUGUGAUGAUGAACUUCUAUUAAUUUGGACACUUAAUUAUAUAUAAUGCACGCAGAUGAACCAGCAAUGGAUGUACGGUGACAGACACACCCGCGAGUACAUUAAGGGCGUGCAUGAGUUUCUCGAUGCGGCUGAGGCAAACAAGCAGAAUGGUUUUAUGUGUUGUCCAUGCACUGAAUGUGGGAAUACGAGGUCUUACUCUAACCGGAAAAUCCUUCACUCCCACCUGCUUUACAAGGGUUUCAUGCCACACUAUAAUGUUUGGACGAGGCACGGAGAAAUAGGGGUUAUGAUGGAAGACGGCGAAGAAGAAGAGUACGAUGACAACUAUGUGCCCCCUGAAUACGGUGAUGCUGCAACGGGGGGAGCUAGUGAAGAUCAAGAGGAACCAGACGAUGUGCCCAAUGAUGCUGCCACGGGUGAAGCUGCUGAAGAUCAAGAGGAACCAGACGAUGUGCCCGAUGAUGAUGAUCUCCGCCGGGUCAUUGUCGAUGCAAGGACGCAAUGCAUUAGUCAAAAGGAGAAGCUGAAGUUCGAUCGCAUGUUAGAGGAUCACAAAAAAGGGUUAUACCCCAAUUGCAAAGAUGGCAACACAAAGCUCGGUACCGUACUGGAAUUGUUGCAGUGGAAGGCAGAGAAUGCUGUGGCUGAUAAAGGAUUUGAGAAGCUACUGAAAAUAUUGAAGAAGAAGCUUCCAAAGGAUAAUGAAUUGCCCGACAGUACAUACGCAGCAAAGAAGGUCGUAUGCCCUCUAGGAUUGGAGGUGGAGAAGAAACAUGCAUGCUCUAAUGACUGCAUCCUCUACCAUGGUGCAUACAAGGAUCUGAACGCAUGCCCGGUAUGCGGUGCGUUGCGGUAUAAGAUUAGACGAGAUGACCCUGGUGAUGUUGACGGCGAGCCCCUCAGGAAGAGGGUUCCUGCGAAGGUGAUGUGGUAUGCUCCUAUAAUACCACGGUUGAAACGUCUGUUCAGAAACGAAGAGCAUGCCAAGUUGAUGCGAUGGCACAGUGAGAACCGAAAGAAAGAUGUGAAGUUGAGAGCACCCGCUGACGGGUCGCAGUGGAGAAAAAUCGAGAGAAAGUACUGGGAUGAGUUUGCAAAGGACCCAAGGAAUGUAUGGUUUGCUUUAAGUGCGGAUGGCAUUAAUCCUUUCGGGGAGCAGAGCAGCAAUCACAGCACCUGGCCCGUGACUCUAUGUAUGUAUAACCAUCCUCCUUGGAUGUGCAUGAAGCGGAAGUUCAUUAUGAUGCCAGUUCUCAUCCAAGGCCCUAAGCAACCCGGCAACGAAAUUGAUGUGUACCUAAGGCCAUUAGUUGAAGAACUUUUACAGCUGUGGAAUGGAAACGGUGUACGUACGUGGGAUGAGCACAGACAGGAGGAAUUUAACCUUAAGGCGUUGCUGUUCGUGACCAUCAACGAUUGGCCCACUCUCAGUAACCUUUCAGGACAGACAAACAAAGGAUACCACGCAUGCACGCACUGUUUAGAUGACACUGAAAGUAUAUACCUGGACAAAUGCAGGAAGAAUGUGUACCUAGGCCAUCGUCGAUUUCUUCCGACCAACCAUCAAUGUCGAAAGAAAGGCAAGCAUUUCAAAGGCGAGGCAGAUCACCGGAAGAAUCCCGCCAUGCGCACCGGUGAUCACGUGCUUGCUAUGGUCAAUGAUUUACACUACGUAAUCUUUGGAAAGGGUCCCGGUGGACUAGCUGUUCCGAAUGACGCUGAGGGACAUGCACCCAUGUGGAAGAAGAAAUCUAUAUUUUGAGACCAACCCUACUGGAAAGACCUAGAGGUCCGCUCCUCAAUCGACGUGAUGCACGUGACGAAGAACCUUUGCGUGAACCUGCUAGGCUUCUUGGGCGUGUAUGGGAAGACAAAAGAUACACCUGAGGCACGAGAGGACCUGCAAUGUUUGCACGAAAAAGACGGCAUGCCUCCGAAGCAGUAUAAAGGUCCUGCCAGCUAUGCUCUUACGAAAGAAGAGAAAGAAAUCUUCUUUGAAUGCCUGCUCAGUAUGAAGGUCACGACUGGCUUCUCGUCGAAUAUAAAGGGAAUAAUAAAUAUGCCAGAGAAAAAUUUUCAGAACCUAAAGUCUCAUGACUGCCACGUGAUUAUGACGCAACUGCUUCCGGUUGCAUUGAGGGGGCUUCUACCGGAAAACGUCCGAUUAGCCAUUGUGAAGCUAUGUGCAUUCCUCAAUGCAGUCUCUCAGAAGGUGAUCGAUCCAGAAAUCGUACCAAGGCUAAGGAGUGAUGUGGCGCAAUGUCUUGUCAGUUUCGGGCUGGUGUUCCCACCGUCCUUCUUCAAUAUCAUGACGCACGUCCUAGUUCAUCUAGUUGACGAGAUUGUCAUCCUGGGGCCCGUAUUUCUACACAAUAUGUUCCCCUUUGAGAGGUUCAUGGGAGUCCUAAAGAAAUAUGUCUGUAACCGUGCUAGGCCAGAAGGAAGCAUCUCCAUGGGCCAUCAAACAGAGGAUGUUAUCGGGUUUUGUGUUGACUUCAUUCCUGGCCUUAACAAGAUAGGUCUCCCUAAAUUGCGGUAUGAGGGGAGACUGACUGGAAAAGGCACUCUUGGAAGAGACUCAAUAAUAUGCAGGGACGAAUAUUCUUGGUCUCAAGCACACUACACAGUUCUACAGAACUCUACCUUGGUGACCCCGUAUGUCGAUGAUCACAAGAACAGUCUGUACUCCAAACACCCGGAGCAGUGCGACGACUGGAUUACAUGUGAACACAUCAGGACUUUCAGCAGUUGGUUGGAAACACGUCUCAGAGGUGACAACACUGUUUGUGAUGAGUUGUACUUGUUGUCCAGGGGACCAUCUUUGACUGUAUUGACUUACAAAGGAUACGAGAUAAAUGGGAAUACAUUUUACACGAUCGCCCAAGAUCAAAAGAGCACCAACCAAAACAGCGGUGUCCGCUUUGAUGCAGCAACCGAGAGCGGAAAGGACACAUAUUAUGGUUACAUAGUGGACAUAUGGGAACUUGACUACGGACCUGAUUUUAAGGUCCCUUUGUUUAAGUGCAAAUGGGUCAAUCUGUUAGGCGGCGGGGUACAGGUAGACCCACAGUACGGAAUGACAACACUGGAUCUGAAAAAUCUUGGAUACACUGACGAACCGUUCGUCCUAGCCAAUGAUGUGGCACAGGUUAUCUAUGUGAAGGACAUGUCUACCAAACCGAGAAAAAGAAAAGAUAAGGAAGCGAAUACAUCAUACGAUGAGCCAAAGCGCAACAUAGUUCUUUCAGGAAAAAGGGACAUCCUGGGAGUGGACAGCAAGACAGACAUGUCUGAAGAUUAUGAAAAGUUUCAUGAAAUUCCUCCCUUCAAUGUCAAGGCUGACCCAAGCAUCCUGAUAAACAAUGAAGAUUAUCCAUGGUUACAGCGCAAUAAGCAAAUGACACAAGCGAAGAAAAAGUGAAGACUUUCUCCCGCAACUAUUAUGAUGAUACCAUGCCAAAUUUGUAACAGACGAACAUGCUACCAUUGUCCGUUUUGUACAUGCACAUGCUAUGUGGGUGAAAUUAUGAUACCAUCCCAACUUUCAACUUUUUCAGAGUUCAUUUGAAAUGCUUUCAUGUCUUAUGGUUCGAAACUUUGAUACUUCGAAAGUGAUUGUCCAUUUUGUACACGAAGUGCAUCAAUUUUUUGUCAUAACCCUCUCUACUUUUUGGAACAUGCUAUGUGGGUGAAAUGAUGAUACCAUGCCAACUUUCAACCUUUUCAGAGUUCAUUUUGAAAUGCUUUCCAAUUUCAGAGUCAUUUAGCUCAAAGAAUGAAUUAAUAGCAAACAGAAUGAACUACAAAACUUUUAUGAAAAUAAAAACAAUCAAUUAAAAUAUUAUGUUAUGAUCAACUAAAAUAAAACUAUAAUAUUCUUCAAUAGCAAAAAGAAUAUAAUUUUUGUGACCUAAAAUCAAACUAUAAGUAUUUAAUUGUAAGUAUAAAUAAAAAAUAAAUAGCAAAGAAGAAAAAAUUCUAUUUUUAUAGUAAAGUUAUUCAUAAACUAGUGAUUCACACAAAUUUUUAAAAGUUCAAAUUUAAACUAUUCAAAAUUUAAAACUAAUGGCACUAACAGAAAGUUUAUAAUUUUUGUGACCUAAAAUCAAAAAGAAAUCACUAAAAAACUAUAANNNNNNNNNNNNNNNNNNNNNNNNNNNNNNNNNNNNNNNNNNNNNNNNNNNNNNNNNNNNNNNNNNNNNNNNNNNNNNNNNNNNNNNNNNNNNNNNNNACUAGUGAUUCACACAAAUUUUUAAAAAUUCAAAUUUAAACUAUUCAAAAUUUAAAACUAAUGGCACUAACAGAAAGUUUAUAAUUUUUGUGACCUAAAAGCAAAAAGAAAUCACUAAAAACUGUAAGUAUUUAGUUGUAAGUAGAAAUAAAAAAAUAAAAAACCAAAAAAAUGUAGAAAUAAAAAAGAAAAAACCAAAAAAAUGCCUCCUACUGGGCCUCCACGGCCUGAAUACGACUAGUAACCCUACAUGGGCCAGGAUUCAGGCCCGCAGAAGGCCCAAUAGGCCCAUAGGCAGUAGCAAGUUUAGGCCCGAAAGCCUGCAUUAGAGAGGAGCUCGAAUGGGGAGGCACACCUGCGCUUAUAAACCAGUGCCGGCGCCCUUCAGCUAGCGAUGUGGGACUAAACUUUUGGGCGCGGGGCAGCAAAGGCCAUUGGUCCCGGUUGGUAGCACCAACCGGGACUAAAGGGGGCAUUGGUCCCGGUUCGUGGCACCAACUGUGACCAAUCCCCCCUUUAGUCCCGGUUGGUACCAUCAACCGGGACCAAAGGCCGCCGCUUCCCGCCCUUUCGGUUGCUGAAAAUCGGCCUUUGGUCCCGGUUCAUGGCACCAACCGGGACCAAAGAGGGGCAUUAGUCCAUUCGCCCCCAGGCCGUUCAUCGUCGUCGUCGCCGCCCCGAGCCCGUUGUCGCCCCGCGCCGUCGCCGUGCGCCCGCCGCGCGCCGCCUCGAGCCCAUNNNNNNNNNNNNNNNNNNNNNNNNNNNNNNNNNNNNNNNNNNNNNNNNNNNNNNNNNNNNNNNNNNNNNNNNNNNNNNNNNNNNNNNNNNNNNNNNNNNNNNNNNNNNNNNNNNNNNNNNNNNNNNNNNNNNNNNNNNNNNNNNNNNNNNNNNNNNNNNNNNNNNNNNNNNNNNNNNNNNNNNNNNNNNNNNNNNNNNNNNNNNNNNNNNNNNNNNNNNNNNNNNNNNNNNNNNNNNNNNNNNNNNNNNNNNNNNNNNNNNNNNNNNNNNNNNNNNNNNNNNNNNNNNNNNNNNNNNNNNNNNNNNNNNNNNNNNNNNNNNNNNNNNNNNNNNNNNNNNNNNNNNNNNNNNNNNNNNNNNNNNNNNNNNNNNNNNNNNNNNNNNNNNNNNNNNNNNNNNNNNNNNNNNNNNNNNNNNNNNNNNNNNNNNNNNNNNNNNNNNNNNNNNNNNNNNNNNNNNNNNNNNNNNNNNNNNNNNNNNNNNNNNNNNNNNNNNNNNNNNNNNNNNNNNNNNNNNNNNNNNNNNNNNNNNNNNNNNNNNNNNNNNNNNNNNNNNNNNNNNNNNNNNNNNNNNNNNNNNNNNNNNNNNNNNNNNNNNNNNNNNNNNNNNNNNNNNNNNNNNNNNNNNNNNNNNNNNNNNNNNNNNNNNNNNNNNNNNNNNNNNNNNNNNNNNNNNNNNNNNNNNNNNNNNNNNNNNNNNNNNNNNNNNNNNNNNNNNNNNNNNNNNNNNNNNNNNNNNNNNNNNNNNNNNNNNNNNNNNNNNNNNNNNNNNNNNNNNNNNNNNNNNNNNNNNNNNNNNNNNNNNNNNNNNNNNNNNNNNNNNNNNNNNNNNNNNNNNNNNNNNNNNNNNNNNNNNNNNNNNNNNNNNNNNNNNNNNNNNNNNGGGGGGGUCGAGAACGCCGGACAUUCAUGAGAGAGGCGAGGAAGAAGGGGAAGAAGAGGGAGAAGAAGAGGAGAGGAAGAAGAGGAAGUCUUCUCCUCUAUUCUUUCUUCUCUUCUUUUUUCUUCUUCUUCUUCCUCUUUAUUUUAUCGGGAACGAGGGUUGUCGAGAGGUCGAGGAGCGGUAGAGGAGAAACCCUAAAUAGAAAGUAUCGUCAGUGUGAGAUACAUGUACCGUCGGUGUCGGACACUACACCCACAUCCCACAAGUGGCGCGGGCUUCGACGCCCAUGUCACUUGUGGGACGUGGAUGUAGUGUCCGACAUCGAAGGCCACAUGUAUCUCACACCCAUGAUACUUGCUAGCUAUUUAGGGUUUCCUCUACCGAAAAGAAGAGGAGAAAUAAAUAAGAAGAAGAAAAAAGAAGAAAAAGAAGAGGAGAAGAAGAAAGGAAUAGUGGAGAAGAAGAGAAAAUAGAAUAUAUAUAUUCUAUUUUCUCUUUUCUCCACUAUUCCUUUCUUCUUCUCCUCUUUUUUUUCUUCUUUUUUUCUUCUUCUUCUUCUUCUUCUUCUUCUUCUUCUUAUUCUUAUUAGCCGGAAGUAGAGAGAGGUUUCCUAGUGUCAAAGUAUUGAAGAAAUCCAUGCCUUCAUCAUUAGCCGGAAGUAACUAGGGCAUGUUGGUACGAAGUUCUGCAAAGUUGUUCUGGAAUGGAGUCCCAGAUAGAAUAAUCCGCCUUUUGGUACGAAUUGAGCAAAGGCCUUCCAAAUAGCGAUAUUCGGAAGGCUCUUGCUGAACUUUGUACCAAAAAGAGAAUUAUCCUAUUUGGGACUCCGUUCCAGAACAACUUUGAAGAGCUUCAUACCAUCAUGCACAUGUUACUUUCGCCUAAUGAUGAAGACAUGGUUUUGUUGAAUCCCUUGACACUAGGCAACCUCCCGACCCCUCGGUGAUCCUAUCGAACAUGAGAGGAAGAAGAGGAUAAAAAAAGAAGAGGAAGAAGAAAAAAAGAGGAGAAGAAAGAAUAGAUGUAGUGUCGUUGUUGUCGAUAUAUACCCCCUCCCGAUAGCGUACUAUGAUUAGGUAGCUAGUUCUACGUUUGGCACUAAUAUAUUCAUCUGUCAUGUUUGAAUAAUAAUUGCCAUGUUGUAAAUAUUUGUAGAAACUAUGGACACCGCCGUAGACGAAGCAACAAAAGAAGCGUUGUUGAGGGACAUAAUCGCAGAAGGAAGUGAUGCCAUCUCGUUGUUUCUCAACGAAACCGAUGGUCUGGAAGGAGAGGGUGAACAAGCUGGCUACGGUGACCUAAUGCCGGUGCAAGAAGAAGAACAUGAGGACGGCUCCGGUGACCCAAUGCCGGUGCAAGAAAGAGACCGUGAUGAUGGCUCCGAUGACCGAACCGAGUCCGGCCAGGUAUAUAUAUUAGUUAUGCCUAUGCUGACUAGCUGAUUGAUGCAUUCAUUGUUUUGGUAUGUACACAUAUUAAUUAAGUCUUUGUUCUUUUUUCUAGCCCUACGAAUCGAGCACAACUUCGGUAAAGAGACGAGGCCCGAAGAAAAAGUUGAGCUCGGAUGAAAAGUUUGAGAUCAUAGCAAUCGCGCCCGACGGCCAACCUAUUGAACCCCUCCGGACAAAGAGCGCAUUUGUUGCUCAGUGCGGGGUUCUGGUUAGGGACAAGAUCCCGAUAAGCUUCCAGCAAUGGUUUAAGCCGGCUACAGAAGACCCUGAGGUGUCUUAUGUCAAUGAUAUGCAGAAAAAUGAUCUUUGGACUGAGCUGAAGUCAAAUUUCACCAUACCGCCUGAGGAUAAUCCAGAGAACCCAGUUAAAGAGAAAUUAAUCAAGUCUUUUGCUCUGAAGAGGAUGGCAGAACUAUUCAGGAGGUGGAAGAAAGAGCUGAAUAAGUUUGUCGAAAAUAAUGAGACACCAGAAUUCAAGGGCAGAUAUGAGAAGAUCAGAGAUCACUGGCCCGCAUUUGUGGCCCACAAGACAUCAGAAAAGAGUAAGAAGAUGUCGGCGACAAACAAGCAAAAUGCUGCGAAGAAGAAGCUUCACCAUCGCACGGGGUCAGGUGGCUACCUCGUAGCCCGGCCUAAGUGGUCCAAGACUAAGAAUGAUCUGGUUCAUAAAGGGAUCGAACCAGAGACAAUUAAUUGGCCAGACCGUUGCUAGACUUGGUUCUUCGGGGCUGGCGGAACACUGGACCCUGUAACAGGGAAGUGCAUGUGGACGAACGAUCAAAUGGACAUACCAGUCAGUAAACUUAAGCAGUAUAUCGAAGCAGCGCAGGAAGGGACGUUCUUUCCAGACAGAGAGAACGACGAGCUCACAAUGACCCUCGGGAAUCCUGAGCACCCUGGACGGACACGAGGCACGCCAGGCUCCAUUCCGUGGAAGGUUGGGUUUCCGGACGCAGGCGGUUACAAAUCCCAUGAGAGGAGGAAAAAAGUGCAGCAGACCCAAAUACAGGCGCUGCAAGCAAGGGUAGACGCGAUAGAGGAACGAGAAGCAAAUCGCAGCAAACAUACUGCCGAAGCCUCCCCCGAAGCUACCCCGCCAUCUCAGCGCAGAAGCAGCGUGGCUUCCACCGAGCUGCUUCAGCUGGAGCAUGCCUUGACGGAUCCUGCCAGCUAUCCCUUGGAUGCUAUAACGGAGUCUCAAAAUUGCCACCUUAUGACGCAAUGGAUGAAUUUGAAGGUCAAGGCGGCUGUUGGCUCUGUUUAUCCUACUGAACACGGCGCAACUUUUCACUGCCGGCCGAUUCCAGAAGGAUAUGCUAGGGUGAUGGUGGAUGAGAUAACGGAGGGAUUUGAGGACCUCCAGCUUGACCACCCUACCGGUGAAGGGGAGACUCGGCUGGGGUCUGCUCUGAAGACUCCAUGCCUAUGGCGGAAGGAGCUCAUCAACCUUCCGAACUGGACGCCACCGCCUCCUCCUCCUCCGGCGAGUCAGGGCACUCCGCCUCCACCGCCUCCUCCUCCGGUGAGUAACGAUCAGGGCCCUCGACCGGCUCCUUCUCCGGCGCGUGGCGGCACUCCGCCUCCUUCUCCACCUGCACCGACGCGCCCGAGCAGCCAGCCUCCUCCUUCUCCGCCUCGUCAGCAAGGGCGGAAGAGACCUGCCGCCACUCCAGCUGCUCCGGCGCGUCGUAGUCCUUCUCCUCCGCCGCUUAAGCAAGUAAAGAAGACAACCGCUCCGUCUGCUCGGUCGGCGUCUAGCAGUACAACCAGAGGCGGGAGGACAUACAGAUUCGGUCCUUUUCUGAAGACUCCAGAGAAGUUACCAUAUGAGAGGACCCUGGAGGAGAACGCCGAGAUCGCGCGAGAAGAAGUGAGGAACUUCUUUGAAGGGGUGAAAGCAAAGAAACAUCCACCUCCGGAGGAGAAGGUAGAUCGGGUGAAAGUGAAGCGCACUCUGGCUGCCCUGACAAAACCACCGAAGUCUGAUCAGCCGAAAGGAAACUAUGACCGCAUUAUUGGAAAGGAAUUUGCCGAAGCGGAGCGGUCGGGAAGUACUGUCAGUGAUCAAAGGCUGAAAGAACGUCGAGCUGGGAAACAAAUUGCCCAGCUCGGCGAACAAGCGAAGCAAUCGUGCCCCCCGCUCAAGGUGCCUAGCCACAACGUCGAUAAUGAUCCGAGGAUGGUGCCUGGUUAUAGCAAUCUUGCAGAUUACCUGCCCGACGAAGUACAUUAUGAACCCAUGGAGGUGCAAAUACAAAGAUACGAGUACGGGAAGCCUCUCGUCAAAGAUGAAAGAUCUCUAUCAACGAUGAUGCGAAGAUUGCAUGAUUGGUACUUGAAAAUCUGCAGAGACUCUGGGGGGAGGAGUACUUUGUAUGUGAAAGUUAAAAAGGAGCAUGACCUCGUUGGAAUUGAUCUGUUGCCUGUUCCAUUUGAGGAGUUCUAUCAGCUUUUCAAUCAAUUGGCCCUCGAUAAAACAACGGUCGCCUGCUACUGUUUGUAAGUAGUACUACUUCUGUCAUUAAGUUUCUCUAUAUAGCUUAGCUCUUUCAUUGCAUGUAUUUAUAAUCAUCCUCACUAUAUUAUGCAGAUUGAAGAUCGCCGAAUUGAAGAAAAGACAAGUCGGUGAUAUUGGGUUCAUUAACACACAUCUCAUAGAUGCAACUCAGGUUAAACUUCAUGCCGCAGCUACCGAGGCCAACUUGUUACGAUCGUUCGUAAUAAAUCAAAACAAAGAUAUAAUACUCUUUCCUUACAACUUCAGGUGAGUGUUACUGUCUUGUGCGUAUUCGGUUUCCCUUAUUAGUCAAGGUUAUAGUAAUGUAAUUCAUGAGUUAUGCAUGUGUGUGCAGUUUCCACUAUAUUCUCCUAGAGAUUAAGCUUGAGCAGGGAGUAGUAACCGUCUUGGACUCUAAACGAAAAGAUCCCAAGGAGUAUGCGGACAUGACUGAAAUCCUCAAGAAGUAAGUUAAAUCGAUCAUUAUCCACCAUAUCAGCAACUUUGUUCAUUUCCUGAUAUCAAGUAAUUGUUUUCUUUGUCUGGCAGGGUUUGGAGAAAAUUCACCAAAACAGUUCCGGGACUGCCGAAGGAGCUGAAAUUUAGACACCCGAAAGUAAGUACUAUAGUAGCAUGUUCCGCGCAUCUCCUAGUGAUUCAAGCGCUAGUUUCAUCAAUACCAUUUAGCAUUCUUGCUUAUCAGUUUGAUUGACCUCUAUUUCUUGUAAAGUGGUUGUGGCAGGAACAAGGGAAUGAUUUCUGUGGAUACUACAUCUGCGAGUCCAUCCGCCACACGACCUGUGAGCGGGGCGGGUACUCUAACGAACAAUAUGAAGUACGUAAAUAACAACAUUCACAAUUUUAUUUUAUUACCAUCAUUUGUGUUGAGUUUCAUUCAUUUAUAUAUAUAUAUAUAUAUGUAUUGACCCCCUUCUUCAAAUUAGAUGUUCCGGAAGCGGGAUGAACUCCUAGCACCAGCUCGCAUGCGAGCAAUUCAAGAGGAAUUGGCGGCAUUCUUUCUUGACCAAGUGAUCCCUGAAGCCGGAGAAUUCUAUGUGGACCCUGAGUCCGUAUGAUUAUAUUUGUAAGAGAUAAUUAUUGUAUAUAUGUAGCCGGUAGUGUCAGAUAGAUAUACGAGAACUUGUUGUUUGACCAAUCUCUCGGAGAAGGAGAGGUGGUCGAUAUCACUUCUCUCUGUAUAUAUGCAUAUAUGUUCAUGACGAUCUUCUGUUUCCUUCGUUUGCUUACUAGCUAGCUAGCGUGUCUAGUCCUCUCUAUAUACGUAUGUAUAGUACGUAGCGUCGACCAAGCACGGACAUAACAGAGGACACUUCUCUCUAUUAAUUAUAACUAGCUAACACAAUAUAUGAAACACCUAAAUUAACCCCCCAAAACCCCCAANNNNNNNNNNNNNNNNNNNNNNNNNNNNNNNNNNNNNNNNNNNNNNNNNNNNNNNNNNNNNNNNNNNNNNNNNNNNNNNNNNNNNNNNNNNNNNNNNNNNNNNNNNNNNNNNNNNNNNNNNNNNNNNNNNNNNNNNNNNNNNNNNNNNNNNNNNNNNNNNNNNNNNNNNNNNNNNNNNNNNNNNNNNNNNNNNNNNNNNNNNNNNNNNNNNNNNNNNNNNNNNNNNNNNNNNNNNNNNNNNNNNNNNNNNNNNNNNNNNNNNNNNNNNNNNNNNNNNNNNNNNNNNNNNNNNNNNNNNNNNNNNNNNNNNNNNNNNNNNNNNNNNNNNNNNNNNNNNNNNNNNNNNNNNNNNNNNNNNNNNNNNNNNNNNNNNNNNNNNNNNNNNNNNNNNNNNNNNNNNNNNNNNCCCUUUGGUCCCGGUUGGUGGCACCAACCGGGACCAAAGGGUCUCCUGACUGGGCUCUGCGCACUGCCCACGUGGAGGGCCUUUAGUCCCGGUUCUGGAUUGAACCGGGACUAAAGGGGGGAGGUAUUCGUACUGACACUUUAGUCCCGGUUCCGGAACCGGUACUAAAGGCCCUUACGAACCGGGACUAUAGGCCCUUUUUCUACCAGUAAACAACCAUCAUUUCACUCGUUGCUGAAUCCGCUUCUCCCUCAUCUUCUUCAACUUAACCACGUGUUGCUUCUGCUGUUGUUCUGCCUUAUGUGGGACGCGGAUCGGCUUGGUAAAGCACUAACACGUGGGACCGCAUGUUAGCAAACCGCCAGGACAACGUCCUCCGAAAAUAAGAAGCCUAAUCCUAGACUUACAAAGGGCUAUGUAGCUGCUACGUAUACUUUCCAUCUAAUCUAUAUAUGCCCCCCUGAUUUUCAGGUGGGGUGGGCCUAAUCCUCUCCUUUAAUCCAAUCAAAUAGUCCCACAUCACAUCAGUUCGUAACCUAACCAUUACGUGGAUGUAGCAUUGCUCAAAUAAGAAACCUCCCCCGCCAUCCGCGCGGCAAAAUCACCUCCUUUUUACUAAUCUCGAUUCUAUAAUUUUUGAGAUCAAUAUAAUUGAGAUUUGUAUAGAUAACACACAGGAGCAAAACCAAGUGGUACGGUUAAGGGCAUCCACAAUGUGUAGCCAAAUGUGAAAAUAGCUUUUGGCAUCGUGGGAACCAUUAUGCACGGUGUUGCCAAAGCCAAAUAGAAAAAUGCAACGUCUCUCCUCUUUCUCCCAUGCUUGGACGCAUGUAGUACAGUAUAGAGCACAGAUUCUACUCCCAUGUCCCUUCUAUCACAAAUCGCAAAGCAGUGAGGUGUCAAAUCACAAAAGCACUGAUGAAGCAACCAUCAUUUCACUCUUCGCUGACUCCGCUUCUCCAUUGUCUUCUUCGAGAAGCCAUCUCACUGCAUUAGUUAUAGUAUUACUAGUAAAGGACUUCCUGGAUGCAAAUAAGGCGGUUUUCUCGGCUUGCAGGCGGCACUGGCGAACGACUUACCGUGGUCUCCCUCAACGGUGUUCUCCGUCGAACGCACUUCGCCAAACCACCAAAAAAAAUAUCGUCGACGUCACCGCAAUGGGGAAGGAAGUCAAAUAUAGUUACUACCUCCAUUUUUUUGUACACAAGGCCAGUGUAUCAAAAUUACAAUUUGCAAAGGGCCACUAACACUAAUCGAGGCAAAAUUGAUGGGGUUAGCAACCAAGGACAUUAAUAUCCCCUGCAUGCAUGCGGAAGUGAGAAGGUUGGUUUGCAUGGCGCUGCAUUAAUCAAGCGAUGAGGAGUGAGAUGGUUAGCUCUUUGUUCUUUGGAGAAAAAAAUACGCAUUAAUUGACACGUGAAACGAGGAUUUGCAUCGAUUAAAUCCCGCGAAGGAAAACCCAGCCUUUCUUUUUUAACACUAGUACUCCUAGUACGUACGUACUUAUCCUGUUUGGGUCUAGGCCUUGCAUUGCCAAACUUCGCCACACAUUUUUGCCAAGCUUUCCUAAAGUUUUCAAAAUGAGAAGGAGGUACAUUUGCGCACGGCUAUCGUGGUCGCACCGCACACUCACACGGUCGCUCCUGCACGCCGCGGUCGCACCGCACCCUCACACGGUCGCUCUUGCACGCCGCAAACCCAACCAAGGGAACACACCCUCACUGACACGUGCUGUCGCAUGUGAACACACCAAACUCAGCCAUCCUAUCGCUGACACAUAAUUUUCAUUUAUAGAGUAUGUUUAUCCAACCGCAUGUUGGGGAGUAUCCGUACAGCCCAUACGGUGGUCUGUUGGGGAAGAAGAAGAGGUGAGGAUGAAGGAAAGAAGGGUUAGGAGACGUAGGAUAUUCAUCCAACCGCCUGAAAUGGUAGACUGGCCCAAGUCAGGCGACUUGCAUAACAAAUAUAUGUUUUUACACAGCAAAAGAUCCAUAAAAACAACAACAUAAAGAAAAACUAUCACUGCUCAAGGAAAGAGACGACCUCGUCGUCUUUGGCUGCCGGUGCGAACCAGCCGUCACUGCCGACGUGUGUCUCCGCACCGUGGUUGUCCUCGGUCUCCAGCUACUCGUUCAAGCGGAGCGUGCGGGCGCUCUGCACGGACGAGAGCACAACCCGGUUCAAGUCGAGGACGUCCGGUUCCGCAUGUAGGAGGGCCUCGAUGGCAGCGGCAUCAACGCGCUCCGCGUCGAGUCGAGCCUCCGCCGCCUGGUUCAAGUCCAGGACGUCUGGUUCCACCUGCAGGAGGGCGUCGAUGAGAGCGGCAUCCGCGUGCUCUGCGUCGAGUCGAGCCUCUGCCACCCGGUUCAAGUCCAGGACGUCCAGUUCCGCCUGCAGGAGGGCCUCGAUGGCAGCGGCAUCCACGCGCUCCGCCUCAAGUUGAGCCUCCGCCGCCUGGUUCACAUCCACGACAUCCAGUUCCGCCUGCAGGAGAGCCUCGAUGGCAGUGGCAUGCGCGCGCUCCGCGUCGAGUUGAGCCUCUGCCUCCCGGUCCUCCUUUAGUAUCGCCAUGUUGAACCGCAGCUCCGCGUGCACCAUGGGGGACUCGGACGCCGGCACGAAGUCGAAGUCCAUCGUCUCAUACCCAUCGGGGGCCUUCUGCACCGCGACCCCCGCCAUGAACAUUGGAUCGGCUUCCUCCUCCUUGUAGCUUGGCUCCAGAGAACUCUAGGAUUGGCCCGCCGCAAAGCGAGCUUGGGAACGGAGGUCUGUGGCGCCGACCGCCGCCGCGAUUUCUGCGCGGCGCUCCGGCGUCAGCAUCUUGUAGUAAGUGAUAUUGCAGCGCACCAUGGCUUUUCGGCGAACUAGGGGACGCUUGAUGCGGGCUAGGGGAUCGAAAGGUGGGGGAAUGGGCUGGAGAUUUGGUGUGGUUUUAGGGCAGUGGCUGGCAUAGGCCGAGCAGUGAAGGUUCUGGUGUGAAUAGUGGUUCCGGUGAUGUCCGGUCAAUCAGUUUUGACUGUACAUCGCUCUUGUCGCGUUCGCGUUGCAGCCCGGCACGCUGGACCCUCCACGUCGCUCACCGAAUGGAACACGCUUCGUCUUGCGUUUUUGCUCACUUGUGGGACCGCAGUUGAGAGCAAGCCGACGUCCAUCCCCCUCCCCCGCCCGCAUCAUUUAUUAUACCACCACUCCCUUCGUUUUAUGUGGAGUAAAUAAAAACAGAGGGAGUAUACUACGGAUGAGGAUCCCCUGACGUGGCUGAACCCAUUGAGUAACUGACAUGCGGGGCCUAGCAAGCAUGGGGUCCGCCAGUAAGUGACCGAAAGGGAGGGUCAGGCAGGGAUACCUACGUCAGAGGAUCCACUUCCACUAUACUACUUUGACCAAAUGUUAGAGUAAUAAUAUAUGACAUGCAACUUACACAAAUGUUAGAGUAAUAAUAUAUGACAUGCAACUUACACAAAGCAUACAGGGUCUAAUGUGUUUUUCGAGGCUAACUUUGACCAAGUGUUAGAGUAAUAAUAUAUGACAUGCAACUUACACAAAGCAUACGGUCAAAUUCAUAUGUGAAAGGAGUUUCCAAUGAUAUAAUUUUCACAUUAUACAUCUCAUGUACUAUUAAUCUUGUCAAUAGUCAAAUUGGAAACCAUCUCGAGUACAAAUCUAGGAGUACAUACGAAUCUAACAAUAUUGAUUGGGAAUUGUUGAAUGUUGAUACCUUUUUGAUCAAAGUAGAUAUACUUUGACUACACAUAAAACUUAUAUGUAAACUAGAAAGGAUAGGAGGGAGUAUAUUGUAUGUUCAAAAACGAAACGAACAUUGAAUACCCUUUAUAUAUGAUUUGCGGAUGCUAUGAUCACCGGUUCAAAAUUUUGAAUCCACCUUAGGUAUCAUGUGCCCCCACUCGUUCCCUCUCGAUUUCAUCUCGGGGUUCGGAGAUCUAUUGAAAGAGGACUAGGGUGGGUACAUGCGAAUGAUACUCGGUGGAAUGUUCAUCCAACCCCCCACCGGGAACUGUUCAUCCAAACCCCCUCAACAUCGCUCACUGUUCAUCAAGGGAAGGAGGCAGCAGUGUUCGAUCGGCUUCAGUUAGUAGUAGUAGCGAAGGAAUCACUCGGGUUCAGUUAACAGCAAGGGAUCGAUCGAUUUCUCGGGUUCAGUAAUGCGUAGCCUGCAGUGCAAUCGCUCGGAUUCCAUUAGAUCCCAACGCCUCGCUUGGGUUCAGUUGGAGCCCAAUGCCUCGCACACACGCAUGUACGUACGAGAGAAACGCGCAUCGCUCGGCCCCCGACCACCCACCGUAACCGGGAAUUCCCCCGAUAUUUUCCUCGCCCUCGCUUCUACCAUGGUUUUCUCCGUCAUGGACGGCCCAAACAAUGUCAUGCAGCUGCGUCUCCGGCCCGCCCAAGACGAAAAUCCCAUUUUCUGUCAUGAUUUUUUGUCAUAGAAGUAGGAACCCACCACAUCUAUGAUGAUACCGGGUUUCGUCACAAUUAUCGUCAUAGAAGUGUCAUAAGUAUGACAGGAAAAAAAAUUCGUUCAGCCCAAAAUGUCACGGAUGUGUCUUUUUUUUGUAGUGAUACUUUGUUCUCAUAUAUGGAUCCUAUCUCAGAUUUCAUGGCCUCAAGCCAUUUAUUGGAAUCUGGGCUCAGCAUAGCUUCUUCAUAGUUCGUAGGUUCGCCAUGGUCAAGUAACAUGACUUCCAGGACAGGAUUACCGUGCCACUCUGGUGUGAAACAUGAUCUGUUUGACCUACGAAGUCCAGUAGUAACUUGAUCUGAAGUUUCAUGAUCAUCAUCAUUAGCUUCCUCUCUAGACGGUGUAGGCAUCACGGGAACUGAUUUCUCUGAUGUGCUACUUUCCAAUUUGAGAGAAGGUAUAAUUACCUCAUCAAGUUCUACUUUCCUCCCACUCACUUCUUUCGAGAGAAACUCCUUCUAUAGAAAUGUUUCAUUCUUGGCAACAAAGAUCUUGCCUUCGGAUCUGUGGUAGAAGGUGUACCCAAUUGUUUCCUUAGGGUAUCCUAUGAAGACGUACUUCUCUGAUUUGAGUUCGAGCUUAUCAGGCUGAAGCCUUUUGACAUAAGUGUCACAACCCCAAACUAUGAGAAAGGACAGCUUAGGUUUCUUGCCAAACCAUAGUUCAUACGGUGUCAUCUCAAGGGAUUUAGACGGUGCCCUAUUUAAUGUGAAUGUAGCUGUCUCUAAUGCACACCCCAAAACAAUAGUGGUAAAUCGGUAAGAGACAUCAUAGAUCGCGCCAUAUCCAAUAAAGUAUGAUUACGACAUUCGGACACACCAUUACGCUGUGGUGUUCAAGGUGGCGUGAGUUGUAAAACUAUUACACAUUGUUCUAAAUGAAGGUCAAACUCGUAGCUCAAAUAUUCGCCUCCGUGAUCAGAUCAUAGAAACUUUAUUUUUUUGUUACGAUGAUUCUCCACUUCACUCUGAAAUUCUUUGAACUUUUCAAAUGUUUCAGACUUGUGUUUUUUUACUGAAUACUGUGAGGCAAAAGCCCCACAACCCUUUAUUAAAAUAGGACCCCAAGUCUUACAAAAUUAAAAGGCAGAAAAAUAAAACAAUCUAGGAGUUACAAAGAACCUACCUAUGAAAAUACAACAACAUCAUAUAUAUAAAUAUACAGAGGAGUAACAUGCCACAUAGAUCAUGGCAGCACAUUAAUCCACUGAAGGAGCAGUGGCUCGAUCAAAGCCUUCAUCCUAUGGGAGUGCAGCGUGAUGUCAUGUAUGAAUUUGGCCCUCCAUCCCCCAAAGGUUGGCUUGAUAUGUCUGAAGAUUCUGUCAUUCCUUGUGGUCCAGAUGCUCCAAGCAGCAAGGUAAACUACCUCAAAGAAGAAAGGGUGAUUGAAACUCCUCUUUGCUGCCAAGAUACAUUCCUUAGGAGAUAACCCUGCAAUCCAGGUAAUCUGAAGGUAAUUCCAAACUCUGGUGCUGAAAAUGCACUUGAAGAAUAAAUGAUCUCUAUCCUCAUGUAUAUUAGCCACACACAUAGGGCAUAAAUUGUCCUCAUCCUCAGAUCUCCAAUGCCUUCUAACAAGCAUAUCUCUAGUAUUGAGUCUAUCAUUCAACAUUAACUAGGCAAAAACCUUGAUUUUCAUUAUGCAUUUACUUCUCCAAAUCCAUUUACAGGGAUCAACAUCUGGCAGAUGUGCAUGGGCCACAGAAUAGUAACUUUUUAGCAGAGCAUAAGUUCCUUUGCCAGGUGUCCAUGACCAAGAGUCAGGUUCCUGAGGGCACCUUUGUAACCCACUUAAAUAUGUGUUAAGGGAAACCAACUCGUCCAUUGCUUCCUAAGAUAAUGGUAACUAAAAAUAAGUACCAAUAUAAAAAUCUUCUAUAAAGUCCUUGACAGAAAUCUUGUCAUCCAGAGCAAAGGAGAAAAGUCUGGGGAAUCUAUCAUUAAUAGGCAGAUGGCUUCCACCCAAGAUCCAAGCAUCAUGCCAAAACAGUGAGUUUUUGCCAUCAUUGAUGGUGAUAACAGAAUGUGAUCUAUAAACCUCAUUUAGCUUCAUCAUAUCCCUCCACCAAAAGGAACCGCACUGGACAGUUGCAUGUGGAACCACUCCAUUGUAGUAAGUGUCCCAAAUCAAGGAGACCCAAGGUAUUUCUGUUUUUAUAGAACUUAUGCAAGUGUUUUGUGAGAAAGGCCUUAUUUUGAACUGCAAGGUUAAUGACCCCCAUGCCCCCUUUAUCUUUUGGUUUACAAACCAUUGGCCAGACAGCUAGAGAUUGUUUUGGGGUGGCGGAAUUUCCUCUCCAAAACAUUUCCUCAUUAUUCUUUCCAACUUCUUAAUAAUACUAGCUGGCAGACUCAGACUGCAAAGGAAAUCAAUGGGCAAGGAGGAGAGAACUGGUUGCAGAAGUUGUAACCUGGCACCCUGGGAAAGCAGGGAGGAACUAGCAGAAAGCCUCCUCUCAACUCUAUCAACAACAGGCACCAGAUCUUGGAUUCUGGGCUUUGUGGUACCCACAGGCAGACCCAGGUAUGUGAAAGGAAGAGACCCAACUUGACAGCCAAAAAUAGCAGCCAACCUAGUUGUUUCCUCCUGUGUAACAUUGAUGGGUAAGAUGCAGGACAUAUGGAAAUUAACUUUGAGCCCAAUUGACUUGGAGAAGGCAACCAGCAUGUUCUUUAGAGCUAGCAGCUAGGUUUCAUCAGCUUGGACAAUCAACAAGGUAUCAUCUGCAUAUUGGACUAUAGGGAAGUCAUGAUCAUUAGAAGGUAUUGGAAGUGACAGUAACCCUUGUUAGAGCAUUUGAUUAACCACUGAUUGCAAGAGAUCAGCAACAAUAACAAAGAGGAGUGGUGAGAGAGGAUCUCCUUGUCUUACACCUCUUUUGCAAUUGAAUUGCUUACCAGGAACACCAUUUAGAAGGAUAGAAGAGGAUCCAGAAGAAAGAAGCUCUUAGUCCAACCAAUCGAUUUUGCAUCAAAACCCUUAUAUUUCAACAUAAGCAAGAUCAGAUCAUGCUCCACAGUGUCAAAAGCUUUUGCAAAGUCAAGCUUAAGGAUGAGGAUGAGUCUCUUGGACUGAUGACACUGAUGAAUGUAUUCCAAACUCCAGGCAAUGCAAUCCUGAAUGGACCUUGACUUUAUAAAACCAUACUGGUUCUUAUGGACGCAUGCGAGGAUAACCUUCUGCAAUCUAUUUGCCAGGAGUUUAGUGAGGAAUUUGAGGCAUGUAUUUGUGAGAGAGAUUGGCCUAUAAUCAUUGGGUCCUUCAGGAGAUAGGAUUUUUGGAAUUAGGGUCACUAGGGAACCAUUUAUGCUUUGCAGGGAAAUUCUUCCUUCAUAGAAAUCAGUGAUUAACUUUAGGAAGUCAUUUUUAAUGAUGUGCCAACACUUCUUCACAAACAGACCAGUAAAUCCAUCUGGUCCAGGUGCCCUGUCAAGAGGUAAAUAUUUGAGCACAUCAUUGAUCUCCUCAUCUGAGAAAGGUUCAGACAAGCACUCAAGGCCAGGGACAGGUUGGAUCAGAUUCUCCAGAUCAAAUAACAUGUCAAUCCCAUAAGAAACUCCCAUUCAUCCUUAUAUGAAGACCAAAGGAGAGCAGCCAUGUCAUUGUGUGAGGAGAGGGCCAAACCUUCAUCAUUAAUUAGACUAGAAAUAGUAUUCCUUCCGAAUCUCUCUUUUGCCAUAGCUUGGAAGAAUUUGGAAUUUUCUUCCCCCACCUUUAUCCAUCUGAUGGUGCAUCUCUGCUUCCAAUAAAGAUACUGAAGAUGGAGCAACUCUUCAAGGUGCAGCUUGACUAUUUUAUUGAAAUUAAAUUCUGACCUAGAUAAUGGCCUCUGGUCUUCCAGAUUGUCAAAAGCUAGAAUAAUUGCAUUACAGGCAUCCAUCAGCAACUCAGCCUAGAGAGGCCAAUCUGCCAUUUCCUAAGAUCAGUCUUCAACCUUUUGAAUUUCUCAGUUAGAAUGGCAGUAGAAUUAGACUUUCUAGUGGGGGCAGACCAAGAAAGCUCCACACACUCCAGAAACCCAGGCAUGUCCACCGAAUAGUUUUCAAAAUGAAAAAUCUUUGCUUUAGGUAUGGAAGUGGAGAUGGAGACCACACAUGGCACAUGAUCAGAGCUAGUUUUAGCUAAAGGAUACACCAUUGUAUUAGGGUACUCCCCAAUCCAUGUUGGUGUAGUAAAAAACCCAUCAAGCUGCUCUAGAAGAGGUGUUUCCUGCAUGUUUGACCAAGUGUAUGACCUUCCUUUUAAUGGUAGUUCAAUUAGCCCCAAAUGGCCAAUAAUUUCAUUGAAAAUGAACAUGUCAUUAAUGUCCCCUCCGGGCAAAUUCCUAUUAUCCAAUGAUCUGACAAAGUUGAAGUCUCCCAGAAAUAACCAGAGAUCAUCUAGAGGAAUUUGAAUAUGAUAUAACCAGUGCACAAAAGCAUCUCUAAGCUCCCCCUGACAAGUCCCAUAAAUAUUAACCAAGUUCCAAGAUUGGUUGUUUUGGGUUGUGGUGAAAUUAAUGAUGAUGCCAAAACUUUGCAGUUCAACCAAAGUACCAGUUACUGCAGAGGAACACCAUAGGACAAUAAUUCCACCAGAAGCACCCACAGAAGGAGAAUAUGCAAAGUUAUCAAACCUUUUAGGACAAAAUUUCCUGAUAGAUCUUUGGUCAAAGAAAUCACACUUUGUUUCCUAUAAGCAAACAACUGAACAUUGACUUUCCUCAAUUUUAGCUCUGACAGCCCGCUGCCUAAUUUCAGAAUUAAGCCCUCUAACAUUCCAGCAUAGCACCUUCCAAUCCUUAUUAACAUUUGCACUCAUUAUAAAACACUAUAAGAUAAUAGUAGAAGCACAUCAUCACAUAAUAAUACUGGCACACGUCAUAACCAUAAUAGUGCAGAAAAUAGUUUAGAUGAUCCAUGAUGACCCACAAGUAUAGGGGAUCUAUCGUAGUCCUUUUGAUAAGUAAGAGUGUCGAACCCAACGAGGAGCGGAAGGAAAUGAUAAGCGGUUUUCAGCAAGGUAUUCUCUGCAAGUACUGAAAUAAGGGGUAACAGAUAGUUUUAUGAUAAGAUAAUUUGUAACGAGCAACAAGUAACAAAAGUAAAUAAAGUGCAGCAAGGUGGCCCAAUCCUUUUUGUAACAAAGGACAAGCCUGGACAAACUCUUAUAUAAGGAAAAGCGCUCCCGAGGACACAUGGGAAUAUCGUCAAGCUAGUUUUCAUCACAUUCAUAUGAUUCACGUUCCGUACUUUGAUAAUUUGACAUGUGGGUGGACCGGUGCUUAGGUCCUCUUCUUACUUGAACAAGCAUCCCACUUAUGAUUAACCUCUAUUGCAAGCAUCCGCAACUACAACAAAAGUAUUAAGGUAAACCUAACAAUAGCAUGAAACAUAUGGAUCCAAAUCAGCCCCUUAUGAAGCAACGCACAAACUAGGGUUUAAGCUUCUGUCACUCUAGCAACCCAUCAUCUACUUAUUGCUUCCCAAUGCCUUCCUCUAGGCCCAAAUAAUGGUGAAGUGUUAUGUAGUCGACGUUCAAAUAACACCACUAGAGGCUAGACAACAUAAUCUCAUCAAAAUAUCAAACGAAUACCAAAUUCACAUGACUACUAAUAGCAAGACUUCUCCCUUGUCCUCGGGAACAAACGUAACUACUCACAAAGCAUAUUCAUGUUCAUAAUCAGAGGGGUAAUAAUAUGCAUAGAGGAUCUGAACAUAUGAUCUUCCACCAAUUAAACCAACUAGCAUCAACUACAAGGAGUAAUUAACACUACUAGCAACCUACUAGCACCAAUCCCGGACUUGUAGACAAGAAUUGGUUACAAGAGAUGAAGUAGGGUUUUGAGAUGAGAUGGUGCUGAUGAAGAUGUUGAUGGAGAUUUCCCUCUCUCGAUGAGAGGAGCGUUGGUGAUGACGAUGGCGAUGAUGUCCCCCUCCGGGACAGAAGUUCCCCCGGCAGAACAGCUCUGCCAGAGCCCUAGAUUGGUUCCGCCUCGUGGCGGCGGAGUUUCGUCCCGAAAAGUUGCUUCUAGUUUUUUUCUCGACGAAAGACUUCAUAUAGCAGAAGAUGGUCAUCGGAGAGCCACCAGGGGGCCCACGAAGUAGGGGAGCGCGCCCUAGGGGGGCGCCCCCCACCCUCGUGGAAAGGGUGUGGGCCCCUGGUCUUCAUCUUUGGUGAGGAUUUUUCAUUAUUUAUUAUAAGGUAUUCCGUGGAGUUUCAGGACUUUUGGAGUUGUGCAGAAUAGGUCUCUAAUAUUUGCUCCUUUUCUAGCCCAGAAUUCCAGGUACCGGCAUUCUCCCUCCUUAUGUAAACAUUGUAAAAUAAGAGAGAAUAGCCAUAAGUAUUGUAACAUAAUGUGAAAUAACAGCCCAUAAUGCAAUAAAUAUCGAUAUAAAAGCAUGAUGCAAAAUGGACGUAUCAACUCCCCCAAGCUUAGACCUCGCUUGUCCUCAAGCGAAAGUCGAUAACAAUAAAUAUGUCCCCAUGUUUAGAGGUAGAGGCGUCGAUAAAAAUAAAAUACAGACAUGAGGGCAUCAUGAUUAUUCCCAUAACAGCAACAUAUAUAGAUUGUCAUGUGAUUACUUAUGUUCAAGUGAUGAUCUAUUCACAAUGCAAAAGUAUGAAUCGGAAACCUUAUUGAGAACCAACAAACUAUAACCUCAGUCAUUGAAGCAAUUGCAAUUUAUCAUAACAUCAGAAAGAGUCUAUGUCAGAGCUAAAAAGCAAGUCCACAUACUCAACUAUCAUCUAGUCCAUAAUUGCUAACACUCGCGCAAUACUUGUGGUUACAGAGUUUUAAUCGGACACAGAGAAAGAUAGGGGCUUAUAGUUUCGCCCCACAACCUUUUACCUCGAGGGUAAUGUCAACAAUAAUAACUCAUGCCCCCCUACAUCCAAUUAGAUAUAUGUAUCAGGUUCUUUCCACCAUGAUGGGCUUGCCAAAGGAUAAAAUGAAAAAGGGAGAGGUGAAGAUCACCAUGACACUUGCAUAAGGUAGAAGAUAAUAAUAAAAGAUAGGCCCUUCGCAGAGGGAAGCAGAGGUUGCCAUGCGCUUUUAUGGUUGGAUGCACAAAAUCUUAAUGCGAAAAAACAUCACUUUAUAUUGCCCCUUGUGAUAUGAACCUUUAUUAUGCAGUCCAUCGCUUUUAUUACUUCCACAUCACAAGAUCGUAUAAAGCUUAUUUCUCCCACACUAAUCAUACAUAUUUAGAGCAAUUAUUAUUUCUUUGCACCGAUGACAACUUACUUGAAGGAUCUUACUCAAUCCAUAGGUAGAUAUGGUGGACUCUCAUGGCAAAACUGGUUUAAGGGUAUUCGGAAGCACAAGUAGUAUCUCUACUUGGUGCUGAGAAUUUGGCUAGCAUGAGGGGGAAAGGCAAGCUCAACAUGUUGGGUGAUCCAUGACAACAUACUUUAUCUCAGGUAUAAGAAAACAUAACCCAUUACGUUGUCUUCCUUGUCCAACAUCAACUCUUUAGCAUGUCAUAUUUUGAUGAGUGCUCCCAAUAAUAAAAGAUGUCAAUAAUAGUAUAUUUAUAUGUGAAACCUCUCUUUCCUUAUUACUUCCCAUUAAUUGCAACGAUGACCAAAGCUAUGUCUGCCAACUCCCAACAACUUUUAAUCAUCACACUCUUUCUAUGUGAAGUCAUUACUAUCAAUAAGAUCAAUAUGAACUUUUGUUUCUUCUUAUUCUUUUUCUCUUUUCUUUUAUUCACCCAAGAUCAUAGCAAGAAAAUCAAGCCCUUGACUCAACACUAAUCUUUAUUAUAUAGAUCACGGACUCGAUUACAUAGAGAGAUCAUAAGGCAAAACUCAAAACUAGAUCAUGCCAUAAACUUUAUUCUACUAGAUCAAAAUACUACUAAUAGGAUCUAACUAAGGAAAACGGUAAAGAUAGGAGUUGUGAUUGUGAUACGAUACCGGGGCACCUCCCCCAAGCUUGGCAGUUUCUAAGGGGAGUGCCCAUACCCAUGUUAUUAUAUCUCCUUGGUUGGUGAAGAUGGAGGUGAUGGAUAGUCUCACAUCGAGCGUAAGAGGUCCUCUAGCUUGCGAAUAAUGCCCUUGAGUGCAAAGAUAUGCUCCUUCAACAAAAUAUUUUCACUUGUGAGAUACUUGUUUUGAAUACGAGUUAAUCAUCUGGAAAGCUUCGAUCUCAGUUGGGGUAAGAAGGGUUGUGAUCAAGUUGAAGGAUCUCUUCUGUUGCCGGAGCUUGGUUCUCCGUGGCCUUCUUGAUCCCUUCAUCCUUGUUGAUCUCCAUGGGUUCUUCCGUCUUCAGCUCUAUCUUCAUUAGCCAGGCAUCUUUGUCACCGUUAUUGGAGGAGGGGGAUGACAUGAUGCCUGGCCUUGACAACCCUGACAGAGAACAGCCCAAAACAAGAACAGAGGAUAUUUGUGUGAUACGGGAGUCAAAACCUUAGGGAGAAUAUAUAGUGAAUUUUUACCGACCAAAAUACAUAUCGCGCAAGAAAACGGAGUCCGGAAGGCACACGAGGUGCUCACGAGGUAGGGGGCACACCCAGGGGGUAGGGCGCGCCCUCCACCCUCGUGGGGCCCUCAUGUCCUUCCCGGACUGCUACUUAAUUUUCUAUUUUUCUAUAUAUUCCAAAACGGAGUAAUAUUGCCUUAAAAAUUGUUUUGGAGUCAGUUUACUUACUGUACCACAUACCUAUUCCUUUUCAGAGUAUGAAACGUUCUGGAAAUUGUCCCUUAUGUAUUCCUCUGGGGUUACUGCUUCAAUAAUAUUGGUUUCAAUAUUUAUGGGAUUACCUAAGAUAUAAUGUUUAAUUCUCUGACCGUUUACCACCUUCAGAUUUGUGCCUUCGAAGUUGUUGAUUUUUAUGGCACUGGAACGAUAGACCUCCUCGAUAACAUAGGGGCCUUCCCAUUUAGAGAGAAGUUUUCCUGCAAAAAAUCUUAAACGAGAGUUGUAUAACAAUACAUAAUCACCUACAUUAAACUCACGCUUUUGUAUCCUUUUGUCAUGCCAUCUUUUAACCUUUUCUUUAAACAACUUGGCAUUUUCAUAAGCUUGGGUUCUCCAUUCAUCAAGCGAGCUAAUAUCAAAUAACCUCUUUUCACUGGCAAGUUUGAAAUCAUAGUUGAGCUCUUUAAUAGCCCAAUAUGCCUUAUGUUCUAGUUCGAGAGGUAAGUGACAUGCUUUUCCAUAUACCAUUUUAUACGGAGACAUACCCAUAGGAUUUUUAUAUGCAGUUCUAUAGGCCCAUAAUGCAUCAUCAAGUUUCUUGGACCAAUUCUUUCUAGACCUAUUGACAGUCUUUUGCAAAAUUAAUUUAAGUUCUCUAUUACUCAAUUCUACAUGACCACUAGACUGUGGGUGAUACGGAGAUGCAAUUCUAUGAUUGACGUCAUAUUUAGCAAGCAUUUUACCGAAAGCACCAUGAAUAAAAUGUGAACCACCAUCAGUCAUUAACUAUCUAGGAACUCCAAACCUCGGAAAAAUAACUUCUUUAAGCAUUUUAAUAGAAGUGUUAUGAUCAGCACUACUAGUUGGAAUAGCUUCUACCCACUUAGUAAUGUAAUCAACAACAACUAAAAUAUGUGUAUAUCCAUUAGAGGCAGGAAAAGGUCCCAUAUAAUCAAAGCCCCAAACAUCAAACGGUUCAAUAACAAGUGAAUAAUUCAUAGGCAUUUCUUGACAUCUACUAAUAUUACCAAUUCUUUGACAUUCAUCACAAGAUAGGACAAACUUACGGGCAUCCUUGAAGAGAGUAGGCCAAUAAAAACCGGAUUGCAAUACCUUAUGUGCAGUUCGAUCUCCCAUGUGGUGUCGUCCAUAAGUUUCGGAGUGGCACUUGCGUAGGAUCUGUUCCUGUUCAUGCUCAGGUACACAACGUCUAAUAACACCAUCUACUCCUUAUUUAUAAAGAUGUGGGUCAUCCCAAAAGUAAUGUCUCAAAUCAUAGAAGAACUUUCUUUUGUUGGUAUGUGAAGCUAGGUGGUAUAAAUUUAGCAACAAUGUAAUUAGCAUAAUCAGCAUACCAAGGAGUACUACGAGAAGUACUUAUGACAUUUAAUUGUUCAUCAGGAAAGCUAUCAUCAAGAGGUAGUGGGUCAUCAAGAACAUUCUCUAACCUAGAUAAGUUGUCUGCAACAGGGUUCUCAGCUCCUUUUCUAUCAACAAUAUGCAAAUCAAAUUCUUGUAGCGAGAGAACCCAUCUAAUAAGUCUAGGUUUAGCAUCUUUCUUCUCCAUAAUAUAUUUAAUAUCAGCAUGAUCAGUGUGGAUAGUUACUUUAGAAUCAACAAUAUAAGGUCUGAACUUAUCACAAGCAAAUACAACUGCUAAAAGUUCUUUUUCAGUAGUAGCAUAAUUUCUUUGAGAAUUGUCUAGAGUCUUACUAGCAUAAUGGAUAACAUUUAAUUUCUUAUCAACUCUUUGCCCAAGAACAUCACCUACAGCAUAAUUGCUAGCAUCACACAUAAUUUCAAAGGGUAAAUUCCAAUCAGGUGGCUGAACAAUAGGUGGAGAGACUAAUGCUUUCUUAAGUAUUUCAAAUACUUCUACACAAUCCUCAUCAAAGACAAAUGGUAUAUCUUUUUGUAAUAAAUUAGUCAGAGGCCGAGAAAUUUUUGAGAAGUCCUUAAUGAACCUCCUAUAAAAUCCAGCGUGACCAAGGAAACUUCUUAUACCUUUCAUGUCCGUGGGAUAUGGCAUCUUUUCAAUAGCAUCAACUUUGGCUUUAUCAACUUCAAUACCUCUUUCAGAAACUUUAUGCCCCAAGAGAAUACCUUCAUUCACCAUAAAGUGGCACUUUUCCCAAUUAAAGACAAGAUUAGUUUCUUCACAUCUCUGCAAAACUCGAUCAAGAUUGCUCAAGCAAUCAUCAAAAGAAGAUCCAUAGACGGAAAAGUCGUCCAUGAAAACCUCACAAAUCUUUUCACAAAAGUCAGAGAAUAUAGCCAUCAUGCAUCUUUGAAAGGUAGCAGGUGCAUUACAUAAACCAAAAGGCAUACGUCUGUAAGCAAAAGUACCAGAAGGGCAUGUAAAAGUAGUCUUUGAUUGAUCUUUAGCCAACACGGGUAUUUGAGAGAAACUAGAAUAACCAUCUAGAAAGCAGUAAUGUGUAUGCUUGCAUAAUCUUUCUAGCAUUUGAUCGAUAAAAGGUAAGGGGUAAUGAUCUUUUUUAGUAGCCUUAUUUAAUUUGCGGAAAUCAAUUACCAUCCUAUAACCUGUAAUAAUUCUUUGUGGAAUCAAUUCAUCUUUAUCAUUAGGAACAAUAGUAAUACCUCCCUUCUUAGGGACAUAAUGAACAGGACUUACCCACUGACUAUCAGCAACGGGAUAAAUUAUACCUGCCUCCAGAAGCUUUAGUAUUUGUUUUCUUACCACUUCUUUCAUUUUAGGAUUCAGACGUCGUUGAGGAUCACGAACUGGUUUGGCAUUUGCUUCCAAAUUUAUUUUAUGUUGACAUAGAGCGGGACUAAUUCCCUCAAGAUCAUCAAGAGUAUAUCCAAUAGCAGCACGGUGCUUCUUUAGAGUUUUCAAUAAUCUCUCUUCUUCAUGCUCUCAAAGGUUAGCACUAAUAAUAAGAGGAUACAUCUUAUUUUCAUCAAGAUAAGCAUAUUUAAGAUUAUCAGGCAAUGGUUUAAGCUCAAACACGGGAUCACCCUUAGGUGGAGGGGGAUCCCCUAGGAUUUCAACAGGCAAAUUAUGUUUCAGAAUAGGUUCCUGUUUAAAGAAUACUUCAUCUAUUUCCAUUAUUUCAUUCAUAAACAUAUCAUUCUCAUGGUCUAGCAAAUAUUGUUCUAAAGGAUCACUAGGAGGUACGGCAAUAGAAGCAAGACCAAUAAUUUCAUCCUUACUAGGCAAUUCUUCUUCACGGUGUUGUUUAGUAAAUUUAGAGAAAUUAAACUCAUGAGUCAUAUCAUCUAAGCCGAGAGUAACAACAUCCCUUGUGCAAUCUAUGUUAGCAUUAACAGUAUUCAAGAAGGGUCUACCAAAUAUAAUGGGACAAAAGCUAUCUUGUGGGGAACCAAGAACAAGAAAAUUAGCAGGAUAUUUAGUUUUCCCACACAAGACUUCAACAUCUCUAACAAUUCCCAUUGGUGAAAUAGUAUCUCUAUUAGCAAGUUUAAUAGUGACAUCAAUUUCUUCUAACUCAAUAGGUGCAAUGUCAUGCAUAAUUUCUUUGUAUAAGUUAAUAGGUAUUGCACUAGCACUAGCACCCAUAUCACAUAAGCCAUGAUAAAAAUGAUCUCCUAUUUUAACAAAAAUAACAUGCAUGCCUACCACAUGUCUAGGUUUAUCUCUAUCACGAGGUUUAGCAAUUCUAGUAGUUUCAUUACAGAAGUAAAUAACAUGCCCAUCUAUAUUAUCAGACAAGAGAUCUUUAAUAAUAGCAAUAUUAGGUUCAACUUUAACUUUCUCAGGAGCUGUAUAUGUUAUAAUAUUGCUUAUACGAACCACAGUUGAAGCUUUAGCAUGAUCCUUUAUCCUAACAGGGAAAGGUGGUUUCUCAACAUAACAAGUAGGAACAAUAGGAUCAUUAUAAGUGACAGUCUUUUCUUCAACUUUAAUUGGUGCGGCUACUUUUACUUAUAUGGGAGGAUGAUAUUUAAACCACUUAUCCUUAGGGAGAUCAACAUAAGUAGCAAAAGAUUAACAGAAAGAAGCUACUAUCUCAGAAUCAAGUCCAUAUUUAGUGCUAAAUUUACAAAAAAUAUCGGUAUCCAUAAAAGAUUUAACACAAUCAAACUUAGGUGUCAUACCUGACUCCUUACCUUUGUCAAGAUCCCAAUCUUCAGAGUUGCGUUUAAUUCUAUCCAAUAAAUCCCAUCUAAAUCCAAUAGUCUUCAUCAUAAAAGAACCAGCACAAGAAGUAUCGAGCAUGGUGCGAUUAUUUUCAGAAAGCCGAGCAUAAUUUUUUUGUAGAAUUGUUUCUCUUGGGAGCUCAUGAUUGGGGCAUGAAUAUAACAUUGAUUUAAGCCUCCCCCAAGCUUGAGCGAUGCUUUCUCCUUCGCGAGGCCAAAAAUUAUAUAUAUAAUUUUGGUCACGAUGAACAAGAUGCAUAGGGUAAUACUUUUGAUUAAAUUCCAAUUUCAAUCUUCUAUAGUUCCAUGAUCUCGUAUCAUCACAUAGCCUAUACCAUGUCAAUGUGUCUCCCUUCAAAGAUAAAGGGAAGACCUUCUUCUUAGCAACAUCAUCGGGUAUACCUGCAAGCUUAAAUAAUCCACAAACUUCAUCCACAUAUAUUAGGUGUUCAUCAGGAUGCUUUGUUCCAUCUCCUGUAAAAGGAUUAGCUAGCAGUUUUUCUAUCAUACCCGAAGGAUACUCAUAAGGAAUUUCAUUUUCAAUAGGUUCAUUAGGUUGAGGGGAAACUCUUUGCUCUACUGGUCGGGGUGAAGAUACCCUGAACAAGCCCCUCAGAGGAUUACUUUCCAUAGUAACAAGUGACAGUAAAUUUCAGCAGACUAUAUAAAUUUUUCCUUACCAAAUUCCACCUACCAAAGGCGCUUCACUCCCCGGCAACGGUACCAGAAAAGAGUCUUACUGACCCACAAGUAUAGGGGAUCUAUCGUAGUCCUUUCGAUAAGUAAGAGUGUAGAACCCAACGAGGAGCAGAAGUAAAUGAUAAGCGGUUUUCAGCAAGGUAUUCUCUGCAAGUACUGAAAUAAGGGGUAACAGAUAGUUUUGUGAUAAGAUAAUUUGUAACAAGCAACAAGUAACAAAAGUAAAUAAAGUGCAGCAAGGUGGCCCAAUCCUUUUUGUAACAAAGGACAAGCCUGGACAAUCUCUUAUAUAAGGAAAAGCGCUCCCGAGGAUACAUAGAUAUAUCGUCAAGCUAGUUUUCAUCACAUUCAUAUGAUUCGCGUUCAGUAAUUUGAAAAUUUGACAUGUGGGUGGACCGGUGCUUGGGUGCUGUUCUUACUUGAACAAGCAUCCCACUUAUGAUUAACCUCUAUUGCAAGCAUCCACAACUACAACAAAAGUAUUAAGGUAAACCUAACCAUAGCAUGAAACAUAUGGAUCCAAAUCAGCCCCUUACGAAGCAACGCAUAAACUAGGGUUUCAGCUUCUGUCACUCUAGAAACCCAUCAUCUACUUAUUGCUUCACAAUGCCUUCCUCUAGGCCCAAAUAAUGGUGAAGUGUUAUGUAGUCGACGUUCACAUAACACCACUAGAGGCUAGACAACAUAAUCUCAUCAAAAUAUCGAACGAAUACCAAAUUCACAUGACUACUAAUAGCAAGACUUCUCCCUUGUCCUCAGGAACAAACGUAACUACUCACAAAGCAUAUUCAUGUUCAUAAUCAGAGGGGUAAUAAUAUGCAUAAAGGAUCUGAACAUAUGAUCUUCCACCAAUUAAACCAACUAGCAUCAACUACAAGGAGUAAUUAACAAUACUAGCAACCUACUAGCACCAAUCCCGGACUUGGAGACAAGAAUUGGAUACAAGAGAUGAACUAGGGUUUUGAGAUGAGGUGGUGCUGAUGAAGAUGUUGAUGGAGAUUUCCCUCUCUCGAUGAGAGGAGCAUUGGUGAUGACGAUGGCGAUGAUUUCCCCCUCCGGGAGGGAAGUUCCCCUGGCAGAACAGCUUUGCCGGAGCCCUAGAUUGGUUCCACCAAGGUUCCGCCUCCUGGCUGCAGAGUUUCGUCCAGAAAAGUUGCUUCUGGUUUUUUUCUCGACGAAAGACUUCAUAUAGCAGAAGAUGGUCAUCUGAGAGCCACCAGGGGGCCCACGAGGUAGGGGGCGCGCCCUAGGGGGGCACCCCCCACCCUCGUGGAAAGGGUGUGGGCCCCCUUGUCUUCAUCUUUGGCGAGGAUUUUUCAUUAUUUAUUAUAAGGUAUUCCGUGGAGUUUCAGGACUUUUGGAGUUGUGCAGAAUAGGUCUCUAAUAUUUGCUCCUUUUCCAGCCCAGAAUUCCAGCUACCGGCAUUCUCCCUCCUUAUGUAAACCUUGUAAAAUAAGAGAGAAUAGCCAUAAGUAUUGUGACAUAAUGUGAAAUAACAGCCCAUAAUGCAAUAAAUAUCGAUAUAAAAGCAUGAUACAAAAUGGAUGUAUCAAUCCACAAGGUCCACUGAGCACACACAGAAGUCUGGUGAAACAGAAAGCAACCCCAAAAGGAAACAAAUGGUAGGACAAAGGGCCUGCCUCCAUGGAUUAUAAUAACAAAGUUUACUCAUCAUUAGACACAUCAUUGUUUGGAGUCUCCUUCGGGUCAGCCAUAAGCUGCUCCGGUGAAAGCUUCUUAGGUGGGAUGCCCAGGGAUGCACCGAGGUUCUGCAUAACAUGAAUAGGAGUUGGAGCAGGGCCAUCAUCAGCCGACAUGGGGUCAGGUUGAUUAUCCUUGUCAGCCUGGAGUCUGGGCUUCUUUGCACGUAGCUGCCUAGGUGGCCUUGGCUUGAUUGGAACCACAGAUGCAAGCUUGAAACCCUGCAGUUUUGCAGCACUCAUGGUCAUUCUUCUGACAGAGAAAUCAACCAUUGGAGCUACAAUGGACUUAGGUUUUCUGCCUCUCUUCUUUGCAACAGCAGACACACUAGCAAAAGGAAGUGCAGUCUAAGCUUUAUCAGUAUAGACAGAUGGCAGAAAGAGAGUAUUGGGAUCCUCUCCAAAAGUCAGCUUUUGGGCCACUGGCCUAGUGGGAGAGGGCAAUCUUGGCAAGGACUGCUCCUCACUUUGCACCAGAGUGGAUGGCCAAGAAAAGGCCAGAUCUUCAGAGAAAUCUUGCAGCCACGAUCUCUUCAGGGUAGAACAAUCCAGCAUGAUUGGCAUUUCUUUGGGCAGGGUUGAGGUCAAAAAAGAUGGCAUCAAUGACUCAAAGGUCCUCUACCAGAUCAUUGCGGGUGGCAGAACAUGGCCAUAGAUAAUCCUAGCAGCACCAACAAAGAGAGGUGGCUGUAGAGGUGGCUGGUAAGGAACAAGGGCAAGAUUGUCAUUCUGUGCAGGCAAAACAGGGUUAUCCAUAACCCGGUUAUCACCUAUAUGAUCAGCAAUAGCAUUCAGAACAAGAAAAUCUUCAACCAAGUGUUCAACACCAAUAGCAGCACUGGCAAUCAACACAUUCUCAACAACAUUUUCAGCAAUAGGCUCAUUGUGAAGAUGUAAUGGGCCAACUGGAUCCUGAGCUACAACAAGCUCAUCCUCCUGAAUCUGAGCAACUGGGCCAACAGGCCCAACUCCUUCCUGCCCCGGCUCAAGCAAUUGAACAUGGUCCAUUAGGGGGCCCUUCAACUACAAACUGAUUAUUGUGCUGAGGGGAGUCAUUGGAGCCCAAUGAAGGAUUCAAAACCAUCGAUGCUUGAUCUUGCUGCACUUCCUGCUACUCAACACCUAGUUCCUCCACUGGUGCCUCCCAUGGCCCCCAUCCAUCAUCUUGCUCAGGCUGCGGGUGCUGUGGUUGAUCACGAUGCAUGUUAGGACCCCGAUCCUAAGUCACACCGAUCUAGCAUGUAACACUUCAUAUCACUUUGCGGCCUCACACACAGUAUUCCCACGGGUGCCACCUUACCUGGCCCGGGACCGUUUGCGCCUUUUGGCUCACGUAUAUGAUAGUGUUGCUAGCAUCCAUAUGGCAGAGAACCCGGGCCGACUUGACUAGUCGUGAACCCAAAGUGGCACUAACUUACGGGGACAGGCAUACAUGAAACAACAUUGAACAUGUCGGUCAUCAGCGUGUAAAUCUGGGCUGUAGUAACUGGGCUAACAGGACUCCGGGAACCCGGGCUGUAGCAGGCUAGCAGGACUCCGGAAGUCACCGCGUGACAUUUCCCCGAAGGGACAGACACAGGAACAAAGUGAAUCACAUGCCGGCCAGUCUAAGUGUUCCAGAGCAGUAGUACUGGGCUAGCAGGACUCCGGUAAACCGGGCUGUAGCAGACUACCAAGGCUCAGUGGAAACACCAGACUACAUUUCCCCAUAAGAGAGGCUACCAAGGAUAAACAACUAGAUUGUCGGAUCCCACACAUACCAAGCAUUUCAAUAACAUACACACAAUAUGCUCGAUAUGUGCAAAUACAACAUGGCAUCACAACAAAACUCUACGACUCAAAGUAUUUAUUCAUUAGGCUCCGAGGAGCGAGGUAUUACAAACAUGGGUCUCAUGACCCAACUAUCAUAGCAUACAAAUCAAAGCACAUGCGGAAGCUUAACCUGUCUGAGUAUAGACAUCUACAAAUGAAAAAGGCCGAGAAGCCUGACUAUCUACCAGAUCCUGCCGAGGACACAAGAUCGUAGUUGGGGUAUUAAGCUAAACGUCGAAGUCCACGUGGAACUACUAGCGAGACUGAAGUCUCUCUGCAAAACAUAAAUUAAGCAAACGUGAGUACAAAAGUACUCAGCAAGACUUACAUCAGAACUAGCUACAUAUGCAUCGGCAUCAACAAUGGGAUGGUGGGGUUUAACUGCAGGAAGCCAGCUUUGACUCAGUGGCUAACCUGAACUACGACUACAAGCAACUCUUUUGAGGUGGCGCACACGAGUCCACAUAUUCACCAAUCAAUACACCACUAUGGAUCUGCUCCCGUCUACCUACGAGAACGCCAUCCAUAGCACUCACGCUUAUCUUGCGAGUUUUAGAGUAUCCACUUCAAGUUAUCUAUGAACUGUUAUAGGUAACCUAGAAGUCCUUUACGUGGACGCGGCUAUUCGAAUAGAUCAUUUAUAACCCUACAGGGGUGUACUUCGUCACACAUGUUUUCACUAUUUAGCGUCUGCACACGACAUGUGCUCGGCAGACUUCAAGCGAAAGCCGACGUGGGUGUAGACCACGACCUUACUAACCACACAAGUCUCUAGUCUAGGUUUAUCACCUAUUCGGGUUCCAUCCGCAAGGAAAUCCGUCCGGGGUGUCCUCAACGGCUCCAAACGAUGUGUACAGGGUCCCGAGACGCCAAACGGGCGGCCGACAUAUCCGGCCACGGUGUAUCUACCGCAUCAUGGCCCACCCCUAGGGUCAGGGCUACGCACGGCCGCCAACCCAUAUCCUACAAACACUAGAAACUAGUUGCAACUCCUCGACAGAGGACAAGGGCGGUUAAUAAGUCGAGCGGGGUCAUAUUUCAGGGCCCAACGUGUGGUAGUAGCUGUUUCAUGGAUCAUAAACACAGAACUCAGUUCCUGAGGACGGUUUCAGUGAGACAACCCACCAUGUACUCCUACAUGGCCUCUCACCCCUACCUUUACCAAAUCGUGUUCACACACUUAGCUCACACACAGUAGGACAUGUUCAUCACCAUUCCAAUUCAUUCCCGAUGAAUCAGACCCAACUCAACUCUAAGCAGUAGAAGGCAUGUUAACAAGCAUGAAUGAGUAGGCACAUCAGGGCUCAAACAACUCCUACUCAUGCUAGUGCGUUUCAUCUAUUUACUAUGGCAAUGACAGGUCAUGCAGAGGAAAAGGGGUUAAGCUACCGCAUCAUUUAACAGUUGAAUCGUUGUUUUCCUAAUGCAGUAAAAUAGAGCAGGAGCGAGAGAGUGGGAUUGUAUCAGAAUGAACAAGGGGGUUUUGCUUGCCUGGUACUUCUGAAGAUGAUAUAGCUCUUCAUCAGAGUCAUAGAUCACAUCGUCGAAACAUACGUCUACCGAGGGGGAACAAUCACCGGCAACACAGAAAGAAUACAAUCAAUGCAAUGCACAAUAUGAUGCAUGAUCAUGACAUGUCAAUAUGCUGUGAUUUGAGCUAAUGCAGCUAAGAACAGAAGGGUUUGAGUUGAGUUGAACUCAAGGUUCAAAUUCAGAUUCAAACUAUGAAUUCAAAUAGUGCAUGAUCACGUUUUGAACUAAACAGCAAGGUUAAUUUGUUUAAACAUGCAUGGAAAUGCCAUAAACAGAUUAUUUGGAUUUUUCUCAUAAUUUUUCAUAUAUAAUUUGUUUCAUUUGGAGUUAUGGUUGAAUUUGUAUGAUUUUUAGACGUUUAUACUAUUUUCUGGAAUUUCCUGGUUAUUAAUAAAUCCAAAAAAUGUAAUACUGCAUCAACAUUAGGUCAUGCUGACGUUAGCAGGUCAACAGGCGCUGUCCAUGUCAAACCUGACCAGUGGGGCCCACUGGUCAGUGACUCAGUUAGUUAACUGGGUUAAUUAGGGUUACACUAAUUCUAACAAGAUUGUCAGCAGGGCUGGGCUCACAUGUUAGUGGCUCAGGGUUAGUUUAGUGAGGUGAUUAACACCUGACAGCAGUGAUUAGCACUAACUAACACCUAACUAAACCAGUUAGGGCCGGCCCCACGUGUUAGUGGCUAACUAAACUAACCUAGUUUAAUUAGCACUAACCUAGGUUAAACUAAUUAAGUUUACACCUAAACUAGAUUAAUUAGCCGGGCGGGGCCCGCAUGUCAUAGACCCAAGGGAGGUCAAAUCCCCUGGUCAACUGGGGCUGAACCACCGGCGGUCAUAGCGGUCAACCCGCCGGCGAAUCAACGCCGGCGAGGCCAGACGCGACGGAGGGCCGCGGAUUUGGUCCUCCGGUGACCAAAUCAACGGCGGAGACGUGCUACGUGGAGCUGGGGGGCUGCCGCAUCCAAAGGUGCAAGUGGUUGGACACGGGGACGCCGUAAACAACACCGUCGAGCUCAACAGCAGCGGCCAGAGUUUGGUGGGCUCGGGGUCAUCGUUGCAACGGCCGUGGUGGCUCGUGCGGGGCACCUACGUGCUCUACGCGGCGCGGGGAGGGAGCUGGGAAGGACGGCCGACUAGUAGAUGGCCAGAGACACGUCGGCAGCGAGCAUAAGCGUGAUGCGUGCGGGCGAGCUCAAGGCGGCGCGUACGGUGCACGCAAGAGAAAAGGGAAAGGGGGGAAGGAUCAAUGGCUCACUGCGGGUGCACGGGAGCGAACGGCGAGCUCGGGGAGGCAGAGAUGGCGAUGAAAUGGUGAUGGGGAUCUUGGCGUCGGGAGGUUGAAGACGAGCUCGGUGAGGUCAUCCGGGGGCUUCAGGCGUCACGCGGCUCGGUGGGAAGGUCGAGGAAGAAGUGGCAGGGCUUCUAGGCGCGUCGGCGGGGCGUGGGGUGGCCGGUGGCCGCGGCAGAGCACGGCGGUGCCCUCUGGUGCGCUCGGGAAGAGAGGGGGAGGGAGCCAGAGGAGGGGAGGAGCUGCGGGUGUGACAGAGAGGUCAGGUGGGCGUGUGGCGACGUCUGGAGCCGUCCGGGGUGUCGGCAGAAGCAGGAGGUAGCUCGGGCGCGUGGACGCGCGCGUCGAGCACGCAACUCUCGUCCUUCUGGCGAGAGGAGGGAGAUGACUCACAUCGGCCAGGUGGACUGGGCCGUGCUGGGCCAGGCCAGGUGGGCGCCAGGUUAGUUUCCUUUCUCUCUCUCUUUCUGUUUUCUAUUUAUUCUGUUUUGUUUUGAUUUAGUAAAAUACUAAACCAUUUUAUAAAAUCCUAGAAAUAAUUAGGGGUGUUGUCUGAAUUAUUCCAGUGACCCAUAACAACUUCCAACAUUUUUGGAGCACCUAAAAUAUAUAUAGCAUUUAAAUAGCUCCAAAUCAAAUAUGUUUGGAUUAAUUCAAAGCCCAAAUAUGUCCUGCAAAAAUGUAAACCAUUUUUGGUAGAUGCUUCCACCUCAAUCCAGAAAUGUUGAACAUUUUUAGAGGGCAUUUUGAGUUCAAUGAAAAAGAUUUUAUUUUGACCCUAGUUGAAUUCAUUUGGUGCUAGGGUUUAAGCAUCCCCAUUUCAAGAUUAAUUGAAAUUGAAAAUGAUGCAUGGAUGCAAUGCCACUAAUUACAAGAAGAUUUCUAGGGCUGUGACAACUCACCCCCACUAAACAAGAAUCUCCUCCCGAGAUUCAAGAAGUGAAGUAAGAAGACAGAGGGGACACAAGGCUGGCAUGAUUCAAGAUCCAACUGUCCUUCUCGAAGAUGUCGAUUCAUUUCAUCAUCUUGAUCUCGACGUCUUGCCUUGAGAACUUCAUCCAAACAUGACAACAAGAAGAAAAAGAAAAGGAGAAUCCUAAAAGGAUCGAUAUUCUCGAAGAUCGAACUACUCAGGAUCAAAUCACAGAGUGAGACAUAGCAACAUCUCUUGAGCUGAGAGGCAAACAUACAUCGGGAAGGACGGAGGAAACAAUUUGACGACGGUUUCAAAGUAGCGAGGAGAAACUGUCAUGAUCCCAUAACGGGGCACCUUGGGGGAGGUGACUCGUGGAAUUAAUACCUUAAGUGGCAAAAAGAAUUACUUUUGAUGAAUAGAUCAUUGAAACUCUCUAUAGCAGCCUAAGACAAUCAUAAAUGAUCGUUCAAAGAGGUUCGAAAGAAUGGCAUAUAUCAACUAGAAUGGAUGAUGUGGACUACCUUGUUGAAGACAACGCAAAGGAUGUUUUUUGCUUAUGACCGCAAAUGGAUGUGACUCAUGGGAAGUCCACUUUUGAAGAUGAUCCUAGACAUUAAUUACUGAGAAGGCAGACCAUAGAAAAUGGCACAAUGGCGGUGCAAGCUAGGAACAAAAUGCAAAUGCUGGGAAUGUUCCAACCAUCGUAUCUGCCUGAGAUUCAGAUCUGGUUGGUAUCGGGAUAUUUCAGACAAUAUGUCUGGAAAAAGAAAGGUAGCAACACAAAUCGACGAGAUGAUGUUGCAAAACUCUCGGGGAAUGAAAUACGGUAGUAAGCUCCAAAACAUGAGCCGGUUCUGCUACAAGCAUGUGAACACGCUGUCCUAGACAAGCAUGGUCACCUGGUAGUCUUACAACGAAACACUACCGAGUUCAGGGGGGAGAACCAUCAACGAGGAUAUCGAGGUCCUUGUGUAAGCCUAGCUCUCAAGAAGAAACUUCUUCUCCUUGAACAAACCAAUCAGUGGCUUGGUGUGCUAGGAACACAUAUGGAUUGGAGGUAAUUAAUCUACCAAACCAUAGAAUACUUCGCACGUAUGCAUGACUGAUUUGGGAUGAUUCCAAGGGAAACAAGACAAACCUAUCUCAAAUUCAUGGCGGCAACUUACACCUAAUGCACGUGAACUUGGAAAAAGUCACUUCUUUCAUCCAAGCAUAAGCUUCAUGAACGGAACACGAAGGCAUUGCUUACAAAGUUUCCAACACUAGCUGGAUGUUCAACAUGAAUCAUGGGGGAGACAAACUGCUGCUGAUGGGCUCAAUAGCAACUCAUCGGAAUUUCCAUAUCACUGGACUUCCACCAUCAUGUGAACACGGUGAUAGCAUUGGUCAGACCAAAAGAUGUAAUGGUGUAUGCUCGAGGGAUCAACCACGAGUAAAACACCAUUAUGAACAUCGUUGGUUCUGAUUUGACUUGACAAUAGCCCAUACUCAAGUCAAAGUUUUGACAAGGCAAUAGAUCCGACAACUGAUCAUGGGGAUCAGUCGAUGAAAAUAUCAUCUUUCUUCAACACACACACACACACACUCAAGGAUAUCCCUUAGCGAUGAACUAAGUCAGACAAGCUUUCAUCUUCCAACUCUCCAAGUUGUUGUUUGUCUUAACCAACUAGCUCAGGGGUAUCCAACACAGAUUCUUGGAGAAUGGGUGGUUUGGAGGGAAACUAACAUGAUCACGAACUCAACAUAGCGGUCAGGUGACAACCUGGUAAUACUUCCGAGAAGAUAACCGGAACGUCAUGAACCAUCGAUAUGUUACUAAGCUCGAGAACAAUCUUGCUUUCAAGGCAAGACGAUGGGAUCAAAAGAGCAAAGGUUUGACAAAAUCCUAACUCAUCGAUCGAAGAGUGCACCAACAAAAGUAGACAAGGUAGCACAAUCUAUCUUAGAAUGAUGAUUCAAUAACCAACACGUUAAGAAUGAGAACAUUGCCCAUUUACCUACCAAGCAACGGGGUCGCUAGGAGUAUUGAUUUCACACAACAUAGUUCACUUGUCGGCAUUCCGGUUGCAACAACACGGGACCAAAAAAUGAAUGAUGAUGGCAAGAAGUAUCACUGUAUCAAGAGUUCAUAGGAGCUGGUGCAAUUCCCAUGACAAUCCUGACAUAAAGGGGGUAAUACUCCAGGGUAGAACAGAGCAAAAGCUAGAUUGGCAUUUGAUCUGCAGAACACAACUACUUUGACCCAAUCCUGGAUAUGGAUGAGGUACUGCAGUUUGUUUCUCCUAGUCAUUCUGAAAUAGAAUGGCUUAACGGACCACAAGAAUAAUAAGAGUCGAUAACACGGAUGCACAAUUACUCCUGACUAUCAAUUGAUAGGUGAUGGUCGGAAUACAAAUGAAGAGGGACAACUCAAGAGGACAUAUAUCUUUCUGAGUUGUGGAUGCAUAGAUUAAUAUGUUGAACCAAGUUCAACAUGUUUCUUCUAGAUAACCCAUGUAGAAAGGUAGAGCUGGCAGAAUCACAAUUAGGAAUGGAGGACGCCUCAAGAGUACUCUGAUUGUGAUAUUUUGGUUCAAAGAACUUCUGCCUUAAUGGUUCAUGGUAUUUGGAAGAAAGAAAUACCACGGACCUCGAGGACUGUCACAAGGUUACUAAUAUCCUAAAGGAACGAGCAAACACUAUCAACAGGAGGUAAGUAGGGUGAAUCUCGGGUUCAAGAACCCAGGAAUAGAAUACCUACCAGUAAAUGGCAUCACGGGAUGCUUUCGAGAAUGGUGGCCAGAAUCAUCACACCGGAACACAAAACAUGGCUAGAUUACUAGGUGACUCCCUAAAACACCUAGGGUCAUAAUAAUAGCUCCAACAUAUAUGUCGAGGCAAUAGAGUACCUCAACUCACGGAUUAGUGUGUUUGAACAGGCCCAAAAGAACAUCGGGAACGGAAAGAAGGGAUUUGCAAAUGCAUCAGACUAUUCAGAAACCUGGGAUGACUCGGACAGGAUAACGGCUGUAAAUGCUCAAAAGAUUUGAGACAUCCUGCAAAAUGGUGGCAUAACCACUCAACAACACAAUAUCAAGGUUUUGAGAUCAACUAUCAACAUACGAAAGUAGUAGGAAUGGAACUGAGGCUUGAAACUAUCAAUUCUAUAAGUCUAAGGAUUAGUAACACGUCAUCCUGAUAGAUAGAUGAGAAGGCCUAGUUCUUAAUCCCCGUAAAAAAGAAGAGGUUGACUCAGAUCAGAAGGACAUAAGGUAUAAGGAGUAAAAAGAGCCUUACGUUCCCUUCCACAAUCAAUUCACUUACAUAAAUAAAGCAUUUCUAGACUCAACUUCGACCAGUUUGGCUUCGUAAUCCUAUAGGCAGUCAGGCUCUGAUACCAAAGCUGUCAGGACCCCGAUCCUAAGUCACAUCGAUCUAGCAUGUAACACUUCAUAUCACUUUGCGGCCUCAUGCACGGUAUUCCCACGGGUGCCACCUUACCUGGCCCAGGACCGUUUGCACCUUUUGGCUCACGUAUAUGAUAGUGUCACUAGCAUCCAUAUGACAAAGAACCCGGGCCGACUUGACUAGUCGUGAACCCAAAGUGGCACUAACUUACGGGGACAGGAAUACAUGAAACAACAUCGAACAUGUCGGUCAUCAGCGUGUAAAUCCAGGCUGUAGCAACUGGGCUAGCAGGACUCCGGGAACCCGGGCUGUAGCAGGCUAGCAGGACUCCGGAAGUCACCGCGUGACAUUUCCCCAGAGGGACAGACACAGGAACAAAGUGAAUCACAUGCCGGCCAGUCUAAGUGUUCCGAAGCAGUAGUACUGGGCUAGCAGGACUCCGGUAAACCAUGCUAUAGCAGACUACCAAGGCUCAGUGGAAACACUAGACUACAUUUCCCCAUAAGAGAGGCUACCAAGGAUAAACAACUAGAUUGUCGGAUCCCACACAUACCAAGCAUUUCAAUAACAUACACACAAUAUGCUCGAUAUGUGCAAAUACAACAUGGCAUCACAACAAAACUCUACGACUCAAAGUAUUUAUUCAUUAGGCUCCGAGGAGCGAGAUAUUACAAACAUGGGUCUCAUGACCCAAUAAUCAUAGCAUACAAAUCAAAGCACAUGCGGAAGCUUAACCUGUCUGAGUAUAGACAUCUAUAAAUGAAAAAGGCUGAGAAGCUUGACUAUCUACCAGAUCCUGCCGAGGACACAAGAUCGUAGCUGAGGUAUCAAGCUAAACGUCGAAGUCCACGUGGAACUACUAGCGAGACUGAAGUCUCUCUGCAAAACAUAAAUUAAGCAAACGUGAGUACAAAAGUACUCAGCAAGACUUACAUCAGAACUAGCUACAUAUGCAUCAACAUCAACAAUGGGAUGGUGGGGUUUAACUGCUUUGACUCAGUGGCUAACCUAAACUACGACUGCAAGCAACUCUUUUGAGGUGGCGCACACGAGUCCACAUAUUCACCAAUCAAUACACCACUAUGGAUCCGCUCCCGUCUACCUACGAGAACGCCAUCCAUAGCACUCACGCUUAUCUUGCAAGUUUUAGAGUAUCCACUUCAAGUUAUCUAUGAACUGUUAUAGGUAACCCAGAAGUCCUUUACCGCGGACACGGCUAUUCGAAUAGAUCAUUUAUAACCCUGCAAGGGUGUACUUCGUCACACAUGUUUCCACCACUUAGCGUCUACACACGACAUGUGCUCGGCAGACUUCAAGCAAAAGCUGACGUGGGUGUAGACCACGACCUGACUAACCGCACAAGUCUCUAGUCUAGGUUUAUCGCCUAUUCGGGUUCCAUCCGCAAGGAAAUCCGGCCGGGGUGUCCUCAACGGCUCCAAACAAUGUGUACAGGGUCCCGAGACACCAAACGGGCACCCGGCAUACCCGGCCACGGUGUAUCUACCGCAUCAUAGCCCACCCCUAGGGUCAGCGCUACACACGGCCGCCAACACAUAUCCUACAAACACCAGAAACCAGUUGCAACUCCUGGACAAAGGACAAGGGCGGUUAAUAAGUCGAGCGGGGUCAUAUUUCAGGGCCAAACGUGUGGUAGUAGCUGUUUCAUGGAUCACAAACACAGAACUCGGUUCCUGAGGACGGUUUCAGUGAGACAACCCACCAUGUACUCCUACAUGGCCUCUCACCACUACCUUUGCCAAAUCGUGUUCACACACUUAGCUCACACACAGUAGGACAUGUUCAUCACCAUUCCAAUUCAUUCCCGAUGAAUCAGACCCGACUCAACUCUAAGCAGUAGCAGGCAUGACAAACAAGCAUGAAUGAGUAGGCACCUCAGGGUUCAAACAACUCCUACUCAUGCUAGUGGGUUUCAUCUAUUUACUGUGGCAAUGACAGGUCAUGCAGAGGAAAAGGGGUUCAGCUACCGCAUCAUGUAACAGUUGAAUCGUUGUUGUCCUAAUGCAGUAAAAUAGAGCAUGAGUGAGAGAGUGGGAUUGUAUCGGAAUGAAUAAGGGGGUUUUGCUUGCCUGGCACUUCUGAAGAUGAUAUAGCUCUUCAUCGGUGUCAUUGAUCACAUCAUCGAAACAUACGUCUACCGAGGGGGAACAAUCACCGGCAACAGAGAAAGAAUAUAAUCAAUGCAAUGCACAAUAUGAUGCAUGAUCAUGACAUGUCAAUAUGCUGUGAUUUGAGCUAAUGCAGAUAAGAACAGAAGGGUUUGAAUUGAGUUGAACUCAAGGUUCAAAUUCAGAUUCAAACUAUGAAUUCAAAUAGUGCAUGAUCAUGUUUUGAACUAAACAGCAAGGUUAAUUUGUUUAAACAUGCAUGGAAAUGCCAUAAACAGAUUCUUUGGAUUUUUCUGAUAAUUUUUCAUAUAUAAUUUGUUUCAUUUGGAGUUAUGGUUGCAUUUCUAUGAUUUUUAGAAGUUUAUACUAUUUUCUGGAAUUUCCUGGUUAUUAAUAAAUCCAGAAAAUGUAAUAAUGCGUCACCAUUAGGUCAUGCUGACGUCAGGAGGUCAACAGGUGUCGUCCAGGUCAAACCUGACCAGUGGGGCCCACUGGUCAGUGACUCAAUUAGUUAACUGGGUUAAUUAGGGUUAGACUAAUUCUAACAAGAAUGUCAGCAGGGCUGGGCCCACAUGUCAGUGGCUCAGGGUUAGUUUAGUGAGGGGAUUAACACCUGACAGCGGUGAUUAGCACUAACUAACACCUAACUAAACCAGUUAGGGCCGGCCCCACAUGUUAGUGGCUAACUAAACUAACCUAGUUUAAUUAGGACUAACCUAGGUUAAAUUAAUUAAGUUUAAACCUAAACUAGAUUAAUUAGCCGGGCGGGGCUCGCAUGUCAUAGACCCAGGGGAGGUCAAAUCCCCUGGUCAACUGGGGCUGAACCACCGGCGGUCAAAGCGCCGGCGAGGCCAGACGCGGCGGAGGGCCUCGGAUUUGGUCCUCCGGUGACCAAAUCGACGGCGGAGACAUGCUACGUAGAGCUGGGGGGGCUGCCGCAUCCACGGGUGCAAGUGGUUGGACACGGGGACGUCGUAAACAACGCCGGCGAGCUCGACAGCGGCGGCCAGAGUUCGGUGGGCUCGGGGUCGUCUUUGCGACGACCGUGGUGGCUCGUGCGGGGCACCUACGUGCUCUAUGCGGCGCGGGGAGGGAGUUGGGAAGGACGGCCGGACUAGUAGAUGGCCAGAGACACGUCGGCGGCGAGCACAGUCGGUGAUGCGUGCGGGCGAGCUCAAGGCGGCGCGUACGGUGCACGCAAGAGAAAAACAGAAAGGGGGGAAGGAUCAGUGGCUCACUGCGGGUGCAGGGGAGCAAACGGCGAGCUCGGGGAGGCAGAGACGGCGACGAAACGACGAUGGGGAUCUUGGCGUCGGGAGGUUGAAGACGAGCUCGGUGAGGUCGUCCGGGGGCUUUAGGCUUCGCGCGGCUUGGUGAGAAGGUCGAGGAAGAAGUGGCGGGGCUUCUGGGCACGUCGGUGGGGCGUGGGGUGGCCGGUGGCCGCGACAAAGCACGACGGCGCCCUCUGGUGCGCUCGGGAAGAGAGGGGGAGGGAGCCAGAGGAGGGGAGGAGCUGCCGGUGUGAGAGAGAGGUCAGGGGGGCGUGUGGCGUUGUCUGGAGCCGUCCGGGGCGUCGGCAGAAGCAGGAGGUGGCUCGGGCGCGUGGACGCGCGCGUCGAGCACGCGACUCUCGUCCUUCUGGCGAGAGGAGGGAGAUGACUGGCAUCGGCCAGCUAGACUGGGCUGUGCUGGGCCAGGCCAGGUGGGCGCCAGGUUAGUUUCCUUUCUCUCUCUCUUUUCUGUUUUCUAUUUAUUCUGUUUUGUUUUGAUUUACUAAAAUACUAAACCAUUUUAUAAAAUCCUGGAAAUAAUUAGGGGUGCUGUCUGAAUUAUUCCAAUGACCCAUAACAACUUCCAACAUUUUUGGAGCAUCUAAAAUAUAUAUAGCAUUUAAAUAGCUCCAAAUCAAAUAUGUUUGAAUUAAUUCAAAGCCCAAAUAUGUCUUGCAAAAAUGUAAACCAUUUUUGGUAGAUGCUUCCACCUCAAUCCAGAAAUGUUGAACAUUUUAGAGGGCAUUUUGAGUUCAAUGAAAAAGAUUUGAUUUUGACCCUAGUUGAAUUCAUUUGGUGCUAGGGUUUAAGCAUCCCCAUUUCAAGAUUAAUUGAAAUUGAAAAUGAUGCAUGGAUGCAAUGCCACUAAUUACAAGAAGAUUUCUAGGGAUAUGACAAUGCAAAGGCUGAGGUAUAUCAUUCCAGCCCAGGGCUGGAUAUGGUAGCACUGCCCAAAAAUUCUCCAUAGGUUGAAGCUUUCCUGGCAUGGGAUGAGGGUUGCCAUCAACUGGCAUAACAUCUUCAUCUUGUGGCAAUUGUUCCGUGAAAGCGACCGUGAGGAUGUGGCAAGAGGCAGUCCAGGAAACAAAAGCACCCCCCACAUUAGCAAACUUGCGAAAAAACACAUCCCUUGGUACCAGUAGAUUGUCAGGAAAGGAUGCAUAAACCAAGGAACGAACUAGACGAUCAUCUUCGUGGUUCCAAUAAUUGAAUUGACCGAAAGUGCCCACAACCUCGGAAAGGAUCUCCUCAUUGCGAUAAUCCAGGGGGACACCAAUAAACAUUGACCAUCUAGUUCUAUGUCCCUAUAGUGCCCGAUAACCCUCUCCAUCAUCAUGGUUAAUGAAUCUAACAAAAAUCUCUUCCCCAUGUUGAUCUAAACCAAGCGGCCAGGGCGCGUGGUUAACAAGAGCACUACGAAUAACUGGGUCUUGCAUCUGAUACAACCCGACACCUUGAAACAAAGUCUAGGGGGAUAAAACUGGCAGCUGCAACUCAUCGGUGAUGAAAUCUCUGACCUGUUGAUGAAGGAAGGGCACAUCCUUCGGCGGCGGUAUGGGCUCAACAAUCCCCACCAUGUAAGAUUCAUGGCCCGCCGGCAAGAAGCGACGCGGAUCAAGCUCAUAGUUCACCAUGGGCAGUGACGGAGGUGGCGGAACAGAGGUAUCAGGUGGCGAGCGACUUGACGAUGAAGAUGUGGAAUAACCAAGCAGCAGAGCAAAGGGGGCAGGGUUUUUUGCAGGGGAUCUUUGCACUGUUUGGGAGCAUGAAGAGUUCGGGCUAUGCUUGAAGGCGCGAGACUCGAGGUUGGUAGUUAGGCUGCUCCGUUUGGGAACACAAAUCUUUAAAUUGGGAGGUGACCUGGUGCAACCCUUUUUAACAUGACCGAGCCUGAAACACCGACGACACCGGACCUCAUUCAUGCAUCGCUCUAGGGUAUGUCCCAUACCCAAACAACGUGGGCAAUCCCAAACUUGUGCCGCCAUCUCUUCAACCAAUUCAUCCAAACCUUGUAAAUCACGGACAAUUUCCACAGGAGACUUGCAUGGUGAUGGAACCGGGAUGCAUGCGGCCUCAGGGCCCAAUAAGGUACUAGGAGGGGUAGAGCAAAGCCCAUCAUCAUCAGAAUCAUCAUCCGAGAGGACUAAAGGGUUUUGCAUAGAACCCAUAGAAGGCAACGUGGCAGCAACAAUAUCAGGCGAGAUGAUUAUCCCACGGUUAUUAUCAGGAACCGAAUCCCGAGAAAGGCGGGCAGCUGGUGAAACAGAUCCAAACUGUAGGCCUAACUCCAUCGCCGGCAAAGAGGCUACCGGCGGUGAGCAAGCAACACGUGAAACAUGUUCAUGAUCUAAUGGACAGCUAGUUGGAACUAUUAAUUCUUGGGGAUCAAGAUCAUAACCCGCAUCUUGUUGCACUGCGAGAAUGUCUUCAGCAGUAGCCUUAAAGCGAUAACCUUUGCAUGCAUCAUAAUUAAGAAAAGUAGCAAAGCGCAGACUCUUGCGAGGAUGAUUAGCAUCCUUAGAAUGCAAACAGGAUCUAGAGGAGGCAUGCAACAUGGCAGCAAGGCCUAGGCGUGCCCUACGCUUCGAAGGACUAACUAGAAUCCAUUCAUCAUUGCAUUCAAUUUGCUAAGAUUUAAACUCCUUAAUCCAAUCUGGUCCUCCAUGACCCCAAAGAUGACACUUGAAUUGAGGGCAGGCAUGAUUGCGUUGACGCAAGAUGAAAAACCCCACCUCUUUGCAUGAGACAUGAAAGGAGAAAACAUGAUCACGUAAACAUGAUACCUUCAACGAAGAACAGUAUCCACCGAUCGCCGCCUCAAGAGCUAGGGCAACAUUCUCCUUAGUUAGCCGAAAAUUAUGCCUUGCAAAAGAAACCACCAUGAUGAAAUGACCAGAGCCAUCAUUGGGGUGCACCAUGCGCCUCAUGGAUCGCCAGAUCUCUUGCGAGAGACCCAUCCCAUGAGAAAAGUCAAAACCAAGAGCAAUGGAGGCAUGAACCGCCAUGGAGAUGAGUCCCCAAGGGGGUAAACCAGUACGCCGAAGAGAAUGGUGGAUUGGAUGGUGAUUUCCACGGUUGGAGGUGGAGAUCAACGGAGGGUGCCUGCUAGGGUUAUGGUGGGGUGGGGGUGGAGCUCUCCAACAUCAGGGUUUUUCCAUGUGUUUUUGGCGAUCCUUCAGACUUGUGUUUCAUUAAGUAGAUAUACCCACAGCGCCGUGAGAGGCCGUGGCCGCGGCCGCCCCUGGAACUGCGGGCGCACGAGCACCGCUCGUGGGAGAGGCCUCGCCGGCGAUAGGGAUGGGCCGACAGCAUCGCUACAGAGGGCUGGCCUUGGGUGUGGCCUCGAGCCCUGCUGAUAUGCGUGGAUGCAAGACGAGAGGACCGCGUCGACCACCGUGGAGCGUCGCUACGUGAGUGGUCGAGGUGCUGCAGCCAUGAGUCACCGUUGAUGCUCUUCGGGACGUCGCCGGCCUUGGUCUUCCGGAUCACACGAUGAGGCCGAUGGGAUCGCUUCGCUAGGAGCAUGCUGAUAAUAAUGUGUAAAGAGGGAAACUGAGAGAGAAAAGAGCGAACGAUUGGAAUAAACAACAAAAACUCUAGACCUACGUAAACUUACGUUCUUUUUUUCCUUCCUACUAGUAAAUGCGCAUGUGCAAUGCACAUUAAUAUUUAGACAAUAUAUUAAUGGCAUGUGGAUAUUAGGUAUGCUAUUAUUUGUGUGUUAAUUCUUGAUUUGUGCAAUAUUUGGUAUGGUGUUAACUGCACGUUAAAUGCUCGCCAUUGGAGCAGUCUAUAUCGUUGGAUUGACUUAGUUUGAUGACCGGGCUUAAUUGAAUCUGCCUCUUUGGGUCUUUUUAUAUUGAUUAUUAAUAGAUAUAUAAAACUAAUCAUCCCCUGAUUUUCGAGAGUGGGCCAGGGCCUCUUUCUAAUCCAAUCCAAUUAAUCCAGAUCACCUAGUACGUAACUUUACAUAAAGAAUUUACGUAGGUGUAGCAAAGCUCAAUAAAAAUCAUCAUCUCAUUGAUGAAAAUUAGGGGUAUAUAUCCAGUACAUGGCCGUUUAUUAGGGAUGGUUGCCAAAAAGGACAACCGACAUAGCAUUGAUUAAUUACAUAAUUACUACUCCCUCUGUUCCUAAAUAUAAGUUUUUUUAGACAUUUCAAAUGGACUAUAAUACGGAUGUAUGUAGACAUAUUUUAGAGUGUAGAUUCAAUCAUUUUGCUCCGUAUGUAGUCACCUAUUGGAAUAUGAAAAAGACUUAUAUUUGGGAACGGAGGGAGUACAUAUCGCGUAAGAUACAUAGUGGGAGUAAGCCAGCCUCCUUGGAGUUUAGCGAUUUCGGGCCGUCGGAUCCCGUCCUUGAUGCGUUUUCGUCCGUUCGAUCGCAAGAUGGAGAGGUACGGGCCGUCGGAUCGAGUCGAGCUACUGUGGAUCGAAACAGUGUCCCUCGAGCGGUAAAUAUCUUCUGCCACCGCAUUUUAUUCUGUGCCCCGCGGAGGGCAUUUUUGGUAUUUCGCCUUGUUGGAAAAGGGUCCACUAGCGCUAGCGCUAGGGCGUGAGAUGUGAGAGCGAGGAAGCGAGCACUGGAACUCUCGCCCCCCUCCUGCCCGCUCCUCUCUUCCCACGAAAUCCUAGCCGCCCCGCUCGCGCCGCGGUCCCAUCCGCUUCUUCUACUCGCGCCGGGGUCGCCAUCGAGGGCCUACCGCUCGCACCGCACAUCCUUAGUAUAUUCCUUGCACAAGACUUAACAAUGCAUUGACGUCCAGUUUCUUUCCCAGUUCUAUCCAUUCGUCGCUGAUACGUGGAUUAUUUUGUGCGUUGUAUACUCUGUAAAAGUUUGGUAUUUGCAGCACCAUAUGGUGGAUCAUAGCAGGUAAAGGCUGUGUAGUUUUACACUCUACAUUAGUCUAUCUAGCUAUUUACAGCUCACUCUAAUCUAAGUAGGUAAAUCUUGAACAUGAGCCAUCCACUGUUGAUGUCCUGUUGGACAAGGCAUGAUCUAAUCAGAUAAAUCUUGAACAUAAGCCUCCUACUGUUGAUGUCCUAUUGGACAAGGCAGAUAUCUCCUNNNNNNNNNNNNNNNNNNNNNNNNNNNNNNNNNNNNNNNNNNNNNNNNNNNNNNNNNNNNNNNNNNNNNNNNNNNNNNNNNNNNNNNNNNNNNNNNNNNNNNNNNNNNNNNNNNNNNNNNNNNNNNNNNNNNNNNNNNNNNNNNNNNNNNNNNNNNNNNNNNNNNNNNNNNNNNNNNNNNNNNNNNNNNNNNNNNNNNNNNNNNNNNNNNNNNNNNNNNNNNNNNNNNNNNNNNNNNNNNNNNNNNNNNNNNNNNNNNNNNNNNNNNNNNNNNNNNNNNNNNNNNNNNNNNNNNNNNNNNNNNNNNNNNNNNNNNNNNNNNNNNNNNNNNNNNNNNNNNNNNNNNNNNNNNNNNNNNNNNNNNNNNNNNNNNNNNNNNNNNNNNNNNNNNNNNNNNNNNNNNNNNNNNNNNNNNNNNNNNNNNNNNNNNNNNNNNNNNNNNNNNNNNNNNNNNNNNNNNNNNNNNNNNNNNNNNNNNNNNNNNNNNNNNNNNNNNNNNNNNNNNNNNNNNNNNNNNNNNNNNNNNNNNNNNNNNGUUCGCUCAACCGCUGAACCUUUAACCUGACAUCAAAGUCAAACGUCUUCGCUUCGCCCUCUAGCUGAAGGCAGAUGGGUCUUUUUCUUUCUUUUGCGUGCGGGAAACUACACACCUUAGUAUAUUCCUUGCACAAGACCUACUCAUAAAUUCACAGAUCCAGAUCAAUGGAUGAUUCAAAGAAAAUAGUCCAUAUACUUCUAAUAGGUCGUGCAAUUUUUUAGAUGAGCAAUCAGCGCCGCGCCGCAAUGCAAUGCAAAAGUCGGUUUUGAAAUUUCAUUGCAAAAUCCACCACAAAUAAUCUUUCUCUGUAAAUUAUCUAUCCAGGUCAGGCACAUCUUAUAACUAGGUCACUUCCACUGGAUCUUUCUGUUAACAAGCAGCUAGACCCAAGGUACUAAUGUCCAAUCGCUCGAUCAUUUUGAUAUUUAGUCUCUCAAGAGUUCUUUUCAUAGUUUAUUAUUCUUCAAGUUCCACUUUCGUUUUACUCAGUCAUGUCCAAAUGCUUUUUCUAUAAAUCAUUCUAAAACAAGGUGUGUUGCUGCUAUGCUCUAAUGUAUACUUACGUGGUUCUUGCUUCUUAUUUGUCCAGCGUGUGUGUAUGAUGUUGUUGGGUUGCUGACAUGGCGCGUUGUCUGGUUGCGGCUCAUGCUCAAGCCACGGUUGAGCCUGGUGGUCGUGGCUGUGGCCGUGGGCGGUCUGCUGGUUGUCGUGGACGAGCCACUGGCCGUGGAGGUUCUAAUAUAGGGUGUGCCCCUGUUUCUGAUCAUGUCGCUGCUUGCCGGGUUCCUGCCGGUGGAGGUGAGCCUCUUGACAGGCGUAGGGGUGUGAGUCGGCGGGUGCCUGCUGCUGGAGCUGAGCCCAUACCCAGGCAUGGGCGUGGCGCUCGGCAGAUGCCUGCUGUUGGGCGUGGCGCCAUACCUCGGUCAAGUGGUAGGGGUGUUCGUGGCCGUGUCCCUGGUCGUGGUGCUAAUUCUGGGCGUGCAGCCGCUGCUAUACAUGUGUCUGCCCCUGGUCAUUCUGUUGGUCCUGGGUACGCCGCCGCUCCUAGGCGUGUGUUGGUCCCUGGGAUUACUAGACGUUACGUGCCAUGCCAGCCUGUUGGGGGUCCUCCUCGAAGCCGUACAAGUACUAUGUAUCCAUUAUUCUUUUGUAUUUUGUCUCCUAGGGUAUUUUGUUGGGGUUGAUGAUAAUUAUUUCUUAUUGUGUUGUUUGCGACGUGGUUAGGUGAUGGCUGGUUUCCUUUUCUGAGCUCGACCGUGGCUGCGGUAAAUCGCAGAAAACGGAAAAUGUGUGUUGAGUUUCGGCGCGCUAGAUACGAAGGUGGGUGAAAGUUCUUAGUUUGUUGUUGGUUGUUGUUGUUGUCUGUGUGUUGUCUUACUUUGUUCUGCAUGUCCUGUUAAGAACAUGUCGUUGAUGGGCCUUUGCCGAAGGAUUGGCAUGGUUUCUCGGUUUAUGUCAGUGCGGAGGUGAUCGGGGUAGACCGCAACAGAUGGAAAAAACGGAAAGUGUCCAUUAAAUUGCGGCGUCCUGGAUGCGAAGGUGUGAGAUUUCUUGGUUUGUUGUUAGUUGUUGCUUUUUGCUAUAUGGUCUCUUAGUUGGUUUUACGUGCAUUUUCAGAGAUUGUUGUUCAAGGAACUUUGCCAAAGGAUUGGCAAGGUUUCUCAGUCAAGUUUGCCGAGUCCCUUAAAGGUACUUAUUAACCAGGCCUUUGUUGUUUUGGCUAUGUGAUUAUUGUCUUCCUUUUAUCCUUGGUUUGUGGCUGAUAGUUUUCUAUUUUGGUGCCCGUUUAGCUUGCUAUGCAGAUAGGUCAUACUACAGCCCUCCGGAUUUCUUGUGCCAAUACUGUGGUGCCUCCUUUUGGUUUGUUGAGUGUUCAAAGUCCAGGUCAUCCUGGACACAUCGUAAGAUGGUUUAUAAUCAUUGUUGUAAAGGCGCUAAGGUAUAUAUCCCUCCCUUUAAGGAUCCCCCGGCCUAUCUCUGGGAGCUCCUUCGAUUCGAUGGUACUUCUCGUGCUAAAAAAUUCAUCCGGACUAUACGUGAGUACAACUGUAUGUUCGCUUUCACUUCGAUGGAUGCUACCAUUGAACGCUCGUUUGGUGGCAGCCGUGGACCUAGAUUUUUAAGAUCGGUGGUCAAGUGUCUCAUCGUAUUGGUUCGUUGGUGCCUAGCGGUGAUGAUACCCCUAAGUUUGCUGAGUUGUAUAUACAUGACCCAGCUAAUGAGAUUAGACAUAGGAUGAAUGCCUUAAAUCCAGAGGAUAAGCCUACUGGGGUGUGGAUGAGAGUAUUGUGGUUGGUCUUAGAGACAUGCUUAAUGAGUUUAACCCAUUGGUACAGACCUUUAGGUAGGCAAGUAAGAUGAUAGAGGAUCGUGGUGAUGAACCCAUCGAGGAUAUCUCGAUUCGUAUUAUUGGACCUUCGGAGGGCGAUAGUCCACAAUUUAGUUUGCCUACAACCACUGGGCUUGCUGCUUUAGUUGUCGGUGGUGGCUUCACGUUAGAGGCAUCUUCUCAGGAUAUUGUUGUUUGCAGUCGUUCUGACGGUUUGCAGCAGAUAUCAUCUCUGAACACUGCAUCAUGCCUCUGCAAUACCCAUUGCUUUUCCCUUAUGGAGAGAGAGGGUUCCAGGUGGAUGUUCCUCACUUGAUUAUUCCUGAAGAAGAUGAUGAUGAUGGACCUAUAUAUAGAUCCUAAUCUUGCACCUGGAAGUCCGACCGUUGAGGCGUCCUCUUCAUACCCUUCUGGGGGUGGUGAUGCUUCCACAAAUAGUUGGAAUAGGAUGACCAUGCAGGAUUACUAUCGUUUUAUGUGCCAUUACAAGGGUGAUCAACCCAAUCCAUGUAUAUGUUAUGGUCUCCUCUCCUCUCAGUCGGUUGUCGAUGCACGUGCAUGCAUCGAUGAAAGUAGACUUUGGUAUAUCAUAAGAAAUCAGGACAUGCUUAGAUCAGAGCACAUGCAGGGUAUUACCGAUGCGGUAGGUGAUGGGUGUGUUGAUGGUGAUGCUCUUGGGAAGAGGACCAUUGUACCUUCCAGUCACAUAGGCGGUCGUCGUUACUUCCAUGAAAAUUUCAAUGAUGGCCUUGCCGUUUGUCGGGUGCACGGUGCCCCUGACAUAUUUACCACUUUCACUUGCAAUCCCAAGUGGCCUGAGAUCACCAGUGCAUUGGAACCAGGUCAGACACCUUCUGAUAGGGCGGAUAUUGUUGUUAGGGUCUAUCACAUGAAGCUCACCGAGUACUUGGACGAGAUUAAGUCAGGCCUGGCUUUUGGCCCCAUUACGGCUGGUAUUGUGACUGCUGUGUUGUGUGUGUGUGGUCGUUGUUUUUAAUGAUGUUUUACUUCUUCUGUUGACUGAGCUGUCUAAUUGAGCUUUUAUGUCCUUUUUCAGUGUUGUAUACCGUUGAGUUCCAGAAGCGGGGACUGCCUCACGCGCAUAUACUUGUCUAGCGGAGAGGGGGUAACGGUGAGAUUGGUGUUGAAAAUAUUAAUUCAUUAAUAUCUGCUGAAAUACCUGAUGCAUUGCUUGAUCCUCUAGGAUAUGCUUUAGUUUCUGAGUUUAUGAUGCAUGGUCCGUGUGGUGAAAUGAACGAUAAAUGUGUCUGCAUGAAAAAGGGUGUUUGUUCUAAAUAUUUCCCAAAAGAUUUUAGAGAUACCACUGUCAUUGAUGAUAAUGGGUUUGCCUUAUAUCGACGUCGUGACGACAGUCGAAGGGUCUAUAAAAAUGGUCAUUACCUUGACAAUAGGCAUGUUGUUCCUUAUAAUAUGGCAAUGCUCAAGAAAUUUCAGGGACAUAUAAAUGUAGAGUGGUGUAAUAAGACACAGGUGAUGAAAUAUCUCUUUAAGUAUGUGACCAAAGGUGCUGACUACUCUAAGGUCAUGUUAGAAAGGCUAAAAAAUUGACUAAAUCUGGUUGUCGUACGGUAGAUGAGGUUCAGGAGUAUCUGAUAUGUCGGUAUAUUUGUGAGUAUGAUGCAUUGUGGCGCAUAUUUGGGUUUGAAAUACACUUUAAAAUGCCGUCGGUUCAAAGGCUGACCGUUCAUAUGCCUGGCAUGAAUACUGUCUACUAUCGUGCUGGUGCUGACCUCACGAAAAUUGUUGAUUCUGACUUCUUGCGAAAGACUAUGCUUACCGAAUGGUUUGUUGCAAAUGAGAUGUUCGAAGAUGCCCGAUCAUUAACUUAUUGCGAUUUUCCAUCUGCUUGGACCUGGGACGCUAAAAGUAGGUCAUGGCAUCCAAGGGGUAGGGGUGAAAAGAUUGGCCGCGUAUAUUAUGUACAUCCUUUGAGUGGUGAGUUGUAUUACUUGCGCAUGCUUUUGAUGAUUGUUAAGGGGGCUAGGUCAUUCGAAGAUCUCCGAACAUAUGUUGCUCGUCUUUAUCACACCUUUAAAGAAGCUUGUGCCGCGCAUGGUUUGUUAGGAGACGAUAACGAGUGGUACAUAGAGUUUGAUGAAGCGGUUGUCUGGGGGUUUGGGCAUUGACUUAGACAACUAUUUGUGACUAUGCUCAUGCAUUGUUAUAUCAAGGAUGAGAUGGGUUUCUUUGAACGUUACUGCGCUAGCAUGUACGAUGAUAUCCAACAUGGGUUCCAUCGUGCCCUGGGUAAUCCAAACUAUGAUGUUCCUCCUGAAAGAUUGAGAAAUAUGCUUCUUGACGAGUUAGCCGACAUUUUCUUGAAACAUGGUUCUGAUAUAAGAAGUUUUAACUUGCCGUCUCGCUCUAGCGAAGGUGAGCAGUCUGAUGAUAAUCGUCUAAUUCGUGAGGAACUGUCUUAUGAUGCAUGUGCUCUAUCUAAACAGUCCUUGGUUAUGUUUGACAGUUUAAAUGAGGACCAAUUGGUUGCUUAUAAGACAAUUGUAGAGUGUGUGCAGGCGGAUAAACCGGGAUUUUUUUUGUCUCUGGGUAUGGCGGUACUGGGAAGACUUACCCGUGGAGUGCAAUAUGUGCUUUCCUUAGGGGCGAGAGGAAGAUAGUGCUUAUUGUUGCGUCGUCGGGCAUUGCGUCGCUGUUGUUGCCUGGUGGGAGGACUACUCAUUCUCGCUUUAAGAUACCUAUUCUUCUUGAAGAUAAUGCACAGUGUGAUAUUAAAAGAGGCUCUAAGCUUUGUAAGUUGUUGAUGGUAUCUUCACUUGUUAUUUGGGACGAGGCGCUAAUGACACACAUGAAAUGCUUUGAGGCUGUAGAUAGAACUUUGCGUGAUGUCCUCUCUGUGGCUAAUCCAAAUCUUGCGGAUAUUCCGUUCGGUGGAGUAGUGAUGGUCUUGGGUGAUGACCUUAGACAAAUCUUACCAGUUGUUGAGGGAGGUACUAGGCCUCAAAUCAUUGAUGCGGCAAUCACGAAUUCUCCACUGUGGCAUUCUGUUCAGAAAUUGUCGCUUUCUAUUAACAUGCGCUUGGGUGUGCAUGGUGCGGAUACCCAGGCACAGAAGGAUGUUGCCUUAUUUAGCAGAUGGGUGCUAGAUCUUGGGGAAUGGAAGUUGCCUGCCACAAGGCGAGGUGAUGAGGUCGAGGCUUCUUGGAUACAGAUACCGGACGACCUCUUGGUUUGUACGUCUGGUGAUCCAAUAGCUGCUAUUGUUUUUUCUGUCUAUGGUGAUUUUUUGCAUAACUAUUUGAACUCUGGUUACUUGCAAGAGAGAGCCAUUUUAGCCCCUACCAACGACCAUGAAGAGGAUAUUAAUGAACAUAUUCUUGCAUUGGUUCCUACUGAUAGCAGAGACUAUUUGAGUGCUGAUUCUGUUGACGAUUCUACGGAUUCUGUUAGGGACAAAGAUGUUUACUAUCCAAUCGAGUACCUGAAUGCAACUAAAAUUAUAAAUUUCCCAAAUCAUAGGCUGACUCUUAAGGUUGGUGUUCUGAUUAUGCUUCUUAGAAACCUGAGCCAGGCAAAUGGUUUGUGUAACGGUACACGACUGAUUGUAAAAGAAUUAGGUGACCGGCUUAUCGAAGCUGUCAUUAUGACUGGCUCACAUGUGGGUGAUACCGUUUAUAUCCCCAGGAUUGAAUUAUUGGCAAAGAAGGGAAAUGCACCCUUUGUGCUUAGACGUCGCCAGUUUCCUGUUCGUGUAUGCUAUGCCAUGCAUGACAAUUAAUAAGAGACAGGGACAGACCCUGUCUGCUGUUGGUAUAUAUCUUAAGGGUCCUGUUUUUACGCACGGGCAGCUAUAUGUGGCAGUGUCUCGUGUUACGUCGAGGGCUUCUUUGAAAAUCCUUAUAUUAGAUGCUGAUGGCAAAUGCGGCCUGAGAACAAGAACAUUGUUUUCCCUGAGGUCUUCCGGGCCGCGGGGAUGACCUAGGUCUGUGUAUGAUGGUAGUCUUCAUUUUGGUAGGUUUUGGCAUGCUUUUGUGACUUGGAUGACAUUUUGGGUGGCGACAUAUAGUGCUGGCUAUAUAAAUAUGUGCUCAUGCGAUGGGGGUGGUAUUUUGAAUGUCCGCAUGUACUGGGAUUUGCUUUAUUCCGCGGUUUGGUUUAUGUCAUAGAGAUUUACUGAGUUUAACGGUGGUGCUGUAUUUUGAUGCUGGUCCUUUUGUUGUAGAUGGUGAUGGCUGAUCUGCAGGCUCUUGUUGUGGGGAGCAGGAACCUAACCAUCUGUGUAUGUUUUGCGUAUCUGGCAGCAUCGUGGAUCCACUCAUAACAGUCCUAUGAAAGACACCGACAUGGUCCUUUUGGAUGCCCAAGGUAUAUGGCUUCUCUAGCCCCCGUGCCCUAUGUUGUUUGUAAUUUUCUCCUGCCUUUUCUGCUUGGUAACUGAUGCAUGUUGUUUCUUGGCAGGGCAACCACGUCUAUGUUGAGAUUGGUGAGAAGCUUUUUCCUAAGUUUAUGGGUCAACUGAAGGAAGGAUGUGCAUAUGAAACUUCUCUGUUCUUUGGUGUUCCUAAACAGACGCUAUUUCAAGUCUAUCGAUGUGAUACACAUUAGGUUCCCUAGGUUCACUACGGCCAGUCCUAAUACUGGUCUAGAAGUUCAGUUUCCAUUUUGCACUUGCCCACGGUGCCUGGUCCAGCGCAUUGGCAGGAGGAGCAAGAGUCAAGGCGUGCCGCCCCCGAUUCUACAGUGUGCCCGACGGAUGCCUCUACAGCAGCAGCAGCGGCGGCAAGCCUGGCUCGUGGCACCAGAAGCGGGCGACGAAAGCCAUUGCCAGGUGUGUCCCUCCCUCCUCUCUCUCUGUCUCUCUGUGUAUGUGUGUGUGGCUGAUUUUGUUCGCCACAUUGCAACUGGUCCAUGUAUGAUCUGAGCGCUCCUGCCACGUCCGUAGUUUGCCGUCCACUUGGCCGCAACCAUCCACAAGAAGAGGGGAUGGCAAGGCACUUGUGUCCUCAUCUGUCUCCACUCCCUAACCACUAGGUUAUCUUGGUAAGGGCGGAUUGGAUUUCAAUUCUUUAGCAUCUGCUCCUGAGGAAGUUCCACCAACCUCUGCAUCUUGUGUGAAAUUCAUGUUCUUGCUCCUUGCCUGUCAGGAGUUGUCCCUGCUGGUGCUUCUGCUGGGUCAAGUCUUGGUUUUCUUCCGUCGAAUUGGCUUCGACUGAGGGAGGGGAUUUUUCUGGAGGUUGUUGUCCUCAUGAGGACGGAUGUGAGGAGGGGCGUGGCAGCGACGGGGAGGGACCAGUUCCCCGUCAGCAUGCGAGUCCUUGCCGUGGAUGACGACCUGGUCUACCUCAAGGUGUGCUAGAGACCCUCCUGUGGCGUUGUCAGUAUCACGGUGAGAAUUUUGUUGUUGUUGUUUUGCAGUUCUGGUUUGUAAUUGUCUAGGAGCCACCUACUGGGUCAGGCAUAGUCCAUUUUAGUUGCUCUGUUCCGUGUCGAGGACAACCACUAUAAAAUUGUUGUUGGUAGUUGUCACAGCUCACAAGUAGAUUUGGUGUACUGCGCAUCAUAUAUAAAUGAUACCUGUAUGGAUAGAUUCAUUACCCCUCCCUCCCUCCCGCGCCGCCACCCGCGAGGCGGCCGGGGAGGGCGCCCCGAUCUCCUCCGCUCGGCCCCCUCUCCCUCCCUACUCCCCCUCGCCGCUGCUGGAGGGCGUGGCCGGGCGAAGCCCGGUCUGCGCAGGCGGCGGCGGGGCCUCCUUCGUCCCCUCGCGCGGGUGGUCAGGCGCGGGCCAGAUCCGCCGGGCCUGGGCGCCGGACUGGAUGACGGGUGCGGCGGAACGGCGUGCUGCGGAGUGGNNNNNNNNNNNNNNNNNNNNNNNNNNNNNNNNNNNNNNNNNNNNNNNNNNNNNNNNNNNNNNNNNNNNNNNNNNNNNNNNNNNNNNNNNNNNNNNNNNNNNNNNNNNNNNNNNNNNNNNNNNNNNNNNNNNNNNNNNNNNNNNNNNNNNNNNNNNNNNNNNNNNNNNNNNNNNNNNNNNNNNNNNNNNNNNNNNNNNNNNNNNNNNNNNNNNNNNNNNNNNNNNNNNNNNNNNNNNNNNNNNNNNNNNNNNNNNNNNNNNNNNNNNNNNNNNNNNNNNNNNNNNNNNNNNNNNNNNNNNNNNNNNNNNNNNNNNNNNNNNNNNNNNNNNNNNNNNNNNNNUGGCUUGCGGGAUCUUCCAGAUCCCGGCAAGGAUGGCGGCGACCCGUGCACAAGAGAUGGAGGUCUUCGAUCAGAUCCGGGUGAAAACCUGCUAUUGGCUAUUGCCAAGGCCGGCGAUGGCGACGCUGUCUGCGUCGUUCCCUUCAUGAAGGCAUCGUCGUGGAGAUGUUCAAGGCCACUCUCUGCUACCUCCGGGGGAAACCCUACAUCAGUAGAUCGGAUGGCGGCGGCUCUCUGGUGUCGUCUUCCCCCCUGGGGGCGUCAUUCUUGGAGGUGCACACGGGCUCGAGGGACUAGAGGACGGCGACGUUGGUGGAGCGGAGCUUCAUCUUUCACAUUGAUGAUGGCGGAUCUCGGCGGCAUGGUGCUGUGGAGACUCGGCGUCUGAUGCGCGGAGAUGGACUCGUGCAGGAGGAGGAAGCUGUCUGGCGUCAUGGGGACGUCGAUGGCAGACUGGCCAGACAAGGUAGAAGCCUCAAUUUGAUCUGAAGACGGACCUGUGGAAGAUGGCGGCGAUGACACACGAGUGCGUCUGACCGGAUUGCGCCCCAGACCCAGUAUGUGGCUCGGCUGGGGUUACCGAAUGAGUUUCGGCUUCCGGCUUUUGAUGUUAGGCUUAGGUGAGUGGUUUGGGUAGUGGCCCAGCCAGCACCCCCUCAUCAUAUGGGAUAGGAGUAGCGGCACAUGUUGCCCAGAUGGUGGAUUCAGACACAUUGUUGUAAUACUUUGUAUGGUUAUCGAGAAUAAUCAAUAAAGUGGCCGUAUGCAUCUCCCAGAUGGAGAGGCCGGGGGUCAUCCUCCUUUUCUAAAAAAAAAAUGGAUAGAUUCAUUAUAUUGCAUGACCUGAAUUUAUGAUUCCGUUUUUAUAACAUAGAUGCACGCGGGAUCGGGUUUUUAUCAUGGAAAAUUCAUAGGACCAUUUCCCUUUUGUUGUAUUGUUACCCAGUUUGGAAGAAUAACAUGUUGUGUUUCCAGUGACGGCGACGAAUCAGGCUGUUAUCGCGCUGAGGAUGCCGCGGGAAAACAGGGACAUGCUUGAUCUGGUUAUCAGUGGUGCCCACAUGCUAGACAUGGAUGGCGUUAAGCUUCUUGAGCUUGUAGGGCUUGAAAUGGACCUCCCCGUCAUCAGUAAGUUCCAAAAAUUUAUCCAUCUCAUAGCCGCACGAUUUUCUUACUGGUCUUGGUAAUAGGAGCCUAGGGGGUAUACUUAUAUAAUGUUGCUGGAUGUAUAUUCUUUUAUAUGCAAAAUGUCAAUUCAGCACAGCGAAUCUUAUGGUUUGUACUUCUGAUUGAGGAGGCAAAAAUGUCAGUGCUAACCAAUUAUUUUCCAUGUAGUGUUAUCUGUGAAUGGAGAGACAAAAACUGUAAUGAAGGAGAUAACUCAUGGUGCCUGCAUCUAUCUCCUAAAACCCAUUCACAUCGAGGAGCUUAGGAAUAUCUGGCAGCAUGUUGUUUGGUCCGUUGAAUUAUAUAGAAAAUUCAUCUCUGCUGUCAACCAUCUUGGAAUUGACAGUAAGAACUUACCAGUACCUUCCUUCUCUGUAACUACUUUUUUCUGGAGCAACUUUGUUGCUCAUUAUUCUUUCAUGUUUAUGCAGAAGGUGUGCCGAAAAGGAUACUUGAGCUCAUGAAUGUUGAGAAACUCACUAGGGAAAAUGUUGCAAGUCGUCUACAGGCAAGCCACUUACUUAACUUCCUUGUAGUUAUCAGCAGAUCAGUACCAUGUGCAUUCCAUACUUGUCGAGCUUUAUCUGUACUGCAGCCAACAACUAGGCAUUCAGAGAUAAUAGUGCUUAGAAAAAGUUGUAACUAAGAGAUAACUUGUGCUGUGUGUAGCUCUACGCAUUAUAUAUUCUGCAACUUCUAUUUUUGAUCCAGACAGUGUGAUGAUUUAAAGUCUGUUUUUUAUAUGACCUUCAUAUAGUUAGUUGCUUUGUUGUCACUAUUGCUGCUGCAUGAUUUUUUCAGAGAGAGUUGCCAACUGAGCUUAUAUUUUUGUUAACUUACUGAAUGAUAACCAGACUCACCUUUGCAUCUGUGUUUGUUGAAAGAACUUGAAUCGUUUUCUGAACUUGCACUAAAUAUGUUCAUGUUUGUGUUCCAAUUGGAAGCAUUUUUUUUGGUAACUGAUAUUCGAUUCCAGAUUAUCUGUUUUUUUAAGUAGUACAUGUUCAUGUUCACAUAUCAGUACGACGCCAAAAAUAUUUCUGUUAAAGUACUGCAAGAUAACCAGACUCACCUUUGCAUAUACAUUUUGUUCAAAAAAAAAAUGAAUCAUGCACUGGACUUGCACUAAAUAUGUUCAUAUUUGUGUUUCCGUGGGAAGCAAAAUUCAUUCUGUUAAAUUAAUGCAAGGUAACCAGACUCACCUUUGNNNNNNNNNNNNNNNNNNNNNNNNNNNNNNNNNNNNNNNNNNNNNNNNNNNNNNNNNNNNNNNNNNNNNNNNNNNNNNNNNNNNNNNNNNNNNNNNNNNNNNNNNNNNNNNNNNNNNNNNNNNNNNNNNNNNNNNNNNNNNNNNNNNNNNNNNNNNNNNNNNNNNNNNNNNNNNNNNNNNNNNNNNNNNNNNNNNNNNNNNNNNNNNNNNNNNNNNNNNNNNNNNNNNNNNNNNNNNNNNNNNNNNNNNNNNNNAUUAGUUGAAAGAGAAUUGAACCAUAUAUGCUGGGUACCGAUAAAGUUAUAUAUUGGUUCCUUCUAUUGCUUUAUUUAGCUUUUAUUGGUUGUGUUUCUCAUGAAAACUAACUUAUGUUGAGUUUCUAUUGGUUGUGUCUCUGUCCAGGUUGAGUUCAGCACAUGUAUACCUACCUCAGUCGGUGAGGUUUCUCUACCUUCGCUCUGUGAUUCAGAUUGAUUUCUUUUCUAUGCUUUUACUGUAUCAUGUGUCUGUACCAUUGUUGCAUGUCUCUAAUUGUUUAUGUUGCUUUGUUUAUGUUGCUGAAAGGACAACCACUGAUACUAUGUCGUUGAUAGAUAGAAGAUUUUAGAAGCGCAUUGUUUCAGAAUUAAGAAAUUUAUGUCUCUGAUAUGGAAAUAUGCAUUAUGUUGUUGUUGCCAAGAUCUAGCAUUCUAAUUGUUGAUCCUUUUCUAGAAAAUAAGAUCCCAUGGUUAUUUAUGUUGUCACUUCGCAAGCAAAAAUAAUUAUGUGUGGUUUCAUGGACUCUUACCUUAUUGAUAGGCACCACGCAGAGUUUGAGGAGAUGUAGGCCAGCGUGCCACCUCUCUCACCUUUCAAGUCACCGCUGAGCCGCCUUUUUUGCUUCGGAGGCUUCUUGUGUCACCAUAGGUUUGUGAUUCUUAUCUGUUGCCCAUUGUAGGCCAUGUAGAAUACUAAGAUAAAAUAAUUUUAAUUUUAUCUUUUAUAUUAUUUUAUGUUAAAGAGGCUACACUGUAUCCAGAUCAUUGUAUAUUAUCCAGAGUGAUUCUCCUUCAUAUAGACCAAAUUAUUUUUUUCCCUGUCCAUGAGAUGCACUGUUUAAAUAGUUUGCCUAACAUGAUAUGUCCUUUAGCAGAUCUGUGUGUCACAACAUGCAAGCAAAUCAAAUGAAGGAGUGUGGACAAAGUUAUAUAUCGAGCAAAUCGGAUGAAGGCGUGUGGACAAAGUUAUAUAUCCAAUAGUCAACCAUGUAGUUUACUAUUGUGCAGUAUGAAAAACAGUGUACAUAAGUUAUCUGGCACUAAUACUAUGGCCUGCUUUUGGUUUCUAUGAUACCAACCCUUGCUUAGGUAUUUCAUGUCACAUUGCAUAACAAAUGCGCCAAUGGCAUGUAGAUAGGGCCAUUUUUUUAGAUAUUUUACGGGUGAUUACUGUAGUGAGUAUCUACCAUCACCUACUCUUUGAGUAAUAUCAGAUAUAUUUCCAUCUUGGGGUAUAUUGAGUAAUAUCGGAUGUUAAUCGAAAAAGAGCUAUAUCAGGGGUUUGAUCAUUGAGCCUUUUUUGAUUAAUUCCUUGAUAUACUCUCGGCAUUUCCAUCUUUAAUAAACACACAAAUGUGGGAGUUGGGUUUCGGCAAGUAGCACCUCCUUGAUUAAGUUGUUCUGUUACAUGUGCUAAACUUGCUAUCCUACGAAUGCAUCAUGCGGCUUGAUCUCCACUGCUUGGUCAUAUCAGUUGGACCGGCACCCUCGCGCCCCGAUCUAGUUAAUUAUUACUAACAGUGGGCAGGAAGUGAUUCAGCGGGCGCUUCAGUAGUCCACUCCGGGAGUCUUGGGAUGCCGACGCCGGGCUAGCGGCUGGCCAUGCAGGACACACGUUCCACACACUUGCGUACUGACGAACUCAUGGAGUUUCGUUCUAGGCUCUAAACCCAAUGGUCAUGCACUCUUGGCGGGACCAGUCCUCCGGACACUCCGCAACGCUUUGAGCUCCAGUCCGCUAGCAGAAGAACACUCUCGCGUUGCACUGUUUCCACAAAUGCCAUCAGAUGAGAGUCAAAUCCUCGCCGGAUAUCAAGUUUCUUCGCAAACUCUCACCAAUCUGCCAUGGACGAGGCGGACUCUGUAUGGUCCACCCAGACUCAGACUUAAACAUAUAAAAUUGCUAGGAGAUGUUUACUAAUGCGGCCGCGAGUGAAGCUCGGUUGUAAAUACAUAAACGGGCAUCAUAUAUUGUCUUUGGUACCUCCAAUAUCCUAAUAAAAUCCUACUGAAGAAGCAGUGAGUCUUUUGAUAUUCUUAUCAUGACUGCUCCUUUGUCUAAGAACUUUGCAGGCUAUUAAAUAGUGCCAUGCUUCAUGCAGUCACACAAUUUUUCACUCAUUUUGGCAUCACACGUUUUAGAAGGUGUCACACAAAAUGGGGUGCAAACGCAUUUUCGUGAAGAUUUUGUUGUUCUAGUUGAGUCAUAGUGUUCUAUCAAAUAAGUGAUAAAACUGAUGAUCCAUUUCCCAAUAAGUAAUCUCCAAUUAUGAACUUUUCUCACGUUUUAACAAAGUGAUAUUAAAGCGUCCACCAAUUAAUAGUUUAAGCUUUUAUACGUAACAAACUAGAGGGUGUUGCACAAAUUUGUGUGGCAAGAUUUUAUUAGUGUUUUCAUAUAUAAUUGAUUAUUUAAUAGAUAUAAAAACCAAAAUAUAAAGGUGAACAUAGUUCCAUGCCCACCCACGUGAAUAGUAAAUUGAAAAAAUAUACUAUAAUUGAAAAAAAAUCUAAAUUUUUGGGGUAACAAGCUUGGUCGACCAUUCUACUAACGUGUGAAGUUUCAUGAAGUAUUGACACCAGUGGUAUUCUUAGUGAAGGAAAUACAAUUGGGACCUUACUGCUCAUUAAAUAGUGUUUAUUAAUAUAGCUUCGAUUUUGUCAUUUUUACCCAAAAUAAUAAGGAUGUAAUUUCUUUGCGAAACUUCAUGCAUGGGUAUAUCGGUUGAAUAAGUAUGUUACAAAAAAUAUUCAGAUAUUUUUUGUUUUCUUCUAGUAUUUUUUAUGAAUUUACUAUCCAUAAGGGGUGCGCGUGAACCAUGUUCACCAAAUCCGCGUCCAUAUAAAAACUCAUAUAGUGUACUAUGUGUUAUAUAGUAACAUAGAGGUAAAAACCAUAAUGAAAAAAAAUGACAUUGUAUUCACUUGACUAAUCUAAAUCUAUAUCUAUCUAUCUAUCUAUAUCUAUAUCUAUCUAUACUUAUAAUAAUCACAGACUCCCUAAAAAUUCUCACGUUAAUUAGAAAUUAGGAGCCGUUAAUUUGGUGGGACCGAUUUAUUACGGUGGAGAUUAACCCACAUGACUUCUUUCGCCCUAAUUUUUUCCUGAGUUUAAAAUAGGUUAUAAUGCGUCUGAUUCAGCAUGUUGUAGUAGUAAUCUAACCGUGCAAUACAACAUUGAUGUUUAUCCAGUCGUAAUUCUACGUGACUCUAGAGUCCUCGCGUAGCAAAAAAUCUUUCCAUGCCCAUGCUAUAGAUAGAAAAUAAACCGAUUUUUUAUUACUAGUAAUUAGUACCGCAGCAAUUAGAAAAUUGAUCAUGGUUGUGCCGAAAUUUGAAAAAUAGGAAGGACGCUAUUGACAACGGCGUCCAGACUGGACGCUAUUGCGAAUGAUGUCCAGGGCUAGACGCUGUUAUAAACAGCGUCCAGUUAUGUGGUUCGAUCAGGUGCUCUUGUUUUAACUAUAUUGAGAGUAUUUCCUCUAAUAGAUUUAAUAUGUGAGCUUUGGUUUUUUUGUGAUGGUUGUGAGGCAUCGAUAACAAAUCACUGAAAUGCCCAUUUGUUCCAUUCUAGACCAGUUUGCUUUUGCCAAAUUAGAGGAGAAAUAGUCUUAACGCACAUGAAUGUAUGUAUUUCUAAUUCAUUAGCUACUAAAAUUGUCGCAAGAAAGUCUAAUUGUGCAUUCUACACCUAAGCCGUGAUUGCUUUCUGGGCUGCCUUGAGGGCGAAAGCUUCCAGCAAUUCAACCAUGGACAGUGUGCUCCGGUACACUCCUUGCUACUAAGAAAACAACUCGAGUGGUGAGCUAGUCAGGAGGCCUCCCCUCUUUCCCCUCUCCCUUCUGCGUCGCUCCCGUGAGCUAUCGAGGGUAACCCUAGCCACCGUCGUCGGGGUUCCCCCUCCCACUCUCCCUCCUCCCUAAUCGUUGACAAAGGGCGUGGUCGGGCGAAGCCCGGUCGGCGUAGGCGGUGACGGGGAAGUUUUGUCUUCCAUGCACAGGAGGUCAGGCCUGGGCCAGAUCGAGCAGGCAUGGACACCGCAUUGGAAAACGGGCAUGCUGGUGCGCCGAAGCGGUUACAGAUGGUGUUGUGGCGGUGGUGUGACGGGCGGCAUGGUGGCACGGGCAGCGCAGGCUGCGACCGACACAGGUUGCUAGGUGCGGCGGCGUGGGUCAUGGGUGGAGCUGGCUGCGGGCGGCUACCCCUGCCAUGGGCGUCCGGGUGGCAUGGUGUCCGGUGUUUAGCGACCAAUAGUGGUCUCGGAGACGGAGAGUGCGUGCGAUAGGGUAAUCCUUGUUUGGCUUGCACCAGGCCAAUGGCAGCGCCAACUGUAGACGUGGUUGCCUUCGUGAAGGCGGCGUUGCGGCUACUCUCCUCCUUCGGUUUGCUCGCGAAACCCAUGAUUUUUUUUGAAUCAUCGGUGGCGGUGCUCCGGUGUCGUGCCCUUCCUGAAGGAACCGUCUUGGAGUCCAUGAUUCAUCGGGUGCAACGUCGUCUCUUUGUGACACCUCUGUCAUGGUGGAGUACUCCGACCGCUUCUUGCAGGACACUCUUUGUAUUCUUGUUGUGAUCUUGGAGUGGGUUGUGGUGGUGUCGCUGUUAUUUUGCAUUGUUAUAUCCUGUCUCGGGUGUAUAUGGUGUGGUGUCGAGUUGUAUGAUCGUUGCGUUAUCUAUAAAGUGGGGUGUGAGCCUUUUUCAGUAGAAAACAACUCGAGUUCAUGCCAACAUGCACAGAUAUUCACGCACAAAUUCACAACGCAUCCACUCACACGGUUACGCAUGCCUAGUGUAGGAGAGCGAAAAGGGUGGAGAGAGGGCUCACGCUGACAUGUUAGUAGUUAGUGUUGCUAGAGAUGGCUCCGAGCGUAAUAGGGAAGAGGUUGGGGCGGUCCUUGCUGAGGAGGAUAUGGCUGUCGGAGAUGGACAUCCAUGGCCCCGGCAGCAACGGGGGUUUAGCGGAUCACCAUUGCGAGCAAGGCACGACGAUGGGAAUUGGCAAAGAGGGAUAACAAGGAGUGAAAUGAGGGUGGUGCAUUGCUAGAGUGCCAUUUUCGGCGGGCUAGAGGUGGCGGAGUCUAGCUUUGGUCCUGCGGAAGUUGCUAAGGGUACAAGUCGAAGGCCGGAGAUAGCCGGACAGGGUCUGGUCGAACCAAACACAGUGAACGCUGUUUAUAAGAGCGUCCAGCUUUGGACGUUGUUGGUAUUGGCGUCCAGCUCUGGACGUUAUUAUUCCUAGCGUCCUUCCUAUUUUUCAAAUUUCUCAUUAGUGUUUCUUAGUUUCAGAAUUACUGAAAUAUUAAUUAUCAAUAAUAAAAAUUUCGGGAAAAUAAAUAUUCUGGCCGAUAGCUUACCCCUUCCUCUUCUCACCAGCUCGCUCCUUACCUGACUCCGCCGCCGCCACCUCUCCAGGUUCAAGCCUCCACCGUUGAGACCAUAUGCUCCGGGAUCUGACCAUCCGCGAUCUAGCCAGAAUGCUCAAGCCAUCACUCUUUGCUUCCGCCCACUACGGCGUCAACUGUCUCCCACGCUAUCAUCUGGACCGCGGAUAAUGAGAAAGCAGCAAAUAGGAUCCAUGGCCGUGAGGGAAAGGUCAGGGUCAGCAUGAAGAUCAAACAAGGCAUCAAGGAGACAUCUAACAUUUUUAUAAUUGUUCAUGGACAUUGUUAGCACAGGUAUGUGGUAAUCUAAGCCCCACAAACCUCAGAAUUUUGACCUCAUCCACUUUGAACGACUUCUUCAGGCAUGGACAUGGUUAGCACAGGUAUGUGAUAAUCUAAGCCCCUAUGCAUCUUAUUUAUAAUUGUUCAAAUGAUUCGCUAACCAGUCUAUUUCCUCCCCAUGUCUUGGUGUGAGCCCAUGGAGUCUUGGUGUUUGACGAAUUGUUAAGUUUCUGAAUUUUAAACUGAAGUGAAAGGGUCUAUUGAGCUUUCUUUAGAACAAUUAUCAAGUUUGUGGUUCAAUCAACUUGCAAAAAAUCACGGUAUCCAGGGAGAUAUAUUCAUAUACAUAUCAAUUUCAGUGUGUUUUAGGUGUGUUGUUUCUACUACCUUGGUACAAGUAGCUAUGCCUACGCUCCUAAAACAUGUGUUCUUAGAGAAACUGAGAAAGGGAAUUAUCUCAUACACAGAAAUCAUGUGCUUUUAGAAAAACUGAGAAAGGGAAUUAUCUCAUAGACAGAUCAAAGGCACUCUUUUAUAAGAGAUAAUAUUCAGGUUAGCCAUAUAUUUGUCUUGAAGUCCCUUACGUAUUGCUAAUUGCAGUUCUGUCCAUCAUUGUACUAUUCUAAAAAAGGUUACUGUGUGUGCCUGAUAGUUCGUUUUUAACAUGGCUAUAUUUUCCAGAUUUGAUUCCUUGUUAACUAGCUAUGUUGCUUUGUGAUCUUCCCUAAUGUGACCCAUACAAACUAUGCCCACGUAUUUUGCUAUAUGUGUCACUUAUGGCUUAAUACUUUAGCUACAGUUACUUACUAGCAUCCUAUUUAUCUUUUUACAGGAAAAGAAGGGAAGGGCAUUACAGCGAGGAGGAUAGAAUAUGCACAGGGGCCGGCCGACGCCGUAUGAUGUGUAGCAUCACAUGACGUACAUUAGGCAGCUAAUGAUGCACGAUCGCGUACAUCCAGCAGCUAAUGAUGAACGAUUGGUCCACAACACUCCUGGUAUCAUUUUUUCUCUUUAGUUGUUAAUUUUGUUAUUAGUCACGUCUUGAUAGUCAUGUGUUCGUUAAUAUUUUGGCCUAAAAAGGGGACAAAUUUUAACUCUACUGCUGCUUAUCUGAGCAAUAUAAGUUUCUAACUUUCUAAAAAAUCAACACCUAAUAGACUAUAUCUUUUCUUGGUUGAUCUGAUAGUUAAAUUUUAAAAUGGUAGCACACAAUAUUUAAGCUAGCUGAAGGGAAUGGUUGAGUUGUACGACUUUCCAUUUGUGUUGUUCUUUUGUUGUUUGGCGAAACUGAACCACUUCCAGGCCAAGAAGCUAAGGUCGCAAGAUCUUGCUGACAGUGUUGUCAUUGUCAUCGCUCCAAUUGCUAGCACAGAUAAUCGCUGCUCUCCUUGCCUUACCCCUGAAGACGAUGUUCUACUGCCUCCUUACCUGAUUGGAUAUUUUUUACUAUGCAAUUAAUAUUAAGUAGACUCAAUGAAACAUUUAUUUUUCUGAUCACUGGUUAUUCUGUUAGCAAUUAUAUCAACAAUUUUUCAUGGACCAGGGUGUACUAGAUAAUGCAAUCAGCAUAGCCUCUACAUCAGGUAAAUACGUUUUCUUUUUGCUGGUCCUUCUGCCCCCUUGGUUGUUUAAUGCCUGUGCUCAUGUUCAUGGUCAUUCGCUCACAUAUAUAAAGAUUGUGAUUAAUUCUUUGUGUCAGGGCUAUUAUUUUCUUACUGCUAAAUAACCUUUGUUGCUAAUACAUUGUUCCUUCUUUCGGUUUAUAAUCUCGACUACCUAAUCGAUGUGUUCUCAGGUUCUAUUACAAUUUUCCCACUAGGCACUCGAAUAAGUUCCUGUGGUUGUAAAUUCUACCCUUGAAUUGCAUGCUGUUUUACUGAGUAUGCAGAGCAAAUAAAACUGUAAUUACACAAUCAUGUGUCAAAUUUGUUUGAGGGAGAGAACUAUGUGCAAAUGGAAGUAUCAUACGUGACCAUCACAUAUCAUAGAUGAAAAGAGUAUGUGGUAUGUAUUGCCAUGGCUUCACCGAUAAAACGUACUGAACUAUUCUUACUACUCCAAUUGGUUCUUGGUUUCGUAAGGAAACAAGAAGUCGUGGGAAGGAUUCCAAUGUUUGUGGCUUGAGCAUUGAGGGGCUACUAUUGGCAUUAUCAUAUUUAUUUUGCUAGAUGAAAUGGUGCCGAAUCCACAUCAGAACAACUGGAAGUUCAGUAUGGUAGGUGAUAUUUUUUUCAUUUCAUUUUCUUAUGGAGUCAUAUAGAUAUAUAUGUUUAUAUGUUGUUUGUAGUAUGAAUAUUCAGAUCAGUAUCUCAACUCCAUUUGCUUAUAUAUUUACAAACAACUAAACUACAGCAUUUGUGGGGACGAUUACCCAUAAACCAGGAAAGGUUUAUAUGAAAUAUUCUAUGGAUAGUGGCGGCAACCCAUAAAAUAUGUUUUAUUUUAUUUUCAAGUUGAUUGCAGAGCGAAUUUUCCUUACUUAUUAUUCUGUGGAAGCUCUCUCCUUUUAGGUAAUCACUGUUCAUGAGGUAUAUAUAUUCAGAGGAAGCACAUAAGGAUACAUAUAUACGUAUAGUUGCCCCUAUUCUAUCUAAAGACUUUGAAUCUGGCAGUGUUUAUAUGAAGAUCACAAUAUAAAUUAACCACUAUAUGUUAUACAUGAUGAUUAAUUAAGUUAGUUAGCGAUAUUCAGUGGGCUUGAUUGCUAUAUGGAAUUUCCUCAGUCUCUUAUUUAUAUGAGUAGAACUAAUUGGUCUGGAGUUAGGUGUAGCUAUUAUCACAGACUCUGAUAUGCAAUUUGUAUUCAAUCGAGUGACCUGCACAUCUCCAUCAAAAAUAGUUAUUCAGAAAAAUGAUGAGUUAAAAUUUAUAAAUAAUAAGCAAUAUGAAUUGUAAGUGAAGUCUUUAAGUACUGAAGAAAUUUGUACCACAACAUAAACAAAACAUAGUCCUAGCUGGGCUUCUUUUAUAUGAGAAAAUUACUAUUGAUCCAAAUGCUAAGGCAUAUAAUUAUACGUCUUUUCCUUUCAAUAGCUAGGAUAAUAGUUUUCAAUAUAUAUGGCUUACUAAAAUGCUAUUGCCGAUGCAUAUAUUUAUAGCUCUAUGAAUCCAAAGUAAAAUAUUUAUUUUCCACUCUUUGUUGAAAUAGAUAGUAUGAUAUACACAGUGUUAUAGAUAUAUUAUAGCAAAUCAGUUCAUUUAAUCAAAUGUUGUAUAUUGCUGAAUUUGCACAUAUAUUUUUGCAAUAUAGUAUAUACAUAUAAAUAUUAAAAUUUGCAUGUGUGAACAAGUGAAAUUCAUGAAUGAAAAUAUCAAAGAGUACCCAGUACAAAAUAAAUACAAUUUUUCUUUCAAACAAAACAAAAAGCAGCACAGAAUAUACACUAGCCCGUGCAUUCGCACGGGUUGACGACUAGUAGUUAUAGCUCUUGAAAAUCAAAAUGAUUAAAUAUACAGCCUGUUUAAAAGAACUAACAAACUUUAGAUUCACACAUUUGAUCAAAUUGAUCAAUCUUGGAGCGGUCUUGGGGAGUCCGUACGUCCAUCACGUUGGCGUACGACAAUCCAGAUCCAACCCAAAACCAUCUUCGUGUUCAAAAUCGUCGCAACAUUCACACCGGUACGCCUAUUCGCAUUCACACUAACUACCGGCCGUGAUGCAUUCAUGGCCGGGCAGUUGGUGAGCCACCCGAGAAGCCUAUCCAACUAUUUAAACAGACAGCCGACCACUCCCAAACCCUGCCUCCCAUUCUUCCCAUUUUCUUCACAUCCCUUUGACGCUGUUCAAGCCCCCCUUGUUCAUCAUCAGCCAUUCCUCAUUGCUACAGUACGGUCCUAGAUCACCUAUUACAAGAUGUUGAUGUCUGCACUCCGCAGACGGCCGACGCAAGGCUUGCAUUGUGACGGGCAACCUCCAAGCUAGGAGAAGGAGGAGGAGGGCAACCACAUGGCCAUGGUGGAGGUCACGGAGCAGGAAGAGGAGGCGUUGGUCAUUGACGCCACGGCUUCGGCUGGCGGUCUAGGCGACAUCUUCUCCAUGGCACUUGUGAAGGAGCACCGCAUGGUUGUGGUACAACCGGAUGCGGAGGGCGCGGAUGGUAUUGCCGUCGCGGCACUCGUUGAUGUGCCAGAGCUCAUCGGCAUGAAUGGGACAGUCUACACAUCCAUGUAAAGUGCCAUCACACUCCACUUCGAGCAUUGUCUGGUCCGCAUUGACAAGGUGCGACAUGUACUCCUCUUCGCAGUCCUCGAGGCCUAGAAAGACGAACGACAACGGUGCCAAAUAUGUACACGUCGGCGGCUCCGACUAGUUCGUGUUGGCCGCCAACAAUGUCGAGGCUGCCGGCACCAGCGUGGGGGUCGGCAACCUCACCUCCGACUGGGAGGAGUAGGAUUUAUUAUAGUAGUUUUUAGUUCUUUAGGGAUCUUUUUCAUGGUAAAAGACCUGCGAACUCGUAUGAAUCAACAUAGAAAUACUCGGUGUCCAUUGGAUGGCAUCCUCCCGGCUUGAUAUCUAACCUAUGAACUAGUAUGAAUCAACAUUGCACGACUCGGUCUCCGCCUUGUAUGAGGGAUAUGGUUGGAUGGUGUCCGCAUGACUCGAUUUCGGAGGACACAUCCGUACAGUGGCGGAGCUUUGUGGAGAGCAACCUGGGCCAUUGCCCCCCCAGUCCAUAAGAAAGUUAGCAAAUAUCCUCUAGUAUUCAGCCCAUAUAUCCAAUUAAAAUCAGCCUAAAAGCAUGUUUCUUGCCCCUCCAGCCCAUUCGCCCCUCCACAAAUUCAGCCCAAGCUCCGCCACUGCAUCCGUACGUGUAAGUGAACAUUUUGUUUUUGUUUUUUUGCGGGUGGUGAACAUUUGGUGACGUAUGUAUAGUCAUUGCCUUUGGAGAUGCUUAUGCCAUAUGCCACGUUGAUGACUCAUCCUAUUUCAUAAAAAUGUUCACAAAUUUACUUAAAAUAGUUUCCUGAAAUAUUAAAUAAAUCUUUACAAAUUUCCAAAAAUGGCAGUGAAUUUUCUAAAAAUGUUCGUGAUUUACAAAAUAUUCCUGAGUUGAAAAAUGUGUUCGCAAAUUUUAAAAGUAUUCCUUAGUUUAAAAGUAUAUUGGCAAAUCUAAAAAUGGUCACAAUUUACAAAAAGUUUGCAAUUUCUAAAAAACAUUCGUGAAUUUUUAAAAUUCCUUUAAUUUAUAAGAUCCUACAAAAUAAAUUAAAUACUUGCAAAAUUUGAAAAAUCACAAUCAAUAAAAUCAUAAAUAAAAAAUAUCUAUUUUUUUAAGUUUUCAUCAAUUUUGAAACAAAUUAAUAAAAAGUAAAAAAGAUUCACAAAAAUAUUAAAAAGGAAAAAUAACAUAAGGAAAAGAGACGAAAGAAACAAAAAACACACAAGCUCUCUCUUUGUUGGCCCGGUCUAUGUGUGAGCGGGGGUGUUCAUUCAUUGAAAUUGGCCGCGUUACGCAUGGAAUAGGAUCCACNNNNNNNNNNNNNNNNNNNNNNNNNNNNNNNNNNNNNNNNNNNNNNNNNNNNNNNNNNNNNNNNNNNNNNNNNNNNNNNNNNNNNNNNNNNNNNNNNNNNNNNNNNNNNNNNNNNNNNNNNNNNNNNNNNNNNNNNNNNNNNNNNNNNNNNNNNNNNNNNNNNNNNNNNNNNNNNNNNNNNNNNNNNNNNNNNNNNNNNNNNNNNNNNNNNNNNNNNNNNNNNNNNNNNNNNNNNNNNNNNNNNNNNNNNNNNNNNNNNUUUGUUGAAGAUAGCGGCGGUGAGGCGGACCGCGGCGACGAUCUCCAUUUGAUGGAUGAUGACAUCGAACACAAUAUCACGGCACAUAGUUAUGAUGCCUCUGAUGUUUGAAGGGAGAAUGCGACACAAAAUGAGAAGCUGAUGCGUCUUAUGAAAUGGUUAUUCUCUACGAGCCAAAUCCGAUCGGUCUCAACACCGCCCUAGACCCGCUCGGUGUGGUGAGGCUAGUUUUCAGGUUACCAUACACUCCCCUUCCUCUUGAAGAGAGGGUGGAGUUUGUCCGGAGUGCGGAAGCUAUCGGAUGAGAAAUCUUUGUUGGACACAAGGAGGCAUGGGUUCUGGAUGACGAUGAUUUCGUGUUGAUCAGCAGGUAUCGAACAAGUAACUUCUUUGUGCCCCGGUGUUAGUUGACGAACGGCGGCACGCAGUAGCGUCACACUGUCCAUUGCCGUUAUUGUUUUAGACGCUUCAUUUCUCAACAGACAUUUGUUGGUGCCCAAGUGGUUCCUUUGCACCUUUUGAUCUAGAAACCAUGAACCACUUGCUGGUAUCAUGCGUCUUUGCGCUCUCCAUUUGGCAAGGGGUGGUUGUGUCCUGGCAGAAUGGAUUCAUGCCUCCAAGGCAUACGGACGAGCUCGUGGAGUGGUGCAACGCAUCAAAGCCCGGAAUCAGGAAGAGGAAGCAUCACAACGCCAUCGUCUUUGAGAAUGGCACCCAAUGUGCAACUCCUGGUUCACAAGAUCACCGAGGAGGGUAAAGCAUGGUCCACGGUAGGGCUGAUCAAAGGGGUCCUGCAACAUUUCUUCCAAGAACCUUUUAGGUGCAUUAGGUGGGAUACAAUUGAGUAGUCAUCUUGUUUUGCAACCAUGGACAACCGUAAGGUCACUUUGUAUUCUUGGUGGUUGGGUUUCUUCAACCCUUUCUUCAAUAAAAGAUGAUACACAUGCUUAUGUGUAUUCUUGAAAGAAAAAAGAAUGUGUUGGACAUGCGCGGGUUAACUGCUACAGUGACAAAGGCACAACAAUAUGGAGAGGCAACAAUGACAACUCAAGGUGGAAAUACGACGCUACUGGAGUCAUUUCUGUAGCAACUAACCUCGUCCGUGGUCUCAUGCACAACCUCAUGUUUGAAGGGGAGAACGCGGCACUAAACGAGAAGCUACUACCUCUGAUGAAAUGGUUCUUCUGCGAGCAUAACCCGAUUGUUCUCAACACUGCCCUAGACUAGCUCGGUGUAGUGCGGCCUGUUUUCAGGUUGCCAUACACUCCCCUCCCUCCUGAGAAGAGGGUUGGGUUUGUCCAGAUUAUCAAAGCCAUCGGGUGGGAGAACUUUGUGGGACAGAAGGAGGCCCGGGUUCUGGACGACGAUGAUUUCGUGUCGAUCAGCGGGUAUUGAGUAAGUGUGUCAGUUAUUUGUGCCUAGUGUAUGCUGAUAAAGAACGCUGGUGUCGCGUUAUCCGUCUGUGGUUAUCUUUUUAGAUGCUUCAUUUGUACCAGUCAUUUGUUGAUCUUGUCUGUGAUUGGAAGUUAACUUGGAACCUAUUUAGUUUGUUGACACCUUAUGAUGCCAGUUCGGGUAAGAAAUGAGAAUAGCCUGAGACAUGUACAGU
rnacentral:lncRNA from 1 species